AAAGACAAACUUAUGAACUUGCAAGCAUGGUAAUCAGAUCGACAUCCACACAAUGUCAAUAUGAACAUUGUCUUGAUACAACUUUAUUUGUAUUUUAUUUCAGAAUUUAAACAACUAGUUUGGGCGGGUCACACACGACGUUGUGUGACACUUUAUUUGUCACCGCUGCAUCGACAUAUCCAUCGACUAAACAACGGUGAUCCAACUAUAUAUUACUAGAGACCUUUCCUUAUCAGUAGGCACCAACUCCGGUGCCAACGCUGAAUGGCACACUAGUGGUGGUUCUAUACAAGGGCACAUUGACACGGCACAUCGUUGGCAGGGUACGGAGCGCAAUGGAAGUCAUCACCUCAAGCUGAGCUAUCUGGUGUGGAUGCAAAAAGGUACCCUGUGCCAAUUGUUGUUGUUGAGGUUGUUGCCCGAGUUGCUGCUGCGACUGCUGUUGGGGUUGGGAAACGCAUUGGCCCAACUAUUGCGGUUGCUGCUGCUGAGUUUGGAUGGAACCCUGAACCUGUUGUUGUUCUUGCAGGACGAUGGAGUAGAUGAUAGCACGGAUUGCCUCAUAGCGGGAUUGCUGGGGGAUUUGCGGCAACUGCUGGCAACAUUGUUGUUGCAUCACAUGGCAACUGCUCUGCUGCAACAUUUGCGACCUAGCAAGACUUUGUGGCAUUGCCACAGGGCUGCAUUGCUGCUGGAGGAAUACCUUGCAUGGGUUUAGUUGCUGCAAGAUAGAUGGAUGAACAAAUGGUAUUUGUUGUUGCGGUAGAACUGAUUGUUGUUGUUGCGAAAAUGGUGGUUGUUGCGGUAGUACUGGUUGUUGUUGUUGCGAAAAUGGUGGUUGUUGCUGUGAAAAUGGUGGUAGUUGUUGCUGCGAAAAUGAUGGUUGUUGCGGUAGAACUGGUUGUUGUUGCUGCAAAAAUGGUGGUUGUUGCUAUGAAAAUGGUGGUUGUUGCGAUAGAACUGGUUGUUGUUGCUGUGAAAAUGGUGGUUGUUGCUGUGAAAAUGGUGGUUGUUGUUGCUGUGAAUAUGGUGGUUGUUGUUGCUGCGAAAAUGGUGGUUGUUGUUGCUGCGAUAAUGGUGGUUGUUGUUGUUGCUGUGAACAUGGUUGCUGUUGUGGAAAUGGUUGUGGUUGUUGUUGGAUAGGUUGUUCUUGUUGUUGGUGCCAUAAUGUUUGUUGUGGUGGUAAUGGUUGUUGCUGCGAUGGUCUCUCCAAACCAGGGAUGUGGCUAUUCUCCAUUUGUGCAAUGGCACUUGUCGCCGCAACGGCGAGGAGGGCAAAGAUGAGGAAGGUCUUCAUGGUGGAUUGGUGUUAACUAGUGUUGCUUGGUUUUGAUGCUUGUGCUUGUGACGAUCUUUAUACUUCAUGCCUAUUUAUAGUAGCCCGGGCACCACCUUUUUCUUCUUUGCAUUAGCUUUAAUAAUUUUGUUUGGAUGCAAAAAUGAUUUUUGGUACAAUGUGUUAGGUUGCACUAGCUACACGCGUACUUUUGGAUUGAUCAUCAAAGUUGCUUUUUAGUUGUGCAUAUGAUCACACAUAAAGUACAGAAACCUUGAUGUUUGGUAUAUAUGACUCACCUUAUUCACUUUACAUGUCACACACUUAUCUGGAUAGUAUCACUUUUGCAACCGAGUUUGGAACCUUGUAUAGGCUGUCAUCCAUAAACAAGAAAGGCAAAACUUGUGUAGGACUAAGUGUAGAACUAACUUUGUAUUUUUCCUCUAAAAUGAUUAGAUGAACCGACGCCUAUAGAGCAUGACAUGACUCAUCGAAUUCCCUUUACAUGUAAAGGAUGGUAAUUGCUUACAAGCUACUCCUACUAGCAUAUAUCCGGUCCUAACUCUUGACACGUCAUCAUCAGUUUCGCCUAUUUUUUUAGAUAAAUCAUCAGUUUCAUCUAUUUGUGAAGGGUUUUUUUGGGGGAAAUGAUAGUUUUUUUAUGCUAGGGGGAUUUUUUUGGGGGGGGGGGAUGACGCUAGGGGGAAAUGAUAGAUGGGGCUGGAACAGAGGCCCCCAGCCUGGAGCGAGAGAUUAGGCCCAACAUAAGUGCCGUGUGUUAGGGCACCAAUUCGAUUUGGGCUAUAGUUCUCGUAGGCCCCAACGACACAAGCCCAGCCCACACUCCGCGGAUCUGCGUCCCUCCCUUCCUCGUCCUCCUCGCCGGCCGGACCGCUCGCCGUCGCAGCCUCUCCCGGACGCCCACCGCUCGCGGCCCCUCCACGUACCUCCGCGGCAGCGGAGACGUCAGCCUCCCUCCCACCCUCAACAUCCGGCCCCCCACCACCACCACCACCGCUCGACAAAAAAGGUCACUUUUGAAGCUCCUCCGUCGAUUGUGGGCCGUACGUCGACGGCAGCCACUCCGACCUCCCCAUCAACACAAGGUAUCGAUUUGUUUCGUCUGUCUCUUCCAACGAUUCAAUGCACAUAAAUCCGAGAGGCAGACCCAUCUCCAUGCUAGCUGCACGGAUUAGGAGGGUCAGGCAUCAGAAUUCAGCUGGGAAGCCUGACAGUAAUGUACAUUUGUGGCUUUAGUAGCUGAAUAUAACUAUGUGCUUUCUGAGAAUUUCACUUCAAAAGUUCCAAUAAUCAUCAAAUUUCCCCCUAUGCGCGCUAAGCAGGUGGACCAUAUAUUUCUCAUGUCGACGAACGAAAAAACAAAACUCCACAACUAGAAGUCUAUGAUAUUGACACGGAACCGUGCUGUAGGGUCGCAAGUAAAAAUAUGAAAAGCAUGCCUAAUAAGCGAGAUGACGCAGUUCCUGACCGCCCCGCUACGACUAUUGGUUCCAGCGUGGCGUUUGAAUUAUGCCGCGCUAGAUGUCUUUUGUCCGGCGAGGAACAAGUGGGGUCAAGCGUGCUUCGGCAAUUCCCGCCGUCAGAAGACUUCCUUGUAGUCCGGUGUAGAGGUGAGGUUGUGGGGAGAUACAUCGACUAGCACUACUAGGGAAAAGGCUAGCAGCAGCGCGGGUUUUAGAUGUAUCAGUAGUGCGGGUACCCGCGCUACUAAUACGGCGCUACAGCUAACUCAUAGCAGUAACGCGUGAGCACCCGCGCUACUGCUACACAAGUGUAGCAGCAGCGCGGUUAUGAGAAGCUCGCUACCGCUAGUAGCGCUAGCGCUCUUUGGCCGGACGCUCUACUGCUAUUGAGGCGCUGCUGCUAACUUUUGUACACUCGCUACUGGUAAUUUAAGUAGUUUUUUGGCAUAUUUGUUUUGUAUUUGAACCGGCUUUGUAGAAGAAUCUUUAGCACAUAGAAAUGUCAUCAUGAUACACAUACAAAUGCCUGCGAGACCACAAAUGUAAUCAUAGCAUGUACAUACAAAUAGUCUCUUCAUAAUCAUCAUCCAACACAAAGUGAUAUCUUGUCAUCAUCUCGAAAAUAGCAAUACAUGCAAGUCUCGAAUACUUGCAACUACAACAACGUCAUCCAUCUAAACAAAGGUAUACGCAAGAAGUGCUAUCACUAUGAGUGAGAGCGGAACCAUGCAGUACAUGAGGUGGCGGUUAUGAGUCCUCUCUUGCGCUAGCGUGAACCUCAAGUAACUAGCUUCUCCUUCUUGUCUGCUUUUGAAGCCUUUAUGGCUGGCGCCCGUGAACCCAUUCACUUGCGCCUGACACUCAUGCCACUCGUUGUACACCCCCGGAACCUUCCCUUUGUACACGACAUAGCAUUUCCAUCUCGCCAUCAAGAAACUAGGUACCUGUUAGAGAUGCAUGUUCAUGAAGAGGAUGUACAAUCAUAUAUAUGCAACAAAAUAUACUAGAGCAACACUAAGAAAGAAAGGUUAGCAACUAGAUGCAACAUAUACAUUACGCAAAUUAAUUAACUAGAGGUACGCAGGUCAUCGUACGCAAACUAACAAAGUAGCGUUACGCAAGUUUGGCAGGGACCAUGGACAUCACAAAGUUUCAUCGCUACAAAAAGUAUACAAGUUCAACCGACACAUAUCAUCAUCAUCGGCAUCAUAAAUCACUAGAAGUUCCAUCCUUCCAUAUCAUCGAGGACGAACCCUAGCUGCUUGAACGGCGUGAGGUCUAGACGUUGCAUGCCUAUGCGAGUUCGGACGUCAGCUCGCGAUAUAGGGCCGUGGUGGAACAUCCCCUUCUCAUCGACGACUUCUUUCAUGAUGAUCAUCGCAAUGUCGCUUUGGAUGCGAAAGAAGUCAUCUCUAAGUUUAUAAUUCGCUUCUCCAUGAGAUUCUAGCCACUUGUGGAUAUGAUCAUCAUUUCUGCUGUUAAUGCGAAGCUUUUGGUGAUCCGUGUUGAACUGAAUCAUGAGAUGGACGAUGUAGAAUCCAUCCUUCUUGCUUGGUUUUGGGACGUGGAUGCAGGAGAAGUUAGUUUUAUGCGCGAAACCCAUCUUCUUGUUCCUUUGUUUCCUGAUAUGCACGUGGCCACCUCUAAAGUUGAAGCCUUGGAGAGCAUCAUCUAGAAUAUUCAUUAUGUGGGUGUAGUCCUUUUUCUCGUAGUCUCUAGAAGGGUCAAAAUACACGGCGUGGGAGACUUGCGGGUAAAGAAUGAUAAGGACGGCGCGCCCGUUGCUGCGGGGAAAAGACACCUCAAAUUAUUCCCCAUAUGAGAGAGAAGGAAUGAUUGAAAUGUACGAAAGGGUUGUCCGGAACUGACUUACUUUGGAUGAUAAGGCACGAGGACAAUUUCCCGGUCCUUAUUCUGUACCAUGAAGUUUUGGAGGUACUCCCUAGCAGUUUCACGCUCAAAGUCGCCGAGACUCAAGAAAGACUCGUGCAUGUAGUACGGAUCCGCCACACAGAUUUGCGAGACUUCUUCACUCUUCACGACGGAGCUCAUAUGUAGCGCAAAAAGGCGGACGAUAGUAAAAUCAAGCCGCCUUGUUAGAAACAUCUCAAAGAUAUGGUCAAACCGCAGGAAGAACACCUCCGUGGGCCGUGUGUCGACGUAGCACUUCCCCUCAGGCACACGAGCUGCGUAUGUCGGAUAUCCUGGAUCCUUUGAGGCUAGUAGGCUUUUCUCAGUCGACAGCACGUGGUCGUGCAGUCUCCUGAGAUUCCCUGAUAGUGCCUCCAGCGGUUUCGGCGGUAGCAUCGGCUCGCCCGUGAGAUGGAACAUGACCGCACCUUUCACGGGUACACGCUCUUCAGAAUGCAUCGUCUGGCUGCUGUGUGCUCUGGCUUGUUUGGAGGCAGUUACCUUCCCCAAUCUCUUCCUCUCCUUUUUCUUGGGCACACCUUCCAGACCCUUCCUUAACCCCUGCCCAAGUGUUCCCGGGCUAAGUAUUGUACGACCCUCACGCCCGGCUAGUUGAGCCUGUGUUGAGGCGGCAUCUUCAGGCGUGUCCUGUGAGGAUUUCAUGAAGAGAGACUUUUUGCAUUCCAUGGUACGGCCCUGCCCGGGCAUAUCAUCCAUAUCCUCAUUAGCAAGCUGAUAGCCCGAUUCGUCAUAUGGUUGACUCAUCAUAUCUAUGUCACAGUCAUACGCGUUUGUAUUGAGGUAAUCCAUCGGGUCGACCUCCGUCUCAUCAUCCAUUCUCUGUUCUACAGGAGAAAUUACAUCAGCCAGUACUAUUGCACCCCCUUCAUCAUGUCGUCCGCCGCUCUCACACGGCACUACUACAGGAGCUGGUAAUUGCGUAGGUGGGGUGGUGGUCUCCGCACAUGCUUGCUGAUGUGUGGUAGUUAUUGGUGUGCUCUCGGCCGGCUCCAGACGAAUAAGAUUCUUCGGCCAUAGCAGCACCCAACCCUUGCAGCGUCCAAUCCGCGGCGGGGUCUCGUCGUCCGCUCCCACCUGCUGUACUGGAGGAGGCAAAUCCUCGUGCCCCGAUUUCACACUGGUCAAGCUAACCCUGAAGUGCCCAGCGGGGAUCGGCUGGUUGUGGAAUGUGCGUUGAGAGGGGUCCAUUAUCAUCCCCUUUCCCACGUCCACCUUCUGGCCUUUGAUCAAGUAGAGUAUGGUGCAUGGGGUUUCUUUCGCCUGCAAACACAUAUGUCUGUGGUGUAAAACAACCGAAAGGCAACAAAAAUGGAAUAUUAUAUAUAUAUAUAUGUUGGUGCGACAUGUAAUUACCGUGACGGCGUCGAGCUCAGCCAAAGACGAAGGCCCACCUAGCGCGCCUGAGACUGAGGACGGGCUGCUAUGAGCUGGAGCGGCUGCGAGAGGAGGCCCGGUUGCUUGAGCAAGUGAUGGUGCGAUGGUGUUGUUCAUGGAGUUGCUCGCGACGAAACUGGGCAUUGGGAAAUCAUGUACCGUCUUGUCUGGAUUUUCCUUCGCCCAGUUGAUGAUAACUGGAACCAAGUUAGUAGCGAAAUCAUUUCUGCAGGCAUUUACAGCUGCAUUGACUGCCUGCUGUAGCAACUCAUAUUUGUCCUUGGCUGCUUUUUUCGCGUCCUCGGCUGCUUUUUUCUCGACCGCAAGCUUCACCUUUGCGUCGAUGUCCGCCUAACUAAACUUCUUUUUCUGCUUCUUGGCCUCCGGGCCGUCGUUGUAAAACACCUUCCACGUGGCGCCGUCUCCAGCGCCGUGCACACGACCAUAUUGCGGCCGCUGGUCCAACGGGAGUCCCUUAAGUUCGUUCAAGGCCCAGUUGAGAGGUGUGUCCCACUUGGGCCUCAUCGGAGAAGUAGGGCUUUCGGCUGCAAGCCGGUGUUGCUUCUCCAGUAGUCUAAUCAAUUUCCUCGUGAUCUUGUCCGUGUAAAAAACCUUUUUCUCCUUGUCCCACUUGUAGCGGGCCCUGAUGAAGUCAUGCUCCAAGGGGUUGGUGAACUUCGCGAAGGGGUCUGGGAGACCCGCGGCUUCACGUUCCGCGUCCUCCUUAUCCCAUAUGGGCCUUUUACCGAGGUAGCCACGGCUUCCGAGGCGAUGCUUCCCCAUGUUCCGGAGCUGAAGGCUUUUGAAUUUCGCAGCCUUAGCCUUGGCUGCCUUGGUAGCGCAAGUGUCCUUGAACUUUUCGAACUCCUCUUCCGUAAGUGUCGGAUUUUCCUCCAGAAUCUUGGACAGGGGUUCAUCAGCCUCAAUAGCUCGUUUCACCCUCCCUUUCCAGGAGGCCAAAUCAUUGCUGAACAUGCCCAUGGCGUGAUUGUUAAUCUUUUUCAUCUUCGGAUCAUCCCACGGUUGUUCUAUGUUAUCAUCCCGGUCGGGGAACUUGAAUCUCUUCUGCAACUUCGUUAGGAGCAACUGCGUCAAAUGUUCUUUACUCCUUAAGUCAUCAUCGUUGAUGCUCGCGCAUUCCCGUAGGAUGCAUCCUACUUGGUUCCCAUAGCACUUGCGAGGUUCUUCCGGCUCUAACGGCUCAAACUUUCCAGGUGCCAUCUUUGUGAUCACAAGUCGUCCAAUCCCUAGUUUGUUAGGUUUUCGUAUCCUCUGCUUCUUAUGCUUCCUCUUUUCGGUAUCGGCAUCGGGGCCGGUACCUUCCCCGCCGGUCUCGGCGCCGCCAUCGGUGCCGGCGCCGUCGGUGCCGGCACCGUAGGUGUCGAUGUCGGCGUCAGUACCAUCAUCGAGGCCGACCUGCAAACCUUGCUUAGCAGUCAAAUAGUCGAGGUACUCUUGUUCACCCUCAUAAUCCAUCUCGUCUGCAUCUUGGUCAGAAGGCCCAGUUUCUUCGUUGUUCGACAUGUUUCCUAUGAUUAAGUGGCCUCAUUUAUUUCUAAAAGUAUGAAUAAAUGAGAAAUGACAUAAAAAGAAAUCUAUGUGCCAACACUCGAUAUGCCAACUAUGUAGCACAAAUCAUGCCUUUAUUCACGGGAAAUUUCGGCAUGACCUUUGCUAAAAAAUGGACAUAUCGAGCGCCUGAAAUUCACCGAAACGGAAAUGAAUCAACAUUCCUGCGCAACAUAGGCCACUCGGAUCAUUUUCCAAACAUGACAUGUCCAAAACAUGACAUAUGCACAUAUCACAUGUCCAGUUCAAAUUUCCAUAUAAAUUCAGCUAAUUCAUAACUAAAUAGAUAACCUAAUUAAUUAACAUGAAGANNNNNNNNNNNNNNNNNNNNNNNNNNNNNNNNNNNNNNNNNNNNNNNNNNNNNNNNNNNNNNNNNNNNNNNNNNNNNNNNNNNNNNNNNNNNNNNNNNNNNNNNNNNNNNNNNNNNNNNNNNNNNNNNNNNNNNNNNNNNNNNNNNNNNNNNNNNNNNNNNNNNNNNNNNNNNNNNNNNNNNNNNNNNNNNNNNNNNNNNNNNNNNNNNNNNNNNNNNNNNNNNNNNNNNNNNNGGGGGCGAGCGACAUGGUCGGGGGCGAGCACGCCGGAGUCGGGGUCGAGAGCGGGACAGGGGCGAGCGCCGGGGCUGGCACCGGCGCCGGCAGGGUCGGGGGCGAGCGCCGGGGCCGGGUCGGGCACGGCGGAGCGACGGGGGCCGGAGAGAGAGUGGGGAUUUGGGGGGAAAUGGCGGGAUGAAGCUGGGCGAGUGCGAAUUUUGGGUUAAGUGGACGUAGCAGUAGCGGGUUAUGUCAAAACGCGCUGCUACUAUAUUCUGUAGCGGCAGCGGUUUAUGAGAAACACGCUACUACUAUGGUGCGUAGCUGCAGCGCUUUAUGGGAAACUCGCUACUACUAUGGUGCGUAGCGGCAGCGGUUUAUGAGAAACACGCUACUACUAAGAUCUAGCAGCAGCGGUUUUGUGGAAACGCGCUGCUACUGCCGUCGCUACUGCCAGGUUUCCUUUUUCUUUUCCUUUAUUUUAUCCCACUUUUAUUUCCCGAGGGCAAUGAACGAAGGGAGGGCGAUAUAUAUUGCAUCAUUUGACGGUUAAAUAUGUAUGCAAAAUAGGAACAUAUAUAUUACACAUCAUUGGACCCAUGCAUAAUAAUGACUAAGUGUGUAUACAAAUUAAAUAGGAACAUAUAUAUAUUACACAUCAUUGGACCCAUAACAUACGUUUCCUCAGUGCUGACGUUUUCGUUUUUGAGUCAGCUUCUUUCCCUUCUUGUUCGUCGAAGAAUAAUUGAGCCCCUCAUUGUGACUUUGCCUUUUCCAUGGAGUACGAUUUUUCUUAGGUAAUGUAGUAUUGAUUCUUCUUUUGACGUAUACUUCAUCAUCAUCAUCAUCUUCCCUCAUUGGGUUGCUGUACUGAUCAUAGUCUUCCUCGUUGGCGACUCCAUCCAUUCCAAUGAUGUUCCUUUUGCCUCUCCUCACGACAACACGGCUGGGAUUGCGCGGGUCAGUUAUGAAGAAACAUUGUGUCACGUGCUUAGCGUGUACCCAUGGCUCGUUUUUUGCGAUAGCGUUCAUGGUAGCGCUCUUGGCGUCGGGUAUAGUCAUGGUAGUGAACAUCCGGCUUUCUCUUUCGACAUUCUUAGCCCAUCUGACACGGAACAUCAUCGUGCUGUGCAGUCCAGAGUAGUCAAGCUCCCAGAUCUCCUCGACCCUUCCAUAAAAUCGUUCAGUUGUGCCGUUGUCGCUGCCGGUCAUGCAUUCCAUCGUCACCCCUGAGUUCUGAUCAUCACUGUCCAUAUCUUUUGCCUCUGUGUAGAAUGUGUAUCCGUUGAUAUCAUAUGCCUGAUAGGUUACGAGGUUGGGCGAGGGGCCAUGUGCUAAGGCGUAUAUGAGCAAUCCGUCCUUAGAGCCCUCCUCCGGUGGAUUAGCAAUAAUAUGCUCUUUGAACCAAUGCAGGAAAGUGGAGUUGUGCUCUCUAGUAACUUCGGCGUCCGUCCUGCAUACCCCCCGGUCACGAUACUUCUUUGUGAUAAUUUCUUUGUGCAGUGCCACGAAAGGAUCUACCUCGUCUAGGUGUUGUAGCACUACCAAGUUUGCUCUGUCAAAGUCGCUGCGUCGAUCUGAGUAUGCCACGUGCAGUUCCCUGCGACCGUUGCAGUGACCAUCUCCUUUGAGCCUCCCAUCGUGCUUGUUAACGGGCAAACCAACACUAACACCAGGCGGCUGGUCUGCGCCAUAUAAAAAAUUCUCACAGAAAGAGAUGCACUCUUGUGCCAAAUAGCCCUGGACGAUGCUUCCAUCCGGACGGGACAUGUUACGAACGAAUCCUUUGAUGAUCCCAUUCAUCCACUCAAACGGGAUCAUGUUGUGCAGGAAUGACGGCCCCAGGUCUAUUAUGUCAUCCACAAUAUGGACACACAGAUGCACCAUCACGUCGAAGAACGCGGGCGGGAAGUACAUCUCAAGCUCAUUCAGUAUCACAACGAUCUCUUCCUGUAGCCUUUGGAGCUGCUUCACACUGAUCGACUUUCGAGAGAUGACAUCGAAAAAGUUGCAGAGACCAAUAAGCGUGUCACGGACGUGCUUGUCCAUUAUCCCUCUAAGGGCAACAGGUAGUAUCUGCGUCAUCAUCACAUGACAGUCAUGAGACUUCAUCCCGCUGAACCUUUUCUUGUCCGUGUCUAGAUAUCUGCUUAUCUUGCCACAGUAACCGGAACUAACUUUCACUCCGGUAAGGCACUUAAAGAAUUGAUUGAUCUCAGCCUGACUUAAGGUGAAGCAAGAGGGGGGGCAAUAAUCUUCUUUCUUUAAUUUCUUGCCCUUCUUCUCCCGUGCCUCUGUCUUCGUCUCUGUCUCGUCUGACAUUUUACGGGGCGGCAUCUGCAGAUCUUCCCUGAUUUUCAAAUCUUGCAAGUCUUUUCUUGCCUUCGGCCCAUCCUUGGUCUUAUCCGGCAUGUUCAUCAGUGUUGCGAGCAAGCUCUCAAGGACAUUCUUACAGAUAUGCAUUUGAUCAAGGCAAUGAGGUGUAUCGAGUUUGUGCCAGUACUCCAAGUCCCAGAACACGACCUCGUCUUCCAUACCUUCAGCAGCGGCUCCGGCGCCUUUCUCAUCGUCUUUCCCGGCGCGGGGCACUCAUUCCAGUUUUUCAAUAGCUCAUCGAUUUCGGCACCGCUCCGCUUACGUGGAGGUCCUCGAUGCUCAGCGUGACCAUUGAAUAGAUCUCCACGGUUUCUCCACGGGUCGUCCUGUUCAAGCCAUCUUCGAUGCCCCAUGUACAUGAUUUUCGCAGACCCGCCAUCUUUCCUUGACGUUAGCUGCUGAGACGUUGUAUCAUCCAUGCACCGCGUGCAUCCGCAAUAUCCAUGGCACACCUGGCCUGCCACAUAUCCGUAACCGAGAUAGUCCUGCACUGUCGUGAUCAGCGCGGCUCUCAUGUUGAAAUACUCACCUUUGCUGGCGUCCCAUGUCUUGGCCGGUGUUUUCCAUAACGUGUCUAACUCCUCUUGAAGUAGCCCCAGAUACAAAUUAAUAUUAUUUCCUGGUUGUUUCGGCCCUUGAAUAAGCAUGCUCAUGUGAAUGUACUUCGAUUUCAUACACAACCAGGGGGGGAGGUUGUACAUCCAUACAAACACGGGCCAUGUACUAUGGUUGGUGUUCUAGUUGCCAAAUGGAUUCAUGCCAUCGGUACACGCGCCGAGCACGAUGUUCCUUGCAUCACAUUCAAAAUACCGUUAGAAGCUGUUCAACGCUCUCCACUGGCUUCCAUCCUUCACGUGUCUCAGCUUCGGAUCAUCUCCAUCGUCGGGCUUCUUCCUCUCCGCGUGCCAGCGCAUUAGCUUUGCUUCCUUGGGAUCUACAAAAUACCUCUGAAGACGGGGAGUGAUCGGUAAGUACCAUACAACUUUCUGGGGACAUUUCUUCCCGGCCUUCUUGUAUCGAGAAGCAUUGCACACCGGACAGCUUGUUUUUUCCGCGUGCUCCUUCCGAUAAAUUAUGCAAUCGUUGAUGCAUGCAUGGUAUCUAACGUGUGGCAGAUCAAGAGGGCACACGAUCUUCUUGGCCUCAUCAACACUAGUAGGACAUAGAUUACCCGCGGGAAGAAUAUCCUUUAGGUACUUGAGAUGGUCAUCGAGGCUAGUGUCGGUCCAUUUGUUUUUAGCCUUCGUCUUCAGGAGUUGGAGCGUGAAACUCAACCGGGUCACCUCAGGAUUGCAACCAUCAUACAAUGGAGUGUUCGAGUCUACCACCAGUUGCUCCAGCUUAGCCUCCUCUCUAGAAGCAGCUCUCUCAGUACUCGUCUCCUUGCGAAGCAAUGCUUGAACAUGAGGGUCCCGCACAAUUGAACUUAGUACCGACGAACUCUGCUGCGUGGAGUCCAUGUCGUUCUCUCCGCCGCCAUGUCCGGCCCCUUCUCCUCCGCCAUGUCCGGCCACUUCUCCGCUGCCAUGUCCGGCCUCUUCCCCGCCGCCAUUAUCGAUCAUCUCUUCGUCUUGCCCCGUGUCAUCAUUGCCUGCCCCGUCGGCAUCCUCAACAUCUUCAUCCUCAUCUUCAAUUAUCCACCGAGUAUAGCCAUCCAUGAAACCAGUCAUGAGCAGGUGCGCUUCGACACGACCAUCGUCAUGGGGGUCGAGCCAAACUAUUCCUUUGCAUUUUCAACACGGACAUAAAACCUCUGUCCGGUUAUUUUCUUUCAUGUCUUGCACCGCCGACCGCAACCACCUGUCCACCAUUGUUCCACUGACCAUCGUCAACUCUGCACGGUAAUAAUAAAAAAAUUGAUUGUAAAAAUGCAUGCAUGCAUCAAAGUCAUAAAAAAAUUUGGCAUGACCUUCCCUAAAAAUAGGACAUAUAUGGAUCUAGAGUUUGCCCGAAAUUCGCCGAAACGAAAAUAAAUCGACAUUUCGGCAAAACAUAGGCAACUCAAAAGCACAAUUUGGCGGCGUCAACUCAUGCCACAGACACAAUUUCCACAAACAUAUCACACAUACACAUAAACACAUUUCCAUUUUGCAAAAGCAUGAAAUUUUCAUCACCUCUAUCUCGAUGGCCGGAGAUGAUGUUGUAGGGAGAUCAAAAGUGCACAAAGCUAUUCUUGACAAAGAUAGAUCUAGUUAGGGGGCAAAUAGGUCACUUAACUAAAUCCUACAUCUACCUAGCUACCUAAUUUGGAAGGAGACAACUUCAACUAGUGGAGGGGGAGGAAAAAGAGAAAGAAGAUGCAUUAAUUAAUGGAGGUGGUGUAGUUAUGUAGGAGUAAUGAAGAGAGAGAAGGUGGAUAGAGAANNNNNNNNNNNNNNNNNNNNNNNNNNNNNNNNNNNNNNNNNNNNNNNNNNNNNNNNNNNNNNNNNNNNNNNNNNNNNNNNNNNNNNNNNNNNNNNNNNNNNNNNNNNNNNNNNNNNNNNNNNNNNNNNNNNNNNNNNNNNNNNNNNNNNNNNNNNNNNNNNNNNNNNNNNNNNNNNNNNNNNNNNNNNNNNNNNNNNNNNNNNNNNNNNNNNNNNNNNNNNNNNNNNNNNNNNNNNNNNNNNNNNNNNNNNNNNNNNNNNNNNNNNNNNNNNNNNUGUGGUGGAGGGAAGAGAGGAGAGGGGGAGGUAGGGGGGAAGGGAAAAAAGGAAGGGGGAGGGGAGGGACGGGUUGGGGGUUGGUGGGGUUAGCAGUAGCGCGGGAGAUAAAACGCGCUGCUGCUAAGAACUUAGCAGCUGCGCGCUUUGCGGUAAGGCGCUACUGCUAACUGGGACAAAAAAUUGUGGCAAUUUGAAACUUACCAGCAGCGAUCUCGAGGAAACCGCGCUACUACUACGUACUUAGCAGUAGCGCUGUUAUUGCGACCGCGCUACUGCUACUUAGAGUUGGGGGAACACCGCCGGUCGAUAUUUGUAGCAGCGCGUUUCUUGUCGAGCGCGCUACUGCUAAAUCUUUAUCAGUAGCGAGUUUACGUAACCCGCGCUACAACUACUUAGCAGCAGCGCUCUAUUUUGAACCGCGCUGCUGCUAAGAUUCUGUGUAUAGGCUUUUCCCUAGUAGUGUAGGAAGGAAUGACCACAUGAAUGAGCAUACGUAUGAUGUGAUUAAGUCUCUCGAUUGGGUAUCUGGUGCCUUAUGUACGGUGUCUUCUUUUUGUCAAGCUAUGACAUCUUUCAGUUUGAGUGUCUGAUAUUAGGGUUGCAUACGUUUUGUUAUUCAGUUGCCUGUUGUGAACUCUACGGUUAUAUCAUCUCGAUGUGUGAGUCAAUGUGUUUGAACCAAUGUAGAGUUUCAUGUGAAUGUUACAAGUGUGAUUGAUAUGUUCAUGUUAUCCGCGGUUGCCUUGGUAAGAAACUGAAAGAGCAAACCGUUAUCGUGCUAGGACAAAAGUCAUCACUCAAUAUAAGUGCUUCUCUAGAACAGCCACACCUUGUGAAAGAAGAUGGCAAACACCCAAUCAUGUCUGGUUCGAUAUGGGCGUGGCUAUGGGUAGCUUAUAGCGACAUGGAAGCCAGCAUCGCUGGAAGAAACGCCCGGGUGGGCCGGCCUAGAGACAUUUCUUGAUAUCUACCCUUAGUUUUGUUUUUCUGCCCUUCUUUCUUUAUAUUUAUAUUUUUCCCGACAUGUUCACUACUUGAUGCUCAACUGGGAUCUCAUCCUUCACAAAUACGGAGAGCCAUUAUUGUUAGAGUUAAUCUUGACAUGUGUGUAUGUGCAUGUGUGCAUUGCAUGUUAGUGGUCUAGAGAUGGCCGGGUCGAUGCGUCUGUUCUGUGCUGGAGUGAGUCCAGCAGUUUGUUUUGGUCAGGUCGUGGUGGCUAGAGCCAUUCUAGGAGAGGAUCAAGUCAAGUUGUUAGCUGAACUCGGCUGGGUAGUGUUUGGCCGUUGAGGAUAGGCUGUACUAGUGGUGGGCAUGGCCGUGCAUAUAGCUAGCGAUUAGUUACACUAGUAGAAAACCACCCAUUAGUCCCGGUUCGUAAGGGCCUUUAGUCUCGGUUCAGGAACCGGGACUAAUGGGUCGUUACUAAUACCUCCACCCAUUAGCCCCGGUUCAAACACGAACCGGGACCAAUGUGCCUCCACGUGGCCCUGUGCGGCGAGCCCAGUCAGGGGGCCUUUGGUCCCGGCUGGUGGCUCCAACCGGGACCAAAAGGCAUCCACGCGUCUGCAUUCUAGUGGUUUCUGGUUUUUGUUUUUUUUUUGAAAGGAGGGGGGUUGGGGGUUUUGGGGAGUUAAUUUAGGUGUUUCGUAUAUUGUGUUAACUAGCUAAUUAAUAGAGAGAAGUGUCCUCUCUUAUGUCCGUGCUUGGUCGACGCUACGUAGUAUAUAUACAUAAGUAAUCGAGAGAACCAUUCAGUACAGAAGUUCGUCAUGCAUACCGAGAGAAGUGAUCGAUCGACCUCUCCUUCUCCGAGAGAUUGGUCGAACAACAAGUUUUUUACUGGCUACAUACAUGUACAAUAUGUAUAAGAUCUCUUAAUUACAAACCCAUAGCAUUUGAAAUCAACUUCCACAUGGUAUUCUCCGGCUUUACUGAUGACGUGUUCAAGAAAGAAUCCCGCUAAUUCCUCUUGAAUUGCUUUCAUGCGAUCUGGUUCUAGGAGUUCACCCCGCAUCUGCCACGUCUAAUUAAUUUGAAGAAGGGGGUUAAUUAAUACAUAUAUAUGAAUGAAACUCAACAGAAAAUGAUGGUGUAAUAAAAUGAAAUUGUGAAUAUUAUUGCUUACGCACUUCAUAUUGUCUUCUAGAGUAGCCCCGCUUGUUUCUCAAAGUUGCGUUGUGGAUGAACUCGCACACGUAGUAUCCACAAAAAUCAUUCCCUUCCUCCUGUCACAAGCACUUUACGAGAAACAGAGGUCAAUCAAACUGAUAAUGAAGCAUUAUAAAUGGCAUUGAUGAAAGUAUAGCUAUAGAAUCAACGGGAGAUGCACGCAACUAGCUAGCCAGUAGUACUUACUUUCGGGUAUACAUAUCGCAGCUCCUUCGGCAGUCCCGGAGCUUGUGCGGUGAACUGUUUCCGAACCCUGCAAGACAAAGAAAAUAAUUAUUAUUACUUGAGAUAUCAGGAAAUGAACAAAAAGUUGCCGAUAUGGUGCGAUAAUGAUCGAUUGAACUUACUUGCUGAGCAUUUCAGUCAUGUCCACAUAGGUGCUGGGAUCUUUCCGUCUCGAGUCUAAGACGGUUACUAGUCCACGCUCAAGCUUAAUCUCCAGAAGAAUAUAGUGGUACCUGCGCACGCGUGCAUAACUCAUCAAUUACAUUAACCUCGCUCGAGUAAUAAGGGAAACCGAAUAUGCACACGACAGUAACACUCACGGGCCGUUGUAAGGAAAGAGUAUGGUAUCUUUGUUUUGAUUUUUGAUCAACGAUUGUAGCAAGUUGUCCUCGGCCUCUUCGACGUUCUUUUCAACCAGAAAUACAUCUAUGAUAUUUGUGUUAAUGAACCCAAUAUCAUAAAUUUUUUGUUUUUUGCACUCGACGAUCUUCAAUCUGCAUAAUAUAUUGAGGAUAAUUAAUUAUAAAUACAUGCAAUGAAAGAUCCGAGCUAUAUAUAGAGACUUAAUGUCAGAAAUAGUACUUACAUGCAGUAGCAAAAGACCAUUAAUUUAUCGAGGGCCUUUUGAUUGAAGAACUCAAAGAACUCCUCAAAUGGAACACACAACAGAUCAUUUGAAAUGAGGUCGUGCUCCUCUUUAAUAUUCAAAUACAAACUGUUCGUCCCCUCAGACUCUCUGCAGGUUUUCAUGUACCAAUUAUGGAAUCUUCGCAUCAUUAUUGUCAGAGAUUUUUCAUCUUUGACGAGAGGCUUCCCGUACUCGUAUCUGAAUACGUCCACCUCCAUGAAAUCAGGAAGUGCAUCGUCAGGCAGGUAAUCUUCAAGAUUGCCAUAACCGGCCACCGUCCCCGGAGGAUUAGACACAUUGAGCGGGGGGCACGAUUGCUGUGCUUGUUCGCCGAGCUGGGCAAUUUUUUUCCCCUUUGCUCGUUGUUCUUUUGACCUUUUAUCAUUGACAGUAGUUCCCGACCGCUUGGCUUGGAGAUAUGUCUGUUCAGUAAUGCGCUCAUAGUUGGUUCUCGGCGGAGACUUUGGUGGUUUCCUCAGGGCAUCGAGAGUGCGCUUUGCUUUCACCGGAUCUACCUUCUCCUCCGGAGGUGGAUGUCUCUUUGCUUUCACCCCUUCAAAGAACUCCUUCACGUGGGCCUGCACGAUCGUAUUGUUUUCCUCCUUGGUCCUCUCGUACGGUAACUUCUCUAGAGGCUUUAGAGGUGGACCGUAUCUGUAUUGCCUCUCUCUUCUUGUGCUGCUAGACGCCGGAGCAGACGGAGCGGCUGUGGCGUCUGUCUUCUUCCGUGCUUGCUUAUGAGGCGGAGGAGAAGGACUACGACGCGCCGGAGCAGCCGGGGCGGCGGCGGGUCUCUUCCGCCCUUGCUGGCGAGGCGGAGAGGAGGAGGCGGAGUGCCGCCACAUGCCGGAGAAGGAGGCGGAGUGCCGCCAUGCGUGCCCUGAUCGUCACUCGCCGGAGGAGGAGGCGGUGGAGGAGGCGGAGUGCCGCCACGCGUGCCCUGAUCGUCACUCGCCGGAGGAGGACGCGGUGGAGGAGGCGGAGUGCCCUGACUCGCUGAAAGAGGAGGAGGAGGCGGAGGCGUCCAGUUCAGAAGGUUGAUGAGCUCCUUCUGCCAUAGGCAUGGAGUCUUCAGAGCAGAACCCAGCCUAGUCUCCCCUUCACCGGUAGUGUGCUCAAGCACGAGGUCCUCAAAUCCCUCCGUUAUUUCAUCCACCAUCACCUUAGCAAAUCCUUCUGGAAUUGGCUGGCAGUGAUAAGUUGUGCCGGGUCCACUAGGAUAAACUUGGCCAACAGCCGCCUUGACCUUCAAAUUCAUCCAUCACACAAUAAUGUGGCAAUUUUGAGACUCCGUGAUACCAUCCACGGGAUAGCUGGCAGGAGCCGUCAAGACAUGCUCCGGCUGAAGCAGCUCAGUGGAAGCCACGCUGCUUCUCUGCUGAGAUGGCGGGGUAGCUUCGGGGGAAGCUUCGGCAGGUCGUUUGUUGUGAUCUGCUGCUUCUUGUUCCUCUAGCCCCAUUACCCUUUCGUGCAGCGCCUGCAUUUGGUCCUGCUCCAGUUUCUUCCUCCUCUCGUAGGCUUUGUAAACGCCUGCGUCCAGAAAACCAACCUUCCACGGAAUGGAGCCUGGCGUGCCUCGUGUCCGUCCAGGGUGCUCGGGAUUCCCAAGGGCCAUUGUGAGCUCGUCCUUCUCCCUGUUUGGAAGGAACGUCCCUCGUUGUGCUGCAUCGAUAUAGUGUCGAAGGUUCUUGACUGGUGUUUGCAGUUGCUCGUCCGUCCACUGACGCUUCCCUGUUACAGGGUCCAAGGUUCCGCCAGCCCCGAAGACCCAAGUCCGGCAACGGUCUGGCCAGCGCAUUGUCUCUGGUUCGAUUCCUUUUUCAAGCAGAUCAUGCUCAGCCUUGGACCACUUAGGCCGGGCUUUGAGGUAGCCACCUGACUCCGUGCGAUGGUGAAGCUUCUUCUUCGCAGCAUUUUUCUUGUUUGUCUCCGACAUCGUCUUACUCUUUUCCGAUGUCUUGUGGGCCACAAAUGCGGGCCAGUGAUCUUUGAUCUUCUCAUAUUUGCUGAUGAAUUCUGGUGUCUUUUUUUUCUCGAGAAACUGGUUCAGCUCUUUCCUCCACCUCCUCAUUAGGCUUGCCAUCUUCUUAAGAGCACAAGACUUGAUUAAUUGCUCUUUAACUGGCUUCUCCGGAUCCUCCUCUGGCGGUAGGGUGAAAUUUGCCUUCAGCUCAGUCCAAAGAUCUUCUUUCUGCAUAUCAUUGACAUAAGACACCUCAGGGUCUUCAUCCUUAGCAGGCUUAUACCAUUGCUGGAUGCUGAUCGGGAUCUUGUCCCUAACAAGAACCCCGCACUGAGCAGAAAAUGCCUUCCUUGUCCGGAUGGGUUCAAUCGGUUCGCCGUCGGGCGCGAUUUCUAUGAUCUCAAACUUUUCAUCCGAGAUCAACUUUUUCUUCGGGCCUCGUCUCCUUACCGAAGUUGUGCUCGAUCCGGAGGGCUAGAAAUUAUAAGGAAGAAAGACGACAGUAAUUAAUAUGUGUACAUAUACCAAAACAAUGGAUGCAUCAAUUAACUAGUCAGCACGGGCUUAACUAAUAUAUAUAUACCUGGCCGGACUCGGUUCGGUGACCGGAGCAGUCAGCACGGUCUCCUUGUACCUCCAUUGUGUCACCGGAGCCAUCAUGAACAUAGUCCUCCUCUUGUACCGGCAUUAAUGGGUCGAAGCCAUCAUAAACAUAGCCCUCUUCUUCAUCCAGUCCUUCCAGCUGACCAUCGGUGUCGAUGAGAAAUGACGCAACAUCAUCACUUCCAUUUGCGAUUAUGUCCCCCAACAUCGCUUCUGUUUCUUCGUCUCGGGAGUGCUCCAUAGUUUCUGCAAAUAUUUACAACAUGUCAAUUAUUAUUCAAACAUGGUACAAAUGGAUAUAUAUAUAUAUAUAUAUAUAUAUAUAUAUAUAUAUAUAUGAAAAUGGAUUGGUACUCCUAGGAGUACAUACUCUCACCUACACCCGUCAUCGUUGGAAACAUUCAUCCCGCUAACUACUAAAAAAAGAGCUAACUAACUACGGAUAAAGCCUUUGGAUUUAAAAAUUAGUUGAACCGCUUCCUUUUUUUUCAGCUCUCGUAGGCGUGCCUUCCAGGGAUUCCAUUUGAAACGGCGUUCUCAUCUCUUGCCAGCACCCAUGAACAUAAAAAAACAGAGCAUCGGCUCGCCUCCGCCCCGCCGACUGACCGGAAGACUUGGUCGACAUGGCCGACGAUGAUCCCCGUGCUUCUUCCCUCGCAAACUAGGCUUCAACCACCACGUCCAUCAAUCAGAGGAAGAUUGAUUCAUCAUCUGUAGUUUGCGAGGGUACGUGCAAUUGAUGUUUCCCGAUUUUUCUGUUCGGCUACCACAACCGUGUUCAUGUUCCCGCUGACCCCUUGAUCCAUUCCUGUCCAGUAUGUCAUCGUCCGAGAAGAAAAUAGGACGGAGAUGAUUGAUCGGCCAGAUUGAUCGGCCAAGUCUACUAGUACCACUGGUGGAAAAAAGGCCUUUGGUCGCGGUUCGCAACUGCCAUUAGUCGCGGUUGCGCAACCGCGACCAAAUAAGCGCGACUAAAGCCCCCCACCUUUAGUCGCGGCUGCUUAAGAACCGCGACUAAAGGCCCGUCCAUGUGGGCGCCAGGCGGCCGUCGGGACGGAGGACCUUUAGUCGCGGUUCUUCUGGCCAACCGCGACUAAAGGCCGCCACAGGUUUAGGGUUUUAGCCCCCCCCCUAAACCUGUUUUCUGUUUAAUUUGUAUUGUUUUAUUUCUUUUGUGCUUUAUUUUAAUUUUGAAGGAGUUUCAUAUAUUCUACGGUACUACAUACAUGCAUAUGAAUGUACAAUUUCAAAUAAAUUUGAAAUUAGAACCAAAAAGAAUUCAAGAGGAAUAUACAAUAUAUAUUCAAUAUCAUCGGAUGACCAUAUACAAUUUUGAACAAGUUUCCAUACAUGAUUUAAUGCAUAUAAAGUUCUACGUCCUCGUAAUAGUGUUCUCCUUUAGGAUGGAGGACUUCCCUGCUGAACCAUCCAGCUAGUUCCUCUUGAAGUGGUCGGAAGCGAGCUUCUGGACUAAGCAUCCACCGGAGGUUAUUCCUCUGAGCAUUGGUAUCACUCGGAACCCGCUCAGAGGUGUAUCUCCGGAUCAUCUCACAGACAUAGUAUCCACAUAGAUUGGUCUCCGGUGGCUGAAUAUCCCCAGCAUUCUUAGCCACUGACCUUUUGAAUUCUAGCUCUUUUUUGAAUUCACCGACCUUUGUAUCUACGAACCGUCUCCAAACCCUACGAGGCAAAGAAAAUUAAAUGAACAAGAGAGUUAUUAGUUACUUGAUAUUAGGAAAUGAACGAAAUAGGCCGAUUGAUAUAGAGCGCAAAUGAAUGAAAAUAAUUACUUCUGCAGCAUUCUUCUCAUGCCGCCCCAAAGCUUUGGAUCCAUAUUCACAGAGUCGUGGACGAGACAUUCUGAGGUGUUAACUUUAAUUACUAGCAGAAUCCAGUGGAACCUGCGGACACGAUACAUGCACAGUACGUCAUGCAUAACUCAUCGAUUAGCCGGCCACAUACCAUGCAUGGAGUAAACAAAAGAGAAUGUGCUCAAGACACAAACACUCACCCAAAAUGGUAAGGAAAUAGAAUAUCACUUUUGAGUUCCUGCUUUGUAAGAAACUGCCACAGGUCUACCUCCACGUCGGCGGGGUGACGCUCCAACACAUGUCCAUUAACGAUGUGUGGGUCAAUGAACCCAACAUCAUGGAUGUUCCUUACUCUGCAUUCCUUAAUCUUCAUUCUGCAUGUAUAAUAGCGGACACAACAAUAUAGUUAGGACAUAUAUAUAGUGCAGGCAAUAUGAACGAGAUGGGGUAGAAAUUAAUAAAUCACUUACAGAACGUAGCAACUGAUGAUAGAUUUAUCGAGCUCGCGCAGAUUGAAAAGCUGGAACAAUUCACUCAGUUCAAUUUGUACAUAGUAAUGUUUGAAGUGAUGCUCAUGUCUAACUUCCGCAUAAAUAUAUUCUUUGGCGUUUUUAUUUUUUAUGUAACCCUUGUACCAUUUCAGCAGACCUUUCAUUUGUGGAGGUAGAUCCUUUUCCUGCGCAGGCUCGACGAGAGGCCCAUUCUUGACAUAUGUAAUUACUACCUCCUUCACUGGCGCCUCAUCAAGGCCUAACAGUUCACGAAGAGUAAUACCUAAGUUGGCCGCUUGUUCUAUGGCACUCGUUACAGUCAAUCCCUGUGCUGCCGCAGCUUGUAUGAUCUCGGGGGCAUCCGGACAGAAGGCUUCCACUAUAAGCGGGGCAAUCGAUUGUUUACUUUGUUCCCCGAGCUGGGCAACUUGUUUCCCGCUUUUUUUACUUUCGGCCUUCUCCCGCUCUUUGUUCUCCUUGAACAUGAGUGCCUGCCUGCGAAGUUCACGUGCAUAGUCGUUAGGCAGAUUCUUCGCGGCUUGGGACGGUGUGCUCAAAAAUGACUUAGCCCACUUGUUUUGCUCAUCAGAAAAUACUGGCUUGGGCUCGAGCUCUCUUUUCUUCUUGCAGUCCGCCUUCCAUUUCUCCAAAUCAGCAGCCGCGGCCGCGUCGACUUCCUCGGCACUACGUUCCCAAGGCCUUGUGGGGAGAGGCUUCAGUGAUGGCUCCGGUACCUUUGUGGUCUUAGGUACAUAAGGGUCCGGGUUAAUAAUCCAGGACUGCUUCUGCUUCUUUGCCGGAGGUGGAUUGGGGGGCGGCGUCUGAUCACCCGCCGGACGAGGACUGGGGGGCGGCGGCUGAUCACCCGCCGGACGUUGUGGACUGGGGGGCGGCGUCGGCUGACGUGACGGAGGUGUAGGUGAACCGCCACCACCACCACCACCACCACCACCGCCACCGCCACCACCACCACCGUAGGGGGGUGGACUUGUUGUCCUUGGCGCCUCGCCUGGAAACUUGAUAAACUUCUUUUGCCAUAGAAUGAAAUGGCGCUUGACAUCUCCAAGUCUUUUCUCCCCUUCAGGUGUAGCAAUGUCAAUCUCCAGGUCCUCAAACCCUUGGACUAUGUCCUCCACCGUGACACGAGCAUAGCCAUCUUGAAUGGGGUUGUUGUGGUGGAGUGCUCCAGGUAAACAUGGUAAAGCACUGCCGAUGGCUACCUUCAUGGACAUGUUCCCGAUAGGAUAAUACAGAUGACAUUCUUCUCCGCUGCUGGCUUCCGAGAUCUGCUGGAUGAUCUUCAUGCUGCACCCGAGCUGCAUCUCUUUCGGCUACUAGUACACUCAUGGUUUUCUUCAUCACAUCCAUUUCCGAUGCCAACCGCGCCACAACAUCUGCUUCCCGAUCCACCUUUCUCUUACGGCUUCUGUAACCGUACGGGUCAUCGUUCUGGGGGAACCCUAUUUUCCACGGAAUGUGCCCCAUGCCUCGUACACGUCCUCCGUGUUCAGGAUUCCCGAGGGAUUUUGUCAGCGCGUCGUUCUCUCUGUUGAACUUGAUCUUCCCCUGUUGAGCAUCCCUCAUUGCGUUAAUAAGGGCUUGGGUGGGUUUAAUUAAUUUGCCCCGGUAAACACACUCCCCUGUCUCCGGGUUCAGCGUUCCCCCAUGCCCGUACCACCAACUUUUGGCCCUUGGGUCCCAUCCCUCCGUACCUGCACGGAUUCCUCGCGCCCUCAGCUCGUUCUCCAUCUUCUCCAACCUAGGCACCCAAAUGCGAUACCCUCCUGGCCCCAUAACAUGAUUGUACUCCUUCUUAGCCGCAUUUUCCUUAUUUUUUCGAUAUUUGAAUGAACUGCUCCGAUUUCUUUUGCUUCACAAAUUCUGGCCAAUCAUGUUUCAGUUUCUCAUAUUGUCCUUUGAAAUCCGGAGUCUUGUUCUGCUUGACAAAGUCAUGGGCUAGAUUUUGCUUGAAUUUCCGGAAUGCGUCGGCCAUCUUAUGAAGAGCGAACUGUUUGACUAGCCUCCUCCUCUCCUUGUUUUCUUCAAUCUUGUUACCCUCCUCAUCGAAUUUGUUGUAUUCCGGAGGUAGAACGAAAUGUUCCAUAAGCUUCUUGAAGCAAUCUUUUUUUGUUCUCUUAUCGACAAAAGUGAAACCAUCAAUUCGUGCCUUCUUUGGCUCAUUCCACUCCUGGACGGUGAUCGAGACGUUGUCUCUAACAAUGGCUCCGCAUUGGCUGACAAACUUGGUGGCGUUCUUGCGGGGCUCCAGCGGCCUGCCGGUUGCACUGUCGACAACCUCGAUGGUGCAUGUUUCUCCUUGUUUCAUCGUCUUGGUUGCGCCACGCUUUGACGACGUACUCGAUUGUUUCGACGAUCCGGCCGAGGGCUAAAAUAAGAAAGAGUCGCGCGCGUUAGUACACACAUAUUUAUUCAAAUCAGUUAGUUUGUAUCACCAGAGGCUCAAUGUAUAUAUAUACCUCGGCGCCGGAGGUGGUUGCUACAUCCAUUUGAAGAUCGUCGUUUAUCGACGUUUGUUCGGCAUCAUCUUGCUGACGGCGCCCUUCAUCUUCACCGUCAAGGUUCAGAUAAGAAGAGAUAUCAUCUUCUUCUUCUCCGGUCGGCACAUAUAGAAUAUCGCCGUUUAUGAUGCCGAACAUAUGUGCUUCACCGUCCGGAUCAUAGUUGUCCAUAAUCGGGUCAGCUCUAUCGUCCGCCAUUAUGUCAGUCCUGAAAACAUGUAGUAAAAACAAAUUAAUUAAGUGAAGAAGGGGGGCGGUGGCGGUGGCGGUGGCGAAAGGGUGGUGGCAAAAGGAGGGGGCGAGGAAGGGGUGGGAGAGGGUGUCGCGGUAGAGCGCGAGACGGGGCGGCACGAACGUCAUUUUGUGAAGAAACUUUGCAAGCAAUUAAACAUUUGUCAAUGUUUGGUAAAAAAAAUACAGGUAGCGUCUGUUGCUCCUAAUGAUUGGAAACGGUUUCCAAUUGCCAACGAGGAUUUAGAUCGACUACUACUACUAGUUGCAUUGCUCCCCAUCGGGACGAUGUUGCUCCUAAUCCCCUCCUUUGGAAUCUAUAGUACUAGUGCAUACUAGCUGGCCGUUGACCGUUGUUGCUCAUCGCGUUUUCUCAAAGUCCACUGAUUUUGCUCAGGGCCAGUUCGGAGAUUUUGCUGGUCCACUGAUUUUGGAUCAACGCCGGGAUGGCAUGGGCGCUCGGCGAUGAUGCGAAGUAGACUUGCACAGGCAACGUGAUGUACAUGGAUGUGUCAGUACGGUACGCUCGGCGAUGCCACGGUAUGGAUGACUUCUCGAGUGGAGAUUGGAGAACCAAGUUCGCCGGUGAAACGUCGGCUCCUGAUCAGAUCUGGGGGUCGCGAACUAGCGAUUGGAUCUCGGAAGGGAGUUAGGAAAGCGAACAGACGUGCGUUCAAGGCUACAACUUUUUUUUUCAGGAUCUUGAAAACAGCUACGCGUUCAAGGCCCGGUCCUGAUUUUGCUCAUCUACCCGGGGCGGCGUUCGCACUGCGCGAGGGCCGACUCCGCGGGGUGCUGCCGCGUCGCCUCGUCGACGCUGAGCGAGUUGGCGAGGACCGUGUACAUGGUCGGCACGUCGCCGGCGGAGAGGGUCAUGCUGUCCCCGACCAGCGGCGGCCACGGACGGGGAGGGCGGCGGCGGUGACUGGGAAGGAAUGAUAGGAGAGGAAGGAAGGUCGCGUGGGGUUGAGGGCGGNNNNNNNNNNGGCGAGGAGGGACUCCUUGGCGGAGAGGCGCUCCGUCUCGCGGGCGUAGCUGGCAGCGGGCUCCCACGCCUGCGCGUACACGUCGUCCCGCCGUGCGUUCAAGGCUACAACUUUUUUUUUUAGGAUCUUGAAAACAACUACGCGUUCAAGGCCGGCCCGGUCCUGAUUUUGCUCAUCUACCCGGGGCGGCGUUCGCACUGCGCGAGGGCCGACUCCGCGGGGUGCUGCCGCGUCGCCUCGUCGACGCUGAGCGAGUUGGCGAGCACCGUGUACAUGGUCGGCACGUCGCCGGCGGAGAGGGUCAUGCUGUCCCCGACCAGCGGCGGCCACGGACGGGGAGGGCGGCGGCGGUGACUGGGAAGGAAUGAUCGGAGAGGAAGGAAGGUCGCGUGGGGUUGAGGGCGGGCGAGCGAGGCGGCAGUACCGAGGCUGGCCGGCGGCGCGCGCGCGGUGGGCGAGGGCGACGGCGGGCGGCGUCGAGGGCGAGGGCGACGGCGGGCGGCGUCGAGGGCGCGGCAGAGACGAACAGGCGAGAAACGGCGGGCGGCGUCGAGGGAGCCUUGUAUUUAUAGCCCCCCCNNNNNNNNNNNNNNNNNNNNNNNNNNNNNNNNNNNNNNNNNNNNNNNNNNNNNNNNNNNNNNNNNNNNNNNNNNNNNNNNNNNNNNNNNNNNNNNNNNNNNNNNNNNNNNNNNNNNNNNNNNNNNNNNNNNNNNNNNNNNNNNNNNNNNNNNNNNNNNNNNNNNNNNNNNNNNNNNNNNNNNNNNNNNNNNNNNNNNNNNNNNNNNNNNNNNNNNNNNNNNNNNNNNNNNNNNNNNNNNNNNNNNNNNNNNNNNNNNNNNNNNNNNNNNNNNNNNNNNNNNNNNNNNNNNNNNNNNNNNNNNNNNNNNNNNNNNNNNNNNNNNNNNNNNNNNNNNNNNNNNNNNNNNNNNNNNNNNNNNNNNNNNNNNNNNNNNNNNNNNNNNNNNNNNNNNNNNNNNNNNNNNNNNNNNNNNNNNNNNNNNNNNNNNNNNNNNNNNNNNNNNNNNNNNNNNNNNNNNNNNNNNNNNNNNNNNNNNNNNNNNNNNNNNNNNNNNNNNNNNNNNNNNNNNNNNNNNNNNNNNNNNNNNNNNNNNNNNNNNNNNNNNNNNNNNNNNNNNNNNNNNNNNNNNNNNNNNNNNNNNNNNNNNNNNNNNNNNNNNNNNNNNNNNNNNNNNNNNNNNNNNNNNNNNNNNNNNNNNNNNNNNNNNNNNNNNNNNNNNNNNNNNNNNNNNNNNNNNNNNNNNNNNNNNNNNNNNNNNNNNNNNNNNNNNNNNNNNNNNNNNNNNNNNNNNNNNNNNNNNNNNNNNNNNNNNNNNNNNNNNNNNNNNNNNNNNNNNNNNNNNNNNNNNNNNNNNNNNNNNNNNNNNNNNNNNNNNNNNNNNNNNNNNNNNNNNNNNNNNNNNNNNNNNNNNNNNNNNNNNNNNNNNNNNNNNNNNNNNNNNNNNNNNNNNNNNNNNNNNNNNNNNNNNNNNNNNNNNNNNNNNNNNNNNNNNNNNNNNNNNNNNNNNNNNNNNNNNNNNNNNNNNNNNNNNNNNNNNNNNNNNNNNNNNNNNNNNNNNNNNNNNNNNNNNNNNNNNNNNNNNNNNNNNNNNNNNNNNNNNNNNNNNNNNCGAGGAAGACCAAUCGGCUUAAGGUCAGGAACAAAGUCAACACAAAACUCAAUUACCUCCUCAUUUCCAUAGCCCUUGGCGAUGCUUCCUUCUGGCCUAGCACGGUUACGAACAUAUUUCUUUAAUACUCCCAUGAACCUCUCGAAGGGGAACAUAUUGUGUAGAAAUACAGGACCGAGAACGAAAAUCUCUUCGACUAGGUGAACCAGGAGGUGCGUCAUAAUAUUGAAGAAGGAUGGCGGGAACACCAACUCGAAACUGACAAGACAUUGGAUCACAUCGUUCUGUAACCAUGGUAGAACUUCUGGAUUGAUUACCUUCUGAGAGAUUGCAUUGAGGAAUGCACAUAGCUUCACAAUGGCUACUCGAACAUUUUCCGGCAGGAGCCCCCUCAAAGCAAUCGGAAGCAAUUGCGUCAUAAUCACGUGGCAGUCGUGAGACUUCAGGUUUUGGAACUUUUUCUCCGCCAUGUUUAUUAUUCCUUUUAUAUUGGACGAGAAUCCAGACGGGACCUUCAUACUGCUCAGGCAUUCAAAAAAGAUGACCUUCUCUUCUUUGGUCAGAGCGUAGCUGGCACGACCUUGAAACCAUUCCGGAUGCCGGUCAUCAGGGUCUUUCAAACGUUGCUGGUCCUGCCGUGCUUCCUUUGUAUCAUUUGUCUUCCCAUACACGCCCAAGAAGCUUAGGAGGUUCACGCAAAUAUUCUUCGUAACGUGCAUCACGUCGAUUGCAGAGCGGACAUCUAGGACUUUCCAAUAUUCUAGCUCCCAGAAUAUAGAUUUCUUCUUCCACAUGGCUGCGUUCCCGUCUGCUCCCUUCGGAACUGAUUGUCCGCCAGGACCCUUUCCAAAGAUGACUUUCAAAUCCUUGACCAUAUCAAAUACCUCAGCACCAGUGCAUUCCGCAGGCUUCGGCCGGUGAUCUGCCUUGCCGUUGUAAUGCUUGCCUUUCUUUCUUACUGGAUGAAUUUUCGGAAGAAAUCGAUGAUGCCCAAGGUACACGUUCUUCUUACAAUUUGGCAAAUGUACACUUUCAGUCUCAUGUAAGCAGUGCGUGCAUGCAUUGUAUCCCUUAUUUGACAGUCCCGAAAGGUUACUAAGAGCAGGCCAAUCGUUGAUGGUUACGAAAAGCAACGCUCGUAGGUCAAAUUCCUCUUGUUUGUGCUCAUCCCACACACGGACACCACCCCACAGCUGUAAAAGUUCAUCAACUAAUGGCCUUAGGUACACAUCGAUGUCGUUGCCGGGUUGCUUCGGACCUUGGAUGAGCACUGGCAUCAUAAUGAACUUCCGCUUCAUGCACAACCAAGAAGGAAGGUUGUAGAUGCAUAGAGUCACGGGCCAGGUGCUAUGGCUGGAGCUCUGCUCGCCAAAAGGAUUCAUGCCAUCCGUACUUAGAGCAAAUCUUAUGUUCCUUGCGUCAGCUGCAAAAUCUUUGAACCAUCUGUCGAUCUUUCUCCAUUGCGUUCCAUCUGCGGUGUGUCUCAACUCCCCGUCCGACUUACGGUCCUCUUUGUGCCAUCGCAACAACUUGGCAUGCUCUUUGUUCCUGAACAGACGUUUCAACCGUGGUAUUAUAGGAGCAUACCACAUCACCUUGGCGGGAACCCUCUUCCUGGGUUUCUGGCCCUCAACAUCGUCACCAGGGUCAUCGCCUCUGAUCUUAUAACGCAAUGCAGUGCAUAUCGGGCAUUCAUUCAAAUUCUCGUAUUCACCGCGGUAGAGGAUGCAGUCGUUGAUGCAUGCAUGUAUCUUCAGAACCUCUAAACCUAGAGGGCAGACAACCUUCUUUGCUUCGUACGUACUGGCGGGCAACUCGUUAUCCUUUGGAAACAUACUCUUCAACAUUUUCAGCAAGUUUUCAAAUGCCGAGUCAGCUACACCUGCCUCUGCCUUCCAUUUCAGCAAAUCCAGUGUGCAGCCCAGCUUUUUCAGACCAUCAUCGCAUCCGGGGUACAGCGCCUUUCUGUGAUCCUCUAACAUGCGAUCCAAAUUCUCCCUCUCCUUUUCAGUUUCGCAGCGUCUCCGUGCAUCAGCAAUGGUCCGACCAAGAUCAUCAACGGGAUCAUCACGUGCCUCUUCUUCACCUUCCCCUUCACCUUCAGCAUCCUCCAUGAAAGUAUCACCGAGAUGAGCAAGAUAGCUUUCAUCGAUGAAAUCAUCCCCUUCUUCAUCUUCUUCCAUUAUAACCCCUCUUUCUCCAUGCUUGGUCCAACAAUUAUAGCUUGGCAUGAAACCGUGCCGAAGCAGAUGCAUGUGAACAUCUCUUGAGGAAGAGUAACCCUUCUGAUUCUUACAGAUAACACAUGGACAGAUAACAAAAAACCCCUGCUUGUUCGCAUUAGCCACUACGAGGAAAUCUUUCAAACCCGUAGUGAACUCGCCGGAGAGUCGGUUACCGUACAUCCAUUGCCGAUUCAUCUGCAUUAUUAUAAUAUAAAAUAUAUAAUUAACCAUCAUGCAUUUGUUAAACUAACUAGCUACAAACAAUAUAAAUUAAACAAUGAACUGCACACAUGCAUAUUUUAUCAAUGACACAUCAAAGGUUCAUCAAGUUGCUAACCGCGAUCGAGGAGUGUGGCUCCAACACUUCAUGUCAUGUUUGUUUCAUGCUCUUGGGGCAUUUCAUCAAACACCUUAUGUGCAUAAGAGGAACCAAAAGCAAACCUACACCCACUUGUGAAGAGAAUGGCUCCAAAUGGCUAAGUGUUGGCUGCUGGAUGGGUAUAUAUAGGGGAGGGGCUUUAGUUGCGGUUGGCUUGGCAAACCGUGACUAAAGGUGCCCGAAGGCCUUUAGUCGCGGUUGUCCUGGCCAACCGCGACUAAAGACCCUCACGUGCGCCAGCUGGCCACCGAGCGCCCUGAGCCCAGGCCUUUGGUCGCGGUUCACCUCCAGAACCGCGACUAAAGGUCCCAUUAGUCGCGGUUCCUACAGCUUCGCGACUUAUGGGGCUGGACGGAAGCUUGUUUUUCCACCAGUGUACUAGGUAAGGUGUCGUUCCAGUCAAAUUGAUGAAUUCAUCUUUUGUUACCUUUGUUAUAGGAAUAUAGGCUGCAUUUAUUAGUCAUAUCGAGCUCUCAAGGAGUCAAGAUCUUGUUAACUUACUAAUAAUUUCUAUAUACCUGCAGCGUUAUGGCCUAUGGUGCAGGGCAAAGACAACAAGGACGACAUGCGGCGGCGACGUGGCCAUGGUGAAGCUACUUCGUCCGGCUACCCCAUGGUUGGCGUGUCUGCCGUCCUCUCAAUCUAUCACACGUACGUCCGGUGCAUGCAUGGUGUCGGGCCGAAGAGCACACAAAUCUACAUCCAGGCCCUGGGCACUAGCAACCGCUGAUGCACUUAGCCACUUACCAAUGUAUUCCUAUUGUACGUAUAUAAUAAAGUGGUUAGUACGUCGACGUAGAAAUAGUUAGUAGCUUGCUUUGCACUCACACAAUCGAGUCAUGAUUGUUACUGAUGAUCAAAAUUUUAUGUAUUUUUUAUGCCGGAUGGGUUUACUACUUCUUCUUCGGUUGUAUAUAAAGCUUCCAAAAAAUUAGUAUAUAAUCCUCCAGAAUAAAUCAGUAUAUAGUCCUCCAAAAAAAUGAGUAUAUACACUUUGUAACGCAGCAUAUACCCCAUAAAAAAUGUAGUAUAACGCUGCAGAAAUAAGACAUACUCCUUUUCUAGUUGCAUAUACCCAAUCACAAAACUACACUGAAAUAAUUAGUAGUACAUACUCCUUUUCUAUUUUGGAAAGGAACGUCCAUUUCCCUCUUCAACAAGUGCUUUAUUUUUCUAGGGGUAGCCUUGUGUUUUUACUGCCAUGCGACGACAUUACAAAAUGUAUUACACCCAUUAUUCAUCUAAUUUUUUAUAUACCCUUUUAUGCAUACUUUGAAUUUAUCACUCAUUUGGGCGACCAGCCCGCUCUCUCAUUGCAGCGACUCGACUCUCACAUAAAGCCAGUAUAUACUCACGUAAAAAAAAGCAGUAUAGACUCCCUUACUGAAAAAGAACUAUAUACUCCCCUACCAAAAAAAGUAGUAUAUGCUCCAUUACCAAAAAGGCAGUAUAUACUCAUAUACAAAAGGUGGUAUAUACUGUCUUCCCAAAGUAGUAUAUAUCUUUUUCCUUGCGUUAGAGAAGUAGUAUAACCAGAACAGAUAGUUCAUACUUGUGUGCUGAAAAAAGUAGUAUAUAAAUAUAUAUGUAAGAGUGAGUAUGGUAGAUAUGUAUCGGUCCUUACAAAAAAAAUCAACCACUGUUAUUGUUUAUUUGCACCGAACUAACCUUAUCUGUAUGCUAGGAUCCUUGAAUCUCUCAAUCUGUUGAUGCACAUGCAUGCGUCGGCCGGUGGAGCAAUUAGCAACUAGAUCUAAUAACUGCCAACCUGUUCAGUCCAUGGGAGUACAUACUCCUGGGAGUAUAAAAGAGGAGUCUAUAUAUAUAUAUAUAUAUAUAUAUAUAUACGGUGGCGCUAUUGUGUGCGUGAGCGCAGAUUUACUUAUCGUGCGCGCCGGUCAUUGCGUGCGCCACUCGUAUUCCUAAUGAUGGUAAAAUUCCUGGCAGAAAUAGUAAUAUAAUUUAAUUGGUUACUGCCUGCCACCACCACGGUAGCGAUUUAAUUGGUUAGGUCUACUAGUAAAAAUGCAUAGCAGAAAAAGUAAAAGAGCUAAAAGUAUUACUGUUGGAUGCAUCGGUCCCCGCUUCGACUGCCUACUAGUAAAACACCUCAUAAAAGUAGUAAUAGGAUUACCCUACACGCAUCAGCCCCUUGCCAUACUUGUGAACAGGUAAACUUCAUGUGAAGAAUAGUACUGGAUGGUAACUGUGUUACCAUAGAACGGACACUUGCUAUUAGCUAGCUACAUGGUAAUUUUAUUACCGCUAACUUUCAUCGGUUUAAUACCUAAUCAUGUUACCACUUAUUUUCUUAGUAGUAUUGGAUGGUAACUAUGUUACCACAUGACGAAAAAAUUGCUAUUAGCUAAUAGCUACACGGUAAUUGCAUUACCACUCAUGUGUAGAAGCAUGAUACACGGUCUUUUUUCCAAUUACGUUUGGUCGAAGACGCAAGGGUUUGCUAAUCGCUAAAGUGGGGUCGAAGCAGUAAUAAGUUUCCAACCGUUACCAUGUUUCUUAAGGUAUGUUACGUAUGGGCGCAAGACAUGUUCUUUAAUAGGAGCGGGACAACGGUUGCUUAGACGGAGAAUGGCGCGCAGUCUGGCCGGAGCGUAGAAUUAGACUUCUGCGCUCAGGCUUAGUUUAGCACGUCUAUAUAUAUAUAUAUAUAUAUAUAUAUAUAUAUACAUACAUGUUAGUGGCCUCGACGCUGCUUCUCUAGGGUUUGGGGUCGCCUCGACACAACGCUUCAAGGGUUUGGGGUGGCCUCGACGACAACGUUUUUUUAACUUGAUAAAUUUGGGUGGCCUCGAGAGAGUUAAUUUGUCGGGUAGGGGCGCGGCGGGAGGGGGUAGGAGACCAACAUCGUUUUCUCUCUAGGGUUUGGGUGUCCUCGAGAGUUAUCGGGGAGGGGGUAUCGGUACCACCCCCUAGCUCGUGUUGAAGUUUCUUCUUUCUCCUCUAUUCCUUUCUUUCUUCUUCUCCUCUUCUUUUUCUUCUUCUCCCUCGAGAAAGGAAAAUANNNNNNNNNNNNNNNNNNNNNNNNNNNNNNNNNNNNNNNNNNNNNNNNNNNNNNNNNNNNNNNNNNNNNNNNNNNNNNNNNNNNNNNNNNNNNNNNNNNNNNNNNNNNNNNNNNNNNNNNNNNNNNNNNNNNNNNNNNNNNNNNNNNNNNNNNNNNNNNNNNNNNNNNNNNNNNNNNNNNNNNNNNNNNNNNNNNNNNNNNNNNNNNNNNNNNNNNNNNNNNNNNNNNNNNNNNNNNNNNNNNNNNNNNNNNNNNNNNNNNNNNNNNNNNNNNNNNNNNNNNNNNNNNNNNNNNNNNNNNNNNNNNNNNNNNNNNNNNNNNNNNNNNNNNNNNNNNNNNNNNNNNNNNNNNNNNNNNNNNNNNNNNNNNNNNNNNNNNNNNNNNNNNNNNNNNNNNNNNNNNNNNNNNNNNNNNNNNNNNNNNNNNNNNNNNNNNNNNNNNNNNNNNNNNNNNNNNNNNNNNNNNNNNNNNNNNNNNNNNNNNNNNNNNNNNNNNNNNNNNNNNNNNNNNNNNNNNNNNNNNNNNNNNNNNNNNNNNNNNNNNNNNNNNNNNNNNNNNNNNNNNNNNNNNNNNNNNNNNNNNNNNNNNNNNNNNNNNNNNNNNNNNNNNNNNNNNNNNNNNNNNNNNNNNNNNNNNNNNNNNNNNNNNNNNNNNNNNNNNNNNNNNNNNNNNNNNNNNNNNNNNNNNNNNNNNNNNNNNNNNNNNNNNNNNNNNNNNNNNNNNNNNNNNNNNNNNNNNNNNNNNNNNNNNNNNNNNNNNNNNNNNNNNNNNNNNNNNNNNNNNNNNNNNNNNNNNNNNNNNNNNNNNNNNNNNNNNNNNNNNNNNNNNNNNNNNNNNNNNNNNNNNNNNNNNNNNNNNNNNNNNNNNNNNNNNNNNNNNNNNNNNNNNNNNNNNNNNNNNNNNNNNNNNNNNNNNNNNNNNNNNNNNNNNNNNNNNNNNNNNNNNNNNNNNNNNNNNNNNNNNNNNNNNNNNNNNNNNNNNNNNNNNNNNNNNNNNNNNNNNNNNNNNNNNNNNNNNNNNNNNNNNNNNNNNNNNNNNNNNNNNNNNNNNNNNNNNNNNNNNNNNNNNNNNNNNNUGAAAACACUUUUUUUUGUUUUCUUUCUUGCUUUAUUUAUUUUAUUUUGUUUCUACUUGCAAUAAAAUACUUAUUGUUGUUUUUUUGUUUUGUUUUCUGCAUUAUUUAUUUUCUUUUGUUUUUUGCUUUAUUUUUUAAUUCUUUUUGCUUUUAGUUUUAGGAAAAUUAUAAACUUUCUAUUAGUGCCAUUACUUUUCAAAUUUGAAAACACUUUUUUGUUUUUUAGUUUUCUUUCUUGCUUUAUUUAUUUUAUUUUGUUUCUACUUACAACAAAAUACUUAUUGUUGCUAUUUUUAAUUAUUACGAAGGCCAAACCAUAAGACAUUAAAGCAUUUCAAAUGAACUCUGAAAAAGUUGAAAGUUGGCAUGGUAUCAUAAAUUGACCCACACAUAGCAUGUGCAUGUACAAAACGGACAAUGUUAUCAUACUCGUCAGUUACAAAGUUGGCAUGGUAUCAUCAUAAUAGUUGCGGGAGAAAGUCUUCACUUUUUCUUCGCUUGUGUCAUUUGCUUAUUGCGCCGUAACCAUGGAUAAUCUUCAUCGUUUAUCAGGAUGCUGGGGUCAGCCUUGACUUUAAAGGGAGGAAUUUCAUGAAACUUUUCAUAAUCUUCAGACAUGUCUGUCUUGUCCUCCUCUCCCACGAUGUCCCUUUUUCCUGAAAGAACUAUGUGGCGCUUUGGCUCAUCGUAUGAUGUAUUCGCUUCCUUAUCUUUUCUCUUUCUUGGUCUGGUAGACAUGUCCAUCACAUAGAUAACCUGUGCCACAUCAUUGGCUAGGACGAACGGUUCGUCAGUGUACCCAAGAUUUUUCGGAUCCACUGUUGUCGUUCCGUACUGUGGGUCUACAUGUACCCCGCCUCCUGACAGAUUGACCCAUUUGCACUUAAACAAAGGGACCUUAAAAUCAUGUCCUUAGUCAAGUUCCCAUAUGUCCACUAUGUAACCAUAAUAUGUGUCCUUUCCCCUCUCGGUUGUUGCAUCAAAGCGGACACCGCUGUUUUGGUUGGUGCUCUUUUGAUCUUGGUUAAUCGUGUAAAAUGUCUUCCCAUUUAUCUCAUAUCCUUUCCAAAUCGUAACAGUCGAAGAUGGUCCCCUGGAUAACAAGUACAUCUCAUCACAAACAGCGUUGUCACCUCUGAUACGUGCUUCCAACCAACUGCUGAAAGUCCUGAUGUGUUCACAUGUAAUUCAGUCGUCGCACUGCUCCGGGUGUUUGGAGCGCAGACUGUUCUUGUGUUCAUCCACAUACGGGGUCACCAAGGUAGAGUUCUGUAGAACUGUGUAGUGUGCUUGAGACCAAGAAUAUCUGUCCCUGCAUAUUAUUGAGUCCCUUCCAAGCAUGCCUUUUCCAGUCAGUCUCCCCUCAUACCGCGAUUUAGGGAGACCUAUCUUCUUAUGGCCAGGAAUGAAGUCAACACAAAACCCGAUGACAUCCUCUGUUUGAUGGCCCAUGGAGAUGCUUCCUUCUGGCCUAGCGCGAUGAGGGACAUAUUUCUUUAGGACUCCCAUGAACCUCUCAAAGGGGUACAUAUUGUGUAGAAAUACGGGGCCCAAAAUGACAAUCUCGUCAACUAGAUGAACUAGGACGUGCGUCAUGAUAUUGAAGAAGGAUGGUGGGAACACCAGCUCGAAACUGACAAGACAUUGCACCACAUCACUCCUUAGCCUUGGUAUGAUUUCUGGAUCGAUCACCUUCUGAGAGAUUGCAUUGAGGAAUGCACAUAGCUUCACAAUGGCUAAUCGGACGUUUUCCGGUAGAAGCCCCCUCAAUGCAACCGGAAGCAGUUGUGUCAUAAUCACGUGGCAGUCAUGAGACUUUAGGUUCUGAAACUUUUUCUUUGCCAUAUUUAUUAUUCCUUUUAUAUUCGACGAGAAGCCAGUCGGGACCUUCAUACUAAGCAGGCAUUCAAAGAAGAUUUCCUUCUCUUCUUUGGUAAGAGCAUAGCUGGCAGGACCUUCAUACUGCUUUGGAGGCAUGCCGUCUUUUUCGUGCAAAUGUUGCAGGUCCUCCCGUGCCUCAGCUGUAUCUUUUGUCUUCCCAUACACGCCCAAGAAGCCUAGCAGGUUCACGCAAAGGUUCUUCGUCACGUGCAUCACGUCGAUCGAAGAGCGGACCUCUAGGUCUUUCUAGUAGGGUAGGUCCCAAAAUAUAGAUUUCUUCUUCCACAUGGGUGCGUGUCCCCCAACGUCACUCGGAACAGCUAGUCUGCCGGGACCCUUUCCAAAGAUUACGUGUAAAUCAUUGACCAUAGCAAGUACGUGACCACCGGUACGCAUGGCGGGCUUCUUCCGGUGAUCUGCCUCGCCUUUGAAAUGCUUGCCUUUCUUUCGACAUUGAUGGUUGGUCGGAAGAAAUCGACGAUGGCCCAGGUACACAUUCUUCCUACAGCUUGCCAGGUAUAUACUAACGGUGUCAAGUAAACAGUGCGUGCAUGCGUGGUAUCCCUUGUUUGUCUGUCCUAAAAGGUUACUGAGAGCAGGCCAAUCGUUGAUGGUCACGAACAGCAACGCCUUUAGGUUAAAUUUCUCCUGUUUGUGCUCAUCCCACGUACGUACACCGUUUCCAUUCCACAGCUGUAAAAGUUCUUCAACUAAUGGCCUUAGGUACACAUCAAUGUCAUUGCCGGGUUGCUUAGGGCCUUGGAUGAGAACUGGCAUCAUAAUGAACUUCCGCUUCAUGCACAUCCAAGGAGGAAGGUUAUACAUACAUAGAGUCACGGGCCAGGUGCUGUGAUUGCUGCUCUGCUCCCCGAAAGGAUUAAUGCCAUCCGCACUUAAAGCAAACCAUACGUUCCUUGGCUCACUUGCAAACUCAUCCCAGUACUUUCUCUCAUUUUUCUCCAUUGCGACCCGUCAGCGGGUGCUCUCAACUUCCCGUCUUUCUUACGGUCCUCACUAUGCCAUCGCAUCAACUUGGCAUGCUCUCCGUUUCUGAACAGACGUUUCAACCGUGGUAUUAUAGGAGCAUACCACAUCACCACUACUAGGGAAAAGCCUAUACAUAGAAUCUUACCAGCAGCGCUCUUCAAAAUACAACGCUACUGCUACUUAGCAGCAGCGCGUGUCUGCCAAACACGCUGCUGACUUGGAAGUAGCAGUAGCGGGUGCAUCGCAUACAGCGCUACUGCUAUAGUUGCCAUGACCUUGCCCCCCCCCCCCCNNNNNNNNNNNNNNNNNNNNNNNNNNNNNNNNNNNNNNNNNNNNNNNNNNNNNNNNNNNNNNNNNNNNNNNNNNNNNNNNNNNNNNNNNNNNNNNNNNNNNNNNNNNNNNNNNNNNNNNNNNNNNNNNNNNNNNNNNNNNNNNNNNNNNNNNNNNNNNNNNNNNNNNNNNNNNNNNNNNNNNNNNNNNNNNNNNNNNNNNNNNNNNNNNNNNNNNNNNNNNNNNNNNNNNNNNNNNGCAAACGCGCUACAACUAUCCCUACCUUAUCCCCAUGCGCACGACCGGCCCUCUCACUCACACUCUCACUCUCGCCCACGUCAACCGUCGUCGUCCGUCGCCGCCGCCGCCGCCUUCGUCCGUCCGCCGCCGAGGUACUCCCCUCCUUCCGUCCCUCCUCCAUCCUCCUUGCACAUCCUCCCUCCGCCUGUGGCCGCCCCUCCUUCCUCCGCCGCUGCCCUCCUCCCUCCGCCUGCGGCCGCCCCUCCUCCCUCCUCCGACGGCAGCCCUCCUCCCACCGCCCUCGACCUCGCUGCCCCUAGCUACCUCUCCGUCGCCCCCCACCCCUGCCACUAGUUAGUACUAGAUUUAGUAGUAGUAGAUGUUAAUUUAGGGUUAGCUAGUACUAGAUGUUGCUUAGUUAGUACUAGAUUUUUAGUAGUAGUAGUGGUAGUUGAACUACUUUAGUUGUAGUUGAACUAGUUUAGUAAGUAAAUUAAUAAACGAGUUGAACUAGUUGAAUUAAUAGAACUAAUCUAUUUUUAGUAAGAUAAUUAAUAUAACUAGUUGAACUACUUUAUUUUUAGAAAGAACUAAUUUUUUUCUAUUUAUAUUAAGUUUAUAUUUAGUAAGAACUAGUUGAAUUAAUAAAACUAGUUGAACAUGUCAUGUUUGUUGUUAGUGAUAACUUAUAUGGUUUCAGGUGACCUCCGUCGUCCCCGUCACCGACCCCCUCCGACAUCCCCGUCGUCGUCCCAGUCACCGACCCCCUCCGACAUCGAGGUGAGACCAGCCAAAUAUCCUUGUAUAUCUUGUGUUGUUGCUCAAAUUGGAUAUGUGGUUGCCCAAGUGGCCGUUCAUGUAGUUUACAUCUCCGAGUGGCCUAUGUUUUGCCGGAGUGUUGAUUAAUUUCCGUUCCGACAAAUUUCAGGCGCUCGAUAUGUCCUUUUUUAGCAAAGGUCAUGCCGGAUUUUGUCGUGAAUUCUGGUAUGACUUGUGCUAGAAUAUGUACAAGUUUAAUCUUUGAAUUAUGAUUGUAGGAAAUGUCGUACUCGGACGACGAAGGUCUCCCGGGGGAGUGUAGCUGGUGCCACGACGAUCGAGGUAUGUGCGAUAGGUUCGUUCGGCUGGACGAAGAUCGGCGCUUCAACAUUAAGCUCGAGGAGACCUUCGAUUGUGAAAUGGUACGCAACAACGACAAGUGUUUUUUCUCCAUUAAGCAUGACUUCAACUAUUUCAACGUCUAAUUUUCAUAUUUUACAAUUCGACUAGCUUAUCCCAUGCCAUGCAAGACGCUAUGUCUUGGAGAGGAUGGGUUUUGAAGACCAUGAAAAUUUCAAAACAAAGAAAAUACACCUAAGGACCCAUCAUGAUAUGGAUUUUGAAGUAAACCUGUGCAAUGCUCAGAGCGCAACCCAUUUUGGUUGCCAAAAUUGGGAAGCACUUUGCAAAAUGUAUGGUUUUUAUGAGGGUAUGAUUGUCACCAUGGAUCUUGGUGAUCCUGACAGUGAGGAAGACAAUAUGGACAUUUGGGUCCUUGUUGAUACGCUUCCGAUUGUACCGCUAUGUGACUUUCUCAAACAUAGUUAUUAACUAAUUUAUAUUGUUUAUUUCAAAAUAGUUGAUAGCUUAUUUCCAUUGACAGCUUAUUUUGAUUCUUCAAAGACUGUGCGGAAGAUGGUAGAUAAAACCCACUACACCGAAGGCACCCAAUUAACGUAUAAGGAGAAAAAUCAUCUGAUCGCAUUUUGUACUCUUCUUGAGAAUUACAAUGACUAUAAUCGAACUCCUCCAGAUUAUGGUGAAUAUGUGCCACUAGUGCAUGUGUUGAACAACGAUAACUUAUCUGGAGAUACCCUGGUAAGAUUUUUUACUAUUACGACAUCCGUGUAUUUUUUGCAUACUUCUAAAACUAGUACAUCAUUGCUAACUACGAAGUUAUUAUUAUGUUUUUCAACAGAAACUCCCGAUGGAUUGUGUGCCUCAUCUGAUGUCUCUGCAUGGUCGCCUCUCAGUUCUGAACAUACUGCCAGGUAAAUCUACAGAGCUCACCUAUGCAUAUCAGAUUUCUAAAACCCGUGAACACAUGAUCAUCAGAGAAUGGAAGAAAUGUAUGGACAUUCGCAAGGAGGUUCUUGGAAGUAACAUUCAGCGAAACGUAAGAAUGGGAGACAGGCUAAUCUCCAUUCUCCAUAAUGGAGAGUCAGGGGCUAUCUUGUUUUUUGUUAUUUUACCUUAGAAAAUGUAGUAGGUCUUAAUCGAAUGUAAUAGGUCCUAUGAGGUACAAUAUGUUUAUUAUGUGGUAAUGUGUUAGAGUUGAUAAUGAUGAUCUUGAGGAGGUGUUAUGUGAUGUCAAUGAUGAAAACGAUGAUAUUGAGGAGGUGUUAUAUGACAAUGAUGUAUUAUGAUGCUAAGUUGUUAAUGAUAUGAUGAUGAUGAUGAUAUUAUUAUAUCAUUGGGUGAAAGAACCGUGGAUUAGUUUCAAGUGGAUGGACAUCCACUUGAAACUAGUCCACGGUUCUUUCACCCCAUGAUGUAAUAACUCAUUAUGAUGUAAAAACAAUCUCUAAAUUCCUGUUGUAUGAAAACUUGUGUAAGGGUGUAUGAAUACAACAUGAAAAAGAAAAGAAAUAAAAUACUAAAUAAUAGUAGUAGCGCGGGUAAGGAGAAGCGCUACUACUAAUUACCAGUAGCGAUGUUCUAAAGAACCGCUGCUACUAAGUCAAUUUAGCAGUAGCGCGUGUCAAGACGCGCUAUUGCUAAGCAUUAGCUGUAGCGCCUUAUCAGUAGCGCUCCUGCCCGCGCUACUGAUAGGCCCAAAACCCGCGCUGCUGCUAGGCUUUUCCCUAGUAGUGCACCUUCGCAGGAACCCUCUUCCUGGGGGGCUCGCCGUCAACAUCACCAGGGUCAUCUCGUCUGAUCUUAUACCAUAAUGCACCGCAUACCAGGCAUGCGUUCAGAUCCUUAUAUGCACCGCGGUAGAGGAUGCAGUCAUUAGGGCAUGCAGGUAUCUUCUGCACCUCCAAUCCUAGAGGGCAUACGACCUUCUUUGCUGCGUAUGUACUGUCGGGCAAUUCGUUAUCCUUUGGAAGCUUCUUCUUCAAUAUUUUCAGUAGCUUCUCAAAUCCUUUGUCAGGCACAGCAUUCUCUUAAAGGAAAUAUGCCCUAGAGGCAAUAAUAAAGUUAUUAUUUAUUUCCUCAUAUCAUGAUAAAUGUUUAUUAUUCAUGCUAGAAUUGUAUUAACCGGAAACAUGAUACAUGUGUGAAUACAUAGACAAAACUAUAGUCACUAGUAUGCCUCUACUUGACUAGCUCAUUAAUCAAAGAUGGUUAUGUUUCCUGACCAUAGACAUGUGUUGUCAUUUGAUUAGUGGGAUCACAUCAUUAAGAGAAUGAUGUGAUUGACAUGACCCAUUCUGUUAGCCCAGCACUUGAUCGUUUAGUAUACUGCUAUUGCUUUCUUCAUGACUUAUACAAAGUUCCUGCAACUAUGAGAUUGUGCAACUCCCGUUUACCGGAAGAACACUUUGUGUGCUACCAAACAUCACAACGUAACUGGGUGAUUAUAAAGGUGCUCUACAGGUGUUUCCGAAGGUACAUGUUGGGUUGGCAUAAUUCGAGAUUAGGAUUUGUCACUCCGAUUGUCGGAGAGGUAUCUCUGGGCCCUCUCGGAAAUACUCAUCACAUAAGCCUUGCAAGCAUGUAACUAAUGAGUUAGUUAUGAGAUGACGUAUUACGAAACGAGUAAAGAGACUUGCCGGUAACGAGAUUGAACUAGGUAUUGGAUACCGACGAUCAAAUCUCGGGCAAGUAACAUACCGAUGACAAAGGGAACAAAGUAUGUUGUUAUGCGGUUUGACCGAUAAAGAUCUUCGUAGAAUAUGUAGGAACCAAUAUGGGCAUCCAGGUCCCGCUAUUGGUUAUUGACCGAGAAUGGUUUUAGGUCAUGACUACAUAGUUCUCAAACCCGUAGGGUCCGCACGCUUAACUUUUUGAUGAUAGUUUUAUUAUGAGUUUAUAAGUUUUGAUGUACCAAAGUUUGUUCGGAGUUCCGGAUGUGAUCACGGAUAUGAUGAGGAGUCUCGGAAUGCUUGAGCCAUAAAGAUUGAUAUAUUGGACGACUAUAUUCGGACACCGGAAAGGUUCCGGGAGUUUUCGGAGAAAACCGGAGUGCCCGGGGGGUUACCGAAACCCCCCGGGAGAGUUAAUGGGCCACAUGGGCCUAGGUGGGAAGAGAAAGGGGCGGCCAGGGUGAGCCGCGCGCCCCCUCUCCCUCUAGUCCGAAUUGGACUAGGAGGGGGGGCGGCGCCCCCUUUCCUUCCCCCCCUCUCUUCCUUCCUUCCCCCUCCUAGUAGGAGUAGGAAAGGAGGAAUCCUACUCCUACUAGGAGGAGGAUUCCUCCUCCCUUGCGCGCCCCAAGGGGCCGGCCGGCCUCCCCCUCCCUCCUUUAUAUACGGGGGCAGGGGGCACCCCAUAGACACACAAGUUGAUCUACGGAUCGUUCCUUAGCCGUGUGCGGUGCCCCCUUCCACCAUAUUCCACCUCGGUCAUAUCGUCGCGAAGCUUAGGCGAAGUCCUGCGCCGGUAGAACAUCAAGAUCGUCACCACGCCGUCGUGCUGACGGAACUCUCCCUCGACACUCGGCUGGAUCGGAGUUCGAGGGACGUCAUCGAGCUGAAUGUGUGCUGAACUCGGAGGCUCCGUACGUUCGGUUCUUGGAUCGGUCGGAUCGUGAAGACGUAUGACUACAUCAACCGCGUUGUCAUAACGCUUCCGCUUACGGUCUACGAGGGUACAUGGACAUACACUCUCCCCUCUCGUUGCUAUGUCAUCACCAUGAUCUUGCGUGUGCGUAGGAAAAUUUUGAAAUUACUACGUUCCCCGACAGUGGUAUCAGAGCCUAGGUUUUAUGCGUUGAUGUUAUAUGCACGAGUAGAACACAAGUGAGUUGUGGACGAUAUAAGUCAUACUGCCUACCAGUGUGUCAUACUUUGGUUCAGCGGUAUUGUGAGAUGAAGCGGCCCGGACCGACAUUACGGGUACGCUUACGCGAGACUAGUUUCACCGUUAUGAGCACUCGUGCUUAAAGGUGGCUGGCGGGUGUCUGUCUCUCUCACUUUAGUUGAACCGAGUGUGGCUACGCCCGGCCCUUGUGAAGGUUAAAACGGAGUCUAUUUGACAAACUAUCGUUGUGGUUUUGAUGCGUAGGUAAGAACGGUUCUUGCUAAGCCCGUAGCAUCCACGUAAAAUUUGCAACAACAAAGUAGAGGACGUCUAACUUGUUUUUGCAGGGCAUGUUGUGAUAUGAUAUGGUCAAGACGUGAUGCUAUAUUUUAUUGUAUGAGAUGAUCAUGUUUUGUAACCGAAGUUAUCGGCAACUGGCUGGAGCCAUAUGGUUGUCGCUUUAUUGUAUGAAAUGCAAACGCCCUGUAAUUGCUUUACUUUAUCUCUAAGCGGUAGCGAUAGUCGUAGAAGCAAUAGAUGGCGUAAACGACAACGAUGCUACGAUGGAGAUCAAGGUGUCGCGCCGGUGACGAUGGUGAUCAUGACGGUGCUUCGAAGAUGGAGAUCACAAGCACAAGAUGAUGAUGGCCAUAUCAUAUCACUUAUAUUGAUUGCAUGUGAUGUUUAUCCUUUAUGCAUCUUAUCUUGCUUUGAUUGACGGUAGCAUUUUAAGAUGAUCUCUCACUAAAAUUAUCAAGUAGUGUUCUCCCUGAGUAUGCACCGUUGCCAAAGUUCAUCGUGCCGAGACACCACGUGAUGAUCGGGUGUGAUAAGCUCUACGUCCAUCUACAACGGGUGCAAGCCAGUUUUGCACACGCAGAAUACUCAGGUUAAACUUGACGAGCCUAGCAUAUGCAGAUAUGGCCUCGGAACACAGAGACCGAAAGGUCGAGCGUGAAUCAUAUAGUAGAUAUGAUCAACAUAAUGAUGUUCACCAUUGAAAACUACUCCAUCUCACGUGAUGAUCGGUUAUGGUUUAGUUGAUUUGGAUCACGUGAUCACUUAGAUGACUAGAGAGAUGUCUGUCUAUGUGGGAGUUCUUAAGUAAUAUGAUUAAUUGAACUUAAAUUUAUCAUGAACUUAGUACCUGAUAGUAUCUUGCUUGUCUAUGUUUGUUUGUAGAUAGAUGGCUCGUGCUGUUGUUCCGUUGAAUUUUAAUGCGUUCCUUGAGAAAGCAAAGUUGAAAGAUGAUGGUAGCAAUUACACGGACUGGGUCCGUAACCUGAGGAUUAUCCUCAUUGUUGCACAGAAGAGUUACGUCCUGGAAGCACCGCUGGGUGCCAGGCCUGCUGCUGAUGCAACUGACGACGUUAAGAACGUCUGGCAGAGCAAAGCUGAUGACUACUCUAUAGUUCAGUGUGCCAUGCUUUACGGCUUAGAACCGGGUCUUCAACGACGUUUUGAACGUCAUGGAGCAUAUGAGAUGUUCCAGGAGUUGAAGUUAAUAUUUCAAGCAAAUGCCCGGAUUGAGAGAUAUGAAGUCUCCAAUAAGUUCUAUAGCUGCAAGAUGGAGGAGAAUAGUUCUGUCAGUGAACAUAUACUCAGAAUGUCUGGGUAUAACAAUCACUUGAUUCAACUGGGAGUUAAUCUUCCUGAUGAUAGUGUCAUUGACAGAAUUCUUCAAUCACUGCCACCAAGCUACAAGAGCUUUGUGAUGAACUAUAAUAUGCAAGGGAUGAACAAGACUAUUCCCGAGCUCUUCGCGAUGCUGAAAGCCGCAGAGGUAGAAAUCAAGAAGGAGCAUCAAGUGUUGAUGGUCAACAAGACCACUAGUUUCAAGAAGAAGGGCAAAGGAAAGAAGAAGGGGAACUUCAAAAAGAACGGCAAGCAAGUUGCUGCUCAAGAGAAGAAACCCAAGUCUGGACCUAAGCCUGAAACUGAGUGCUUCUACUGCAAGCAGACUGGUCACUGGAAGCGGAACUGCCCCAAGUAUUUGGCGGAUAAGAAGGAUGGCAAAGUAAACAAAGGUAUAUGUGAUAUACAUGUUAUUGAUGUGUACCUAACUAGAGCUCGUAGUAGCACCUGGGUAUUUGAUACUGGUUCUGUUGCUAAUAUUUGCAACUCGAAACAGGGACUACGGAAUAAGCGAGCACUGGCCAAGGACGAGGUGACGAUGCGCGUGGAAAACGGUUCCAAAGUCGAUGUGAUCGCGGUCGGCACGCUACCUCUACAUCUACCAUCGGGAUUAGUUUUAGACCUAAAUAAUUGUUAUUUGGUGCCAGCGUUGAGCAUGAACAUUAUAUCUGGAUCUUGUUUGAUGCAAGACGGUUAUUCAUUUAAAUCAGAGAAUAAUGGUUGUUCUAUUUAUAUGAGUAAUAUCUUUUAUGGUCAUGCACCCUUGAAGAGUGGUCUAUUUUUAUUGAAUCUCGAUAGUAGUGAUACACAUAUUCAUAUUGUAGAAGCCAAAAGAUGCAGAGUUGAUAAUGAUAGUGCAACUUAUUUGUGGCACUGCCGUUUGGGUCAUAUCGGUGUACAACGCAUGAAGAAACUCCAUACUGAUGGACUUCUGGAAUCACUUGAUUAUGAAUCACUUGGUACUUGCGAACCGUGCCUUAUGGGCAAGAUGACUAAAACACCGUUCUCCGGAACUAUGGAGAGAGCAACAGAUUUGUUGGAAAUCAUACAUACAGAUGUAUGUGGUCCGAUGAAUGUUGAGGCUCGUGGCGGAUAUCAUUAUUUUCUCACCUUCACUGAUGAUUUAAGCAGAUAUGGGUAUAUCUACUUAAUGAAGUACAAGUCUGAAACAUUUGAAAAGUUCAAAGAAUUUCAGAGUGAAGUAGAAAAUCAUCGUAACAAGAAAAUAAAGUUUCUACGAUCUGACCGUGGAGGAGAAUAUUUGAGUUACGAGUUUGGUUUACAUUUGAAACAAUGCGGAAUAGUUUCGCAACUCACGCCACCUGGAACACCACAACGAAAUGGUGUGUCCAAACGUCGUACUCGUACUUUACUUGAUAUGGUGCGAUCUAUGAUGUCUCUUACCGAUUUACCGCUAUCGUUUUGGGGUUAUGCUUUAGAGACGGCCGCAUUCACGUUAAAUAGGGCACCAUCAAAAUCCGUUGAGAUGACGCCUUAUGAACUGUGGUUUGGCAAGAAACCAAAGUUGUCGUUUCUUAAAGUUUGGGGCUGCGGUACUUAUGUGAAGAAACUUCAACCAGAUAAGCUCGAACCCAAAUCGGAGAAAUGUGUCUUCGUAGGAUACCCAAAGGAGACUAUUGGGUACACCUUCUAUCACAGAUCUGAAGGCAAGAUUUUCGUUGCUAAAUUCGGAUCCUUUCUAGAGAAGGAAUUUCUCUCGAAAGAAGUGAGUGGGAGGAAAGUAGAACUUGAUGAGAUAACUGUAUCUACUCCCUUAUUGGAAGGUAGUUCAUCACGAGAACUGGUUCCCAUGACAACUACACCAAUUAUUGAGGAAGCUAAUAAUAUUGAUCAUGAAACUUCAGAUCAAGUUUCUGCUGAACCUCGUAGGUCUACCAGAGUAAGAUCCGCACCAGAGUGGUACGGUAAUCCUAUUCUGGAAGUCAUGUUACUUGACCAUGAUGAACCUACGAACUAUGAGGAACCGAUGAUGAGCCCAGAUUCCGCAAAAUGGCUAGAGGCCAUGAAAUCUGAGAUGGGAUCCAUGGAUGAAAACAAAGUAUGGACUUUGGUUGACUUGCCCGAUGAUCGGCAAGCCAUUGAGAAUAAAUGGAUCUUUAAGAAGAAGACUGACGCUGAUGGUAAUGUUACUGUCUAUAAAGCUCGACUUGUUGCGAAAGGUUUUCGACAAGUUCAAGGGGUUGACUAUGAUGAGACUUUCUCACCCGUAGCGAUGCUUAAGUCUGUCCGAAUCAUGUUGGCUAUUGCUGCAUUUCAUGAUUAUGAAAUUUGGCAAAUGGAUGUCAAAACUGCAUUCUUGAAUGGAUUUCUAGAAGAAGAGUUGUAUAUGAUGCAGCCGGAAGGUUUUGUUGAUCCAAAAGGUGCUGACAAAGUGUGUAAGCUCCAAUGUUCCAUUUAUGGACUGGUGCAAGCAUCUCGGAGUUGGAAUAAACGUUUUGACAGUGUGAUCAAGGCAUAUGGUUUUAUACAGACUUUUGGAGAAGCCUGUAUUUACAAGAAAGUGAGUGGGAGCUCUGUAGCAUUUCUAGUUUUAUAUGUUGAUGACAUAUUAUUAAUUGGAAAUGAUAUAGAAUUUCUGGAGAGCAUAAAGGGAUACUUGAAUAAAAGUUUUUCAAUGAAAGACCUCGGUGAAGCUGCUUACAUAUUGGGCAUCAAGAUCUAUAGAGAUAGAUCAAGACGCUUAAUAGGACUUUCACAAAGCACAUACCUUGACAAAAUUUUGAAAAAGUUCAAAAUGGAUCAGGCAAAGAAAGGAUUCUUGCCUGUGCUACAAGGUGUGAAGUUGAGUCAAACUCAAUGCCCGACCACAUCAGAAGAUAGAGAGAAAAUGAAAAAUGUUCCCUAUGCUUCAGCCAUAGGCUCUAUCAUGUAUGCAAUGCUGUGUACCAGACUUGACGUAUGCUUAGCAAUAAGCUUGGCAGGAAGGUACCAAAGUAAUCCAGGAGUGGAUCACUGGACAGCGGUCAAGAACAUCCUUAAAUACCUGAAAAGGACUAAGGAUAUAUUUCUCGUAUAUGUAGGUGACAAAGAGCUCGUCGUAAAUGGUUACGUCGAUGCAAGCUUUGACACUGAUCCAGACGAUUCUAAAUCGCAAACCGGAUACGUGUUUAUAUUAAACGGUGGAGCUGUAAGUUGGUGCAGUUCUAAACAAAGCGUCGUGGCGGGAUCUACAUGUGAAGCGGAGUACAUAGCUGCUUCUGAAGCAGCAAAUGAAGGAGUCUGGAUGAAGGAGUUCAUUUCCGAUCUAGGUGUCAUACCUAGUGCAUCGGGACCAAUGAAGAUCUUCUGUGACAAUACAGGUGCAAUUGCUUUGGCAAAGGAAUCCAGAUUUCACAAGAGGACCAAGCACAUCACGAGACGCUUAAAUUCCAUUCGGGACCAAGUCCAAGUGGGAGACAUACAGAUUUGCAAGAUACAUACGGAUCUGAAUAUUGCAGACCCGUUGACUAAGCAUCUCUCACGAGCAAAACAUGAUCAGCACCAAGACUCCAUGGGUGUUAGAAUCAUUAUUGUGUAAUCUAGAUUAUUGACUCUAGUGCAAGUGGGAGACUAAAGGAAAUAUGCCCUAGAGGCAAUAAUAAAGUUAUUAUUUAUUUCCUCAUAUCAUGAUAAAUGUUUAUUAUUCAUGCUAGAAUUGUAUUAACCGGAAACAUGAUACAUGUGUGAAUACAUAGACAAAACUAUAGUCACUAGUAUGCCUCUACUUGACUAGCUCAUUAAUCAAAGAUGGUUAUGUUUCCUGACCAUAGACAUGUGUUGUCAUUUGAUUAGUGGGAUCACAUCAUUAAGAGAAUGAUGUGAUUGACAUGACCCAUUCUGUUAGCCUAGCACUUGAUCGUUUAGUAUACUGCUAUUGCUUUCUUCAUGACUUAUACAAAGUUCCUGCAACUAUGAGAUUGUGCAACUCCCGUUUACCAAAAGAACACUUUGUGUGCUACCAAACGUCACAACGUAACUGGGUGAUUAUAAAGGUUCUCUACAGGUGUUUCCGAAGGUACAUGUUGGGUUGGCAUAAUUCGAGAUUAGGAUUUGUCACUCCGAUUGUCGGAGAGGUAUCUUUGGGCCCUCUCGGUAAUACUCAUCACAUAAGCCUUGCAAGCAUGUAACUAAUGAGUUAGUUAUGAGAUGACGUAUUACGGAACGAGUAAAGAGACUUGCCGGUAACGAGAUUGAACUAGGUAUUGGAUACCAACGAUCAAAUCUCGGGCAAGUAACAUACCGAUGACAAAGGGAACAAAGUAUGUUGUUAUGCGGUUUGACCGAUAAAGAUCUUCAUAGAAUAUGUAGGAACCAAUAUGGGCAUCCAGGUCCCGCUAUUGGUUAUUGACCGAGAAUGGUUUUAGGUCAUGACUACAUAGUUCUCGAACCCGUAGGGUCCGCACGCUUAACGUUUCGAUGAUAGUUUUAUUAUGAGUUUAUAAGUUUUGAUGUACCGAAGUUUGUUCGGAGUCCCAGAUGUGAUCACAGACAUGACGAGGAGUCUUGGAAUGGUCGAGACAUAAAGAUUGAUAUAUUGGACGACUAUAUUCGGACACCGGAAAGGUUCCGGGAGUUUUCGGAGAAAACCGGAGUGCCGGGGGGGUUACCGGAACCCCCCGGGAGAGUUAAUGGGCCACAUGGGCCUAGGUGGGAAGAGAGAGGUGCGGCCAGGGUGGGCCGCGCGCCCCCUCUCCCUCUAGUUCGAAUUGGACUAGGAGGGGGGGCGGCGCCCCCCUUUCCUUCCCCCCCUCUCUUCCUUCCUUCCCCCUCCUAGUAGGAGUAGGAAAGGAGGAAUCCUACUCCUACUAGGAGGAGGAUUCCUCCUCCCUUGGAGCGCCCCAAGGGGCUGGCCGGCCUCCCCCUCCCUCCUUUAUAUACGAGGGCAGGGGGCACCCCAUAGACACACAAGUUGAACUACGGAUCGUUCCUUAGCCGUGUGCGGUGCCCCCUUCCACCAUAUUCCACCUCGGUCAUAUUGUCGCGAAGCUUAGGCGAAGCCCUGCGCCGGUAGAACAUCAAGAUCGUCACCACGCCGUCGUGCUGACGGAACUCUCCCUCGACACUCGGCUGGAUCGGAGUUCGAGGGACGUCAUCGAGCUGAACAUCUGCUGAACUCGGAGGCUCCGUACGUUAGGUGCUUGGAUCGGUCGGAUCGUGAAGACGUACGACUACAUCAACCGCGUUGUCAUAACGCUUCCGCUUACGGUCUACGAGGGUACGUGGACAUACACUCUCCCCUCUCGUUGCUAUUUCAUCACCAUGAUCUUGCUUGUGCGUAGGAAAAUUUUGAAAUUACUACGUUCCCCAACAUCUCUGCCUUCCACUGCAGCAAUUCCAGUACGGUACCGAGCUUUGUGUUGCCAUCUUCGCAAUUGGGGUACAACCCUUUUUUUUGGUCCUCUAGCAUGCGAUCGAACUUCAGCUUCUCCUUUUGACUUUUGCAUUGCGUCCUUGCAUCGACAAUGACCCGGCGGAGAUCAUCAUCAUCGGGCACAUCGUCUGGUUCCUCUUGAUCUUCAGCAGCUUCGCCUGUUGCAGCAUCAUCGUGCACAUCGUCUGGUUCCUCUUGAUCUUCAGGAGCAUCACCGUAUUCAGGGGCACAUAGUUGUCAUCGUACUCUUCUUCACCGUCUUCCAUCAUAACCCCUAUUUCUCCGUGCCUCAUCCAAACAUUAUAGUGUGGCAUGAAACCCUUGUAAAGCAGGUGGGUGUGGAGGAUUUUCCGGUCAGAGUAAGACUUCGUAUUCCCACAUAUAGGACAUGGACAACACAUAAAACCAUUCUGCUUGUUUGCCUCAGCCACUUCGAGAAAAUCAUGCACGCGCUUAAUGUACUCGGAGGUGUGUCUUGAACCGUACAUCCAUUGCCGGUUCAUCUGCGUGCAUUAUAUAAUGAAGUGACCAAAUUAAUAGAAGUUCAUCAUCACAUUAAAACCAAAGUACAUACAUAGUUCUCAUCUAACAACAUAAAGCUCUGCAGAGCAUCUAAAUUAAUUAAACCAUACACUGAAACUAUGUAAAACAUUUCAAUGCGAAAACAAAUGCAACCAUAAUCGCAACCAAUGUAACAACUGAUCCAACGGCAUAAUGAUACCAAGCCUCAGUAUGAAUGGCAUAUUUUCUAAUCUUUCUAAUCUUCAAGCGCAUUGCAUCCAUCUUGAUCUUGUGAUCAUCGACGACAUCCCCAACAUGCAACUCCAAUAUCAUCUUCUCCUCCUCAAUUUUUCUAAUUUUUUCCUUCAAGAAAUUGUUUUCUUCUUCAACUGAAUUUAACCUCUCGACAAUAGGGUCGGUUGGAAUUUCCGGUUCAACAACCUCCUAGAUAAAUAAAAUCUAUGUCACGUUGGUCGGCAUAAUUGUCAUAAACAAUAAAUGAACCAAUAGUUAUGAAAAGAUAAUAUAUACCACAUCCGAAUCAUAGACAGGACGAGGGCCGACGGGGGCGGAUACCAAAACCAUCGCACUAUAUAAGAUGCAAUAAUAAAAGUAAGAAAAUAAUACAAGUAUCUAUCUAAACAUACAAGUAAGAAUAUUUUUCCUUUCAGAAAGAAGAUAAGAACAAGAGGCUCACCACGGUGGUGCCGGCGAUGAGAUCGGCGCGGGUGAUCGACGACGAUGAAGACAAGGACGGGGCGUGACGGACCGCUAAACCUAGACAAAUAUUGAGGAAAAUGGAGCUUGGCGGUCGAGCUUGGAGGGGAGAAAGCUUAAGUAGUGUGGCUCGGGCAUUCCAUCGAACACCUCGUGUGCAUAGGAGGUGAGCUAGAGCACCACAAAGCUCUCCCCUCGCCGGCCACGAAAAACAGAGCACUGGGAGUGCUCUGCUCGCGAGCGGGGGGUAUAUAUAGGCACCACCAUUGGUCCCGGUUGGUCGCACGAACCGGGACUAAAGGUUGGCCUUUGGUCCCGGUUCGUGCCACCAACUGGGACCAAUGGUGGUGGGCCAGGAGCGAGGCCCAUUGGUCCCGGUUCGUCCCUCCAACCGGGACCAAAAGGUCCAGACAAACCGGGACCAAUGGCCCACGUGUUGGGUUUCGUAGUAAUUUCAAAAAAUUUCCUACGCACACGCAAGAUCAUGUGAUGCAUAGCAACGAGGGGAGAGUGUUGUCUACGUACCCAACGCAGACCGACUGCGGAAGCGAUGACACGACGUAGAGGAAGUAGUCGUACGUCUUCACGAUCCAACCGAUCAAGCACCGAAACUACGGCACCUCCGAGUUCGAGCACACGUUCAGCUCGAUGACGAUCCCCGGACUCCGAUCCAGCAAAGUGUCGGGGAAGAGUUCCGUCAGCACGACGGCGUGGUGACGAUCUUGAUGAACUACAGCAGCAGGGCUUCGCCUAAACUCCGCUACAGUAUUAUCGAGGUAUAUGGUGGCAGGGGCACCGCACACGGCUAAGGAAUAGAUCACGUGGAUCAACUUGUGUGUAUAGAGGUGCCCCCUGCCUCCGUAUAUAAAGGAGGAGAGGAGGGGAGGCUGGCCGGCCAAGGAGGGGAGGCGCAGGAGAGUCCUACUCCCUCUGGGAGUAGGAUUCCCCCCAAUCCUAGUCCAACUAGGAUUCCUCGGAGGGGAAGGGAGAGAGGGGGGCCGGCCACCUUCUCCUAGUCCUAAUAGGACUAGGGGAGGGGGAAGUGGCGCAGCCACCUUGGGCUGCCCCUUUCUCCUUUCCACUAAGGCCCAUGAAGGCCCAUAUGGCUCCCGGGGGGUUCCGGUAAUCCUCCCGGUACUCCGGUAAAAUCCCGAUUUCACCCGGAACACUUCCGAUGUCCAAACAUAGGCUUCCAAUAUAUCAAUCUUUAUGUCUCGACCGUUUCGAGACUCCUCGUCAUGUCCAUGAUCACAUCCGGGACUCCAAACAACCUUCGGUACAUCAAAAUGCAUAAACUCAUAAUGUAACUGUCAUCGUAACCUUAAGCGUGCGGACCCUACGGGUUCGAGAACAAUGUAGACAUGACCGAGACACGUCUCCGGUCAAUAACCAAUAGCGGGACCUGGAUGCCCAUAUUGGCUCCUACAUAUUCUACGAAGAUCUUUAUCGGUCAGACCGCAUAACAACAUACGUUGUUCCCUUUGUCAUCGGUACGUUACUUGCCCGAGAUUCGAUCGUCGGUAUCCAAUACCUAGUUCAAUCUCGUCACCGGCAAGUCUCUUUACUCGUUCUAUAAUGCAUCAUCCCGUAACCAACUCAUUGGUCACAUUGCUUGCAAGGCUUAUAAUGAUGUGCAUUACCGAGAGGGCCCAGAGAUACCUCUCCGACAAUCGGAGUGACAAAACCUAAUCUCGAAAUACGCCAACUCAACAUGUACCUUCGGAGACACCUGUAGUACUCCUUUAUAAUCACCCAGUUAAGUUGUGACGUUUGGUAGUACCCAAAGUGUUCCUCCGGUAAACGGGAGUUGCAUAAUCUCAUAGUUACAGGAACAUGUAUAAGUCAUGAAGAAAGCAAUAGCAACAUACUAAACGAUCAAGUGCUAAGCUAACGGAAUGGGUGAAGUCAAUCACAUCAUUCUCCUAAUGAUGUGACCCCGUUAAUCAAAUGACAACUCUUUUGUCCAUGGCUAGGAAACAUAACCAUCUUUGAUAAACGAGCUAGUCAAGUAGAGGCAUACUAGUGACACUAUGUUUGUCUAUGUAUUCACACAUGUAUUAUGUUUCUGGUUAAUACAAUUCUAGCAUGAAUAAUAAACAUUUAUCAUGAAAUAAGGAAAUAAAUAAUAACUUUAUUAUUGCCUCUAGGGCAUAUUUCCUUCAGUCUCCCACUUGCACUAGAGUCAAUAAUCUAGUUCACAUCGUCAUGUGAUUUAACAACAAUAUUCAUAUCUGUAUAUGAUUAACACCCAUAGUUCACAUUAUCAUGUGACCAACACCCAAAGGGUUUACUAGAGUAAAUAAUCUAGUUCACAUCUCUAUGUGAUUAACACCCAAAGAGUACUAAGGUGUGAUCAUGUUUUGCUCGUGAAAGAAGCUUAGUCAAUGGGUCUGUCACAUUCAGAGCCGUAUGCAUUUUGCAAAUAUUUUAUGUCUACAAUGCUCUGCACGGUGCUACUCUAGCAAUUGCUCCCACUUUCAAUAUGUAUCCAGAUUGAGACUUAGAGUCAUCUGGAUCGGUGUGAAAACUUGCACCGAGGUAACUUUUACGACGGGCUCUUUUAUCACCUCCAUAAUCGAGAAAUAUUUCCUUAGUCCUCACUAAGGAUAUUCUUGACCAAUGUCGAGUGAUCUACUCCUAGAUCACUAUUGUACUCCCUUGUCAAAUACUGAGCAAGGUAUACAAUAGUUCUGGUACAUAGCAUAGCAUACUUUAUAGAACCUAUGACUGAGGCAUAGGGAAUGACUUUUCAUUUUUUCUAUUUUCUGUUGUGGUCGGGAUUUGAGUCUUACUCAAUUUCAUACCUUUGCAACACAGGCAAGAACUCUUUCUUUGACUGUUCCAUUUUGAACUAUUUCAAAAUCUUGCCAAGGUAUGUACUCAUUGAAAAUCUUAUCAAGCGUCUUGAUCUAUCUCAAUAUAUCUUGAUGCUCAAUAUGUAAGUAGCUUUUACUGAGGUCUUUUCCUUUUAAAGAACUCCUUUAAAACACUCCUUUAUGCUUUGCAGAAAAAUUCUACAUCAUUUCUGAUCAACAAUAUGUCACUCGUAUAUACUAAUCAGAAAGGCUAUAGUGCUCCCACUCACUUUAUUGUAAAUACAGGCUUCUCAAAAAGUCUGUAUAAAACCAUAUGCUUUGAUCAACUCAUCAAAGCGUAUAUUCCAACUCCGAGAGGCUUGCACCAGUCCAUAGAUGGAUCGCUGGAGCUUGCACAUUUUUUUAGCACCUUUAGGAUUGACAAAACCUUCUGGUUGCAUCAUAUACAACUCUUCUUUAAUAAAUCCAUUAAGGAAUGCAGUUUUGAUAUCCAUUUGCCAGAUUUCAUAAAAUGUGGCAAUUGCUAACAUGAUUCAGACAGACUUAAGAAUCGAUACGAGUGAGAAAAUCUCAUCGUAUUCAACACCUUGAACUUGUUGAAAACCUUUCGCAACAAGUCGAGCUUGGUAGAUAGUAACACUACUAUCAGUGUCCGUCUUCCUCUUGAAGAUCCAUUCAUUUAACAUGGCUUGCUGAUCAUCGAGCAAGUCAAUCAAAGUCCAUACUUUGUUCUCAUACAUGGAUCAUAUCUCAGAUUUUAUGGCCUCGAGCCAUUUCGCGGAAUCUGGGCUCAUCAUCGCUUCUUCAUAGUUCGUAGGUUCAUCAUGAUCUAGUAUCAUGACUUCCAGAAUAGGAUUACCGUACCAUUCUGGUGCGGAUCUUACUCUGGUUGAUCUACGAGGUUCAUCAGUAUCUUGAUCUGAAGUUUCAUGAUCAUUAUCAUUGGCUUCCUCACUAACUGGUGUAGGUGUCACUGAAACAGUUUUCUGUGAUGAACUACUUUCCAGUAAGGGAGCAGGUACAGUUACCUCGUCAAGUUCUACUUUCCUCCCACUCACUUCUUUCGAGAGAAACUCCUUCUCUAGAAAGGAUCCAUUCUUAGCAACGAAUGUCUUGCCUUCGGAUCUGUGAUAGAAGGUGUACCCAAUAGUCUCCUUUGGGUAUCCUAUGAAGACACAUUUCUCCGAUUUGGGUUCGAGCUUAUCAGGUUGAAGCUUUUUCACAUAAGCAUCGCAGCCCCAAACUUUAAGAAACGACAACUUUGGUUUCUUGCCAAACCACAGUUCAUAAGGCGUCGUCUCAACGGAUUUUGAUGGUGCCCUAUUUAACGUGAAUGCGGCCGUCUCUAAAGCAUAUCCCCAAAAUGAUAGCGGUAAAUCAGUAAGAGACAUCAUAGAUCGCACCAUAUCUAGUAAAGUACGAUUACGAUGUUCGGACACACCAUUACGCUGUGGUGUUCCGGGUGGCGUGAGUUGCGAAACUAUUCCACAGUUUUUCAAAUGUACACCAAACUCGUAACUCAAAUAUUCUCCUCCACGAUCAGAUCGUAGAAACUUUAUUUUCUUGUUACGAUGAUUUUCAACUUCACUCUGAAAUUCUUUGAAAUUUUCAAAUGUUUCAGACUUAUGUUUCAUUAAGUAGAUAUACCCAUAUCUGCUUAAAUCAUCUGUGAAGGUGAGAAAAUAACGAUAUCCGCCACGAGCCUCAGUAUUCAUCGGGCCACAUACAUCGGUAUGUAUGAUUUCCAACAAAUCUGUUGCUCUCUCCAUAGUACCGGAGAACGGUGUUUUAGUCAUCUUGCCCAUGAGGCACGGUUCGCAAGUACCAAGUGAUUCAUAAUCAAGUGGUUCCAAAAGUCCAUCAGUAUGGAGUUUCUUCAUGCGCUUUAUACCGAUAUGACCUAAACGACAGUGCCACAAAUAAGUUGCACUUUCAUUAUCAACUCUGCAUCUUUUGGCUUCAACAUUAUGAAUAUGUGUAUUACUACUAUCGAGAUCCAACAAACCAUUUUCAUUGGGUGUAUGACCAUAGAAGGUUUUAUUCAUGUAAACAGAACAACAAUUAUUCUCUAACUUACAUGAAUAACCGUAUUGCAAUAAACAUGAUCAAAUCAUAUUCAUGCUCAACGCAAACACCAAAUAACACUUAUUUAGGUUUAACACUAAUCCCAAAAGUAUAGGGAGUGUGCGAUGAUGAUCAUAUCAAUCUUGGAACUAUUUCCAACACACAUCGUCACUUCACCCUUUAACUAGUCUCUGUUUAUUCUGCAACUCCCGUUUCGAGUUACUAAUCUUAGCAACUGAACUAAUAUCAAAUACUGAGGGGUUGCUAUAAACACUAGUAACGUACACAUCAAUAACAUGUAUAUCAAAUAUACUUAUGUUCACUUUGCCAUCCUUCUUAUCCGCCAAUCACUUGGGGUAGUACCUCUUCCAGUGACCAGUCUCUUUGAAGUAGAAGCACUUAGUCUCAGGCUUAGGACCAGACUUGGGUUUCUUCACUUGAGCAGCAACUUGCUUGCCGUUCUUCUUGAAGUUCCCUUUCUUUCCCUUUGCCCUUUUCUUGAAACUAGUGAUCUUGUUAACCAUCAACACUUGAUGCUCUUUCUUGAUUUCUACCUUCGUUGAUUUCAGCAUCAUGAAGAGCUUGGGAAUCGUUUUCGUCAUCCCUUGCAUACUAUAGUUCAUCACGAAGUUCUAGUAACUUAGUGAUGGUGACUAGAGAAUUCUGUCAAUCACUAUCUUACCUGGAAGAUUAACUCCCACUUGAUUCAAGCGAUUGAAAUACCCAGACAAUCUGAGCACAUGCUCACUAGUUGAGCGAUUCUCCUCCAUCUUUUAGCUAUAGAACUUGUUGGAGACUUCAUAUCUCUCAACUCGGGUAUUUGCUUGAAAUAUUAACUUCAAUUCCUGGAACAUCUCAUAUGGUCCAUGACGUUCAAAACGUCUUUGAAGUCCCGAUUCUAAGCCGUUAAGCAUGGUGCACUAAACUAUCAAGUAGUCAUCAUCUUGAGCUAGCCAGACGUUCAUAACUUCUGCAUCUGCUCCUGCAAUAGGUCUGUCACCUAGCGGUGCAUUAAGGACAUAAUUCUUCUGUGCAGCACUGAGGAUAAACCUCAGAUCACGGAUCGAAUCCGCAUCAUUGCUACUAACAUUUUUCAACACAAUAUUCUCUAGGAACAUAUCAAAAUAAACAUAUGAAAGCAACAACGCGAGCUAUUGAUCUACAACAUAAUUUGCAAAAUACUACUAGGACUAAGUUCAUGAUAAAUUAAAGUUCAAUUAAUCAUAUUACUUAAGAACUCCCACUUAGAUAGACAUCCCUCUAAUCCUCUAAGUGAUCACGUGAUCCAAAUCAACUAAACCAUGUCCGAUCAUCACGUGAGAUGGAGUAGUUUCAAUGGUGAACAUCACUAUGUUGAUCAUAUCUACUAUAUGAUUCACGCUCGACCUUUCGGUCUCUGUGUUCCGAGGCCAUAUCUGUAUAUGCUAGGCUCGUCAAGUAUAACCUGAGUAUUCCGCGCGUGCAACUGUUUUGCACCCGUUGUAUUUGAACGUAGAGCCUAUCACACCCGAUCAUCACGUGGUGUCUCAGCACGACGAACUUUGGCAACGGUGCAUACUCAGGGAGAACACUUCUUGAUAAUUUAGUGAGAGAUCAUCUUAUAAUGCUACCAUCAAUAAAAGCAAGAUAAGAUGCAUAAAAAGAUAAACAUCACAUGCAAUCAAUAUAAGUGAUAUGAUAUGGCCAUCAUCAUCGUGUGCUUGUGAUCUCCAUCUCCGAAGCACCGUCAUGAUCACCAUCGUCACCGGCGCGACACCUUGAUCUCCAUCGUAGCAUCGUUGUCGUCUCGCCAAUCUUAUGCUUCCACGACUAUCACUACUGUUUAGUAAUAAAGUAAAGCAUUACAUCGCGAUUGCAUUGCAUACAAUAAAGCGACAACCAUAUGGCUCCUGCCAGUUGCCGAUAACUCGGUUACAAAACAUGAUCAUCUCAUACAAUAAAAUUCAGCAUCAUGCCUUGACCAUAUCACAUCACAACAUGCCCUGCAAAAACAAGUUAGACGUCCUCUACUUUGUUGUUGCAUGUUUUACGUGGCUGCUACGGGCUUAAGUAAGAACCAAUCUCACCUACGCAUCAAAACCACAACGAUAGUUUGUCAAAUAGACUCCGUUUUAACCUUCUCAAGGACCGGGCGUAGCCAUACUCGGUUCAACUAAAGUUGGAGAGACAGUCGCCCGCAAGCCAUCCAUGUGCAAAGCACGUCGAGGGAACCGGUCUCGCGUAAGCGUACGCGUAAGGUUGGUCCAGGUCGUCUCGUCCAACAAUACCGCCGAACCAAAGUAUGACAUGCUGGUAGGCAGUAUGACUUGUAUCGUCCACAACUCACUUGUGUUCUACUCGUGCAUAUAACAUCAACAUAAAUAACCUAGGCUCGGAUGCCACUGUUGGGUUUCGUAGUAAUUUCAAAAAAUUUCCUACGCACACGCAAGAUCAUGUGAAGCAUAGCAACGAGGGGAGAGUGUUGUCUACGUACCCAACGCAGACCAACUGCGGAAGCGAUGACACGACGUAGAGGAAGUAGUCGUACGUCUUCACGAUCCAACCGAUCAAGCACCGAAACUACGGCACCUCCGAGUUCGAGCACACGUUCAGCUCGAUGACGAUCCCCGGACUCCGAUCCAGCAAAGUGUCGGGGAAGAGUUCCGUCAGCACGACGGCGUGGUGACGAUCUUGAUGAACUACAGCAGCAGGGCUUCGCCUAAACUCCACUACAGUAUUAUCGAGGUAUAUGGUGGCAGGGGGCACCGCACACGACUAAGGAAUAGAUCACGUGGAUCAACUUGUGUGUAUAGAGGUGCCCCCUGCCUCCGUAUAUAAAGGAGGAGAGGAGGGGAGGCUGGCCGGCCAAGGAGGGGAGGCGCAGGAGAGUCCUACUCCCUCUAGGAGUAGGAUUCCCCCCAAUCCUAGUCCAACUAGGAUUCCUCGGAGGGGAAGGGAGAGAGGGGGGCCCGCAGCCACCUUGGGCUGCCCCUUUCUCCUUUCCACUAAGGCCCAUGAAGGCCCAUAUGGCUCCCGGGGGGUUCCGGUAACCCUCCCGGUACUCCGGUAAAAUCCCGAUUUCACCCGGAACACUUCCGAUGUCCAAACAUAGGCUUCCAAUAUAUCAAUCUUUACGUCUUGACCAUUUUGAGACUCCUCGUCAUGUCCGUGAUCACAUCCGGGACUCCGAACAACCUUCGGUACAUCAAAAUGCAUAAACUCAUAAUGUAACUGUCAUCGUAACCUUAAGCGUGCGGACCCUACGGGUUCGAGAACAAUGUAGACAUGACCGAGACACGUCUCCGGUCAAUAACCAAUAGCGGGACCUGGAUGCCCAUAUUGGCUCCUACAUAUUCUACGAAGAUCUUUAUCGGUCAGACCGCAUAACAACAUACGUUGUUCCCUUUGUCAUCGGUAUGUUACUUGCCCGAGAUUCGAUCGUCGGUAUCCAAUACCUAGUUCAAUCUCGUCACCGGCAAGUCUCUUUACUCGUUCUAUAAUGCAUCAUCCCGUAACCAACUCAUUGGUCACAUUGCUUGCAAGGCUUAUAAUGAUGUGCAUUACCGAGAGGGCCCAGAGAUACCUCUCCGACAAUCGGAGUGACAAAACCUAAUCUCGAAAUACGCCAACUCAACAUGUACCUUCGGAGACACCUGUAGUACUCCUUUAUAAUCACCCAGUUACGUUGUGACGUUUGGUAGUACCCAAAGUGUUCCUCCGGUAAACGGGAGUUGCAUAAUCUCAUAGUUACAGAAACAUGUAUAAGUCAUGAAGAAAGCAAUAGCAACAUACUAAACGAUCAAGUGCUAAGCUAACGGAAUGGGUGAAGUCAAUCACAUCAUUCUCCUAAUGAUGCGACCCCGUUAAUCAAAUGACAACUCUUUUGUCCAUGGCUAGGAAACAUAACCAUCUUUGAUAAACGAGCUAGUCAAGUAGAGGCAUACUAGUGACACUAUGUUUGUCUAUGUAUUCACACAUGUAUUAUGUUUCCGGUUAAUACAAUUCUAGCAUGAAUAAUAAACAUUUAUCAUGAAAUAAGGAAAUAAAUAAUAACUUUAUUGUUGCCUCUAGGGCAUAUUUCCUUCACCACGUGGCCCGGCCGGCCCCCGGGGCUCAAGAACCAGGUCCAAUGCCCCCAUUGGUCCCGGUUUUGGAUUGAACCGGGACUAAUGGGCUGGACCGGCCUGGACCAUCGCCCCCUUUUCUACUAGUGUUAGUGCAUGGUGGUUAGUGAAGUUAGUGGAGCAUGGUGUGAGUGCGUGGGUCAUGGUUGAGUGCCAGACUUUGUAUAAAUUGUCAUUUGAGUCAAUGAGAAAAUGUAAGGCCGAGAGGGCCAGUGCAAAGAUGUAGCAUUUGUGGUAGCCAAGGGAGAUUAACUGGGCAAAGCUAUGUGUUCUUCCUUGGUCUAUGCGUGUGUGUGUUCUGUGUGUGUUCUCUCUCUGCGUCCUUGUGUUCAUGGGAGUGUUUUUGAGAGAAGCCAGAAGAGAGAGUUGUGAGAGGCAGCUCGAGGUAGAAGAAGGAGCGGUGCUGCUCCGAGAGGAGGCGGCGCCAACAAUUAUUGACGAAAGGGAUAUUAUAUUGCGCAAGGUAUAAUCAGACGCGUCGGGGAUGGAGCGACUACACACAUAUGGGAUCACAACUGGAUUAUGAGGGAAAGCUAUAAGAGGCCAAUAAAUAAGUUAGUGCAGAUCCCCCCUCAGAAACAUUUUAUGUAUACACGUUAACAUUUCCCAGAUAUAUGAUUAAUAUUUUUAGAAAACUUCUAUUUUUUAUGUGUACUUUUUAUACAUUUUGUAAUAUCAGAAAUAGUUUUUAUAGAAGGUUUAACAUUUUUCAAAUACAUGAUUACCUUUUUGUAAACUUAUAUUGUUUGACGUUUACUUUUUUCCAUAGACAUAGUGAGGGGUUAUAUCUAAGGAAUAGGCCCAAGUACAUGUAGGCACAACCAAAGGCCCAUGUUAAUCAAGGAUGUUCCACAAGACAAAUGGGAAAACACACCGGGGCUAAUGGAGCUACAAGGCCAAGGCAUCGGAUACAAGGGGAGAGUCAACUGUGUACAGUCAGAUUACACAACCCUUAACAGACAAGACUCAUCAGUUGGUCCACUAUAGGAAUCAGGUCAUUUGCCGUCAGCCGAGAACAGAUGCGAAGGCUUUGCCGUGAGCAAGUUGACGACAAACACAAUCAGCAAAGACUAUAUCAGCAAAGAGCUAAUUUGACGUCAACUUUUCAUCGCGCUGAUGACAAAGACUUUGCCGUCAAUUAAACUAUGUGUUUGUCGUCUGUAGAAAAAACACAAAUGGCAAAGAAAUUAAACAAAUGGUCAUUUUAUAAUAAUUUUUCGAAAUGUAUAUAGUGUAUUUUAAAAUGUUAAAUAUGUAUCAAGAAUUAUUUCAUAAAUAUACAGAAGAUGUACAACGUGUAUGAAAAUUAUGUAGACAUCAGAACAUAUUAUAGAAAUGUUAAUCUUGUAUUUAAAAAUGUUAAAUACACAUAAAUAAAAAUGUUUUUGAUGUACAUAAAAAAAUUGUACAUCGUGUGUGAACAAAGUAUGCAUUGAAAAAAAAAUCUUGUUGGAAAGAAAAUCUCGUGCUAUAUACGAAAAUGUAAAAGGUGUAUGAAAAUAAUUAGAUAUAUGCUUAACGAAAAAAAGGAAAGAAGGCGCAAAAAAAUCCGAUCAACACCAAGAUAGGAACAAGAAAACCUGAAGAAGACCAUUGAAAAAAAAGAAAAGAAUACAAGAAAGAGGAAAAAAAACAAAAAAAUGAAGAAGCUGAUGCAGAACAGGGAACUUGGUGAAAACGAAUAAAAAUUGAUGAAAACCGAGAAGAAAAACAAGAAAACUGAAGCAAAAAAAUAAUAAAAAUAUGUAAAAAAAUGAUGAAACAUUGCAAAACACUGAAAUACUAUGAAAACCAAAGGAAGAAAAGACUCAAAAAGAAGAACAUACAGCGAGCGAAUGAACAACAACUGAGUGAACGAGCGACCAUGCGAGAACACGUUAAUUGUCCGGCCCAUACUUGUGGACUCCAGAGGCGAGCCAGAAUAGGCGAGAUAUAGCUAUGACGAUUUGAUACCCUUCACAGCUUCACGAAUGCUAUAUCUCGCUCACAGCGAAAGUAUAUUUUGUCUGGCCUGAAGGUGCAAGAAUAGCAUCAGGUCGCUGUAAGGUUUGUGAUCCUACAAUGAGAGCUCCGAUAAGAUUAAAGUUCAUUUUUCUGACAACCUUUGGUCGUUCGUUCGCGCUCAGGUCGUCCGCUCACUCGAUUCCACGUACUAGUUUGGUUAUGUUGUUUUUUUCAUUUUGUUCUUUUUUUGUUUCUUCACUGGCUUUCUUUGGUUUUUAUAUCGGUUUUCUUUGUUUCCUUCACGUUUUAUUCCUGUUUUCCUUUUUACUGGUUUAUUUAUUCCUUUUUUUCUUUGUUUCUUUCUUGGUUUUCUUUGUUUUUCUUUCUUUUGAUGUCAAUCUUUUUACAUACGCAUUCAACAAUUUCCGUAUACAUCAGAAACAUUUUAUGUAUACACAUUAACAUUUCCCAGAUAUAUGAUUAAUAUUUUUGGAAAACCUCUAUUUUUUAUGUGUACUUUUUGAUACAUUUUGUAUAUAUCAGAAAUAUUUUUUUAGAAGGUUUAACAUUUUUUUAAAUACAUGAUUACCUUUUUGUAAACUUAUAUUGUUUGACGUUUAUUUUUUUCCAUAGACAUAGUGAGGGGUUAUAUCUAAGGAAUAGGCCCAAGUACAUAUAUGGCACAACCAAAGACCCAUGUUAAUCAAGGAUGUGGUCCACAAAACAAAUGGGGAAACACACGGGGGCCAAUGGAGCUACAAGGCCAAAGCAUCGGAUAUAAGGGGAGAAUAAGUGUGUACAGUCGGAUUACACAACACUUGACAGACAAGACUCAUUAGUUGGUCCACUAUAGGAAUCGAGUAAUUUGCCGUCAGCCGAGAACAGACUCGAAGUCUUUGCCGUCAGCAAGUUGAUGACAAACACAGUGAGCAAAGACUAUAUCGGCAAAGAGCUAAUUUGACGUUAACUUUUCAUCCGCUGAUGACAAAGACUUUGCCGUCAAUUAAACUAUGUGUUUGUCGUCUGUAGAAAAAACACAAAUGGCAAAGAAAAGCAUCUUUGCCAUCAGCAACUGAUUCACAUGUGUCGUCAGCCAGACUCGUCUUGUCACUAGCCUCAAACAUCACAGAUGGCAAAGAUUUUUUUUUAUUUUUAAAAUUCCGCGUCGACCACCCUAUCGCUCGUGCAGCCACCGCCUGGCCGCGCUCGCCUCCCUGCUCACAUGCCCUGCCAGCUUGCGCCGUUGCCAUCCGGCAGCGCUCGCCCGACCCUGCUCAUCGCCCGGCCGAGCUCGCCCGCCCUGCUCGGUCGCGUCGUCGGCAGCUGCCCUGCUUGCACACGUACCUGCCCAGCCUUGCUCAUACCGCCGGCCACCCUGCUCGCUAGAGAAAGGAAGGCGAGAGAGGAGGCUCGGGGGAGAAAGAAAAAACAAAGGAGAGAGAGAGGAUGCUACCACUGCCACAUCACCAAUACGCAUGAUCGAUCUGCAAGAUGUGCUCUCUCUUUUGCCGCCUCUGAUGGCAAAGUAUGUCUUUAUCGUCUAUAAUAAGAUUACAAACAGCAAAGUGAGCUCUUUGCCGUCUGUAAAAAAACGGACGACAAACAAACUUUGUUGUCAGCUGCCGACGGCAAAAAGUGCUCUUUACCGCAGCCUCGAUGAGAAGCUGAAGGCAAAGUGCCCCACAGACGGCAAAUUAGUUGAUUCCUGGGUGGUUAUGAGCAAGACAGGAGCAAUAACCCUAUCUACACUCGGUCAUCUGGAAGACAGGAGUAGUCGAACCAUCUAUAGUCGGCUACAUCUGAGGUUACCGUGACCCUUACGAUGCAUUCAUUAUCGCCGUUACUCAAUGGAGUAGUUAAAUACGUCAGUUAGCAAUAAUAAUAGCCACGAACAGUCAAUCAUGCAUGUGACCAUCAAUAGCAUUUAUACCAACCCAUUACGGCACUUCCUCCUAGCACACUCUAUAUAAGCCAGGAGUAGGACAUGAGAGUGAGGGAUGAACUCUCUCACAGUAUAACCUACGCCAAGAGCAGGAACACCACAUGAAUAGAGAUUACCUCCACCAACGUACUCCCAUCCGUUUUAUGUACCGAUCAAUGUAUAUAAUGGCUUCUACAUUCACAUCCCGUAGUAUUGUCAGGAUUAUAUCCACGACAGAAACUAUAUUUUGUUAUACAUCAAGAACAUUUUAUAUAUAAAUAUUUACAAUUUUUUAAAUACAUGAUUAAUAUUUUUUCAAACAUAUAUUUUGUAUGUCUCCUUUUCAUAAUCUUUGAUCCCUGGAAGUUUCAGAUUUUUUCCGAUUUGUUCUCAUUUUUUUAUGAAUUUACUGUUCAUGAGGGUGUAGGGGCACCCAGGAGCUGUUAGGCAUAAUAUUUCUGCUGUUGUUGUCAUCAUCAAGGGGAAUGAGAAGGGUUGAAGUUUUCGUUUUCUUUGAGGGGGAAAUCAGAGUUGGGGGCUGGAAGUGAGUGAUUAGGCCCAACAUAAGCGCUGUGUGUGUGUGUCUCGUCACGGGCACCAAAUUCGAACUGGGCUAUUGUUUUCUGAGAACCCAACGUCACAAGCCCAACCAACAGUCUGCCGAUCUGCAUCUUCCUCUCCUUGUCCAUCCUCCUCGUUGGCCGGACCGCCUCGAGCCACGGCCGCUCCCUGGCGCAGCGUCCUCCCCUUCCUCUCCACCCCCAAAUUCUCUUGUAUCCUCUUCUGAUCUCCUUCCUUACUUCCUCUCGCUGAUGGUCUCCACAAGAAGGUCUCCGAGCUCCUCGGAGGGUUCCGGCUGUACGUCGACGCAGCCUCUCCGACCUCCCCAUGAACAUGAGCUAUCGACCCUGAAAGCCUGUCUCUUCCAUGAUUCGAUUCACAUGAAUUCACGAGCCGCAUGAAUCAUGAAGGUCAUGGAGCAGAAUUCAGUCGUGUAGCCUGACAGUGAUGUACAUUUGUGGCUUUUCUGGCUAAAUAGCUCUGUACCCUAUGUGGAUGCCACUUCAAAUAAUCGUCAAAAUAAUUCUCCUGCACGCGUUAUACAAAUGGCGAAGAAGAAGUUCGCGUGGAACAUUUCGUUUCUUAUUGAUGUCCGAGAGAAAAGCUCCUAGGAAGUUCAUCCGCUCGGUGGAUUAUAAGUUUAAGUUUGUUACAACAUCCAAUCAUCCAUAUAAUCUCUGUGUUUCUUCUGUUUUCUACCAGUCAUAUAUCAUAUGUGCAUCAGAGGAAAAAUGCUUUCAGCAGUCAUGUUGGAGCGCGCAUACCAAGUUCCCACAUUGCAAAUAUGAUCCUAGCCAUUAAUAUGUUUCAUUCCACAUUUUCUUGAUCUAAUUUCUAAAUGAUUGGACAACCUGUUAUAGUCUUAUAGAAUUAUGAGCCGCCAAAUCCACAUUUCUCUUGGUCUAAUUUCUAAAUGAUAAUGUGCAGCAUCUAUCUCCUGGUGAACCUUUUUUUCUUGCGACUGUAUCUCCUGAUGAACCUAGUUUUCUCUAGGUAGCACAAUAAUUGUACUGGUUUGAUGUAAAGGACAUAAAUACAAGGGAAUAAAUUGGAAGCUUAUUUCAAAUUAACUAGCUAGUGGUGUUUGUGAAGUUCAAGAAAAAGCUGGUCUUUUUCUCGACAAAUAAUUUAACAUGCAAAGAAUCAAUAAAUGUAUUUGCAAGAAAGCAAACAUAAUUAACGAUAAAACUGGUUUAUUGUCACUGUAGACAACGGUAGUAGUUGGAACUAGAUACAAACCAAUAAAAAACAAGAUCUCAAAUCUCCAACCAAUAAAGAGUUCAACCCAAAUUUUACAGUAACACCAUUAUAUUCAAAUAGUGAUUAUUCCAACACAUGGAUAAUUAAUUAAGGCACCAGGUUGCCCUUGUGACUAGGAAAGACAAACUUAUGAACUUGCAAGCAUGGCAAUCAGAUCGACAUCCACACAAUGCCAAUAUGAACAUUGUCUUGAUACAACUUUAUUUUUAUUUUAUUUCAGAAUUUAAACAACUAGUAUGGGCGGGUCACACACGACAUUGUGUGACACUUUAUUUGUCACCGCUGCAUCGACAUAUCCAUCGACUAAACAACGGUGAUCCAACUAUAUAUUACUAGAGACCUUUCCUUAUUAGUAGGAACCAACUCCGGUGCCAACACCGAAUGGCACACUAGUGGUGGUUCUAUACAACGGCACAUUGACACGGCACAUCGUUGGCAGGGUACGGAGCGCAAUGGAAGUCAUCACCUCAAGCUGAGCUAUCUGGUGUGGCUGCAAAAAGGUACCUUGUGCCAAUUGUUGUUGUUGAGGUUGUUGCCCGAGUUGUUGUUGUGACUGCUGUUGGGGUUGGGAAACACAUUGGCCCAACUGUUGGGGUUGCUGCUGAGGAGUUUGGAUGGAACCCUGAACCUGUUGUUGUUCUUGCAGGAUGAUGGAGUAGAUGAUAGCACGGAUUGCCUCAUAGCGGGAUUGCUGGGGGAUUUGCGGCAACUGCUGGCAACAUUGUUGUUGCAUCACAUGGCAACUGCUCUGCUGCAACAUUUGCGACCUAGCAAGACUUUGUGGCAUUGCCACAGGGCUGCAUUGCUGCUGGAGGAAUACCUUGCAUGGGUUUAGCUGCUGCAAGAUAGAUGGAUGAACAAAUGGUAUUUGUUGUUGCGGUAGAACUAGUUGUUGUUGUUGCUGCGAAAAUGGUGGUUGUUGCGGUAGACUUGGUUGUUGUUGUUGCAAAAAUGGUGGUUGUUGCUGUAGUACUAUUUGUUGUUGUUGCGAAAACGGUGAUUGUUGCUGUGAAAAUGGUGGUAGUUGUUGCUGUGAAAAUGAUGGUUGUUGCGGUAGAACUGGUUGUUGUUGCUGCGAAAAUGGUGGUUGUUGUUGUGAAAAUGGUGGUUGUUGUUGCUGCGAAAAUGGUGGUUGUUGUUGUGAAAANNNNNNNNNNNNNNNNNNNNNNNNNNNNNNNNNNNNNNNNNNNNNNNNNNNNNNNNNNNNNNNNNNNNNNNNNNNNNNNNNNNNNNNNNNNNNNNNNNNNNNNNNNNNNNNNNNNNNNNNNNNNNNNNNNNNNNNNNNNNNNNNNNNNNNNNNNNNNNNNNNNNNNNNNNNNNNNNNNNNNNNNNNNNNNNNNNNNNNNNNNNNUGGUUGUUGUUGCUGCGAUAAUGGUUGUUGUUGUUGCUGCGAAAAUGGUGGUUGUUGUUGUGAAAAUGGUGGUUGUUGUUGCUGCGAUAAUGGUUGUUGUUGUUGUUGCUGUGAACAUGGUUGCUGUUGUGAAAAUGGUUGUGGUUGUUGUUGGAUGGGUUGUUGUUGUUGGUGGUGCGAUAAUGUUUGUUGUGGUGGUAAUGGUUGUUGCUGCGAUGGUCUCUCCAAACCAGGGAUGUGGCUAUUCUCCAUUUGUGCAAUGGCACUUGUCGCCACAAUGGCGAGGAGAGCAAAGAUGAGGAAGGUCUUCAUGGUGGAUUGGUGUUAACCAGUGUUGCUUGGUUUUGAUGCUUGUGCUUGUGAUGAUCUUUAUACUUCAUGCCUAUUUAUAGUAGCCCGGGCACCACCUCUUUUCUUCUUUGCAUUAGCUUUAAUAAUUCUGUUUGGAUGCAUCUAAAAUGAUUUUUGGUACAAUGUGUUAGGUUGCACUAGCUACACGCGUACUUUUGGAUUGAUCAUCAAAGUUGCUUUUUAGUUGUGCAUAUGAUCACACACAAAGUACAGAAACCUUGAUGUUUGGUACAUAUGACUCACCUUAUUCACUUUACAUGUCACACACUUAUCUGGAUAGUAUCACUUUUGCAACCGAGUUUGGAACCUUGUAUAGGCUGUCAUCCAUAAACAAGAAAGGCAAAACUUGUGUAGGACUAAGUUUGCAAUCGGAGGGUUCUUCUAGACUCGAUUUCUUUUCGUAAAACUAACUUUGUAUUUUUCCUCUAAGAUGAUAAGAUGAACCGACGCCUAUAGAGCAUGACAUGACUCAUCGAAUUCCCUUUACAUGUAAAGGAUGGUAAUUGCUUACAAGCUACUCCUACUAGCAUAUAUCCGGUUCCAAGCCUAGACACGUCAUCAUCAGUUUCGUCUAUUUUUUUAGAUAAAUCAUCAGUUCUAUCUAUUUGUGAAGGGUUUUUUUGGGGGGAAAUGAUAGUUUUUUUAUGCUAGGGGGGUUUUUUNNNNNNNNNNNNNNNNNNNNNNNNNNNNNNNNNNNNNNNNNNNNNNNNNNNNNNNNNNNNNNNNNNNNNNNNNNNNNNNNNNNNNNNNNNNNNNNNNNNNNNNNNNNNNNNNNNNNNNNNNNNNNNNNNNNNNNNNNNNNNNNNNNNNNNNNNNNNNNNNNNNNNNNNNNNNNNNNNNNNNNNNNNNNNNNNNNNNNNNNNNNNNNNNNNNNNNNNNNNNNNNNNNNNNNNNNNNNNNNNNNNNNNNNNNNNNNNNNNNNNNNNNNNNNNNNNNNNNNNNNNNNNNNNNNNNNNNNNNNNNNNNNNNNNNNNNNNNNNNNNNNNNNNNNNNNNNNNNNNNNNNNNNNNNNNNNNNNNNNNNNNNNNNNNNNNNNNNNNNNNNNNNNNNNNNNNNNNNNNNNNNNNNNNNNNNNNNNNNNNNNNNNNNNNNNNNNNNNNNNNNNNNNNNNNNNNNNNNNNNNNNNNNNNNNNNNNNNNNNNNNNNNNNNNNNNNNNNNNNNNNNNNNNNNNNNNNNNNNNNNNNNNNNNNNNNNNNNNNNNNNNNNNNNNNNNNNNNNNNNNNNNNNNNNNNNNNNNNNNNNNNNNNNNNNNNNNNNNNNNNNNNNNNNNNNNNNNGCCGCCACCGCUCGACAAAAAAGGUCACUUUUGUAGCUCCCCCGUCGAUUGCGGGCCGUACGUCGACGGCAGCCACUCCGACCUCCCCGUCAACACAAGGUAUCGAUCUGUUUCGUCUGUCUCUUCCAGCGAUUCAAUGCACAUAAAUCCGAGAGGCAGACCCAUCUCCAUGCUAGCUGCACGGAUCAGGAGGGUCAGGCAUCAGAAUUCAGCUGGGAAGCCUGACACUAAUGUACAUUUGUGGCUUUAGUAGCUGAAUAUAACUAUGUGUUUUCUGAGAAUUUCACUUCAAAAGUUCCAAUAAUCAUCAAAUUUCCGCCUAUGCGCGCUAAGCAGGUGGACCAUAUAUUUCUCAUGUCGACGAACGAAAAAACAAAACUCCACAACUAGAAGUCUAUGAUAUUGACACGGAACCGUGCUGUAGGGUCGCAAGUAAAAAUAUGAAAAGCAUGCCUAACACUACUAGGAAAAGGGCUAUAGAUGGAAUUGACACUAAUGACGCACCAGACAUGUGGUGCGCCAUUAGUAUAUACUAAUGGCGCACCAUCUUCUGAUGCGCCAUUAGUGUUGAAAUUACUAAUGGCGCACCCUGCCCACGGUGCGCCAUUAGUACCAAUUUUUUUUUGAACUAGUGCGCCUGUCCAAACAUACUAAUGGCGCAUCCGCUGGUGGUGCGCCAUUACUAGUUGUAACUAGUAAUGGUGCACCAGCCAGAGGGUGCGCCACUAAAGUUAUUUUUUUUAUUAUUGUUUUUAUUCCUUUUUUUGCAAAAGUACUAAUGGCGCACUCACACGCGGUGCGCCAUUACUAGUUCAAACUAGUAAUGGCGCACCGUGGCAGAGUGCGCCAUUAGUAUGUUUUUUUUUCAAAACUACUAAUGGCGCACCACCUGGUGGUGCGCCAUUAGUAACCUGGAUUACUAAUGGCGCAUUUGUUGCUGGUGCGCCAUUAGUAAGUGGGCAGCAACAAGAUAUUUUGGACAGCCUCUCCUCCCACACUCACUUUCUCCCCAUUUCAUUCUCUCCACCGCCUCCUCAUGUCUCGGGUGCCUCCUCUUUUUCACCUCAUUUCCACCAUAGAUUCAUUCAAAUUAAGUGGUUAAGUUACCUUGUUUUGCUAGGUAAGUAAGGGGGGAAGCUAUAUUUAUGUUGUUCUCCCUACAACAGUGUGCACAUGCACUUUUUAUGGCCUAGCUAGAUCUAUGUAUGUUCGUGGUGUUGCAUAUGUUUGUGGUGUUGCAUAUGUGUUUGUGUUUGAAGGUGUACCGGUAUUUGAAAUGCGAUAGUUGCCAAUAUUUUGCCGGAAUGUUGAUUCAUUUCCGUUUCGGCGAGAAUUUUGGCAUUAAGCAUUCUUUUUGGUCCUAUUUUUAGGGAAAGUCAUGCCAAAUUUUUUCUUGGUUCUAAAAUAUCGUUUUGCUCUACCCCGCAGGCGACCAUGGUCCGCACGAUGACCGAAGGCAUCGUGAAUAGGUUUUUGAGGUCCACGAAGGCCGAGAUGCUUCAAAAGAACGAGACGGAGAUAAGAUGUCCGUGUCGAAGAUGCAAGCUGAAUAGCCUUAUUGCGGACCCGGAUUCCGGGCAGGUGCGGGACCACCUGCUCUUGCGUGGUUUCAUGGAUGGCUGUCGGUGGCAAGGUGAUGAAGAUGACUACGAAGUCGUCCAUGGGGGCCGGGCAAGAAAUGAGGAAGGGCAGCAAGACAACCACCGCGGCUCGGGGGGGCGAGAAGAAGAAGAAUCCCCAGGAGAUGAUCACGACGGUGAUGUUGUACACAGUCAUCAUGUAGAAGAUGCAGGACAUGAUGAUGAUGCCGGCGGAGCAGACGACGCUGGACCAUCGAUGGGCUGGGUGCAGGACCCUCAUAUUCAAGAGCUGCUUCUCAAGCAGACGGAUAACGCAAGAGCUGCCGCCCGAGAGAAAGCCAAGAUGGAUCAACUUGAGUUAGACGCGGUUACUCCAUUGUAUGAAGGAUGCAGGCCCGAGGAUACCCGCCUGAAAGUAACACUCAUGGCUCUGGAGAUGAAGGUAAAACACAAAAUGACCGACGCAUGCUUCGACGAGAACAUGUCAUUCUGGCACGAACGUCUUCCCAAAGGGAACAAGUGCCCGACCAGUUUGGAGGAGGCGAAGAAAAUCGUGUGUCCUCUGGAUUUACCGCACGUGAAAUACCAUGUGUGCAUGAACAAUUGCAUCAUUUAUCGGGACGAGCACGCGGAGUCUACCAUAUGUCCGGUGUGCGGUGUCACUCGAUACAAGAAGGGGAAGAAAGCUCCUCGAAAAGUGGUGUGGUACUUUCCGAUCACUCCUCGUCUGCAGCGGUAUUUCGCGGACCCUAAGGUAGCAAAGCUCCUGCGUUGGCACGCGGAUAGGGAGGAGAAGAAGCGAGAAGAUGACGCAAAUGAUACGGAGAUAGAUAAAAAAGACAAGAUGCUGAGUCACCCUAAGGAUGCGAGCCAGUGGCAAGCGUUGAACUUCGAAUAACCAGAAUUUGGGAACGAUCCAAGGAACAUCGUGCUGGGCGCGAGCACCGGUGGAGUCAAUCCGUUUGGCAGCCAGAGAAGCACACAUAGCACCUGGCCUGUGUUUGUGUGGAUGUACAACCUUCCCCCCUGGUUGUGCAUGAAGAGGAAGUACAUUCACAUGAGUAUGCUAAUUGAAGGGCCGAAACAACCAGGGAACGACAUCAAUCUGUAUCUGGGGCUGCUGAAAGAGGAGCUUGACACGCUGUGGAAAACGCCCACCAAUACGUGGGACGCCGCAGAGAAAGAAUAUUUCCCUAUGAGAGCCGCACUGCUCACGACGGUGCACGACUAUCUCGGUUACGGAUAUCUUGCGGGGCAGGUAGUCCACGGAUUUUCUGGAUGCGUAAGGUGCAUGGAUGACACAACGUAUCGCCAGCUAGAUAGAGACGAUGACCCGUGGAGGAAACGCAAGGAUCUGUUCGAUGGUGAAACCAAACCCCGAAAACGCCCGUGUACGAGGAGCGGCGAGGAAAUAGACAAGCUGUUGAAAAAUCGGAAAGACUGCCCACUGCCGGGAAAGAAGCAAAAGGUGCCAGAGCCGGGAAAGAAGCGAAAGGCGCCAGAGCCGCUGCUGAAGCUAUGGAAAACGAGGUCUGUUUUCUGGGACUUGCCGUACUGGAAGAUCCACCGUGUGCCUCACAGCCUUGAUGUCAUGCAUAUCACGAAGAACGUGUGCGAGAGUCUGCUUGGUACCCUGCUCAACAUGCCAGAGAGGACCAAAGAUGGGCCGAAAGCGAGGGCAGACUUGAAAUCAAUGGGCAUCAGGCAGGAGCUUCACGCUAUAUAUGAUGAUGAUGAUGAUGAUGAUGAUGAUGAUGAGGCGAAGCAGGACACAGAAAGUCGUCGCAAAGGCAAAAAGGCCAAGAAGACCGGAAAUGACUACCCUCCCGCGUGCUUCACUCUAAGUCAGGAGGAGAUCGAGCAGUUUUUCACCUGCCUCCUAGGAGUAAAACUUCCUUACGGUUACGCGGGGAAGAUAAGCAGAUACCUAGACCCAGCGAAGCAGAAGUUCAGCGGGAUGAAGUCUCACGAUUGUCACAUGCUGAUGACGCAGAUACUUCCAGUUGCAAUCCGUGGGAUCAUGGACGCGCACGUCCGUGAAACGCUAUUUGGCCUAUGCAACUUCUUCGACGUCAUCUCUCAGAAGUCGAUUGGCAUGAGGCAACUCAGAAGGCUACAGGAAGAGAUCGUGGUGAUACUAUGCGAGCUUGAGAUGUACUUCCCGCCCGCAUUCUUCGAUGUUAUGGUGCAUCUGCUGGUCCAUAUAGUGGGGGAUAUCAUCCAACUCGGGCCGAUGUUCCUGCACAGCAUGAUGCCGUUCGAAAGGAUGAAUGGUGUCAUCAAAGGAUACGUUCGCAACAUGUCACGUCCAGAAGGAAGCAUAGCCAGGGGCUUUCUGACCGAAGAGUGCAUCUACUAGUGCGCGAAUUAUCUAGGCAUCGAGAACCCCGUUGGUCUGCCCGUCAACAGGCACCUCGGCAGGCUCGCUGGAUGGGGUCACCGUGAGGGUCGCCGCGAAAUGCAUGUCGACUUCGAGGGUCGACUCGCCGACUUUGAAAGAGCAAACCUAGUCGCGCUACAACACAUAGACGUGGUCGAUGCUUGGGUGGUAGAGCACAAAACCUUUAUUAAGAAGACGUACAAUGACCGAGGCCAACAGAGGACGGACGGAGAUAUACUCAAAGAGCACAACUCAUGUUUCACGCGUUGGUUCAAGCAGAAGCUUCUGUCGUACCCUUUACAUGAGGAUUCUUCCGCGGAAGAACAACUCAUAUUCGCCUUGUCACAGGGCGCCGAGCACAACCUGAUGACCUAUGAGGCGUACGAUAUCAACGGCUACACAUUCUACACCGAGGCCAAGGACAUGAAGAGCGAUGGUUAUCAGAACUCCGGGGUAACGAUGGAAUCCUACACCGGUAACGACAAGGACAGAUACUACGGAAGGAUCGAGGAGAUCUGGGAGCUGAGCUAUGCUGGAGAGAAGGUCCCGAUGUUCCGUGUCAGAUGGGCCAAGAACGUCAUAAAAGAAGACCGGUAUUUCACCACCAUGGUUAUACCCGGAGCCAAAUCCAAGACCGCGAGCGCAAACGUCACCGCGAAAAAUGAGCCAUGGGUACUGGCUUCCCAAGUGGACCAAUGCUUCUUCAUUACCGACCCGCCAAAGCCCAGUCGUGUUGUCGUGAGGAGAGGCAAAAGGAAGAUCAUCGGAAUGGAUGGAGUAGCCAAUGAGCAAGACUUCGACAAGUACGGCGACCCGAGGAUCGAACAUGACGACGAUGAUGAAGUAGCAGCAUACACCACAAGAAGAAGCAGGACCACCCUACCUAAAGGACGUCCGUUCCACAGAAGAACUCCAUUUGCGAAAAAGAAGGGCAAGAAGAUUGUGAACAGAUAGCUAGCUAAGAUCGAUUGUAUUUAAAUCGUAGCCUUCAUUUCUCGAUUGUAUUUCAUGGGUACUUUUUGAACUAUCAUGAAUAUUUUUAAAUUUAAUGGACACUCGAUCUCGAUCCCCCUCCAUCUCGAUCGCUAUCCCACCUCGCCAGAUCCGGUCCCCCUCGCCGCCAAGCACCCCCCCAGCCCACCGGCCGCCGCCGCCGACCCCCCGCACCCUCGAUUCCCCUACCCAACCGCCGCCGCCGACCCACCGCACCCCGCGCACCCUCCCCUGCUCCACCAGCAUUACUGUUUGAUGAUAUUUUUAAAAAAAUUAUUAUUGUCUUAUAAAAAAAUAUUACUGUUAUGAUUUAAACAAGUUUGAACAUAUUUAAACACAAAUAAGUAUCAAACAGGUUUUUAAAUGCUAAAAAAAAUUUGUGGAGCCUGGGAGUCGAACCCAGGACCUCCUGGUGUGAGAACUGGCUGCUGACCAGUCGAGCUAGUAGAGGGGACUUGAUGUGGAUCAAUUCUGGUGGUACAUAACCUGUUGGCUCGAGUUGAAAUAAAAAAAAUACUAAUGGCGCACCACGGUGAGGUGCGCCAUUAGUAUGGAUGUACUUAUGGCGCACCGAGGGGUGGUGCGCCAUUAGUAUUGUGCCCGAUCCCUUCCCUCUCCCCCUUCGCCCGAUCCCCCCUUCCCUCUCCCCCUUGCCAGUUCCCUCUCCCUCGAUCCACCGCCGCCGCCGCCGCUGCCCUGACCCACUGCGCCGCAGCCGCCCACGCGCCCCCGCCGCCUCCCUCUCCCCUUCCUCCCCCUCGAGCCCGCGCCGUCCGCCCAAACCUAACCCGACGCCGUCCGCCGCGCCCGCUCCACCGCCGCCGCCCUGCCUCUCCGCCCUCUCCCUCCCUCNNNNNNNNNNNNNNNNNNNNNNNNNNNNNNNNNNNNNNNNNNNNNNNNNNNNNNNNNNNNNNNNNNNNNNNNNNNNNNNNNNNNNNNNNNNNNNNNNNNNNNNNNNNNNNNNNNNNNNNNNNNNNNNNNNNNNNNNNNNNNNNNNNNNNNCGUCGCCCCGCCGCCCCGACACCACCGUCCGUCGCCCCGCCGCCCCGCCGCCCCUCUCGCAGCAAGGUAUGCGGCUGGUUCGUCCCCUGUCAUGGUUCUCUCUUCGUUUAUUUUCCUGAAAUCUCUGCUGUUCAUUGGCCGAUGAUGUCUUACAAGUAAAAUAUCUGGCAAACUUGUGCUGUAAACUGUACAUUGCUGAGGCUGUGGGCAACCUGUUCUUCUCUUUGCCAUACUAGUGCUUUUGUUCAUUGGCCGAUGAUGUCUCUGUUGGUUUACGUCCCCGGCAAAUUAGGUACCCGUGAACCAUUUAUAGGCCCAACUUUCUUACUCUCAAUGACCACAAUGUGCUUAUUUUGUUAGGAUUGUGCAUUUGCGCGAUUUGUGCAGUGCUUAUUUGUUGGCACCUCACCAGCUUUCAAAUUCAGCAUUUGUAACACAGUUCAAUUUGAUCUAAGGGCCUAUCUUGUCUCAUUUCCAACAUGUAAUAAACUUCCCCCGAGGCCAUAGAUGAGAAUACUUCUUUCAGUACAUUUUGCUGAUUUCUCACUGUUGAAUACUUCAUUUCUGUUUGCCUUUGGCCAAAGAUGCAUUCAGUUCUUUCUGCCCUUAGCGGUUUGAUUCAAGUUUGUCAGGUUCUGUUAACUAAAAAGGUUCAGAUUCAGAAACAUUGUUGGACUACUAGGAAGUUGGACUACUAGGAACAUGUUUAGAUUCAGGUUCUGUUAACUAAAAAAGUUCAGGUUCUGUUAACUAAAAAAGUUCAGAUUCAGAAACCUGUAAUUUCUACUUUUAUGCCUCUGUUACUCCAGUCAAAAUUUUAUGUUUGAUGCCCAUGGUAGUUGAGCUCUCACCUCACCUCACGCAACAUGCAUGAUGCCACAAUGUCUAGUAUGUACUGCCAAGCAACUGGCAAAUAAUUAUAACUUAGAAUAAAUAAAUCUGAUGUAAGAUAAGCAUGGCAUGAGCUUUAAUUAAAUAGCAUAAUACACGUUGGUAGUCCAUCUCUCUCAAAAAAAAUACAUGUUGGUAGCAGAAAAAAAUACAUGUUGGUAGCAGAAAUUUUUUUGAGCCCUUAUUAGCUACUCACACUAUUUGCCCCGCAGUUUCUCUGUCAUGGCUACCAAGUGAUUGACGGUGGGCUAGAAAAAUAAAACCACCAAACUAUCAGUAAAAGAUGUGAACCAACAUCUUUCAUUGUUAUGCAUAUCAAACACCAAGGGUUAUUUUCACUUAAAGUUUUAGAAUGGGUGCAUUACAAUUCAGUCUGAUAUCUAAUAAGACACUCUGGGCUGAUAUAAUUAUGGAACAGAACCAACCAUGAUAAAUAAAAGGUGAUGUUGUCUAUGCAUUACCAAAAAUGUAUCUUUGUGAACAAAUAAAUUGGUACCAACAGCAAUGCCAUCUUACUGUAGAAUUAGAAUACAUGGACAUGAUCAGCUCAGCUCCCAAACUGCCAUUCAUCACAUCAAUUUCCCCUUAUGUAACUCCAGUCAAAAUUUUAUGUUGGUCUACCUAGUAGAUGCCCAUGGUUUGAUUUUAUGUUUGUUCCUAUCAAUACAAAUGCUGAGCUAUGUUCCAUUUUUACUGUUCUUUGUGAUAGUUUUUGCAACUUUACUUCCCAUCUUAAGGCAAGCCCCAUUUUUACUGUUCUUUGUUAGCAGAGCUGCUUGUUUCUAAGAACUUUGAUACUAUUUGGAUCAAAGUUAAAUGAGCACAUAGAUGACAAAAAAAAGUUCAGAUUGUAAAAUGUUCAUUUUGCUGCUAGUGCCCAUUUUGAGUAAUUGCUUAGAGGGAUGAUCCUGUGUGAGCUGGUGGAGUGAUUUGUUUUCUACAUAAAGCUCUUUAGUCAGGCUGGUUUUCGUGAAAUACACAUGAAGCUUCACCAGCUCCUGUGGGUGUGGGAUCCAUGUGACAUGUGACAUUGCAUCCAUGUCCACCUGGGAUAAUGAUUUUGCAUGUACCCCGAGAGGCCCUUAAGUUUGCCGGAAUGUCGAUUAACUUCCGUUCCGGCAAAUUCGGGUACUCCAUAUGUCCUAUUUUCAGCAAAGGUCAUGCUGAAAUUUUCCGUGAAUUUUAGCAUGACUUUGCAAAAAAUAGGACAUAUGGGGUACUUGUGACUAAUGCAUGGGCCGGGGUAUCAUAGUAGUUAAUUAAGUAGGAUCAAGUGCCCCGGCGUACUUGUGACUGAUGCAUGGCUUUUAGGGUGCCUCGGUGUUGAUAAAAACCGAAAUGAUGAAAGCUUAGGCUUUUAGGGUGCCUCGGCGUCGAAAAACCCUCAAUGAUAAAAGCUUAGGUCUUAGGAUGCCUCGGUGUCGACAAACCCUAAAUGAUGAGACCAUGUCUUGUUCCUUGACAAUAACCAACUUUUUGACCAAACUUUGUUUCUAUUUAGAGAGAAACAUGGCCCACAACGAUGAGGCCGGGGGUUCGGGCGGCAAGGCAUUCUGGGAGCUGUCCCAGGAGAUGGAGGAACAACCUCACUUGUAUGAGGCCGCCGCCUUCCCCACCGAUCCUGAGACCACUGAUGGUGCCGCCGAGGAUGACCACACUGAUGCCACCACUGAUGGUGCCGCCGAGGAUGCCACCACUGAUGAUGGCAGCGCCCGCACAGAUGGCAGCCAACCGAAGAGGCAACGGAAGGACCGACGCCCGAUCGUGCUCCUCACCCUCAAGGAGGAAGUUACUGAAGUGGACUCCAACGGGUAUCCAACGGCGCCCGAACGAAUAGUCAAGGGGUACUCGCUUCAGCUCGGGUGCAUUGUCCGGAGCACCGUCUCGAUCAACACCGAGAACCUGAGGCAUCCUGACCGAGGGAAUUUGUGCCACCUCCUCUUCACGAAGCUGCACGAAUGAUACAAGUUCCCCGCUGAAUUUGCAAACAGAAGCCUCAAAGGGAAUAAAGUGAACAAUGCUGCCCUCACGAAGAUGAGCAAGGCCCUGUCUACUUGGAAAAGCAAUGUGAAGAAAAUGAUCGAUAAAGGUGAGAGUUAUCAGAAGAUCAAGGAGAAAAAUCCUUCGAUCACCAAAGAUGACUACAAUGACUUCAAGAUCAAUUGCUCGAGCACCGCAAGCUCCCAAUCAAGUGAGUGGGGGAAACAAAUGCGGGAGCUGAACAUAGGGGAACACACACUCGGUCCCGACGGUUACAGAGUGGCGGAGCCUAUAUGGGACAAGGAGGAGGCGGACCGUGCCGAGCAAGGCCUACCGCCCCUCUUCGAGAAAUACAGCGGUAACAAGCAGACCAGGAACUUUGUCAGGGCCCGGUACAAGAAGGACCCGAAAACAAAGGAGCUUACCACGGAUCCGAAGACCAGGCAGCUUGAGCUUGUUCUGGUAAGGAAUACACCCCCGCGUAAUUAGCUCCAUAUGGUUGCAUUCUAAUUAAUGAAGCCAAAUUUCUAAAUGGUUCACAUUCCUUCCGCAGGCGACUGAAAGCAGUAGCGCGGGGUCGACUAAGAGCAACCCUUGGGACACCACUCUAAAUAGGGCGAUGAAUGUAAUGAAGAAGAAGGAUAAGCUCAGUAAGCCGACGUCAGCUGGUCGUGUGGCCGGCAAAGGCUUGUCGACAAAAUGGGGGUCAUACUAUACCGCUGGUGUGCGGAAGGAGAAAAAGACCAGCUCGGAAAGCCAGGCGCGAGAGGAUCAAGAACUCAAGGAACAGGUGACGCGGAUUCCGGAGAUUGUCCAAGAGCAAGUGGAACAAUGACUCGGAGCGACGAUCACCGCCAUUGUGCCUACCUUGAUCUCGGGGUUGAGUGCGUGGAUUGCGGGCGGCCAACAGGGGCCGCCCCCGAUUCCUAGCUUCACGGCCAGCAACUCGCAUAAUGCGAUGGCGGGGCCAUUGGUGCCUCCGGCGGAGGCGGCAUUGGUGUCUCCGACGCCGGCACGGGAGCUUAAUGCACCCGGGUGUACGCCGGCCGGCACCUCUGCAGCAAGCGGCCCCUCCGUCAACUGCACGCCCGCCGUUGGCGGUGCGUCGACAUUAGCCGAGCUCGACGCCAUCAACACGGUAACUAAUUAAGCCUCUCUCGGCCGAGGACUUCAUCUCCUUGCCUUUGACUAGGCAUCCCUGACGCCCUACAUGUUUUCGCAGGGCGCCGCCGACGUUCCGUGCACUCUCCUCCACUUCGUGAACAACGAGUUGGUCGAUGUCGCCAAGGGCAAAAUCGUUCAACCGGCAACCCCUUGUUCCACGGUACCCAGAUGCCACCCAACUUGUUUAGGGUUCAACUGGUUCGGGUGUUGCCAGGCUGCGACGACUUGUUACCUCUGAUUCGACCCGUUGGGGCCGACGAUGAAGACGUGAUGACCCUCAGCGCCUGCCUGAGCUGGCCCCUAGUUUGGCCGAAGAGCCAGAUUCGUUUGGGGGCGGGGGACACCACCCCAAAGACAACACCGCCAGUCGUGCUGGUGCCAAGUCGGCCCCAUGGCAAGACCGCCGUAACGGUGCCGGACAUCCCUAUGCCACUGGAUCCAAACAUGCAUAUGGCACAGGAUCAGAAUGACGACGACAACGACGAUGAUACAUUUGGCAACGUCGAUCAGUACUUUGCCGAUCAUGGGUACGAUGGCGACUUCAUGGGGCCUCCUUCUCAAGAACCAAACCCAACAAAAGACGUGUGCGAUCUAGCUGGUACCGCAGAGAAGCCAAGUUGCAACAGGCGCCGUCUGGCGUUCAGCUCUCAGGAGACGCCUCCAGCUGCCGACUUCACCGAUCCUCAGAUAGGCGAGGUGCGAAAUAUUAUCAGCCCCAACACACUCAAGAAGGCGGUCUGUGAGCAGAACUCGGUCCCAUUACAGGAGAAGAAGAAGGCACGCAAAAGAAAGACUAAGAAGGGUGCGAGCCAGCCGGCACCGAGUACGAUCCGUGCUCAGGACGGGCCACCUUCACCGCAGGAUAUCUCGAGGAGGGUGCAUGUGGCGGGUAGGGCGAUGCUACCGACAAAUAUGCUCAAUGCUGCAACCGGUGCUAUGCGGAGUCUGCAUGACAGUGUUCUUGCUUUGGAGAAGCGGCGUCUCAGAGAGAAGGAUGUGGCAUACCCGGUUUUCGCGGCCAAGGUGCCAAAGGGCAAGGGCUUUGUGGAUAACUCCAUCGGGCGUACGAUCGUCCUGCGUUUUGAUGACAUCCACGCUAUGUUGAACCUUCAUCCGCUGCACUACACCUUCGUUCGGCUAUUUUCGCUGAGUAUGGAGAUGCGGAUCAUUCGCGACAAGACCCCGGACAUCGUGAUAGUCGACCCCUUCUACAUGCGUGCCAAGAUCUUGGGCAGCGCUGGGGACCGGCAAGUCGCGAGUUCUUACCUCGAAGGCAUCAUUCUGGCAAACCAAGAUAAGGAUAACUUCCUCGUGCCUUACUUUCCCGAGUAAGUCCUCCCCUCAACCGGCCCGUAACAUAUGAAUUCUUACAUUUCGAUCGUUUUUCUUUUAACAUUCCGUGUUUUUUGCAGUGACACACGUUGCACGCUCAUCCUCCUAAGCCCCAAAUAUUCCAUGGCCACAUAUUUCGACCCGGACUGUUAGUCGAACGUAGACUACACAAAUGUCAAGAAGGUUCUUGAUGAUGUUCUCCCCGGCUAUGCCAAAUCUGGAGGCACCUUCACCAGGCCUAAUCGUAAGUACGGCAAGCAUGUUUUCUCCCACAAUACGAUGUUCUACUGCGUCAAGCAGCCGCCUGGUGGUCAGAAGGGUGCCUACUACGCCAUCCAUCACAUGCGGGCGAUCGUACGGGACCAUCAUCAACUUCUGCUACCGAGUAAACUCAAAGAUUGGGCAAAGAGCGUGUCGGCAAUCGAGGACGCGGACCUCCGACAAGAAUUCUUUCGCAUCCAGUCGGAGUUUGCGGAAAUCAUCCAUCAAGAUGUCCUUCGUACCUCGGGGCAGUUCUACCUCAACAAUCAACCGUCCAAUAGUGACAUCGACAUAAUGCUACAAAUGCAGGCUGACAACGACCGUUAUUUCAUGACUCCCACGAUAGACGGCGGCUUCAUCCACGCUCCGGUCCCUUGAGUCGAGUCGAAAGCAGUGAUGCUGUGUCUAGUUCUGAAACAUCGAUUGGCUCAUGUUGUAAUUAAACUUUAAUGAACUUGUAGUAUGUCUCUUUGGUUUCGAGAGUCGUUCAACUUAGAUGUAAUCGAUGCUAUUAAUGUCUUGCUUUUCUCUUCCGAUUGUUCUGUUGCAUACUUAUAUAUUGCUUAUGUAUUGUCUGUGAAUUGGUACUAACGUUUCGUUUGGCUAGUGCAUAGCGAUGCCGACGUAUGUCGUGUACAAGGGUAAGGUUCCCGUAGUCUACGAUGACUGGGAGGAGUGUCGGAGACAGGUUCACCGAUUCAGCGGUAACAGUUACAAAGGGUACACCACUAGGGCCGAGGCCGAAUCUAGAUACGCCCGCUAUCUAGCGGGAGAGGGGAGGGAGCGUUGGAGGAACCGGAUGAAGACGAGUUUCAUCGUGAUGAUGCUCAUCGUGAUGACCGCAGCUCUCUUCUAUGUGAUGGUAGUUUAGAUGAUCGAUAUCGACUUGUAAUGUGAAGACAAACUCGCUACUCGCGGUCUCGAGACUUGUAAUAUAAUGUUCUAUCUUUGUUCGGUCUUUUUAAUUCGGAGACUAAUAUGAUGAAUUGUAUUCGGAGACUAAUAUGAUGAAUUGUAUUCAAAGACUAAUCUUCUAUUGUAUUCGAUGAAUCUGUUGUUGAUGUGUGCUGUCUAUAUUUUGUCAAAUUAUACAUUUUGUAACCUGUGCAAAAAACAGAAAAUAAAAAAUAAAAAAAACCUAAUAUUCAUACUAAUGACGCAUCACAUGAUAGUGCGCCAUUAGUAUGACAGUGCAUACUAAUGGCGCAUCACUGGGCAGUGCGCCAUUAGUAUGCCGCGGUUACUAAUGGCGCAUCCAGCGGUGGUGCGCCAUUAGUAUGCCAAAGCACCUGGGUAUACAUGGCCCCUGGGAGGCAUACUAAUGGCGCACCCUUGCCUAUACUAAUGGCGCACGCGCGGUGCGCCAUUAGUAUACCAGAUACUAAUGGCGCACCAGGUGGUGCGCCAUUAGUAAAAAUUACUAAUGGCGUGCUAUUAAUGGCGCACCACAGAUGCGCCAUUAAUGGCCAUUUUAGGUGCGCCAUUAGUAGGGGUUUUUCUAGUAGUGUAAUAAGCGAGAUGACGCAGUUCCUGACCGCCCCGCUACCACUACUGGUUCCAGCGUGGCGUUUGAAUUAUGCCGCGCUAGAUGCCUUUUGUCCAGCGAGGAACAAGUGGGGUCAAGCGUGCUUUGGCAAUUCCCGCCGUCAGAAGACUUCCUUGUAGUCCGGUGUAGAGGUGAGGUUGUAGGGAGAUGCAUCGACUAGGAAGGAGUGGCCACAUGAACGAGCAUAUGUAUGAUGUGAUUAAGUCUCUCGAUCGGGUAUCUGGUGCCUUACGUACGGUGUCUUAUUUUUGUCAAGCUAUGACAUCUUUCAGUUUGAGUGUCUGAUAUUAGGGUUGCAUACGUUUUGUUAUUCAGUUGCCUGUUGUCAACUCUAUGGUUAUAUCACCUCGAUGUGUGAGUCAAUGUGUUUGAACCAAUGUAGAGUUUCAUGUGAAUGUUACAAGUGUGAUUGAUAUCUUCAUGUUAUAACCGCAGUUGCCUUGGUAAGAAAUUGAAAGAGCAAACCGUUAUCGUGUUAGGAAAAAAGUCAUCGCUCAAUAUAAGUUGCUUCUCUAGAACAACCACACCUUUCCCUCAAAAAAAAGAACAACCACACCUUGUGAAAGAAGAUGGCAAACACCCAAUUAUGUCUGGUUAGAUAUGGGCAUGGCUAUGGGUAGCUUAUAGCGACACGGAAGCUAGCAUCGCCUGAAGAAACACCCGGAUGGGCCGGCCUAGAGACAAAUUUCUUCAUUUCUACCCUUAGUUUUGUUUUUCUGCCCUUUUUUCUUUAUAUUUUAUAUUUUUCCCGACAUGUUCACUACUUGAUGCUCAACUGGGAUCUCAUCUGAUGCGGAGCAUCCUAUGGACAUCACCAUGUCAAGAGUCCGUUCGGCAAGUGACACGUGUGACAUCUACUUCUCAUACAUAAAGGUGAAUCUUCUCCUUUACACGUGUUUACUUGACCCCUUCGAGGAUGGUAUACUACUUGACACUUCUCCCGUGUGCAUGCAUAGGUAUUGUCGGAGCUUCAUGGAUGUCGAGGAGGAGUGCAAGCGCCAAGGAAUGACUACACCGUCCGCGAGGGAAGCAUGGAAGAGAAGGAGGAAGAGAACCUGGCUACUCCAGAACGAGCGGUACUACUGCCCACUCCAAGCGGUACUACCGCCGAGGCCACCCAAGCGGCACUACCGCCCAGCAUCCGCCCUUCUACUGCUCAACCCGACAAACUCCAGUGAUCGAGCGGUGUAAGUCCGGUACUACUGCCCCUCCAAGCGGUACUACCGCUCAAGCGGUACUACCACCCAUGAGUCCGGUACUACCGCCCUGCCUCUGCCCAGCCGUGGGCCUUUGGCCUUGUAUCCCUCUCCCACUUACCCCUUCGUGGCUUAGACUAUAAAUAGGCCACCUCCACCUCCUUUCUAGGGUUAGCACAGAUUUAGCUCAUUUUGAGAUAGAGCUUUGCUCAUCCAUACGGAUCUACUCCUCGUGAGAGACCGCGACCUCUUCGGAGAAGAUCCAUCUUGGAUUCAAGACCCCCUCGUGGGAAGAUCCGUCUAGGAUACCAACAAGACCUCCUCUUGGAGAUGAACCUUACCUUGUAUCUUUCCCUUUGUUGUUCAUGUACCCUUGUGGAUCUUGUGUGUUUGAUUGUCUAGUGGAUGUGUGAUUGGACUUGUACUUGAGUGUUUCCCCUUGUGAUUUCUCUCCGUUCUUCCACGUGUUCUUCAUAGGGAUCCGCUCCAAACGUGAAAGAUCGGCCUCUAGGGUUCUAGCCUACAUCAUCUUGGAUCAGAGCAAGGUUGAUCACGGAUUUGGAGCCCCUACCCCUCUUUUUCUAGCCUUCUUUUGCUUGCUUUCGUCCUAAAAUCCCCACAAAAAAUAGCCCCAAUUUUUUUGUGAUUUGUUCGUUUGAUGAUUUUUUGUUGAUUUUGAUCCAUGGAUUUGCUUGGUUUUGAGUGGAUCUAGCAUCUCUCCAAGUUUCCCCACCUUCCAUCCACGAAAUCCAUCCAAUUUUGCCCCUGAAAUCAUCCUUUUCCGCCCCAAAUUCGCCCCGAUUUCGAUCUGUGAAUUUUCCCGACACGAGCGGUACUACCGCCCUCGAAGCGGUACUACCGCCCUCGAAGCGGUACUACCGCUGAGCACCACAAGCGGUACUACCACCCUCCCAAGCUAUGACGCCCGGAUAAUUAAGCUACAGUAAUCCCCUUCUAAUGGUGCCAUGUCAUCACAUUACUGUUGCUAAUCCUCGCUUGAUCCAAAUCUUAGUUCAAACUCAAAUUCAAAUUAAAGACCAAAAUUCAAAUUUCUCAAGCAUGCAAAAUAAAAUGUUCAAAGUGUGGCAAAUAAUCGCUGGAUAUUUGUCAUGUUGCAAACAACCUCUUUUGAAUUCUCAAAAUGCCCCUGGGAAUUAAUUUUUGGUCCAGUAGUAAAUUAAAUGGCAUUUGCAAAAUAAAGAAUUGUUUAUUUAACUCCAAUUGCCUCCAAACUUUAUGUGCCACUCCAAAAUAUUUGUGGCUCUGUCUAAGAUCGCCAAGGAAUUAAAAGGGCACUUCCCAUAUUUUCCCUAAGUAAAUAGUGUGCCCAAAAUAUUCUCUUAACCAUCUCUAUUUUUUUAAAUAAAAAAAGGCGAAGAAGAACUCCCCCGGGCCUCGGGCCACUCCCACUUACCAGCCCACCUAAGCCGGCCCACUCCCCCGCUCCCCUAGCCUAUAGGCCACGGCCGACCGAACCCUAACCCCGCAUGAUCCCCCCACUCCCCACUCCUCUCCCCUCUCGAUCCGAUCUGGAUCGGACCGAAACCGGCGCAAUUGGUCGAUCCAUGUAUAAAGUAAAAAUAACUAGGCCCAAUUGGUCGAUCCAUGACAGUUUUCGUGACGGUACUUCCACGUCUGUCAUGAGGGGGCUACCCUACUUGGCCCCAAAUGGAUCUUGCUAAUUGGUGACGGUUUCCGUGAUAGAUUUCUGGAACGUCACCAGAAAUCCGUCAUUGAUUAACAGAUUUCCGCACAAUCCCCCCACUCCCCACUCCUCUUCCCUCCUGAUCCGAUCUGGAUCGGACCGAAAUCGGCGCCGCGACGCCAACCGCCGUCGCUGGAGGCGUCCCCGACUCCACGCCGGGCCGCCCCGUCACUGGACCUCCUCCCCGUCGCCACUCGUCACUCGCUGGACCGCCUCGUCCCCACCAAUGCCGCCCCCACCCCAACGUCCCCGACGCCUUCGCCGUCGGCACCGCCCCAAUGUCGCCGCCACCCGACGCCGGCGCCCUCGACAUCGCCACCCCGAGCCCACUGCCACCCCUACGCUCCGCUAUGAGCCCCUCGCUGAUUCCCCCUCCUUCCCGUCGUCGUAGGUGGCUGCGCGCGUCGUUGGCCAUCGUGGCCGCGCUCCGGCCGUUCCCCAUCCGUGCGCUGGCCUCGCCUUCCUCGGAUUGCAAACAUUGAACUUUUCCCCUCGGGUUCAUCUAUCUGACAGACGUUCGGGACCAGAAAAACUUUCCCGGAUGUUUCCCCCUUCGCCAGUAUCACCUAGCACCGCGUUAGAACACUUCUAGCCCCGCUUAUUGUCUUGUUAUGCAUAUGUUUGCGUGUAUUUACUGUUUCUUCCCCCUCUUCUUCUCCGGUAGACCUCGAGACCGUUGCUGAUGCCCCUGUGGUCGACUACGUCGACGGCGACCCUCCUUGUCUGAGCAACGAGGCAAGCCCCCCCUUUGAUCAUCCCGAUAUCGCCCAUUCCAUUCUCUAAUGCUUGCACUAGAUUUUCUACUGUAUUUGAUUGCUCCUAUUCUGAUGCAUAGCAUGCUUUUCUACCUGCUGUUGUACCUUACCUGCUUAUCCUAAACUGCUUAGUAUAGGUUGGCUAGUGAUCCAUCAGUGACCCCCACCUUGUCUUUGUUGCCCCUGCUUCAUCAUUGACGACUCGAUCAACGUGAUCGACGACCGGAGCCUGACACCUCACAUCACAUCACGCCCCUUUUUGUUGCUCGACUCUGCAGAGUUACCAUCGAGUGCCGAGGGUGGAACCUCAUACAUCACUCCUUAUGAGAUCUCUGUAGUGUAGCUAUUCGGUCGUGGUCAUCGAGGGUGGUUCCUCCUUCACCAUUCCUAAUACGGCUCUGUCGUGCAACACCUCAAGUGUGAACCUCGAGGGUGGUUCCUCUUACGUUCACCUUGAUGAUUACAUCGAGUGGAAUCCACCGGGGGUGAUUCCUCGGAUUUUCCCCUUUAUGUCUGGACACACAGUUACCUUGACUUCACUUGAGACCGUUUUGAAAGCCGGGCAGGCCCGGAGAGCACCCGUGCGGUGUGACGGUGGCGGCUGGCUGUUUAGCGGUAUCACCCGGGAGGGGGUGAUAGCUCCGGACUUGUCCCGACAGCCGUCACUUCUUUUAAUAAUGCACUAACAGGUUUGGGUAUUUUUUCUAAGUUCACUAACCACGACGCUAGAAUAGUUAUGGGUCUCGAUGUUGCAGUAUCAGCCGAAGCUUUCUCAGACGUCCAGUUCAGCAUUGUGGCCGGGCCGAAUCAUGCCAUCCACUUCACGGGUGGUGCUGGUAUCCCCUUGCGCACAACGACCCAGAGUGCAACGGGCGAUGGGCCCAGACCCCGGAGUGCUUAGGAUGUAGACCGGCAGGGACCUCUCUGCUGAGCCUAGGUAGGGCAGCUACGUGUUGAUCUUCCGAGGCCGGGCAUUGACCCCAGAAAGGUGUGUCCUUCCAGAGUGAUCGAGCGUGUUGGGUAACGUGGUGCCCCCCUGCAGGGAAGAUUAUCUAUUAAUAGCCGUGUCCACGGUAACGGACGUUCAAACUUAUAUCUUGAUCUUAUACAACUACAAAUGGAUACUUGAGAUAUGUGGCUCCGGGAUUGCUUUCUCGCAGGGAGUCGAGGAAGGAUCUCUGGGCGUUGUUGUCACAACAUGCUUGUUAAUUAAACUGCUAUUCUUUACUCUUCUACAUGCUGCAAGAUGCUUGGAGCUACUUGAAGAUGCUAGUCUUCAUGAGGCUAGGCCUUCCCCUCUAUUCUGGCAUUCUGCAGUUCAGUCCACAGAUACAACCCUUCCAUUUGAUACCAAUGCAUACUUAGUAUAGAUCUGAUGCUUGCGAGUACUUUGGAUGAGUACUCACGGUUGCUUUGCUACCCCAUUUCCCCCUUCUUUCUUCUUUCCGGUUGACGCAACCAAAUGGUGGAUCCCUGGAGCCAGAUGCCAGCGCUGAUAGAUGCUACUAUGUGAAGAUCGCCGACGACCAGGAGUAGUUAGGAGGUCCCAAGCAGGAGGCCUUGCCUCUUCGAUCAUUGUUGCUUUUGUGCUAGCCUUCUUAAGGCAUCUUUGUUUAACUUAUGUCUGUACUCAGAUAUUGUUGCUUCCGCUGACUCUUGUGUAUCGAGCUAUGUAUUCAAGCCCUCGAGGCCCCUGGCUUGUAAUAUAAAGCUUGUAUUAUUUUGAUUUGUGUCUAUAGUUGUGUUGUGAUAUCUUCCCGUGAGUCCCUGAUCUUGAUCAUACACAUUUGCGUGCAUGAUUAGUGUACGAUUGAAUCGGGGACGUCACAAGUUGGUAUCAGAGCCGACUGUUUGUAGGAUCCCCCUUUCCAACUCCUUGGCUGAAGUUGAGUCUAGUCUUUGAAAAAAAUUGUUUUACUAACAUGGUUGUGUGGCUUACGGGCCCAUGUCGCCAUUGGGUGGUAUUAGGAUCUUUUACUCCUCGACCUUUACUCUGGGACUCUAAUCGCUCUUCUAUUCGGGUUAAAUGGUCUCGCAAACUAUAACUCUAGGUUCUCGUAAAUACUUUCUCCCGGAGAGCCCCUUCAUUCCAGAUGAUGGCCUGCUUCACCAGAUGAUUUCGAAGAUACCCUUCUGUAAUUUCCUGAGACUUUUGUACUCAUUGCUUUUGCAGUUCCCUACCUCUGAUAUAUCCUUACGGAUAACUUCAUACACUUGUCAUUCAUACAAUCAUUCCUAGUUGCUCUUGUUUUUACAAGAUACAUUGAAUUAUUCUCCGACUUUUAAGAAUCCCUUGCUUACUGCCCUGCAGUUCCUUGCCGCAUGAAUACCCCUACGGAUAAUUACUCGCACUUGCCGAGUAUCCGUUCGUCCAUAGUUGUUCAUGUGUUUCACAACAUUCUUUGGAAAGCUAUUUGAUCUUUUCAAAAAUCCUCAGUAGCCUAUUACUCUUGUUCCUCCUUACCUACUUACAGUAUGGUUACUUCCAUUUGUCUAGCAAUAUUCUUUAAAAUCCUUUGCGAUUGACAUCCUUACCCUAUUGUUUCAACAUGUGUGUGAAUGCACGCAAUCAUCAAUUGUUCCCUGGAAUUGUCCUUCUGGCUCAGACGUUACCCCGGACACGAGCUGGUGUUCGACAAAACAAACCUUGAUUGAUUUUGAAUCUAUGUCUAUACAACUUAAUUGUCUUUGAUCAGAGCCUCUGCUUUUGAUCCCCCAUUUUGAAAAUCAUAAUCCCCUUUGCAUUCGAGCAUAGAAUUAGUCAGUUGUUUCUAUAACCUGACCUCCUUGAAUUCUUUCUUCUUCUGGUUGAGUAUCGAUACUCACAUCAGAUCCAUUGUGGACCUCCAGGUCCUUUGUUGGUUUUUAUCCGACAGCAUCCUUCAUAUUCAGUAACCUUGUGAGCCUUUCCUCGAAUACACAAUGCCUUUGGUAAAUUGUAUCCCCCACUCUCGUCAACCAUACUCUGCUUCCGGGCUUGAGUUAUUUACUCGUGAAGUUUGUGGUAUAUGUUCCUAAUAUGUCCCUAUGGGUUGAAUCUAUGUCUUCCCUAAAUCUGUGUGAACCCUACGACUCAUACUCUACUGGUGUUAUGCCAGAUAAAAUCUCAACAGUACGGCUUCGUUGAAAAUGAGAAGUGAAUGAAAGGUUAUGCAUCGAAGAAGUGGGAGUCGACCUUGAGCCUUGUGUUCAUGCCCAUGGACACGAUGUGGAACUUAACAUGGAAGCUUCUUUUUAUAAUAAUAGCCCCCUAGCGAUAAGUACAUCUUGUAUCCAUGUGUGGUCCAUUGCAAUCGUGGUUCCGACCAUAUUGUUCUUGUUUGAUCCAUUUAUCGGACAAGUUAAAGUACUUGUCUUCUUCAAAUUGUUUCACAUGUUCAACCUCUACAUUGAUAUACCUUCGAGCAUUAUCCUCUGGUAUCUCGAGAAUAUCACGGAACUACAUAACUUCUUAUGAGUUCUUGAUCAACUAUUAUUUCUCACUGAUUCAAAUUUUUCACUAGUUGGGAGUUGUUAGACACUCGAGAAUACAGUUAACUGAUUCAAGUCUACGCUUUCCUUUCCAUUGUUCUGUUUAAUCUUUCUGGUAACCUAUCUUAUCUGAGAACUGAUAAUUCCCUGCUUAUGUAAACACCUCGGUGUACAAGCUCUGUCUGUAAGACCUUGUUACUAUUGUUGAGGACAUUCCGAUAGCUACCGAUGGACGAGAACUUUGCCUAUUGGUCCGCCUCAUCUUAACGAGCAGGAAAAUGGUUCUCUUUGUCCCUCUCCCUUGGUACCAACGUUGUUGCCAACAUAACUGACAAGUUGUCCUCUGACCUGCCUUGCUAUCAUGACCAUGCAAAAUGCUAGCGCCCUUCCUGCUUUUAACCCACAAGGUGGGCCUGAGGGAGUCCUGGACUAGGCGGUGUCCGGACAGCCGGACUAUCAUCGUCCGCCGGACUCCAAGACUACGAAGAUACAAGAUUGAAGACUCCGUCCCGUGUCUGGAUGGGACUUUCCUUGGCGUGGAAGGCAAGCUUGGAAAUACGGAUAUGUAGAUCUCCUACCAUUGUAACCGACUCUGUGUAACCCUAGCCUCCUCCGGUGUCUAUAUAAACCGGAGGGCUUUAGUCCGUAGGACACAACAUACAUUACAACAAUCAUACCAUAGGCUAGCUUUAGGGUUUAGCCUCCUUGAUCUCGUGGUAGAUCCACUCUUGUACUACCCAUAUCAUCAAUAUUAAUCAAGCAGGAUGUAGGGUUUUACCUCCAUCGAGAGGGCCCGAACCUGGGUAAAACAUCGUGUCCCUCGUCUCCGGUUACCAUCCGCCUAGACGCACAGUUCGGGACCCCCUACCUGAGAUCCGCCGAUUUUGACACCGACAUUGGUGCUUUUAUUGAGAGUUCCUCUGUGUCGUCACCAAUAGGCUCGAUGGCAUCUUCAACCAACAACGCUGUCCAGGGUGAGACUUUUCUCCCCGGACAGAUCUUUGUAUUCGGCGGCUUCGCACUGCGGGCUAAUUCGUUUGGCCAUCGGAGCAGAUCGAAAGCUACGCCCCUGGCCGUCAGGUCAGAUUCGGAAGUCUCAACUUCACGGCCGACGUCCGCGGAGACUUGAUCUUCGACGGGCUCGAGCCACAGCCAAGCGCGCCGCACUGUUACGAUGGGCAUGAUCUAGCUCUGUCGCCGAACAGUGCCUUGGUGGCCGCCCACGAAUCCGCUUCGGCCUUUAGUCCGGGGCCGAUCGCCCAGACCGAGGAACGGUGGAUGGACACCGCCUCGGGGGCUUCAACUUCCACGGCGAUGGAGCCGAACACUAAUCUUGUCCCUCGCAAAACUCGUGAUUCCGAGGUGCCGGACUCCUUGCCGGACUCCGAAGCUCCCACGCCCCUACCAACCGAAUCGGAUUGGGCGCCGGUUAUGGAAUUCACCGCCGCGGACAUCUUCCAAUACUCGCCUUUUGGCGACAUCCUGAAUUCGCUAAAGCAUCUCUCGUUAUCAGGAGAGCCCUGGCCGGACUAUGGCCAGGAUGGUUGGGAUACGGACGACGAAGAAAUUCAGAGCCCACCCACCACCCACUUUGUAGCCACUGUCGACGAUCUAACCGACAUGCUAGACUACGACUCCGAAGACAUCAACGCUAUGGACGACAAUGCCAGAGACGAACAGGAACCAGCGCCUACAGGGCACUGGAAGACCACCUCGUCAUAUGACAUAUACAUGGUGGAUACCCCAAAAGACGGGGACGGCGAAGAAACAGCGGAGGCAUAUUCUUUAAAGAAACAGCCCAAGCGCCGGCAUCAGCGGCGCUGCUCUAAAUCCCGCCACGGCAAGAAUGGAGAUUCCAGCACAGGAGAUAAUAAUACCCCAGAAAGUGCCGAAGAUAACCCCCUCCAGCAAGACUCAGCGCAGGAGGAUGCAGAAGCAAGCCCUCACGAGAAGGCGGCAGACAAAGAGGUUGAGGAUUACAACUAUAUGCCUCCCUCCGAAGACGAGGCAAGCCUCAACGAUGACGAAUUCGUCGUGCCCGAGGAUCCCGUCGAACAAGAGCGUUUUAAACGCAGGCUUAUGACCACGGCAAAUAGCCUAAAGAAAAAGCAGCAGCAGCUUCAAGCUGAUCAGGACCUGCUGGCCGAUCGAUGGACCGAGGUCCUCGCGGCCGAAGAGUAUAAACUCGAAUGCCCCUCCAAAAGCUAUCCAGGACGCAAGCUGCUCCCCCGAUUAGAGGAGGAAGCAUACAUACCUCCAUCACCAGCGCACGAUACGGCUGACCGACCACCCCGUGGUCGUGACAGAGAGGCAUCCAGGCCCCCAACCAAGACCGUACCCCGGCAUCGCUCGAAAAGUAUGAAGCCAAGAGGGAACGCGCCGGACUUGCGAGAUAUAUUGGAGGACAAAGCAAGGCAAUCCAGAUCCAUCUACGGAUCACGGGGGUGCCCCACGACCCAUGACGAAUACCGUCGCGCCGGAUACAAUAACCCCGGCCGGGCCGAACACAGCAGACAACGCUCUCUCGAGUUGCAUCGUGAUAUUGCUCAAUAUAGAGGCGCCGCACACCCGCUAUGCUUCACAGACGAAGUAAUGGAUCAUCAAAUCCCUGAAGGGUUUAAACCCGUAAACAUCGAAUCCUACGAUGGCACAACAGACCCUGCGGUUUGGAUCGAAGAUUACCUUCUCCACAUCCAUAUGGCCCGCGGCGACGAUCUACAUACCAUCAAGUACCUCCCACUCAAGCUUAAAGGACCAGCUCGGCAUUGGCUCAACAGCUUGCUCGCAGAGUCAAUUGGGUGUUGGGAAGACCUAGAAGCCGCAUUCCUUGAUAACUUCCAGGGCACGUAUGUGCGACCACCAGACGCCGAUGACCUAAGUCACAUCAUUCAGCAGCCAGACGAAUCGGCCAGACAAUUCUGGACACGGUUCUUGACAAAGAAAAAUCAAAUCGUCGACUGUCCGGAUGCAGAGGCCCUUGCAGCCUUCAAACAUAACACCCGCGACGAAUGGCUAGCCCGGCACCUGGGGCGGGAAAAGCCGAAAUCCAUGGCAGCCCUCACAUCAUUAAUGACCCGCUUUUGCGUGGGAGAGGAUAGCUGGCUAGCUCGCAGCAACAAUCUCCGUAAAAAUUCUGGCAGUCCAGACACCAAGAACAAUAAUGGCAGGUCACGUCGAAACAAAAACAAACGCCGCAUCAACGGCAAUGAUAAGGAGGAUACGGCAGUCAACGCCGGAUUCCGAGGCUCUAAACCCGGUCAACGGAAGAAGCCAUUCAAAAGAACCACUCCGGGUCCGUCUAAUUUGGACCGAAUACUCGACCGCUUAUGCCAGAUACAUGGCACCCCUGAAAAGCCAGCUAAUCACACUAAUAGAGACUGCUGGGUGUUCAAGCAGGCAGGUAAGUUAAUUGCCGAAAACAAUGACAAGGGGCUAAACAGCGAGGACGAGGAGGAGACCCGACCGCCGAACAAUAGAGGACAAAAGGGUUUUCCCCCACAAGUGCGGACGGUGAACAUGAUCUACGCGACCCAUAUACCCAAUUGGGAGAGGAAGCGUGCACUAAGGGACGUCUAUGCGAUGGAGCCAGUCGCCCCGAAGUACAAUCCAUGGUCCUCUUGUCCGAUCACUUUCGAUCGAAGAGACCAUCCGACCAGCAUACGCCAUGGCGGAUUCGCCGCAUUGGUUCUAGACACAAUCGUCGAUGGAUUUCACCUCACGAGAGUCCUGAUGGACGGCGGUAGUAGCCUGAACCUGCUUUAUCAGGACACAGUGUGCAAAAUGGGCAUAGACCCCUCAAGGAUUAAACCUACAAAGACAACCUUUAACAGUGUCAUACCAGGUGUGGAAGCCAACUGUACAGGCUCAGUCACACUGGAAGUGGUCUUCGGAUCCCCGGACAAUUUCCGGAGCGAGGAGUUAAUCUUCGACAUAGUCCCGUUUCGCAGCGGCUAUCACGCUCUGCUCGGACGAAUCGCGUUCGCAAAAUUCAACGCGGUGCCGCAUUGUGCAUACCUCAAGCUCAAGAUGCCAGGCCCUCAUGGAGUCAUCACGGUCAAUGGGAAUACGGAACGCUCCCUCCGAACGGAGGAACAUACAGCGGCUCUCACGGCAGAAGUACAGAGCAGCCUUUUAAGGCAAUUCUCGAGUCCGGCCAUUAAACGGCCGGAUACAUCAAAGCGCGCCCGAAGCAAUACCAACCAAGACCACCUGGCGUGAUCAGAGCACGCGUAGCAAUGCGGCCCCAACCCCCGCCCGCGCGUGAUUGCAAGAAUAACCCUCCGCGUACAUCAUUACGCUUUGGAGAUACCAUGGGCGCAGGGGAAGGGGCACGAUCACAACGGACCCAGAGUGCAGUUCGACCGCACCAGGGGCUCGCAAGUGUGCCCCCUUUUUUUUAUUGUUAUUUUCCCUCUUUGUGUACACAGGACUCCGUUAGCCAGAGGCCCUAUCCGGCGGUGAACCUGCCGAACUCAUGAUGCAAUAACCAGGGAAGAAAGAACGCUGCGACGAACACUCAGGUGGUCUCAAUUACAAGCAUUAAAUUCGAUUAUAUACACCAAGUCCGCAGCUUACCCUUGGAGGGGGACAUGUUUAAUUAGUCCAAAUCCCUUGCUUACCACACUAUUUGUAUCAGUCCGCACUCAUAGCAGACUUUCUUUCAUAAAUAAUGCAGCACCUUUUUGACUGCAAUUACAUUACCUUUUAUAUAUAUAUGCUCAUUACAUGACAUCUUGCACCCGUAUAUUUUGGUACGGCCUAAUACACCAGGGGCUUAUGUUCCCCACAUUAUGGUGUGAUAAGUCCGAACACUUUCGUAAGUGCAGCACCCCGAACUUAUAGCACUAUAUGAAUCGGCUCCGAAUCAUGUCUUGGGUCAAUAGUUGGGUUUGCCCGGCUCCCACGUUUUGGUGCCUUACGUUCCGUUCUGUCGGCUAAGGUGGCACUGGGAGAACCACUGCGAUUGCGCCCCGGUUGAGCCGGGCGAGCACCUCAGUGGAGAAAGCUAAAACUGACCGGCAUGAUAAGGCGAGAGACUGGUCGCUGUUCGAGAGGUUUUUUCGGGUCCUUAAAGACUCACGCCACUUCGAGCGAAGUUCCGGACCAUGUCUGACGAAGGCGUGGAUAGCGCCCCGGAUUCGGCCUUUCGGAUACCAGGGGCUUCGCCGAAAUUUAAAAUUAUAGAAUUCUAUGGCUAAGUGAGAGUGUUCAAGCAUUAUAAGUCCGGUCGCCUUGUUCGUUGUGUUGAGCACCUCCCUAGAUGGACCCAAAAAUGGGAAUAAGAGUGCUCAAGUUUAUCCCGAACACCCCAGCACUCGUGGCUCGGGGGCUGAAGCCAAUGACUUUCCAUCUCUCAGAUUUUAUAAACGGCCGCACAGAAGGUAAUAUUUUAAAUUAAAACAAGCGUUGCUCAUGGCGCAUCUGAACGAAGUUUUCAGCGCACAGGAUAAUACAUAGCGAGUUCACUCAAAGAUUACAUUUCUAGGGCACUCAUCCGCAAUAUCGCGGGCUCCCUUCAGGACAGUUUUAUAAUACAUUUCAGGCGUGCGAUACUCCUUGCCCGGCGGCGGUGGGUCUGUGAGAAGCUUCUCCGCAUCCAACCUGCCCCAAUGCACCUUUGUGCGGGCAAGGGCCCGACGAGCACCUUCAAUACAGGCGGAGCGCUUGAUGACCUCCACCCAGGGGCAUGCAUCCACCAGCCGCCGCACGAGGCCGAAGUAGCUACCAAGCAUGACCUGUUCAGGCCACAGCCGGACUAUAAGGCCCUUCAUGGCCUCUUCAGCUACCUUGUGGAGUUCGACCAGCUGCUUCAGCUGGUCGCUUGGGGGCACCGGAUGGCCUGCCUCAGCGUACUAAGACCAGAAGACCUUCUCCGUUGAGCUCCCCUCCUCGCCACGAUAGAAUGCGGCGGCAUCGGAGGCACUACACGGCAGAUCUGCAAACACCCCUGGAGAGCUCCGAAUGCGGGUAAUUGUCAGGUAGUUUACAUUAACAUGCUUGCUUUGCAUGAAAAAUGCCUUACCCGCCGCUAUCUUCUUUACAUCUUCAACCUCCUGAAGGGCCUUACGGGCCUCGGCCUUGGCGGACUUGGCACUUUCGAGAGCCGAGGCAAGCUCGGACUCUCGAGUCUUGGAGCCUCCUGCUUUUCUCGCUCCGCCCGUUCCGCGACCGCACUGCGUUCAGCCGCGGACACAGCCUCCUUCAGGGCUGCCACCUCGUUCGUGGCCCCUGCAAUACCCAUAUUAUCCUUGUUAAUUUUAUUGCAACCAAAAUCCUUUUCCGUAAGGUGACUAUUCAAAGCGGUGUUACUCACCUUCUUUGUCCUCGAGCUGCUUCUUGGCAGUGCCGAGCUCUUGCUCGGACCGCUCGAGAUCCUGCUUCAACACAUCGACCUCCGCCGUCAGUGCGGCAGAGGUCAGUAGCGCAGCCUGCAAACCCAUAUUGACAUAUUUUAAGCAACCCUGCGUAUAUCUUGUUAGAUCCUCAGUCCGGCUUUUCUUUCCGAACACCGAACUGAGCAUCAAGGGCUACUGUCUAUGCGGUAUUACAUUACAUAAUUUUAACUUCUUACCUCAAAGCCUGUUAGAAGGCUGCUGCAGGCUUCGGUCAGCCCGCUCUUGGCGAGCUAAACCUUUUGAAUCACCGCACUCAUGUUAGUGCGAUGUUUUUCCUCGAUGGAAGCGCCUUCAAGCGCCUCCAACAAGUUAUCCGGCGCCUCCGGUUGGACGGAGGUCGCCGGUGUCAAGGUCUUGCCCUUCUUUCGAAGGGGCCGCCCGCCGGACUCUAGAACCACUGCGGGUUCCGAUGUAGAGUCCGGCACAAAGUCUGGGAGGCAGCCUGACGACGCCUCCGGAGCCUCCUCCUGAUGGGUCCCUCUCUGGGAUCCCACCUCGGCGUCCCCGUCGGCGCGGGGGGUAGAGGCGGUCGGAAGUGAAUCCACAUCUAACGGGGCCAACGACCCGCUCGAUGAAGCGGGGAGAUCAUCAUCGGCCGGACUACGGACAGAACGCGGCAUUAGAAGGACACUACGCGACACGAAAGAAAUUGCAUAUCAUGGAUCCGGAUACUUACGAUCUUGUCGGACGCCUGGCCCUUGGAGGCCACUCAUCCUCGCCAACGGUGGUGUUGGCGAAACUGUCCGGGGGGAUAGUCCUCCCCCUCUUGGACCCUUCGGCCUCCCCUAUUGGGAAAGCCUUCCACUUCUUCUCUCCCUCCUCCGAGAGAGAGUCCUCUUCCUCCUCCUCGUCUUUGGGGGAGGAGUCCGCCUCGUCGUCGGACGCCUAAUUGCGGGAACUCUUUCGAGUCCCCGCGGCCACCUUCUUGGCCUUCUUCUCCGGCACCACGUGCGGUGCCGGAACCAGCAGCCCUGCUAAACGGGCGUUCUCUGGGUCUUCAGGCAUGGGAGCCGGGCUGAUGAGCUGCUUGGCCUUCUCCAUCCAUUCCUAUCAAAGGAAAAGAGAGAUUGAAACCCUCUUAGAAUCAGUUUAAUUACCACAAGUGUCCCGUAACGUGGUUGAAUCACUUACCUCGUCAGCCGGAUGCUGCGAGCGAAAUCCGUGAUCUUCCGUCGCGGAUGCGGGGGCUUCGGCGCCCUUAAACAGCACCCUCCAGGCGCCUUCGUAUGUCGUAUCGAAGAGCCCGCUCAGCGCCUGGUGCUGUUCCGGAUUGAACUCCCACAGAUUGAAUACCCGUUCUUGGCAUGGGAGAAUCCGGCGGAUGAGCAUGACUUGGACCACGUCGACGAGCCUGAGCUUAUUGCUCACCAGCUUCUGGAUGCAGGCUCGGAGUCCCGUCACCUCCUUCGGAUUUCCCCACAGCAAGCCCUUCUCUUUCCAGGAGGUGAACUGCGUGGGGACGCCAGAUCUAAACUCGGGGGCCGCCGCCCAUGUGGGCUUGCGCAGCUCGGUGAUGUAGAACCAACCCGAUUGCCACCCCUUGACGGAGUCCACGAAGGCCCCUUCGAGCCAAAGGACGUUGGGCAACUUACCCAACAUGGCGCCUCCGCAUUCCGCUUGCGUGCCCUUCACAACCUUCGGCCUCCCCUAUUGGGGAAGCCUUCCUCUUCUUCUCUCCCUCCUCCGGGAGAGAGUCCUCUUCCUCCUCCUCGUCUUCGGGGGAGGAGUCCGCCUCGUCGUCAGACGCCUGAUUGCGGGAACUCUUUCGAGUCCCCGCGGCCACCUUCUUGGACUUCUUCUCCGGCACCACGUGCGGUGCCGGAACCAGCAGCCCUGCUAAACGGGCGUUCUCUGGGUCUUCAGGCAUGGGAGCCGGGCUGAUGAGCUGCUUGGCCUUCUCCAUCCAUUCCUGUCAAAGGAAAAGAGAGAUUGAAACCCUCUUAGAAUCAGUUUAAUUACCACAAGUGUCCCAUAACGGGGUUGAAUCACUUACCUCGUCAACCGGAUGCUGCGAGCGAAAUCCGUGAUCUUCCGUCGCGGAUGCGGGUGCUUCGGCGCCCUUAAACAGCACCCUCCAGGCGCCUUCGUAUGUCGUAUCGAAGAGCCCGCUCAGCGCCUGGUGCUGUUCCGGAUUGAACUCCCACAGAUUGAAUGCCCGUUCUUGGCAUGGGAGAAUCCGGCGGAUGAGCAUGACUUGGACCACGUCGACGAGCCUGAGCUUAUUGCUCACCAGCUUCUGGAUGCAGGCUCGGAGUCCCGUCACCUCCUUCGGAUUGCCCCACAGCAAGCCCUUCUCUUUCCAGGAGGUGAACUGCGUGGGGACGCCAGAUCUAAACUCGGGGGCCGCCGCCCAUGUGGGCUUGCGCAGCUCGGUGAUGUAGAACCAACCCGAUUGCCACCCCUUGACGGAGUCCACGAAGGCCCCUUCGAGCCAAAGGACGUUGGGCAACUUACCCAACAUGGCGCCUCCGCAUUCCGCUUGCGUGCCCUUCACAACCUUCGGCUUGACGUUGAAGGUCUUGAGCCACAGGCCGAAGUGGGGCCGGAUGCAGAGGAAGGCCUUGCACACGACGAUAAACGCCGAGAUGUUGAGGAUGAAGUUCGGCGCCAGAUCGUGGAAAUCCAGGCCGUAGUAAAACAUGAUCCCCCGGACGAAUGGGUGGAGUGGAAAGCCCAGUCCGCGGAGGAAGUGGGGAAGGAAGACGACCCUCUCAUGGGGCCCAGGGGUAGGGAUGAGCUGCCCCUCGUCGGGCAGCCGAUGCGCGAUAUCGCCGGAAAGGUAUCCGGCGCUGCGAAGCUUGGUGAUAUGCUCCUCCUUAACGGUGGAGUCCAACCAUUUGCCUCCCGCUCCGGACAUAUUCGGAGAAGGUCGGGGCGAGAUGCGCGAGCUUGGGCGUUGGAGCUUGAGUGCACGGAGAUGGAUAAGCAAAGGAGGAAGAAGGCGUAGGUGAGAAGGUAAAUCCUUAUCCCUUAUAUAUAGGCGGACGAAAACUAUGCGUCCCCACCGGCCUGAUAAAACUCGCUUAUCUCCCAAGCGCCACCAUCAAUGGCGCGGUUGGGUUACCCACGUCCGUAUUGAUGGGAAUCCCGGAAUAAGGGGAACACAAUCUCUGCUUCGACAAGACGUGCCAAGGAAACCGCUUCGCUAAACGUGCUGAGGUGGUAUAGUAAAAAACGAUUCAAACAAAGGCUUGGUAGCGGUGUGAUGUCACGCCGCAUAAUACGUCAGCAGAUUGGACUGGUGUACAUUUUAUUCUCUCUACGGUGGAAUGUGGAAUUUAUUUUGCAGAGCCGGACACUAUCCUGGUGUUCAUGAUCUUCUCUGGAUUAUUCAAGGGAGGAACCCGCCUUGCAAUGCCGAACAUUAUGCGCGCCGGACUUAUCGUCAUUGAAGCCUGGUUCAGGGGCUACUGAGGGAGUCCUGGACUAGGGGGUGUCCGGACAGCCGGACUAUCAUCGUCCGCCGGACUCCAAGACUACGAAGAUACAAGAUUGAAGACUCCGUCCCGUGUCCAGAUGAGAUUUUCCUUGGCGUGGAAGGCAAGCUUGGCAAUACGGAUAUGUAGAUCUCCUACCAUUGUAACCGACUCUGUGUAACCCUAGCCUCCUCCGGUGUCUAUAUAAACCGGAGGGCUUUAGUCCGUAGGACACAACAUACAUUACAACAAUCAUACCAUAGGCUAGCUUUAGGGUUUAGCCUCCUUGAUCUCGUGGUAGAUCCACUCUUGUACUACCCAUAUCAUCAAUAUUAAUCAAGCAGGACGUAGGGUUUUACCUCCAUCGAGAGGGCCCGAACCUAGGUAAAACAUCGUGUCCCUCGUCUCCUGUUACCAUCCGCCUAGAUGCACAGUUCGGGACCCCCUACCCGAGAUCCGCCGGUUUUGACACCGACAGGGCCCAUAACCCACAGUUCCACAGGAUCGAAACCUGACUCAUGUACAUCCCUGUUUUUCAAAGUUGUUCCUCGCGCUUGGAUUCGUAUGUAAUUCACGAGCCACCUUCCUUGUGAUCUGUUCUGGUAUCAGAUGCAAUACUUAUUCCCAUUGCUCUAAACCCCUUUCACCUUCUUACCUUGCUCUCGAUGACUAUCCUGAAUUCCAACUCAAGAGAUGCCUCUAUGCCAUGUUGAGGUACCUAUCUUGUGUUGAGCUCCAUCCCUCCCGAGUCUUUCCCCCUUACUCACCCCUUAAAUCUCGAGACGAUAUUUCUUGUAGUGGAGGAGAAUUGUGACGCCCAAAUAAUUAAGCUACAGUAAUCCCCUUUUAAUGGUUCCAUGUCAUCACAUUACUAUUGCUAAUCCUCGCUUGAUCCAAAUCUUAGUUCAAACUAAUAUUCAAAUUAAAGACCAAAAUUCAAAUUUCUCAAGCAUGCAUAAUAAAAUGUUCAAAGUGUGGCAAAUAAUCCCUGGAUAUUUGUCAUGUUGGAAACAACCUCCUUAGAAUUUUCAAAAUGCCCCUGGGAGUUAAUUUUUGGUCAAGUAGUAAAUUAAAUGGCAUUUGCAAAACAAAUAAUUAUUUAUUUAACUCCAAUUGCCUCCUGUCGUGGGAAACGAACACCUAUGGGGCAGGGCCCCUUUUCGGUCUGGCAAGGGAGCGGAGGGCACACGAAGAGCAGAUCGAGGCGAAGCACGCGGGGGAAUUUUACCCAGCUUCGGAGCUCUCCGGAGAGAUAAAACUCCUACUGCUGCUUUGUGUUUCUAUUCUGUUCUUGCUCAAGAGUGUGGGUGUGUUGUAGUUUCGAAUGAGUCGAACCCCUUCUACGUGCGCAUGGGCCUCCUUUUUAUAGUCUAAAGGGGUCACCGACAGGUGGCAGCAUAGAGAGAGGGGUAAAAAAGUAAAAACGCGGGUUGGUACAACCGCUAUCAACAGUGCCCCCUACCUAACUCUGACAGCAGGGGACAAGGGCAUUUAAUGCCCAUCCGGUCGCCCAAACAGUGCAGGAAGUGACCGUUAGGGGCGCCACCAAUCGCCACGAUGGCCUCCUAGUCAUCUUCACUUGCCACCUCGCACCGCUUGGCUGCACAGCUACCCGCCACGUGCACCGGGAGCGAUCCUGCGGCGACACGUCAUCGGAUGCGCUGGAGCAUGGGCGCAGAGUUGUGGCUUUGCCGCGGCAAGCGCCUUGCCGCGGUCACUAUCUUGUUGCACCCGCAAGCUUGCCGCUCGCCGGGUCUUGGUUGGCCUUCCCGGCAAGAUCCUCCUGCCGGGGUCUUGUCCUUCCCGGCAAGCUUCUCUUGCCGGGGCUUCGUCUUCACAGUUAACACUUUGUUCUUGAAUGGCAGUAAAUAGGAAUGACGAAGGAUCUUGGCGGACGCCCGGCAAGCCUUGCCGCAGGACGCUGCGCCUGCCCGUGCACAAGUUCGGGGUACUAAGGUACCCCUACUUUAGUACACCGACUGGAGCCCCCGGGCCUGGGCCAUACACGGUGCUGAGCGCUGUUGGGCCAGGCCCAAAACAGGACACGGGCACGCGCGGCCUGGGUCCUAACUAAAUCCACUCCGUAUCCACCGCGUCCUCCCGUAACGGCACGCGUCAAUCGCGGCGUCGUGGGAGAGAUCGUGGGUGGAAGACGUUCGCGCGUAUCCACAGCCUGAUGGAGGGGUUUACCCUCCAUUUUAAGUUAAUGGAGGGCGAUCUCCUCUCCGUCAAGGUCUUCGGGUGCUUCGACACUCGGGCGAAGUGCUGCGUGGACAGCUCCUCCGAUAGCAAAGGCUCCCCCUCGAGCGAGAGCGACAAGGAGGAGAGCAACAGCGAUGAUGAGGGUAGCGGGCGGCGGGAUGGCGGGCCCGACUAGGUGUCGGGCGCCGCUUCGUGCGUCACCGGUGACCCCAUCAUCCGUGUCGCCGGCUCCUUGAACUCCCCGGGGUCGUCUCCUUGGGCGGCUGGCGUAGGGAGGCUGCGGAAGGGGAAGAGGGCUGGCGACAAGGCCGUCAAAUCGGAGUACGAGGGCGUAGUGCCCUCGACAGCGUGCUGACGUCCUGCCGCCCCAUCUUCGAGCCCCGCUUCCAGCGCCGCCAUCACCGUCCGGCCUUCGGACGGCCCCCGGGAUGUUCUCUUGGUGUCUUCGCCUAGGCGCCUCUUUUGCCCUUUUCGCCUCCUUGACCUACAUCCUGAAGAGAGGGACAGGAAAGGGAUUACGGGCAUCUUAUCUUUUUAAUUUGUAAGCCUUCGGGCCCUAGUCGCAUCUAAAACUUGUAACCCUCUCUUUCAUGUUUUUCAUCCUCUAUGGACUGUACCUGAGUGUGAUGUUUUUUUAAUGAAAAAGGGAUGCUUGCCGGGUUAUUUGUCUCAUGGGUUGAACCCACGCCAAGGAGCAAAUCCUUGGUAUCCCUCGGACAGGCAUUUCAUCUCCCGCCAACAGGCCCUGCCGCCUUCCCACGUCGCUCGACCUUUCUCACGCCUUUGACGGAGGCGGGAACGAGGUGGGUGCGGCCUCCUCAUUUCAUCCCUUUGCUGCUGUGACUACGACCAAACUUGGCCCCGGGAACGAGCCCCAGGGCCUAGAGUUGAGGGAGCACGGCAGUUUUCGGGAAGAAACGCGGUUUCGCAUUCCCCAGUCCAUAAGAGGAUGCAUGAUGAGGGACGAAAGACUUAUCUGAUAUCGCAGCCCCCGGCAACUCUGGCUUGCCGUGGAUGAAUCUUGGUACUCGCAGCCCCCAGCAACACUGGCUUGCCGGGGCCCAGGUGCCGGCGCGCCCUUCUUCUCCUUUCCUUGUCGCUGUUAUUUCAGUUAUGAGAACAAUUUAGUCAGUGCCGCAAUAAGUUACUCUUGUAAUAUAACUUUAUUCUGGGCAAUGCUUGUUAUGUUACAUCCUUUAUUUGAUUCCAUUCCUUGUAUGUUUGUACCCUUACGCUUUUACGGAACUUGCCGGUGCAAACACGCUUGCCACGAGCGCUGAGUGCAAAACAUCAGCAGCCUUCUAGCGGUGUUGCCUCCGGCAAGAAACCUUGUCGGGGCUAGUCGCAGCACACUUUCAUUGUUGAGCGGACUCAAAACAAAGUAAGGGUGCAACUUAACCACGAGCCGGUUCCUCUGCGCACAGGUUUUCCAUACAAGGCAUGGUCGUUCAAGGAAUAUAACUUAAAAAUUUAAAACUGACUGUGCUUAAACUUCGGCAACUUAGCUUUUUUGUUGUUUGUGUCCNNNNNNNNNNNNNNNNNNNNNNNNNNNNNNNNNNNNNNNNNNNNNNNNNNNNNNNNNNNNNNNNNNNNNNNNNNNNNNNNNNNNNNNNNNNNNNNNNNNNNNNNNNNNNNNNNNNNNNNNNNNNNNNNNNNNNNNNNNNNNNNNNNNNNNNNNNNNNNNNNNNNNNNNNNNNNNNNNNNNNNNNNNNNNNNNNNNNNNNNNNNNNNNNNNNNNNNNNNNNNNNNNNNNNNNNNNNNNNNNNNNNNNNNNNNNNNNNNNNNNNNNNNNNNNNNNNNNNNNNNNNNNNNNNNNNNNNNNNNUGUGGGCGCAGGAAUCUUCUCUUUGAGAAAAAGGAAGAAGAGAAAAUAAAGUUAUGGAGCCUUAAGGCUUGUUAUUGCUUACCGGGGGCAAGUUCUGCACAAAGUGUCAGUGUAUACAUGCUAAAAAGAAAAAGGCAUGAAUUUUGACAAUAUGUACUAAACAUAUGAUCUUUAUUUAUGCACGGGAUCUGCGCCCGGCUUUGUACAAAGGGUUACAUGCAACAACGGCAAGGCUUGUACAAAAGGUGGUUGCCAGGACAGCAGGUUCCGGCAACCGCGCCUUAUGGGUAAAACUUACGAAGAUGAUCUAUGUUCUAGGAGUUGCUCACCGGAAUGCCAUCUUCGGUCUCAAGGCGGACAGCGCCAGGCCUAGUGACUCGCUUUACCCGAUAAGGGCCUUCCCACUUCGGCGUCAACUUGUUGGAAUUCUUGGCAGAUUGAACGCGCCGAAGAACAAGGUCACCUUCCUCGAAGCUUCUGGCAUUAACUUCGCGGCUAUGGUAGCGGCGCAAAGCUUGCUGGUAGCGAGCAGCUCGUACAGCAGCCUGAAGACGAUCCUCCUCGAGGAGCAGCGCGUCAUCUUGCCGCAGCUGCUCUUGCUCAAGCUCAUCAUAAGCGAGCACUCGAGGCGAUCCGUAUACGAGUUCUGUGGGGAGAACUGCCUCUGCUCCAUAGACAAGAGCAAAAGGUGUCUGGCCAGUGGCUCGAUUUGGCGUCGUCCUGAUCGACCAAAGAACCACCUGUAGCUCCUCGAUCCAAUUUCUUCCGCACUUGUGCAGCCUGUCGAAAGUUCUGGUCUUGAGCCCACGCAGCACUUCAGCGUUUGCCCUCUCCGCUUGACCGUUGCUUCUCGGGUGAGCAACAGAAGCGAAGCAGAUCUUGGCGCCAAGAUCUUGGACGUACUGCAUGAAGGUGCAGCUCGUGAAUUGUGUGUUGUUGUCGGUGAUGAUCCUAUUAGGGACUCCGGAACGGCAAACAAUUGACCUGAAGAACUUGACUGUUGACUGUGCUGUCACCUUCCUCACUGGCUCCACCUCCGGCCACUUCGUGAACUUGUCGAUGGCCACGUACAAGUACUCGAAGCCCCCGACAGCUCGGGGAAAAGGGCCAAGGAUAUCAAGCCCCCAGACUGAAAAUGGCCAGGAUAAAGGGAUUGUUUGGAGAGCUUGAGCUGGUUGAUGAAUCUGUUUGGAGUGGAACUGGCACGCUUCACACUUGGUUACUUGUGCAGUCGCAUCCUGGAGGGCUGUUGGCCAAAAGCAACCUUGCCGGAAGGCUUUACUGGCAAGUGCUCUUGCGCCAAUGUGGUGGCCACAUAUGCCUCCAUGUAUCUCCGCCAACAGCUCUUGUCCUUCUUCCCGGGAAAUGCACUUCAAUUUCACUCCGUUGAAUCUUCUUCUGUACAGUAUGUCAUCGACAAACUGAUACAUACUUGAUUGUCGGGCUACUUUCUCUGCUUCUUCUUGCUCUUCGGGAAGUUCUCCUGUUUGAAGGAAAUGGACGAUCUGCUGUGCCCAUGCCGGAGCUUGUGGCUCGACGACAAGGACUAAAGGCGCAAAUGCUGCUGCGGGAACAUCCGCUUCUACGGCAAGAAUAUGAGAUCCUGCCGGAGCGUGAUGCUCCCCGGCAAGCGUGCCGGGGCACAGCUUGUCGGGAGCGUCUGCUUCAACGAAACAAACCCUAGGGCUUGUCGGAGCAGACUGCUCCUCAGCACUUUCUAUGUUGAUCCUGGGGACCUUCUUGGCGGCGGCUUCGGGGAGCUCUGCCGGAAAGUAGUCGCCAGUAACCAACUUUCUCUUCUUGCUCUGUCCAGUUGAUGGUGUUACAGAUGGCUGAGUCAGCUUGAGCACAAAAAUACCUGGUUCCACAGGUAACUUGAGUGCGGUGCACUUUGACAGGCCGUCUGCAAUGUCAUUCUGAGCUCUUGGAACAUGUUCCAUCUGCAGGCCGUCAAAAUGCUCUUCCAGCUUCCUCACUUCAUCAAUGUAGGCCUCCAUCAGCGGACUCUGAUAAUCUGUGUUAACUUGGCGGACGACAAGCUGUGAGUCACCCCUGACAAUAAGCUUCUUGAUCCCAAGUUCUGUCGUGAUCCUGAGUCCGGCAAGCAGGCCCUCAUAUUCUGCAGUAUUGUUUGUUGCUUGCUCCUUGGGAAAGUGCAUUUGGAUCAUGUACUUGAGGUGCUCUCCGGUGGGUGCGACAAGUAACACACCCGCACCGGCGCCUUGCAGCGAGAAAGCACCAUCAAAGUACAUGAUCCAUUCCCUGUUUGCUUCCUUGACGGGGAUCCUCGUCUCCGGAGUUUCUUCAUCUGGUGUUGGCGUCCACUCCACUAUGAAUUCUGCCAAUGCUCGGCUCUGGAUAGUUGAAGUACUUUCAAACUUGAGGCCAAAGCUUGACAGUUCCAGUGCCCACUCGACAAUCCUGCCUGUUGCUUCUGGAUUUUGCAAUAUCCUCUUCAACGGAAAGCGAGUGACAACUGUGAUCUGAUGUGCUUGAAAAUAAUGGCGCAGCUUCCUCGAGGCCAUGAGAAGGCCGAAAAGCAACUUUUGCACUCCAGAGUAUCUUGAUCUAGCCACCUGCAGAAGGGAGCUGACAAAAUAAACUGGGUGCUGCACCAUCUUCUUUUGUUUCUCUGCCUGCGGCUGCACAGACUCAUCCUUGUCGGGACCAGAGCUUGACGGAGAAGCCCCCUGCUUGUCGCUGGACUCGCUUGCCGCGGCCGCUGGCUCAUCAUCUGCCUCCCUCUCUGCUACUAACGCAGCACUAACCACUUGAUUGGUUGCUGCUAGAUACAGCAGCAACUUCUCUUGCGGCUUAGGUGCGACAAGUACUGGAGUGGAGGAUAGGUAUCUCUUCAAGUCCUGUAGCGCAGCCUCCGCUUCUGGAGUCCAUUUCAUUGGACCUGCCUUUUUCAAAAUUUUGAAAAACGGCAGGGCGCGCUCAGCAGACUUAGAGAUGAACCUACUGAGAGCAGCAACGCAGCCGGCAAGCCUUCGCACAUCCUUGAGGCGCUUCGGGGCUUCAAUCUGCUCGAUGGCCUUGAUCUUGUCGGGGUUGGCUUCGAUCCCCCUCUGGGACACGAAGAACCCGAGAAGCUUGCCGGAAGGAACUCCAAACACGCACUUCUCAGGGUUCAACUUGAGAUUGAUCUUGCGCAGAUUUGCAAAAGUCUCAUCCAAAUCUUGGAUCAAAGUUUCUCUAUCUUUGCUCUUGACCACUAUAUCAUCCAUGUAUGCUUCUACAUUCCUGUGCAGCUGUGGCUCAAAAGCAUGACUGACUAGUCUUGCAAACGUUGAACCAGCAUUCUUUAGUCUGAAAGGCAUUCAUACAAAGCAGUACGUGCCACAUGGAGUAAUGAAUGCGGUGUUCUCUUCAUCCUCUUUUGCCAUGAAAAUCUGAUGGUAUCCUGAGUAUGCAUCAAGAAAUGAAAGCAGAUCACAUCCUGCCGUGGAGUCGACAAUCCGGUCAAUGCGCGGCAAGGGAAAUGGAUCUUUGGGACAAGCUUUAUUAACAUCCGUGAAGUCAAUACAAAGCCUCCACUUCCCAUUCACCUUGCGCACAAUUACUGGAUUGGCUAACCACGUUGGAUGGAGUACUCCUCGGACGAGGCCUGUUGCUUCCAACUUCUUGAUCUCUUCUGCUAUGAACUCUUGGCGUUCCGCCGCUUGCUUCUUGACUCUCUACUUGACGGGCCGCGCGUGAGGACAGACGGCAAGGUGGUGCUCAAUUACUUUCCUGGGAACACCGGGGAUGUCAGAUGGUUGCCAUGCAAACACAUUGACAUUCGCCCGCAGGAAAGCAACGAGCGCGCUUUCCUAUUUAGGGUCAAGCGUGGCACUGAUGGUGAAGGUACCACUAGUGCCGUCCUCCUUGGCGGCCACUUUCUUGGUAUCAGGUGUCGCUAUCUUUGCCCUCUUGCACUUGCCGGUGGAGCUCGAUGGUGCGUCCUCGACGGUAGCACAGCACUCCGAAGAGGUGCGCUUGCCGGAGUGGGCAUCAGAGCUACUCUUGCCGGACUUGGUCUUCUUCUUCUUCCCCCCGGGAGCUUCAGCGGCAAGUGGUUUGUGCUCUGCUGCGGCUGCUGCUUCCUGGUAGAUCUUGUCGGUGCAGAUAAGCGCAUCCUUCUUGUCGCCUUGGACAGAAAUGACGCUUAUCGGACCGGGCAUCUUGACCACGUUGUAAGCAUAAUGAGAGGCUGCCAUGAACUUGGAAAGCGCUGGACGGCCGAGUAUCCCAUUGUAGGGCAACGGGAAAUCAGCAACAUCAAAUGUGACUCUCUCUGUCCUGAAGUUCAGUUUGCUGCCAAAUGUCACUGGUAGUGUAAUCUUCCCCUUGGGCUUGCUCCUUCCCGGGUUGAUUCCUUGAAAGGUACCAGUUUCUUCGAGCUCGCUGUCGGGGAUCUGGAGCUUGUUGAGCACCGCGGAAGAGAUCAGAUUUAGGCCGGCCCCACCGUCAACCAACAUCUUCGUGACCUUGAGGUUGCGGAUGGUUGGCGAAACCAACAUCGGCAAGCACCCGACCGCAGUGAUGCGAUCAGGGUGAUCCUCAACAUCAAAGACGAUGGGCGUACUGGACCACUUCAGGGGCUUGCGCGAUUCGACUGAUGGUUCAGCUGCAUUUACCUCCCGCACCCACUGCUUGAGUUGGCGGUGCGAGGUGUGCAGAGAAGCACCGCCGUCAACGCACAAAACCUCUGUUGCCUUCUGAAACUCUUGCUCGUCGGUCUCAUCCUCGUCCAUCUCAUCAUCCUCAUCUUCAUCUUCGUCCUUGUCACGGCCACGGGGAGGUCUGUCUCCUUGCCGCUGCUUGGCCUUGCCGCGGCGCCCUCCCCGGGCGGGACGCUUCUUGCCGGAUCCUCCGCCACCUUCCUGGGCCUUCUCCUUGUCGCGACGCUCGUAUUCAGCUUUCUGUAGUUCUGCCAUUUGCUCAACCUUCUUGCAUGCUUGGAGGUCAUGGCCCUUGGUGCGAUGGAUCUUGCAGUACUGCUUGCCGGAACAAUCCUGCUUGUCGGCGGCCACCACAGCCUCGCCGGAGUCACCAGCUUUGGCCUUGUCGGCGCCGCCUCCGUUGCCGGACUGCUCAACAACUAGCACAUCCUUAGCCUUUCUCUUUCUAUUAUUCCGCCUCCGGUUCUUCUUUGCCGGAGGGACGUCCUCAUUGUCCGAUCCUUCUGCUCCUGCAUUCUCUCCGGGAAGUUUCCUCCCCUCUUCAGCUCGUGCACACUUGUCAGCCAGAGCAUAUAGCUCGCUGACAUCUCUAAUCUUGCACAUCGCCAUCUCCUCCCUCAUCCUGCGGUUACGCACGUUCUGAUGGAAUGCGCUGAUAACCGCGGCAGGGUGGACGUCUGGGAUGUUGCGCUGCACCUGGCUGAAUCUCUGUAUGUACUUGCGCAGGGGUUCUCCUUCUUUCUGGGCGAGCAGAUGAAGAUUGCUCUCCUGACCAUGGGGUUUGUGGCCGCCUGUGAAGGCGCCGACAAACUGAUGGCACAGGUCCGCCCACGAAGAGAUGGAGUUGUCCGGCAAGUGCAUGAGCCAAGAUCUGACGUUGGGCUUGAGCACCAGCGGGAAGUAGUUGGCGAGGAUCUUCUCGUCGCGCCCCCCGGCAGCCUGCACCGCGAUGGUGUAGACGCUGAGGAACUCUGAUGGAUGUAUCCUGCCAUCGUACUUCUCGGGUAUGUCCGGCUUGAAGUUCUUGGUACUGGGCCACUGGACUUGCCGCAGCUCACGGGUGAACGCAGGGUAACCUGCCGCGUACGGCAAGUCGCCUGGUUCCCCUGGCGCAUGCAUAUCGACAGUGGGCCCAGCGCACUGGUCAGAUUAAUGUCGCGCUUCUCUUCUGCGCUCGAUGCGAGUACGAGCGUCUCUGUGUCGUCGUUCUUGGAGAACUUGGCGUUGAUCGCGGCGAGCUCGCGGGUCCGACGACGCGGUGGAGUCGGUGUCGAGGUUGGAACGGCGAGUUGGCGAUCAUGGCCUUCGGGGCGGGGAGUGCACGGUGGUGGCACCCCCAGCGGUCUUGUCGGUGUCGGCUUGCGCCCGGGCGUCUUGCCGGGGCUUUCGAUGUGCUCGGUUGCCGGGGCUUGUCGCCGUUGGCGAAGCCGAUGAGGCUUUGGAUGGUGAUCCUCCAGUCGUCGAUCUUGUCUGGCGCUGGAGGGUAAUCUAGAAGCAGCUGGGCUCGGGCCAGCGCUUCCUCUGGAGUCUUGGGCGGCGGUGGCGAGCGACGCGAGGUGCGGGAUAUGCUCAAACUUCUAACAGUGUUAGAAGGAGCAACAUCUCGCCCAGGCGACCGUACUUCGCUCGUGCCAGCGUGUUGACGUGUAUGUUGGCCUUGAGCGUCCCGCGAUCCGCCGGCUUGGCCUUGUUCCAACACGAGCACGGUGCUAGGAGUACCGUGGCAUUGCCGAUCUUGCACCUCCUGGGAGGGGUACGGUGGAUGUACAGACGCUGAAGCUUGCGGGGCCUUGUCCUCGGACCUGGUGACGAUGUGAGUCCCCCCGUCGGCGCCCGCUCCUCCGCCGGCGUCCACCCCACCACCCGUUUGCUCCGGUGGCGGUAGGAUAGUCGCAAACGGAGUGGCCACCUCCGAAGCCUUCUUCUUCGGUGGCAUGUCGAUGAAGAUGUUGAUGUAGCGCGCAGAUGCCGGAUCAGGUACGCACAACCUCGACGCCCACCUACCUGGCGCGCCAAAGAUGUCGUGGGAAACGAACACCUAUGGGGCAGGGCCCCUUUUCGGUCCAGCAAGGGAGCGGAGGGCGCACGAAGAGCAGAUCGAGGCGGAGCACGCGGGGGAAUUUUACCCAGCUUCGGAGCUCUCCGGAGAGAUAAAACUCCUACUGCUGCUUUGUGUUUCUAUUCUGUUCUUGCUCAAGAGCGUGGGUGUGUUGUAGUUUUGAAUGUGUCGAACCCCUUCUACGUGUGCAUGGGCCUCCUUUUUAUAGUCUAAAGGGGUCAGCGACAGGUGGCAGCGUAGAGAGAGGGGUAAAAAAGUAAAAACGCGGGUUGGUACAACCGCUAUCAACAGUGGCCCCUACCUAACUCUGACGGCAGGGGACAAGGGCAUUUAAUGCCCGUCCGGUCGCCCAAACAGUGCAGGAAGCGACCGUUAGGGGCGCCACCGAUCGCCAUGAUGGCCUCCUAGUCAUCUUCACUUGCCACCUCGCACCGCUUGGCUGCACAGCUACCCGCCACGUGCACCGGGAGCGAUCCUGCGGCGACACGUCGUCGGAUGCGCUGGAGCGUGGGCGCAGAGUUGUGGCUUCGCUGUAGCAAGCGCCUUGCCGCGGUCACUAUCUUGUCGCACCCGCAAGCUUGCCGCUCGCCGGGUCUUGGUUGGCCUUCCCGGCAAGCUCCUCUUGCCGGGGUCUUGUCCUUCCCGGCAAGCUUCUCUUGUCGGGGCUUCGUCUUCACAGUUAACACUUUGUUCUUGAAUGGCAGUAAAUAGGAAUGACGAAGGAUCUUGGCGGACGCCCGGCAAGCCUUGCCGCAGGACGCUGCGACUGCCCGUGCACAAGUUCGGGGUACUAAGGUACCCCUACUUUAGUACACCGACACCUCCAAACUUUAUGUGGCACUGCAAAAUAUUUGUGGCUCUGUCUAAGAUUGCCAAGGAAUUAAAAGGGGAACUUAACAUAUUUUUCCUAAGUAAAUAGUGUGCCCAAAAUAUUCUCUUAACCAUCUCUGUUUUUUUUAAUAAAAAAAGGCGAAUAAGAACUCGCCCGGGCCUCGGCCUACUCCCACUUACCAGCCCACCUAAGCCGGCCCACUCCCCCGCUCCCAUGGCCUAUAGGCCAUGCUCAACCGAACCCUAACCCCGCACGAUCCCCCCACUCCCCACUUCUCUCCCCUCCCGAUCCAAUCUGGAUCGGACCGAAACUGGCGCCCCGACGCCAACCGCCGUCGCUGGAGGCAUCCCCGACUCCACGCUGGGCCACCCCAUCACCUGACCUCCUCCCCGUCGUCGCUCGUCACUCGCUGGACCGCCUCGUCCCCACCAACGCCGCCCCGAGCCCAACGUCCCUGUCGUCGUCGCCGUCGGCAUCGCCCCGAUGUCGCCACCACCCGACGCCGGCGCCCUCGACAUCGCCACCCCGAGCCCACUGCCACCCCUACGCUCCACUGUGAGCCCCUCGCCGAUUCCCCCUCCUUCCUGUCAUCGUAGGUGGCCGCAUGCGCUGUUGGCCACCGUGGCCGCGCUCCGGCCGUUCCCCAUCCGUGUGCUAGCCUCGCCUUCCCCGGCUGCGGCCACCAGCCUCCUCGUCGCGCUCCCGCCUUCGCCCACACCUGCCCCUGUACGCCCAGCCGCUGCUGCUCGCCGGAUCCGCAUGUUCGCCCCCUAGCUUCGUCUCCGGCCGUCGAGUCCGCACCCGAUGCCGGCGCCCCAGCGCGUCCAUGCGCCCGUACGGGCGGGCGCCCACGCCCAUGCCCCUCCGCCCGUUAGCCCGCCCCGCUAAGGCCUGGGCACCUAACCAAGGGGCCCCACGCCCCUGUGUAAUAAAAAAGAUUUAAAAAAAAUAAAUAUAAAUAUAAUUAGUUAAUUAGUUAAUUAAUUGUAUAGUUAAUUAACUAACUUAAUUAACCUUGCUUAGUUAGCCUAAUGAACUAGUUUAGUUAAUUUAAAUCUGUUAGAUAGGUCUAUGAGAGAACGACCCCACAUGUCAGUUUAACCAGUCAACACUCUUUUGACUGCUGACAUCAUGAUGACGUCAGGCUGACAUCAUAAUUCCAAUUUUGAAUUAAUAAUAAUUUCAGAAUAUUAUUAAAACUUUGAAAAAUCAUAGAAAAUAAACCGUAUCUCGGAUGGAAGUUGCUUGGAACGACGAGACAAAUCCGAAUGCGCAGUUCGUUCAUCUGUCACGCGUCCCUAGCAUAGCAAACGUUGAACUUUUCCCCUCCGGUUCAUCUGUCUGAUAGACGUCCGGAACCGGGAAAACUUUCCCGGAUGUUUCCCCCUUCGCCAGUAUCACCUAGCACCUCGUUAGAACACUUCUAGCCCCGCUUAUUGUCUUGUUAUGCAUAUGUUUGCGUGUAUUUACUGUUUCUUCCCCCUCUUCUUCUCCGGUAGACCUCGAGACCGCUGAUGAUGCCCCUGUGAUCGACUACGUCGACGACGACCCUCCUUGUUUGAGCAACCAGGCAAGCCCACCCUUUGAUCAUCCCGAUAUCGCCCAUUCCAUUCUCUCAUGCUUGCACUAGAUUUUGCUACUGUAUUUGACUGCUCCUAUUCUGAUGCAUAGCCUGCUUUUGUACCUGCUAUUGUAACUUACCUGCUUAUCCUAAAUUUCUUAGUACAGGUUGGCUAGUGAUCCAUCAGUGACCCCCACCUUGUCUUUGUUGCCCCUGCUUCAUCAUCGACGACUCGAUCAACGUGAUCGACGACCGGAGCCUGACACCUCACAUCACAUCACGCCCCUUUUUCUUGCUCGACUCUGCAGAGUUACCAUCGAGUGCCGAGGGUGGAACCUCAUACAUCGCUCCUGAUGAGAUCUCUGUAGUGUAGCUAUUCGGUCGUGGUCAUCGAGGGUGGUUCCUCCUUCACCAUUCCUAAUACGGCUCUGUCGUGCAACACCUCAAGUGUGAACCUCGAGGGUGGUUCCUCUUACGUUCACCUUGAUGAUUACAUCAACUGGAAUCCACCGGGGGUGAUUCCUCGGAUUUUCCCCUUGAUGUCUGGACACAUAGUUACCUUGAUACUUGAGACCGUUGUGAAAGCCGGGCGAGCCCGGAGAGCACCCGUGCGAUGUGACGGUGGCGGCUGGCUGUUUAGCGGUAUCACCCGGGAGGGGUGAUAGCUCCGGACUUGUCCCGACAUCCGUCACUUCUUUUAAUAAUGCACUAACACGUUUGUGUAUUUGUUCUGAGUUGGCCUCUGGCCUUUACGCACUAACCACCACGCGAGAAUAGUUAUGGGCCUCGACGUUGCAGUAUCUUUCGAAGCUUUGUCAGACGUCCAGUUCAGCAUUGUGGCCGGGCCGGAUCGUGCCAUCCACUUCACCGGUGGUGCUGGUAUCCCCUUGUGCACAACGACCCGGAGUGCAAUGGGCGAUGGGCCCAGACCCCGGAGUGCUUAGGAUGUAGACCGGCGGGGACCUCUCUACUGAGCCUAGGUAGGGCUGCGACGUGUUGAUCUUCCGAGGCUGGGCAUUGACCCCAGAAAGGUGUGUCCGGCCAGAGUGAUCGAGCGUGUUGGGUAACGUGGUGCGCCCCUGCAGGGAAGAUUAUCUAUUAAUAGCCGUGUCCAUGGUAACGUACCUUCAGACUUAUAUCUUGAUCUUAUACAACUACAAAUGGAUACUUGAGAUAUGUGGCUCCGGGAUUGCUUUCUCGCAGGGAGUCGAGGAAGGAUCUCUGGGCGUUGUUGUUAAAACAUGCUUGUUAAUUAAACUGCUAUUCUUUACUCUUCUACAUGCUGCAAGAUGCUUGGAGCUGCUUGAAGAUGCUAGUCUUUGUUUGGCUAGGCCUUCCCCUCUAUUCUGGCAUUCUGCAAUUCAGUCCACAGAUACAACCCUUCCAUUUGAUACCAAUGCAUACUUAGUAUAGAUCUGAUGCUUGCGAGUACUUUGGAUGUGUACUCGCGGUUGCUUUGCUACCCCUUUUCCCCCUUCUUUCUUCUUUCCGGUUGACGCAACCAUAUGGUGGAUCCUUGGAGCCAGAUGCCACCGCCGAUGGAUGCUAGUACGUGAAGAUCGCCGACGACCAGGAGUAGUUAGGAGGUCCUAGGCAGGAGGCCUUGCCUCUUCGAUCGUUGUUGCUUUUGUGCUAGCCUUCUUAAGGCAUCCUUAUUUAACUUAUGUCUGUACUCAGCUAUUGUUGCUUCCGCUAACUCUUGUGUAUCGAGCUAUGUAUUCGAGCUCUCGAGGCCCCUGGCUUGUAAUAUAAAGCUUGUAUUAUUUUGAUUUGUGUCUAGAGUUGUGUUGUGAUAUCUUCCCGUGAGUCCCUGAUCUUGAUCGUACAUAUUGGCGUGCAUGAUUAGUGUACGAUUGAAUCAGGGGCGUCACACAAGCGGUACUACUGCCCCACCCAGUUUCAGCAUUUCGAGUUUCACCGUUUUGCCCAUAACUUCCACAUCCGGAGUCCGAUUUUUGCAUUUUUUAGCUCGUUGAGUAGCUAUUGACAUCCCCCAUCCAUCUAUAUAGGUUCCAACACCAUUUGACUCCAUCAAAUUUUCCAAAAUUUGGAAAGUUUGCCUAGGCCGUCCACCAUAUCAUCUGCAUAGCCACCACCGACCACCGCAACCUAACCCAUUUUGUUCCCCUUAGCAUUUGAGGUUGUUUGAGUUGUGGCUUGUGUCUCCUAAGGUGUUUCGGCUACUUAGGGAUGGUAACUUCAACUCCAACACGUGUAUAGCCCAUCAUUCCACUUCCGCAUUGCCGAGUGCAAACCACCACCUCUUUCCACUACCACCAUUUGACAUUUACCUUUGUAGAUUUUGAGUUUGCGAUUUUUCCGUUUCCUAGGGUGUUUUGGCUAACUAGGAAUGGGUCGACAUCAGCAACAUCGCCUCUCAUCAUCGCCAAGGACGGUAACCUCGAUGACACCAUUGUAUAUUCCCUUGCCAUUGCAUUGAUAACCCCUAGCCCAUUUUGCGUCACUUGCCUAUCGAGACUAGCCGUUUGAGUAUUGCCGGCAACGUGACUUGUGCACAUUAGUGAUCAUACUUCCCAUAGCAUCAUACCAUAUCAUCGUGGUGCAUAUAUUGGUAGCAUAUCUUGCGUCACAAGUUUGUUGCCGCAUAUACACAAUUGCUAUCUUGGUUUGUGCAUUAUGCAGAAGUGGCCAUACAAAAAAGAGAAAUAAAGCUUUUAAGCAAAAGAAAGAGAGAAAAGAAGCUUGUAAGCAAGUGCCAUAGCAUCAUACCAUAUUGCACAUAAGAUUGUCAUAUCCGAUCAUCUUGGAUCAUCUUGAGAGAACAUCGGGAACCAUACAUACAUAGCAUACUUGGGAUAGAAAGUAUAUCCAUUUGGCAUCUUGUAGGUUGUGCACAAGUGUCCUAUCCGCCUAUUGAGCAAUCGUGCUAGCGUCUCUCUUGAGUUGUGCAACACGAGCGUUUUCUGUGGAUUCCACAUUUUGUGCUCAUUGCUUGGUUGCACGACCCCAUUUAUCUAUCCGUGUGUGUGUUUCCGUGUGUCAUUCUUUGCUAUUGGUCUACUUGUUUCACUUGCAAAUUUGUGAAUCUCUUUCAACAUUAUUGACUCUUGCUAACAUUUUGCAUCAAAUUUUUGUGCCACUAUCCUCACCGAGCUCCACCAUAAGCUUUACUUGAUAGGUGUGAGUGAACAAGUCCGGUACCAAUUCCACUAUUCUUUCAUUUCACAUUGAGUUAAACGGGAUACAUCCUCAACUUUGGGAAAGGUAACUUCCUAUUGUUUAUCUCAUUUCCUACUGGCAUUUCACCUUCGGUCUACAACAACAACGACGAGUUCGAUGCCACGAACAACUCCAACGACGCCAAGAUGCAAGCUCAAAUGGAGGAGAUCAAAGCCCUCAUCAAGUCCUACAAGCAAUCUUCCUCAUCUUCGAGAAGACACUCACGUGCACAUGUUUCCGAGCUACCAUCUCCGGUAAGAUCACAUCAGCAUCGACACCAUCACCAACAAGAACGUGAAGGUCAAGAGCUCAACACCAACUACCGCUCAACGACUUCACCAUCUCCCUUGGCAUCUUCGCCAAGCGACUUCAAGGCAUCUUUGAGUACGGAUAUACGGCAUCUUCGCCAACAAGAACCUCAAGGCUACGCUCAAGAGAAGCUCCCCAAGCUCAAGUCCACGACUUCCAUGAGCUACUACGACCUCGACACCGACCACAAGAUUCCUUUCUAUGGAACUCAAGAACCCGAGGAGUACCUCGAGUGGGAGCGUUUGAUGGACGACUACCUCAAGCUACAUCAAGUCCCUUCCGAAGAUCAAGUGAAGUGCGCCACAAGAAACUUCCACGACUACGCCUCGACAUGGUGGCUUCACACACCUUCGGAGAGCUACGAGAUGAGUUAGCCCAAGACGAAGAGAGCUUUGCAGCGAGAGCUCGUGCCUCCAACCUACAUGGAACAACUUCGACGCCAAUUGGAGAACACCAUCCAAGGAUCCAAGUCCAUCGACGCGUACUUCAAGGAGAUGAAGAAUGCCUUGCGACGAGACGGCGUGGAUGACCCCAUUUCGAUGAAGUUCCACUUCAUGAUGCGAUUGAACAACGACAUCUCCAAGACUAUCUUCCUCGAGAACUACAAGUCCCUGGACAACUACUACAUUGGUGCUCUCAAGGCGGAACAAGAACUCAUGAAAGCCAAGGCUUCUCCACCCCAAGCACACUUCGCGGCGACCAAGCUGUACGACAAGCAUGAGGCUAGUACCACCAUGAUGUCCAAGCCCGACGAGCUCCAAGACAAUGCUCCCAAGUUCGACUUCACCGCCAUCCCUCUUUGUGGCAUUGAUGACGCCGAGUCUACCUUGACUCUUUUUCAAGACGGUGCGGCGACGAGUACGACUACGGAGACCUUCAAGGACCAAGCUUUGGAGGCGAGCGACAAGGUGGCGAGCAAGGAUGGUGUUUCCAUCUUUGGAGGCGAGAGUGAUGAUGUGCCAUCUUCGUCCUUCAUCCACGGCGACGAUGACGAGAUGAUCGAGCAUGGGAUUUUCCCUUCGGUCAUGGAGGAGAGUGAUGAUGUGCCAUCUUCGGCCUUCAUCCACGGAGACGACGACGAGAUGGUUGAGCAUGGGAUUCUCCCUUCGACCACGGUGACGUAUGAUGACUUGAGUGACUUUUGCCACCAUAUUGAGAGUGAGAGUGACUUCACCACUAGCCCCAUAUAUGACGAGUUGCCCCAAUUCCUAUGUGAGGAGAGCCACAACCCCCACCACUUGAGUGAGAUGAGUGACUCCACCAUAUGCGACUUUGAGUGCACCUAUUUUGAGGGAGUGAGUGAACCACCACAUAGAGAGAGUGUGAUAGUUGAUAGGUCUCGUGAGGCCAUUUGCAUUUCUAACAACUUGACCUCUACCUCUAUUGUGUCUUCUCAUUUGGUGCUAGGUCCCAUUUAUGAUGACGCGCCGAUCCUCGACGACUUCGUCCUCCCUUUGGACAAGACGAUGGCCAUGGUGGAAUAUGAUGCACCCCCCACAUGGUUCCAUCAAGAUGAAGAUGACCACCAUUUGGUCUUUCCCACCUCACCUACACCACUUGAGUGGAAUGAAAAAGGUAACAUAGGUGAAGGUGAUGCUCUAGUCCCACUAGUGGACAUUCUUGACAUUGAUUGCUUGCAUGAUGUUGAUCCACCUAGUACCAUGCUUCAUGCUAGUAUGAUUUCCCCAUGUGAUGAUUUGGCCAUUUAUGAUGAGUAUGAUGAUUCUCAUGUGGAGUCUCUUAGUUGUGAUGUCAUGUUACAUAGGAUUUCUUGUGACAAUUCUUUAGGUCACAUCAUGUUUGAUAAUCCGCUUGACUUGUCGUAUGCUAUGCAUGACAUUCACCAUAUGUCAUAUUUGCAAUCUCAUUGUAGUGACUAUGCAUAUGCCAUUCAAAUUAACCCAAUUUGCACUUAUGGCAUAGAUGACAAGCCCAUGGUUAUUGGGAUUUGUUUUUCUUGUGAUGAUAUUGAUAUGGUCCCUUUGCAUCAUUUAUCUCAUAUGCCAUGUCAUGCCCACCUAGCUUCGGAUAUGCAUUGUUUUGGAUGUUGUCCAUUUUCUCCAUAUGAUGUUUCCAAUCUUGCUCAUGAGGAGACCCCCAUAGUUCCCUCAUACAUGUUAGGAGAUUUUGAUCCAUCCCAUCCAUUGCAUGAUCCCAACAAUUGUGUGCACCAUAUGCUCCCCAUGAAUAAACAUGCUAUUGAUGUGCCAUAUACUUGCAUUCUCAAUUUGUGUCCCCAUCGUGUCAUACAUAAUAACUAUUCUUUCAUGAUGGAUGACAUGUUCUUAUACCAUGCAUCAAAUUUCGUUGAGCGAUGCUUAUCUUGUGCUAACUCACACGUGCACAUACACAUCAUGAUGGAUGAUGUGUACAUUUACCACACACACAAUUUAUUUGGUUUGUGUCUCUUUUGUGUAGGUACCCAGGAAUACUUGUCAACCUCGCAAUCCCACGAGUUGACAAAACGAGCUCUAGAGAGCAACGAUGAUUUGGGAUCCCAUGGAUUGUCUUUCCCACCGCUCUCUUCGCGCAAAGACUUAGCGCAUUUCUUCUACAUGGCCCUCACUUGGCUAUGGGUUGUUUUCCAUUACAUAUUAUAUGCCCAUCUUGCCAUGUUCACUUUGCAUGAUAUGCCCAUUCCCAUGCAUUUGUGACCCAUACUUUGCUUUACACAUGAUGAUUGACUCUCAUACUUUUAUGUGUAUUUGCAAGCUUGGUGGAGAUAUUGCUUGUUGUUUCCCUAUUCCAUUUUUGACCCACCCCUAUGAUGAUACUAUGAUCUUGCUUUGUGUUCGUGCUUGUGAUAUGUCAUGUGCAUUGUCUAUCCCUAUUAUUUGCUCACAUGACAUGAUUGCCAUGAUUUACUCUGGUGUGUUGCAUCUUCGCUCCACUAGUUUGCACCACAUGAUUGAUAUGCUUGCUUGUAUUGCAUCCCCCAUGAUUCAUACUUGCUCAUUUCAUGCGAUUGAUGACAACCAUUUCCAUACUUUGCACGUGAUUGCUAUAGCUUCUUGUCACAUAUCUACAUAUGUUGCCUCUCUCAUGCUAGAUCACUUGCCAUGUAUUUAGUGCAACAAUGCUCUUAUUCUUGCUCAUGAGAUUGCCCCCAUAGCAUUCUCACAUAUGAUUGGAGUUGACAUAAUUCUUGUGAAGCAUGCUUGCCUUCCUUCUUUGCACCAUAUGCCUAGUGCCAUGAAUAUUGCCAUUGUUGCAUCAUAUUGUUCAUGCACUUGUGCUACUAAAGGUUAUGUGCAAGAGAUGAGAACCAUCAUGAUGGAUGAUGUGUUUCUCUACCAUGCGCAUAUACUCUUUGUUUUGUUGUGUGCAUGUGUAGGAUACUUGGACUUCGUCUCGACUUCCACUUCAUGUGAGUUGACCAUUCAAGCUCUUAAGAGCGAGCCUCACACAUUCUACCACUACUCGCUUCUACACCGCAUUUGCUUGCGCUUCGGCAUUGUGAAGAAUGCACAAGGACAUGCCUUCAAGGUGACAUCUUUCUUGAGCAUGGAUAUUGCGGAUCAUACUACUUGUGUAGCUUGCACUGUGAGACUUAUUGGUCAUCUUGGACCACUUGAUUGCGCACUUGCUAGAGAUCUUGCUUUGACUUGCCAUUUUCACAUUCCCAUGCAUCAUGAUAUAUAUGCCUUGUGUGUUGCAUCCAAUUCUUGGAUUACUAUCACAACCUAGCUAGUCCAUGCAUUAGAGUGUUGCAUCAUGUCUACCUUUUAUCAGAAACUUGAAUUGGGGAAGACAGAACCCCCCAGAACCCCUCUGAAUUCAACUAGUGCUUACUAAAAAUAUUUUCAAUGAACCUGAAAUGCCCUUCUAAAAAGUUCACCCUCUUUGUCUUGGGUUAGAACCUCUGGCAAAAUUGGUGCACAAUUUUCUAGGUCAACAAAAGGCCAUUGAAUUAAAUCAUAUCUACUUUGAGUUUGGGCAUUUAAACUAUAUAAAAUAUUUCAAAUGCUCAAAUAACUCCAAACUAAAAUGUUCCAUACUGGAUAUAUUCCAACUAGGGACCAUGUGCAGUUUGGUGAUUUUUGGAGUUGCCUAAGUAUUUUUAGAAAUGCAACAAACUUACAGAAACAAUUAAAAACAGAAACAAAUGGGAAAAACCCUUACCUGGCCGAACCAAGCCCCAGCCCAGCUGGCCGGCCCAGCACUGUGCUGGCCCAUGCCAGCCAGCUGCUUCGCCGUCGCCACGCAGGCACAGAGCUGACGCCGGCAAGCGUGAGCUCGCAACGGCGCCAGCUGCUUGCCGCCCGCGCCCCCGAGCACCUGGGUGAGCUCCACGUCGCCGCCCCGACCCCGUGGACACCUCAUUCGCCCCCUGCCUCUCUCCCUCGCUCUCCCGCACCAUGGCCGACGCACCCGCCGCCGCACCCCCGACGUAGUCGCGCCCUCCGUCGUCCUCGUGCUGCACCACCGUGUCCCUUCGCUCCGCCGUCAUCGACUACAUCGAGUAGGCCGAGCCCCGAGCGCUCGCUGGCCCUGUUUCAUCUUCUUCGAGCUCGUCUUCACCGAGCACCGCCACAGAUCCCCUUCGCCGUCGCCGCCGUACCAGCUCGUCCCCGACCUUGCCGACCACUCCGUUGUGACCGCCGUGAGCUCAGCCACCUCCCCAUCCUCCCCGUUUGCCUUCUCGUGCACCGUAGCAACCGCAUGGAGCUUCAUCGCACGCACCACCGACGAGCUCGUCGCCGACGUGCCUCCGGCCAUCCACCGUCCACACCACGGUGUCUAACAUGCUCACCGCAUCGUGUAGAGUCUAACGCCCCACUCCACGCGCCUCGCCGUGCCCCGUAGCCAUGGGUCCAUUUUCAUCCGACUCCGGCGACCGCCGUGGUCGUCGCCGGCGACGUUCCUGGCCACCUCGACCUCAACCACCACCACCAAACGCCGCGACUUGUUCCCGGCUACACGUAGAUGGUCUCCGUCGUCCAUUUGGUCGCCAGAACAUGCUAACCCACUUCCUCCGCCGCGUCUGGCCUCGCCGGCGGCUAGACACCGGCAUGUUUGACCCGUUGACAUUCACUGGGUGGGCCAGGUUGACUCCCCUGAGUCUAUGACAAGUGCCCCCCCCUCUGCUAAUUAACCUAGUUUAGCUCUUACUAAAAUCAGUUAGUUUAAAUAAGUGCUGACAUGCGGGACCCACUGGUCAGUUUGACCUGAACGACCCCUUUGACCACUGACGUCACCCUGAUGCACUGCUGACGCAAUAACCAAUUUCUGGAUUUAUUGUUAUAUAGGAAAUUCCAGAAAUUGUUGCAAACUUCAAAAAUUCAUAGAAAUUAAUCUGUAACUCCAAAUGCAAAGAUUUAUAUAUGAAUUUUGAUCAGAAAAAUUCAAUCUAUCCAUUGGUAAUGGUUUCAUGCAUGUCAGAACAAGUUAACCUUGCUGUUUAAUCAAAACAAGUUAAUGCACUAAUAUGACUAUGUUAAAUGAACUACCAUUUGCAUCUUUGAUUCAAAUGAGUUCAUACCUUUCUGUUCUAGCUUGCAUUAGGCCAGGACACAUUCAUGUUGCCAUGUCAUAGCAUGCAUCAUAUUGUUGUAUAUCGUCAUGUGUUGUUCAUGUUCGGUGUGUUUUCGUGAUAGGUUCUGCCUCCGAGGAUAACCCCGAAUAUCCGUCUGAAGGGCUGUAUCCUACUACCACUACAUCAGGCAAGCAACCCAUUGAUCAUUCCGAUACAAACCCAUGUUCUUGCCUCUGCUCUUGUUUACUGCAUUAAGACAAUGCGAUUCAAACUUUUGUGUGUUGUGGUAGUUGAACCCACUUCCUUUGCAUGACCUGUCAUUGCCACAGUAACUAGAUGAAACUCAGUAGCAUGUGUAGGAGUUGAUUGAGCCAUAUCUGUGUUACCUACCAUGCUAUGCUUGCUAUGCUUAGAGUUGUGUCAGGUCUGGCUCAUUGGGAUGAUGAACUAGAGUGAAAGGUUGUGUCGGUAAUGAAGUGUUGAACACGAUUUGGUAAAGGUAUCGAUGAGAGGCCAUGUAGGAGUACAUGGUGGGUUGUUUCAUUGAGGCCGUCCUUAAGCACUGAGAUCUGUGUGUGUGAUUUAAGAUUCAGCUACUACCACGCAUUGGGCCCGAAACCAAUGGACCCUCUCGACUUAUUAACCACUCUUGUCCUCUGUCCGGGAGUUGCAAGUAGUUUUUGGUGUUUGUAGCAUGAUGGGGGCCGCACGCAGUGCUGACCUUAGGGGUGGGUUGGGUUGCGGUAGGCAUGUGGCACGGUGUAUCGAUUCGCCCGUUUGGUGUCUCGGGAACCAUGUUCACAUCAUUCGGGGCCGUUAGUGGAAACCUCGGCCGGACUCCCUGCGGAUGGAACCCGAAUAGGCGAUAAACCUGGACUAGGGACUCGUGUGUUUAGUCAGGCCGUGGCCGACACCCUCGCUGGGCUUCCGCUUGAGGCUUGCCGAGUACACGUCAUGUAGCGGUGAUAAGUGGUGAGAGCGUGUGUGAAGAAGUACACCCCUGCAGGGUAUAAAACUAUUCGAAUAGCCGCGUCCGCGGUAAAGGACUACUUGGUCACCUAUGCAGUUCAUAGACAAGUAAAUGGAUACUUCUAAAAGCCUCAAGUUAAGUGUGAGUACCGAGGAUGGCCCUCUCGUAGGUUGACAAGAGAGGAUCCUCGGUGGAGUAUUGUGUUGGUGAGUAGUGGACUCGUGUGCGACAAAUGUUUUGCAAGUUGUGUCUAUCGUAGAAUAGCUUAGCCAAGAGUCAAAGCUGGCUUGCUGCAAUAACUCCACUACCUUCUUGAGAAUGUGCAUGUAUGAUAGGAUUCUGUUGUAAGACUUGCUGAGUACCUCUGUACUCAUGUUUGCUUAAAUGUUUUCAGACGACAACACCAACCCCUCCGAUGGGUUCUACGUAGACCUCGACGUUGACGAGUGACUAACCACCCAAGUGGUGAUCCGAGACUUGUGAAGGGCCGAUGUAGAUAGAAAGGCUUCGUCAAGCCCUCUUUCUUUCUAGUGUCUGUACUCAGACUAGUUGCUUCCGCAUGUGCUUGUAUGCUUGUAUGACUUGAGUCUCAGGUCAUGUGACCCCUAUCUGUAUGAACAUGUUAUGUAUGGCUCCUUGGAGCCACUUAAAUAAAGUACUUUGAGUUGUAGAGUUUUGUUGUGAUGCCAUGUUGUAUGUACUCAUAUCGGGCAUAUUGUGUGUAUGUUUGAAAUGCUUGGUAUGAGUGGGAUCCGACAAUCUAGUUGUUUAUCCUUGGCAGCCUCUCAUAUGGGGAAAUGUAGUCUAGUGCUUCCUGAGCGAUAGUAGUCCGCUACAGCCCGGUUCACCGGAGUCCUGCUAGCCCAGUACUACAGCUCUGGACACUUGACUGGACAGCAUGUGUUUCACUUCGUUCCUGUGUCUGUCCCUUUGCGGAAAUGUCACGCGGUGGCAUUCGGAGUCCUGCCUAGCCUGCUACAGCCCGGGUUACUGUUGGGAAACGUAGUAAUUUCAAAAUUUUCCUACGCACACACAAGAUCAUGGUGAUGGCAUAGCAACGAGAGGGGAGAGUGUUCGUCCACGUACCCUCGUAGACCGUAAGCGGAAGCGUUAGCACAACGCGGUUGAUGUAGUCGUACGUCUUCACGAUCCGACUAAUCCAAGCACUGAACGUACGUGGCCUCCGAGUUCAGCACACGUUCAGCUCGAUGAUGAUCUCCGGCCUCCAAUCCAGCGAAGCUCCGGAGAUGAGUUCCGUCAGCACGACAGCAUGGUGACGAUGAUGAUGUUCUACCUGCGCAGGGCUUCGCCUAAAAUCCGCGACGAUAUGACUGAGGUGGAAUAUGGUGGAGGGGGGCACCGCACACGGCUAAGGAACGAUCCAUAGAUCAACUUGUGUGUCUAUGGGGUGCCCCCCCCCCCCCGCCCCUGUAUAUAAAGGAGAAAGGGGGAGGCCGGCCGGCCCCUUGGGCGCGCCAAGGGAGGAGGAAUNNNNNNNNNNNNNNNNNNNNNNNNNNNNNNNNNNNNNNNNNNNNNNNNNNNNNNNNNNNNNNNNNNNNNNNNNNNNNNNNNNNNNNNNNNNNNNNNNNNNNNNNNNNNNNNNNNNNNNNNNNNNNNNNNNNNNNNNNNNNNNNNNNNNNNNNNNNNNNNNNNNNNNNNNNNNNNNNNNNNNNNNNNNNNNNNNNNNNNNNNNNNNNNNNNNNNNNNNNNNNNNNNNNNNNNNNNNNNNNNNNNNNNNNNNNNNNNNNNNNNNNNNNNNNNNNNNNNNNNNNNNNNNNNNNNNNNNNNNNNNNNNNNNNNNNNNNNNNNNNNNNNNNNNNNNNNNNNNNNNNNNNNNNNNNNNNNNNNNUCCGGUUUUCUCCGAAAUCACCCGGAACAAUUUCGGUGUCCGAAUAUAGUCGUCCAAUAUAUCAAUCUUUAUGACUCGACCAUUUCGAGAUUCCUCGUCAUGUCCGUGAUGACAUCCGGGACUCCGAACAAACUUCGGUACAUCAAAACUUAUAAACUCAUAAUAAAACUGUCAUCGUAACGUUAAGCGUGCGGACCCUACGGGUUCGAGAACUAUGUAGACAUGACCUAGAACCAUUCUUGGUCAAUAACCAAUAGCGGGACCUAGAUGCCCAUAUUGGUUCCUACAUAUUCUACGAAGAUCUUUAUCGGUCAAACCGCAUAACAACAUACGUUGUUCCCUUUGUCAUCGAUAUGUUACUUGCCCGAGAUUUGAUCGUCGGUAUCCAAUACCUAGUGCAAUCUCGUUACUGGCAAGUCUCUUUACUCGUUCCGUAAUACAUCAUCUCAUAACUAACUUAUUAGUUACAAUGCUUGCAAGGCUUAGGUGAUGAGUAUUACCAAGAGGACCCAGAGAUACCUCUCCGACAAUCGGAGUGACAAAACCUAAUCCCGAAUUAUGCCAACUCAACAUGUACCUUCGGAAACACCUAUAGAGCACCUUUAUAAUCACCCAGUUACGUUGUGACGUUUGGUAGCACACAAAGUGUUCUUCCGGUAAACGGGAGUUGCACAAUCUCAUAGUUGCAGGAACUUGUAUAAGUCAUGAAGAAAGCAAUAGCAGUAUACUAAACGAUCAAGUGCUAGGCUAACGGAAUGGGUCAUGUCAAUCACAUCAUUCUCCUAAUGAUGUGAUCCCGUCAAUCAAAUGACAACUCUUUUGUCCAUGGUUAGGAAACAUAACCAUCUUUGAUAAACGAGCUAGUCAAGUAGAGGCAUACUAGUGACACUAUGUUUGUCUAUGUAUUCACACAUGUAUCAUGUUUCCGGUUAAUAUAAUUCUAGCAUGAAUAAUAAACAUUUAUCAUGAUAUGAGGAAAUAAAUAAUAACUUUAUUAUUGCCUCUAUGGCAUAUUUCCUUCAGUCUCCCACUUGCACUAGAGUCAAUAAUCUAGAUUACAUGGUAAUGAUUUUGACACCCAUGGAGUCUUGGUGCUGAUCAUGUUUUGCUCGUGAGAGAGGCUUAGUCAACGGGUCUGCAACAUUCAGAUCCGUAUGUAUCUUGCAAAUCUCUAUGUCUCCCACUUGGACUUGGUCCCGAAUGGAAUUGAAGCGUCUCUUGAUGUGUUUGGUCCUCUUGUGAAAUUUGGAUUCCUUUGCCAAGGCAAUUGCACCAGUAUUGUCACAGAAGAUGUUCAUUGGUCCCGAUGCACUAGGUAUGACACCUAGAUCGGAAAUGAGAUCCUUCAUCCAGACUCCUUCAUUUGCUGCUUCUGAAGCAGCUAUGUACUCCGCUUCACAUGUAGAUCCCGCCACGAUGCUUUGUUUAGAACUGCACCAACUUACAGCUCCACCGUUUAAUAAAAACACGUAUCUGGUUUGCGAUUUAGAAUCGUCCGGAUCAGUGUCAAAGCUUGCAUCGACGUAACCGUUUACGACUAGCUCUUUGUCACCUCCAUAUAUGAGAAACAUAUCCUUAGUCCUUUUCAGGUAUUUCAGGAUGUUCUUGACCGCUGUCCAGUGAUCCACUCCUGGAUUACUUUGGUACCUUCCUGCCAAGCUUAUUGCUAAGCAUACGUCAGGCCUGGUACACAGCAUUGCAUACAUGAUAGAGCCUAUGGCUGAAGCAUAGGGAACAUUUUUCAUUUUCUCUCUAUCUUCUGCUGUGGUCGGGCAUUGAGUUUGACUCAACUUCACACCUUGUAGCACAGGUAAGAAUCCUUUCUUUGCCUGAUCCAUUUUGAACUUUUUCAAAAAAAAUUCAAGGUAUGUGCUUUGUGAAAGUCCUAUUAAGCGUCUUGAUCUAUCUCUAUAGAUCUUGAUGAGUAAUAUGUAAGCAGCUUCACCGAGGUCUUUCAUUGAAAAACUUUUAUUCAAGUAUCCCUUUAUGCUAUGCAGAAAUUCUAUAUCAUUUCCAAUUAAUAAUAUGGCAUCUACAUAUAAAAUUAGAAAUGCUACAGAGCUCCCACUCACUUUCUUGUAAAUACAGGCUUCUCCAAAUGUCUGUAUAAAACCAUAUGCUUUGAUCACACUAUCAAAGCGUUUAUUCCAACUCCGAAAUGCUUGCACCAGUCCAUAAAUGGAACGCUGGAGCUUGCAUACUUUGUCAGCACCUUUUGGAUCAACAAAACCUUCCGGCUGCAUCAUAUACAACUCUUCUUCUAGAAAUCCAUUCAAGAAUGCAGUCUUGACAUCCAUAUGCCAAAUUUCAUAAUCAUGAAAUGCAGCAAUAGCUAACAUGAUUCGGACAGACUUAAGCAUCGCUACGGGUGAGAAAGUCUCAUCGUAGUCAACCCCUUGAACUUGUCGAAAACCUUUUGCAACAAGUCGAGCUUUAUAGACAGUUACAUUACCAUCAGCGUCAGUCUUCUUCUUAAAGAUCCAUUUAUUCUCAAUGGCUUGCCAAUCAUCGGGCAAGUCAACCAAAGUCCAUACUUUGUUUUCAUACAUGGAUCCCAUCUCAGAUUUCAUGGCUUCUAGCCAUUUUGCGGAAUCUGGGCUCAUCAUCGCUUCCUCAUAGUUCGUAGGUUCACCAUGGUCAAGUAACAUGACUUCCAGAAUAGGAUUACCAUACAACUCUAGUGCGGAUCUUACUCUGGUAGACCUACGAGGUUCAGUAGAAACUUGAACUCCUCACUAAUUGGUGUAGUUGUCACAGGAACCGGUUCUCGUGAUGAACUACUUUCCAAUAAGGGAGUAGAUACAGUUAUCUCAUCAAGUUCUACUUUCCUCCCACUCACUUCUUUCGAGAGAAACUCCUUCUCUAGAAAGGAUCCAUUCUUAGCAACGAAUGUCUUGCCUUCAGAUCUGUGAUAGAAGGUGUACCCAACAGUCUCUUUUGGGUAUCCUAUGAAAACACAUUUCUCCGAUUUGGGUUCGAGCUUAUCUGGUUGAAGUUUCUUCACAUAAGCAUCGCAGCCCCAAACUUUAAGAAACGACAACUUUGGUUUCUUGCCAAACCACAGUUCAUAAGGCGUCGUCUCAACGGAUUUUGAUGGUGCCCUAUUUAACGUGAAUGCGGCCGUCUCUAAAGCAUAACCCCAAAACGAUAGCAGUAAAUCAGUAAGAGACAUCAUAGAUCGCACCAUAUCAAGUAAAGUACGAUUAUGACGUUCGGACACACCAUUUCGUUGUGGUGUUCCGGGUGGCGUGAGUUGCGAAACUAUUCCACAUUGUUUCAAGUGUAGGCCAAACUCGUAACUCAAAUAUUCUCCUCCACGAUCAGAUCGUAGAAACUUUAUUUUCUUGUUACGAUGAUUUUCCACUUCACUCUGAAAUUCUUUGAACUUUUCAAAUGUUUCAGACUUGUGUUUCAUCAAGUAGAUAUACCCAUAUCUGCUCAAAUCAUCUGUGAAGGUGAGAAAAUAACGAUACCCGCCGCGAGCCUCAACAUUCAUUGGGCCACAAACAUCAGUAUGUAUGAUUUCCAACAAAUUAGUUGCUCGCUCCAUAGUUCCGGAGAAUGGCGUUUUAGUCAUCUUGCCCAUAAGGCACAGUUCGCAAGUACCAAGUGAUUCAUAAUCAAGUGAUUCCAAAAGUCCAUCAGUAUGGAGUUUCUUCAUGCGUUUUACACCGAUAUGACCCAAAAGGCAGUGCCACAAGUAAGUUGCACUAUCGUUAUCAACUCUGCAUCUUUUGGUUUCAACACUAUGAACAUGUGUAUCACUACUAUCGAGAUUUAAUAAAAAUAAACCACUCUUCAAGGGUGCAUGACCAUAAAAGAUAUUACUCAUAUAAAUAGAACAACCAUUAUUCUUUGAUUUAAAUGAAUAACCGUCUCGCAUCAAACAAGAUCCAGAUAUAAUGUUCAUGCUUAACGCUGGCACCAAAUAACAAUUAUUCAGGUCUAAAACUAAUCCCGAAGGUAGAUGUAGAGGUAGCGUGCCGACCGCGAUCACAUCGACUUUGGAACCGUUUCCCACGCGCAUCGUCACCUCGUCCUUGGCCAGUGCUCGCUUAUUCCGUAGUCCCUAUUUCGAGUUGCAAAUAUUAGCAACAGAACCAGUAUCAAAUUCCCAGGUGCUACUACGAGCUCUAGUUAGGUACACAUCAAUAACAUGUAUAUCACAUGUAGCUUUGUUUACUUUGCCAUCCUUCUUAUCCGCCAAAUACUUGGGGCAGUUCCGCUUCCAGUGACCAGUCUGCUUGCAGUAGAAGCACUCAGUUUCAGGCUUAGGUCCAGACUUGGGUUUCUUCUCUUGAGCAGCAACUUGCUUGCUGUUCUUCUUGAAGUUCCCCUUCUUCUUCCCUUUGCCCUUUUUCUUGAAACUAGUGGUCUUGUUGACCAUCAACACUUGAUGCUCCUUCUUGAUUUCUACCUCCGCAGCUUUUAGCAUUGCGAAGAGCUCGGGAAUAGUCUUGUUCAUCCCUUGCAUAUUAUAGUUCAUCACAAAGCUCUUGUAUCUUGGUGGCAGUGAUUGGAGAACUCUGUCAAUGACGCUAUCAUCCGGAAGAUUAACUCCCAGUUGAAUCAAGUGAUUAUUAUACCCAGACAUUUUGAGUAUAUGCUCACUGACAGAACUAUUCUCCUCCAUCUUGCAGCUGUAGAACUUAUUGGAGACUUCAUAUCUCUCAAUCCGGGCAUUUGCUUGAAAUAUUAACUUCAACUCCUGGAACAUCUCAUAUGCUCCAUGACGUUCAAAACGUCGUUGAAGGCCCGGUUCUAAGCCGUAAAGCAUGGCACACUGAACUAUAGAGUAGUCAUCAGCUUUGCUCUGCCAGACGUUCUUAACGUCGUCAGUUGCAUCAGCAGCAAGCCUGGCACCCAGCGGUGCUUCCAGGACGUAACUUUUCUGUGCAGCAAUGAGGAUAAUCCUCAGGUUACGGACCCAGUCCGUGUAAUUGCUACCAUCAUCUUUCAACUUUUCUUUCUCAAGGAACGCAUUAAAAUUCAACGGAACAACAGCACGAGCCAUCUAUCUACAAACAAACAUAGACAAGCAAAAUACUAUCAGGUACUAAGUUCAUGAUAAAUUUUAAGUUCAAUUAAUCAUAUUACUUAAGAACUCCCACUUAGACAGACAUCUCUCUAGUCAUCUAAGUGAUUACGUGAUCCAAAUCAACUAAACCAUAACCGAUCAUCAUGUGAGAUGGAGUAGUUUUCACUGGUGAACAUCACUAUGUUGAUCAUAUCUACUAUAUGAUUCAUGCUCGACCUUUCGGUCUCCGUGUUCCGAGGCCAUAUCUGCAUAUGCUAGGCUCGUCAAGUUUAACCUGAGUAUUCUGCGUGUGCAAAACUGGCUUGUACCCGUUGUAGAUGGACGUAGAGCUUAUCACACCCUAUCAUCACGUGGUGUCUGGGCACGACAAACUUUGGCAAUGGUGCAUACUCAGGGAGAACACUUCUUGAUAAUUUUUGUGAGAGAUCAUCUUAAAAUGCUACCGUCAAUCAAAGCAAGAUAAGAUGCAUAAAGGAUAAACAUCACAUGCAAUCAAUAUAAGUGAUAUGAUAUGGCCCUCAUCAUCUUGUGCUUGUGAUCUCCAUCUUUGAAGCACCAUCGUGAUCACCAUCGUCACCGGCGCGACACCUUGAUCUCCAUCGUAGCAUCGUUGUCGUUACGCCAUCUAUUGCUUCUACGACUAUCUAUACCGCUUAGUGAUAAAGUAAAGCAAUUACAGGGUGUUUGCAUUUCAUACAAUAAAGCGACAACCAUAUGGCUCCUGCCAGUUGCCGAUAACUUCGGUUACAAAACAUGAUCAUCUCAUACAAUAAAAUAUAUCAUCACGUCUUGACCAUAUCACAUCACAACAUGCCCUGAAAAACAAGUUAGACGUCCUCUACUUUGUUGUUGCAAGUUUUACGUGGCUGCUAUGGGCUUAGCAAGAACUGUUCUUACCUACGCAUCAAAACCACAACGAUAGUUCGUCAAGUUGGUGCUGUUUUAACCUUCGCAAGGACCGGGCGUAGCCACACUCGAUUCAGCUAAAGUGAGAGAGACAGACACCCGCCAGCCACCUUUAAGCACGAGUGCUCGUAACGGUGAAACCAGUCUCACGUAAGCGUACGCGUAAUGUCGGUCCGGGCCGCUUCAUCUCACAAUACCGCCGAACCAAAGUAUGAAAUGCUGGUAAGCAGUAUGACUUGUAUCGCCCACAACUCACUUGUGUUCUACUCGUGCAUAUAACAUCAACGCAUAAAACCUAGGCUCGGAUGCCACUGUUGGGAAACGUAGUAAUUUCAAAAUUUUCCUACGCACACGCAAGAUCAUGGUGAUGGCAUAGCAACGAGAGAGGAGAGUGUUCGUCCAUGUACCCUCGUAGACCGUAAGCGGAAGCGUUAGCACAACGCGGUUGAUGUAGUUGUACGUCUUCACGAUCCGACCGAUCCAAGCACCGAACGUACGGGGCCUCCGAGUUCAGCACACGUUCAGCUCGAUGACGAUCUCCGGCCUCCGAUCCAGUGAAGCUCCGGAGAUGAGUUCCGUCAGCACGACGGCGUGGUGACGAUGAUGAUGUUCUACCGGCACAGGGCUUCGCCUAAACUCCGCGACAAUAUGACCGAGGUGGAAUAUGGUGGAGGGGGGGCACCGCACACGGCUAAGGAACGAUCCGUAGAUCAACUUGUGUGUCUAUGGGGUGCCCCCCGCCCCUGUAUAUAAAGGAGCAAGGGGGAGAGGCCGGCCGGCCCCUUGGGCGCGCCAAGGGAGGAGGAAUCCUCCUCCUAGUAGGAGUAGGACUCCUCCUUUCCUACUCCUACUAGGAGGGGGAAGGAAGGAGGAGAGGGGGAAGGAAAGGGGGGGCGCCGCCCCCCUCGUAGUCCAAUUCGGACCAGAGGGGGGGAGGGGGCGUGCGGCCCAUGCUGGCCGCCCCUCUCUCCUUUCCCCUAAGGCCCAUAAGGCCCAAUACUCUCCCGGGGGGUUCCGGUAACCCCCGGCACUCCGGUUUUCUCCGAAAUCACCCGGAACAAUUCCGGUGUCCGAAUAUAGUCGUCCAAUAUAUCAAUCUUUAUGUCUCGACCAUUUCGAGAUUCCUCGUCAUGUCCGUGAUGACAUCCGGGACUCCGAACAAACUUCGGUACAUCAAAAGAUAUAAACUCAUAAUAAAACUGUCAUCGUAACGUUAAGCGUGCGGACCCUACAGGUUCGAGAACUAUGUAGACAUGACCUAGAACCAUUCUCGGUCAAUAACCAAUAGCGGGACCUGGAUGCCCAUAUUGGUUCCUACAUAUUCUACGAAGAUCUUUAUCGGUCAAACCGCAUAACAACAUACGUUGUUCCCUUUGUCAUGGGUACGUUACUUGCCCGAGAUUUGAUCGUCGGUAUCCAAUACCUAGUUCAAUCUCGUUACUGGCAAGUCUCUUUACUCGUUCCGUAAUAUAUCAUCUCAUAACUAACUUAUUAGUUACAAUGCUUGCAAGGCUUAGGUGAUGAGUAUUACCGAGAGGGCCCAGAGAUACCUCUCCGACAAUCGGAGUGACAAAACCUAAUCUCGAAUUAUGCCAACUCAACAUGUACCUUCGGAAACACCUGUAGAGCACCUUUAUAAUCACCCAGUUACGUUGUGACGUUUGGUAGCACACAAAGUGUUCUUCCGGUAAACGGGAGUUGCACAAUCUCAUAGUUGCAGGAACUUGUAUAAGUCAUGAAGAAAGCAAUAGCAGUAUACUAAACGAUCAAGUGCUAGGCUAACGGAAUGGGUCAUGUCAAUCACAUCAUUCUCCUAAUGAUGUGAUCCCGUCAAUCAAAUGACAACUCUUUUGUCCAUGGUUAGGAAACAUAACCAUCUUUGAUAAACGAGCUAGUCAAGUAGAGGCAUACUACUGACACUAUGUUUGUCUAUGUAUUCACACAUGUAUCAUGUUUCCGGUUAAUAUAAUUCUAGCAUGAAUAAUAAACAUUUAUCAUGAUAUGAGGAAAUAAAUAAUAACUUUAUUAUUGCCUCUAGGGCAUAUUUCCUUCAGUUACCGGAGUCCUGUUAGCCCAGUGUUACAGCCCGGAUGUAUACGUUGAUGACCGACAUGCUCGAUGUGACUCAUGUAUGCCUGUCCCCAUAGGUUAGCGCCGCUUUGGGUUCAUGACUAGCCAUGUCAGCCCGGGUUCUCUGUCAUAUGGAUGCUAGCGACACUAUCAUAUACGUGAGCCAAAAGGCGCAAACAGUCCCGGCCAUGGUAAGGCGACACCCGUGGGAUUACCGUGCGUGAGGCCGCAAAGUGAUAUGAGGUGUUACCGGCUAGAUCAAUGUGACUUGGAAUCAUGGUCCAGACAGCAUUGGCAUCAGAGCCGGACUGCCUGUAGGUUCCUAAGCCAAACUGGUCGAUGUCGAGUCUAGAAAUGCUUUAGUUAUAUGUAGGGGAAUUUAUUGUGGGAGGAAACGUAAGGCUCUUUUUACCCCUUUACCUUAUGCCCUCUGAUCUGUGUCAUCCUCUUCUCAUUCUACGUGGGUUAAGGACUAGGCUCUCUUCUCUCUAUCAGGUUCACGUGUUACUAAUCCGUAGUAACUUAUAGGAUUGUUGGUUACCAGUCUCAGUACAGUUCCUACUACUUUAGUAUGUUAUCAGUUGAACCUGAACCUUGAUAUGAUGUUGUUGAGUGGUUUUGCAAUCCGUUGUGAAUGUCUCAAAUCUGCUCCUGAGCAUUUACAGCUGUUAUGUUGUCCAAUUUUCCCUAGGAAUUCUAAUGUCUUUGCAUUGUGGUUGUGCUUUCAGAUGGCCACUCGCGCUCAGAACCAAGUGGUUCGCCUGACGCGGUGCCUCAAUGUGCCCGGUCAUACUGCUAUGUUAGUCCGGGUCAUGAUCGAGACAGGUUACCGUUGGUAUCCCGAAUACAUUGCCGAAGAGCAAUUCCAAGACUUUAAUCAAAGCCAAUACUUCUGCACUGUCAGGAUAUUUCCUUCAUAUCCUGGAUCCACCGAGCCCCUUCACUGCUCCUAUGGACUCGGGGUCACCAUUGAGAUGGCUGUACAGGAUGCGGCCUAUUCUAUGAUGACCAUCAUGCGAGUCAGGACUGGUCUGCUUCGGAACACCGACUUCCGUUAUAUGCCAGCAUCGCUCCCAGGAGCGCAAGGGUAUCUCCAGGCUAUCUAUGCUGAUUCCACCCAUGAGGACUCACUAACUCGCACCAUUGCGGAGAUGCUCGAGGAUAAGGACCGAGAGAAUCAGGCCUUGAGGUUGGAGCUUUUCAACACCUGCGCCGAUCAUUGGGCCACUUUGACUCGGUUUGCACCGGCUGUGCAAGCUGGAUGUAUGGAUAUGAGGGAUCUGUUUCCUGUGAGAUCUGCUCUGCCAGACAUGGUGGAUUGGCGUGAUGUGGGAGGCAUCAUCCCACCCCGUGGUCCCCGUAGGCCAUCGUUUGUUGGUCCAAGACCUCAUCCUAGCCCCUAUGGUCCACAGGCUCCUCAGGACCGUCUGUUCCCGGAUGAUCACGUUGAGCUUCCAAGCUAUGGAGGGGACUUCUAUGAGGACUACUACGGAGCUGUCUGAGUUAGUAGUAGUAUCUUUAGUAUUGUAAUAGUUGUAAUUCCAUCGUCCUGCGUGACCUGUGGAAUAUGACUUAGUGUGUAUCAGUUCCGGAGGUGUAGAAAAAUAAUGUAUCGGAGCUUGGAAUGCCUCCGAUGAGAUGUAACUUCUUCCACCGUAGUUGUACUAUAGUCGGGCUUGUACUAAACUAUGUAUGGUGUGUAUGACUGUUGGUGCAUAUAUGGCAGUUUCUGUAUUACCAUGUCAUACAGAUGAACAUCUCUGCAUUCCUUGUUAUCCAUUACAUUCUGCACUUCCUUGUCCAGAUUUGCCAUCCUUGUCUAAAGCGAUGUCUUGUUUUCCUAGGAUGGUCAACACCCGUAACAACCCUGCUACUCCGGAGCAGGGUGAAGCCAGUGCAGCUAGGAAUGAAAAUCUGCCUCAACCACCUUCUCUGGUCGAAGUUAUGCUGGAGGCAGAGCGAAAUAAGCGUGAGACCAAUCGCUUGCUGGAGCGGAUUGAGCAGAAUACCGCACGCCAGCCGAGGAACGACCUGGUGUCACUUAAUGACUUUGUCAAGCUGUAUCCACCGAAGUUUAAACAUUCCGUCGAGCCCCUUGAUGCGGAUGAAUGGCUUCGCAGCAUUACCCACAAGCUACGUUCUGUCAAUGUGGCCGAAGCUGAUAAGGUUAACUUUGCUACCUAUCACCUCGAAGGCCCUGCUAGCCUUUGGUGGGAAAACUUUGAGGCUAUGCGCCCGGUCGGCCAAAUUACUACUUGGGCUGAAUUCAGUAUGGAGCAUCACAUUCCGGAAGGUCUUAUGGAUCGCAAGCGUGAAGAGUUCUGCAACUUCACCCAGGGUAGACUGACUGUGGAUGCAUACAGUCGCGAGUUUGGAUAUCUAGCACGAUAUGCUCCUAAAGAGGUAUCCACCGACGCCAAGAAGCAGGCAAGGUUCCGCAAGGGACUUAGCCCCGAGCUUCGUCGUGAUCUUCGUCUGCACGAGUGCACCUCCUUCCAGAAGUUAGUCAACAAGGCCAUCAGUGCUGAGACAGGGCAGUCGGACUUUGAAGCUUCACGCAAGCACUCCCGUGACUUUGGACUUCAUCCGGCUGUGCAUCUCAGAAGCGCCGGGUCUGGAUUCCAAGCACUGCUCUGCCACCCAGGUUCACCCCGAGGCCAUCCUUUGACGCGCCUCGCCCCAACCAAUAGUAUACACCGCCCAAGGCCUAUGGUGGCCCCACUGCUAAUGCUACUCCAUGCCCCAAUGUGAUAACUUGUUUCAAGUGUGGGGAGACGGGUCACUACAUUCGUGAGUGUCCCCAAAACAACCCCAACCAGAUUGGAAAGUCUGUUGGCCGUGGCAAGCCAGCAGGAAAGGUGCUCUACGCCAAGCCAGCCACCACUGCCCGUGGCCAUGUCAACUAUGUCUCAGCAGAGGAGACUCAUGAGGAUCCCAACGUCGUUCUCGGUACGCUUCUUGUUAAUUGCCACCCGGCAACCAUUCUCUUUGAUACUGGAGCAUCUCAUUCAUUUAUAUCUGAAAGCUAUGCUCGAUUGCACAACACCACAUUUUGUGACAUGCCCACCUCCAUGGUAAUUCAAACCCCUGGUUCUAAGUGGCAAACCUCUAAAAUCAGCCAUGGAAAUGAAAUCCUUGUCGACAGAUUAGUCUUCCUUGCAUCACUAAUAGCUCUCAAGUCCUCGGACAUAAACAUCAUCUUGGGUAUGGACUGGAUGUCAGCCCAUUACGCUAAGAUCGAUUGCUCCACUAGAACUGUUCAACUCACCCACCCUUCGGGCAAGACAGCCAAUGUUUUGACCCGAGUGUCUAAGCGUCAGCUUUACUCUUUAAAUGCCAACCCCCUUCCAGACCUUGAAGAUAUUCCGGUAGUCCGUGACUUCCCGGAUGUCUUUCCAGAGGAACUGUCAGGUGUUCCACCUAACAGAGAUGUCAAGUUCGUGAUAGACCUUGUUCCAGGAACCAUGCCAACAUCUAGGAGACCUUAUAAGAUGGCACCCCUAGAACUAGCUGAGCUUAAGAAACAACUCGAUGAGUCCUUGCAAAAGGGUUUCAUCCAUCCUAGCUCUUCUCCAUGGGCUUGCCCCGUCCUUUUCGUCAAGAAGAAGGAUGGAACGGAUCGGAUGGUUGUAGAUUACCGGCCAGUCAACUUGGUCACUAUCAAGAACAAGUAUCCGCUCCCCAAGAUCAACGACCUGUAUGAUCAGCUCGCUGGAUCCUCAGUCUUUUCUAAAAUGGAUUUGAGGUUGGGCUACCAUCAAAUCAAAAUUAAGAACGGGGACAUUCCUAAAACGGCCUUUGUUACUCGAUAUGGCCAAUACGAGUACACCGUCAUGUCCUUCGGUCUAACCAAUGCCCCAGCCACCUUCUCUCGGUUAUUGAACUCGAUCUUCAUGGAGUAUUUUGAUAAAUUCGUCGUGGUUUACCUUGAUGAUAUACUCAUCUACUCCAAGAAUGAAGAAGAACAUGCCGAACAUCUAAGGCUAGUGUUGAUGAAACUUUGAGAGCAUUGUCUUUAUGCCAAAUUCUCUAGGUGUGAGUUUUGGUUGCCAGAAGUAACCUAUCUAGGACAUGUAAUCUCUGGUAAGGGCAUUGCUGUCAAUCCCAAGCGAGUUCAAGCCAUCCUUGACUGGACUCCACCUGAAACGGUCAAGCAAGUUCAGAGUUUUGUUGGUUUAGCGAGCUAUUGCCGCUGCUUCAUCGAGAAUUUCUCCAAGGUUGCUAAGCCUCUAACCGAACUCCUCAAGAAAGAUAAAAAGUUCGAAUGGACGCCAUAGUGCGAGUUCAGUUUUCAGGAACUGAAAAGACGCCUGACAUCUGCUCCUGUACUUGUUCCACCAGAUUUCUCUAAGGACUUCGUUAUCUACUGCGACGCCUCGCGACAAGGACUAGGUUGCAUACUCAUGCAAGAUCGUCAUGUGAUUGCCUACGCUUCUCGACAGCUGCGUCCACAUGAGGAUAACUAUCCCACACAUGAUCUACAGCUUGCAGCAGUGGUCCAUGCACUCAAAACCUGGCGACAUUACCUUCUCGGUAAUCGUUGCGAGAUUUACACCGAUCACCAAAGUCUGAAAUACAUCUUCACCAAACCGGAUUUGAAUCUCAGACAAAGACGUUGGGUCGAGUUGAUUACGGAUUACGAUCUAGGAAUAACCUACACCCCAGGAAAAGCCAAUGUCAUGGCUGAUGCAUUAAGCCGUAAAUCUUAUUGUAACAACCUGAUGUUACAACAAAGCCAACCAUUUCUCCACGAGGAAUUUCGUAAGCUUAACCUUCACAUCGUUCCUCGAGGUUUUCUUUCCACCCUGGUGGCGAAACCUACCCUUACGGAUCAGAUCAUCAAGGCACAGAAGGUAGAUCCGGGAAUAUCCCGUAUCAAGAGAAACAUCAAAAGGGAGUUGGACUGUUUCUCCAUAGAUGAUCAAGGUGUUGUGUUCUUUGGAGGCCAUCUAGUGGUUCCCAAGGUAUGCAACCUGAGGCGAUUGAUCCUUAAGGAAGCUCAUGAAUCCCCUCUCACUAUUCAUCCCAGUAGUACUAAAAUGUAUCAAGACCUACGCCAGAGGUUUUGGUGGACUAGGAUGAAGAGAGAAAUCGCUCAAUACAUUACCAAUUGCGACGUCUGUCGUCGAGUUAAAGAAGAGCAUCAACGACCUGCUGGCACCCUGCAACCUUUGGAAAUUCCCGAAUGGAAAUGGGAUAAAAUCGGUAUGGAUUUCAUUACCGGGUUUCCCAGGACCAAGAGGGGGAAUAAUGCUAUCUUCGUUGUUGUCGAUCGUCUUUCCAAAGUAGCCCACUUCCUACACGUUCGUGAGAGUUUAACCGCUAGCCAGCUAGCUGACUUAUACAUCUCCCGAAUAGUGUCUCUUCAUGGUGUUCCAUUGGAGACUAACUCAGACCGUGGAAGUCUCUUCACCUCUCGAUUUCGGGAAAGUUUCCAAAAUGCGAUGGGAACUCGUCUUUCUUUUAGCACCGCUUUCCAUCCUCAAUCAAGUGGUCAAGUAGAACGAGUCAAUCAAAUUCUAGAGGAUAUGCUUCGAGCUUCUGUCAUCUCUUUUGGUAUGAAUUGGGAGAAGUGCCUUCCAUUCGCUGAGUUCGCUUAUAACAAUAGUUAUCAAGCUAGCUUGGACAAAGCUCCUUUCAAAGUUCUCUAUGGAUGAAAAUGUCGAACACCUCUUAACUGGUCAGAAACCGGGUAAAGACAACUCUUUGGCCCGGAUAUGAUCCAGGAAGCAGAGGAGCAGGUUCACGUUAUUCGUGAGAAAUUGAAAACAGCCCAAUCUCAUCAAAAGAGCCAAUAUGACCGCAAACAUACACUAGUAGAAAAGGGGCCAAUGGUCCAGGCCGGUCCAGCCCAUUAGUCCCGGUUCAAUCCAGAACCGGGACCAAUGGGGGCAUUGGACCCGGUUCGUGAGCCCUGGGGGCCGGCCGGGCCACGUGGGCCAUUGGUCCCGGUUCGUCCUGACCUUUCGGUCCCGGUUGGUGGGACGAACCGGGACCAAUGGGCCUCGCUCCUGGCCCACCAACAUUGGUCCCGGUUGGUGGCUUGAACCGGGACCAAAGGCGUCCCUUUAGUCCCGGUUCAAGUCACCAACCGGGACCAAUUAGUUGCCUAUAUAUACCCCUCGCCUGCGAGCAGAGCACUCCCAGUGCUCUGUUUUUCGUGGCUGGCGAGGGGAGAGCUUUGUGGUGCUCUAGCUCACGUCCUAUGCACACAAGGUGUUCGAUGGAAUGCCCGAGCCACACUACUUAAGCUUUCUCCUCUCCAAGCUCGACCUCCAAGCUCCAUUUUCCUUCAUAUUUGUCUAGGUUUAGCGGUUCGUCACGUCCCGUCCCCAUCUUCACCACCGUUGAUCGCCCGCGCCGAUCUCGUCGCCGGCACCACCGUGGUGAGCCUCUUGUUCUUAUCUUCUUUCUGAAAGGAAAAAAAAUUCUUACUUGUAUGUUUAUAUAGAUACUUGUAUAAUUUUCUUACUUUUAUUAUUGCAUCUUAUAUAGUGCGAUGGUUUUGGUAUCCGCCCCCGUCGGCCCUCGUCCUGUCUAUGAUUCAGAUGUGGUAUAUAUAUAUUAUCUUUUCAUAACUAGUGGUUCAUUUAUUGUUUAUGACAAUUAUGCCGACCAACGUGACAUAGAUUUUAUUUAUCUAGGAGGUUGUUGAACCGGAAAUUCCAACCGACCCUAUUGUCGAGAGGUUAAAUUUAGUUGAAGAAAACAAUUUGUUGAAGGGAAAAAUUAGAAAAAUUGAGGAGGAGAAGAUGAUAUUGGAGUUGCAUGUUGCGGAUGUCAUCGAUGAUCACAAGAUCAAGAUGGAUGCAAUGCGCUUGAAGAUUAGAAAGAUUAGAAAAUAUGCCAUUCAUACCGAGGCUUGGUAUCAUUAUGUCGUUGGAUCAGUUGUUACAUUGGUUGCGAUUAUGAUCGUAUUUGUUUUCGCAUUGAAAUGUUUUACAUAGUUUCAGUGUAUGGUUUAAUUAAUUUAGAUGCCCUGCAGAGCUUUAUGUUGUUAGAUGAGAACUAUGUAUGUACUUUGGUUUUAAUGUGAUGAUGAACUUCUAUUAAUUUCGUCACUUAAUUAUCUAUUCAUGAUGUUCUGUAAUGAUUUUUGACACACUUAAUUAUAUAUAAUGCACGCAGAUGAACCGGCAAUGGAUGUACGGUUCAAGACACACCUCCGAGUACAUUAAGGGCGUGCAUGAUUUUCUCGAAGUGCCUGAGGCAACAAGAAGAAUGGUUUUAUGUGUUGUCCAUGCCCUAUAUGUGGGAAUACGAAGUCUUACUCUGACUGGAAAAUCCUCCACACCCACCUUCUUUACAAGGGUUUCAUGCCACACUAUAAUGUUUGGACGAGGCACGGAGAAAUAGGGGUUAUGAUGGAAGACGGCGAAGAAGAAGAGUACGAUGACAACUAUGUGCCCCCUGAAUACGGUGAUGCUACUGAAGAUCAAGAGGAACCAGACGAUGUGCCCGAUGAUGAUGAUCUCCGCCGGGUCAUUGUCGAUGCAAGGACGCAAUGCGAAAGUCAAAAGGAGAAGCUGAAGUUCGAUCGCAUGUUAGAGGACCACAAAAAAGGGUUGUACCCCAAUUGUGAAGAUGGCAACACAAAGCUCGGUACCGUACUGGAAUUGCUGCAGUGGAAGGCAGAGAAUGUUGUGCCUGACAAAGGAUUUGAGAAGCUACUGAAAAUAUUGAAGAAGAAGCUUCCAAAGGAUAACGAAUUGCCCGACAGUACAUACACAGCAAAGAAGUUCGUAUGCCCUCUAGGAUUGGAGGUGCAGAAGAUACAUGCAUGCCCUAAUGACUGCAUCCUCUACCGCGGUGCGUACAAGGAUCUGAACGCAUGCCCGGUAUGCGGUGCAUUACGGUAUAAGAUCAGACGAGAUGACCCUGGUGAUGUUGACGGCGAGCCCCCCAGGAAGAGGGUUCCUGCGAAGGUGAUGUGGUAUGCUCCCAUAAUACCACGGUUGAAACGUCUGUUCAGAAACGGAGAGCAUGCCAAGUUGAUGCGAUGGCACAGUGAGGACCGUAAGAAAGACGGGAAGUUGAGAGCACCCGCUGACGGGUCGCAGUGGAGAAAAAUCGAGGGAAAGUACUGGGAUGAGUUUGCAAGUGAGCCAAGGAACGUAUGGUUUGCUUUAAGCGCGGAUGGCAUUAAUCCUUUCGGGGAGCAGAGCAGCAAUCACAGCACCUGGCCCGUGACUCUAUGUAUGUAUAACCUUCCUCCUUUGAUGUGCAUGAAGCAGAAGUUCAUUAUGAUGCCAGUUCUCAUCCAAGGCCCUAAGCAACCCGGCGACGACAUUGAUGUGUACCUAAGGCCAUUAGUUGAAGAACUUUUAUAGCUGUGGAAUGGAAAUAGUGUACGUACGUGGGAUGAGCACAAACAGGAGGAAUUUAACCUAAAGGCGUUGCUGUUCGUGACCAUCAACAAUUGGCCCGCUCUCAGUAACCUUUCAGGACAGACAAACAAGGGAUACCACGCAUGCACGCACUGUUUACUUGACACCGAUAGUAUAUACCUAGCAAGUUGUAGGAAGAAUGUGUACCUGGGCCAUCAUCGAUUUCUUUCGACCAACCAUCAAUGUUGAAAGAAAGGCAAGCAUUUCAAAGGCGAGGCAGAUCACCGGAAGAAGCCCUCCAUGCGUACUGGUAUCACGUACUUGCUAUGGUAGUGAUUUACACGUAAUCUUUGGAAAGUGUCCCGGCGGACUAGCUGUUCCGAAUGACGCUGAGAAUCACGCACCCAUGUGGAAGAAGAAAUCUAUAUUUUGGGACCUACCCUACUAGAAAGACCUAGAGGUCCGCUCUUCGAUCGACGUGAUGCACGUGACGAAGAACCUUUGCGUGAACCUGCUAGGCUUCUUGGGCAUGUAUGGGAAGACAAAAGAUACAACUGAGGCACGGGAGGACCUGCAACGCUUGCACGAAAAAGUGGGCAUGCCUCCGAAGCAGUAUGAAGGUCCUGCCAGCUACGCUCUUACGAAAGAAGAGAAAUAAAUCUUCUUUGAAUGCCUGCUCAGUAUGAAGGUCCCGACUGGCUUCUCUUCGAAUAUAAAGGGAAUAAUAAAUAUGCCAGACAAAAAGUUCUAGAACCUAAAGUCUCAUGACUGCCACGUGAUUAUGACGCAACUGCUUCCGGUUGCAUUGAGGGGGCUUCUACCGGAAAACGUCCGAUUAGCCAUUGUGAACCUAUGUGCAUUCCUCAAUGCAAUCUCUCAGAAGGUGAUCGAUCCAGAAAUCAUACCAAGGCUAAGGACUGAUGUGGUGCAAUGUCUUGUCAGUUUCGAGCUGGUGUUCCCACCAUCCUUCUUCAAUAUCAUGACGCACGUCCUAGUUCAUCUAGUUGACGAGAUUGUCAUUCUGGGCCCCGUAUUUCUACACAAUAUGUACUUCUUUGAGAGGUUCAUGGGAGUCCUAAAGAAAUAUGUCUGUAACCGCGCUAGGCCAAAAGGAAGCAUCUCCAUGGGCUAUCAAACAGAGGAUGUCAUCGGGUUUUGUGUUGACUUCAUUCCUGGCCUUAAGAAUAUAGGUCUCCCUAAAUCGCGGUAUGAGGGGAGACUGACUGGAAAAGGCACGCUUGGAAGGGACUCAAUUAUAUGCAGGGACGGAUAUUCUUGGUCUCAAGCACACUACACAGUUCUACAGAACUCUACCUUGGUGACCCCGUAUGUCGAUGAACACAAGAACAGUCUGCGCUCCAAACACCCGGAGCAGUGCGACGACUAGAUUACAUGUGAACACAUCAGGACUUUCAGUAGUUGGUUGGAAGCACAUAUCAGAGGUGACAACACUGUUUGUGAUGAGUUGUACUUGUUGUCCAGGGGACCAUCUUUGACUGUAUUGAUUUGGAAAGGAUACGAGAUAAAUGGGAAUACAUUUUACACGAUUGACCAAGAUCAAAAGAGCACCAACCAAAACAGCGGUGUCCGCUUUGAUGAAACAACCGAGAGGGGAAAGGACACAUAUUGUGGUUACAUAGUGGACAUAUGGGAACUUGACUACGGACACGAUUUUAAGGUCCCUUUGUUUAAGUGCAAAUGGGUCAAUCUGUCAGGUGGCAGGGUACAGGUAGACCCACAGUACGGAAUGACAAUAGUGGAUCUGGAAAAUCUUGGAUACACUGACGAACUGUUCGUCCUAGCCAAUGAUGUGGCACAGGUUAUCUAUGUGAAGGACAUGUCUACCAGACCAAGAAAGAGAAAAGAUAAGGAAGCGAAUACAUCAUACGAUGAGCCAAAGUGCCACAUAGUUCUUUCAGGAAAAAGGGACAUCGUGGGAGUGGAGGACAAGACAGACAUGUCUGAAGAUUAUGAAAAGUUUCAUGAAAUUCCUCCCUUUAAUGUCAAGGCUGACCCCAGCAUCCUGAUAGACGAUGAAGAUUAUCCAUGGUUACGGCGCAAUAAGCAAAUGACACAAGCGAAGAAAAAGUGAAGACUUUCUCCCGCAACUAUUAUGAUGAUACCAUGCCAAAUUUGUAACUGACGAGUAUGAUACCAUUGUCCGUUUUGUACAUGCACAUGCUAUGUGGGUCAAUUUAUGAUACCAUGCCAACUUUCAACUUUUUCAGAGUUCAUUUGAAAUGCUUUAAUGUCUUAUGGUUCGGCCCUCGUAAUGAUUAAAAAUAGCAACAAUAAGUAUUUUGUUGUAAGUAGAAACAAAAUAAAAUAAAUAAAGCAAGAAAGAAAACAAAAAAAACAAAAAAAGUGUUUUCAAAUUUGAAAACUAAUGGUACUAACAGAAAGUUUAUAAUUUUCCUAAAACUAAAAGCAAAAAGAAUUGAAAAAUAAAGCAAAAAACAAAAGACAAUAAAUAAUGCAGAAAUCAAAACAAAAAACAACAAUAAGUAUUUUGUUGUAUGUAGAAACAAAACAAAAUAAAUAAAGCAAGAAAGAAAACAAAAAAACAAAAAAAGUGUUUUCAAAUUUGAAAACUAGGGCACUAACAGAAAGUUUAUAAUUUUCCUAAAACUAAAAGCAAAAAGAAUUAAAAAAUAAAGCAAAAAACAAAAGAAAAUAAAUAAUGCGGAAAACAAAACAAAAAAACUGGAAAAAAAAUAAAAUAGCAAAAAUAAGUAAAGAAAACAAAAAAAUGCCUCCUACUGGGCCCCCACGGCCUGAAUACGACUAGAAACCCUACUAUGGGCCAGGAUUCAGGCCCGCAGUAGGCCCAGAAGGCCCAUCAGGCAAAGCAAUAGCAAGUAGGCCCGAAAGCCUGCGGUGGAGAGGAGCUCGAGAGGGGUGCGGCAGUGGGGCUUAUAAACCACUGCACGCCCCUCUCAACUAGCGAGGUGGGACUAAACUUUGGCCCCGACGCGGGAAGCACAGGGGCCUUUGGUCCCGGUUGGUGGCACCAACCGGGACUAAAGGGGGGGGCAUUGGUACCGGUUCGUGGCACCAACCGGUACCAAAGGCCGCCGCUUCCCGCCCUUUGGGCUGCCGAAAAGGAGGCCUUUGGUCCUAGUUGGUGGCACUAACCGGGACUAAAGGGUGCAUUAGUCCCGGUUGAUUUCACGAACCGGGACCAAUGCCUUUGCUAUAUAAGCAAACACUUUGCAAAAUUUCAGAAUCCCAUCGCCAGUUGCCCCCGACGACGCCGACCCUCCUCGACGCUGCCAGGCUGCUCCACCUCGCCGUCGUCGCCGCCACCGCCAAGCCGUCGCCUCCCCGAGCCCGCGCCAUCCUCGUCGCCGGCCUCCCUGAGCCCGCGCCGUCCUCGUCGCCGGUCUCCUCGAGCCCGCUCCCCGUCCCGCCCCCGCGCGCCGCCGCCCCGAGCCCCUGCCCCGUCCUGCCCCCAUGCGCNNNNNNNNNNNNNNNNNNNNNNNNNNNNNNNNNNNNNNNNNNNNNNNNNNNNNNNNNNNNNNNNNNNNNNNNNNNNNNNNNNNNNNNNNNNNNNNNNNNNNNNNNNNNNNNNNNNNNNNNNNNNNNNNNNNNNNNNNNNNNNNNNNNNNNNNNNNNNNNNNNNNNNNNNNNNNNNNNNNNNNNNNNNNNNNNNNNNNNNNNNNNNNNNNNNNNNNNNNNNNNNNNNNNNNNNNNNNNNNNNNNNNNNNNNNNNNNNNNNNNNNNNNNNNNNNNNNNNNNNNNNNNNNNNNNNNNNNNNNNNNNNNNNNNNNNNNNNNNNNNNNNNNNNNNNNNNNNNNNNNNNNNNNNNNNNNNNNNNNNNNNNNNNNNNNNNNNNNNNNNNNNNNNNNNNNNNNNNNNNNNNNNNNNNNNNNNNNNNNNNNNNNNNNNNNNNNNNNNNNNNNNNNNNNNNNNNNNNNNNNNNNNNNNNNNNNNNNNNNNNNNNNNNNNNNNNNNNNNNNNNNNNNNNNNNNNNNNNNNNNNNNNNNNNNNNNNNNNNNNNNNNNNNNNNNNNNNNNNNNNNNNNNNNNNNNNNNNNNNNNNNNNNNNNNNNNNNNNNNNNNNNNNNNNNNNNNNNNNNNNNNNNNNNNNNNNNNNNNNNNNNNNNNNNNNNNNNNNNNNNNNNNNNNNNNNNNNNNNNNNNNNNNNNNNNNNNNNNNNNNNNNNNNNNNCGCUGCAUUGGCUCUGUUUUUUUUUCAUUUUUAUUAGUUUAAUUAUUUUUUUGUUCAUAUAUAUAUAUAUAUAUAUAAUGUAUAUGUGUAUGUAUGUGGCUAUAUAUGUGUAUGUAGAUGUUCAAAAAUUAUUCAGAGCACGUUUUUAUUCAUAUAUGUAUUUUUUGUUCAUAUGUGUAUUAAUGUUUUCAUAUAUGCAAAAGAUAGAUUUUUAGAAAAGUUAGGGUUUUUUUUUCUAUUCAUAGAUUUUUUUGGUGAUAUUAAUUAUUGUAGAAUAUGCAAAUGUUUGUAUAUUCAUAUGAACAAUGCAUUAGGCAAAACCUUUGUUUUUUUUGAAAUUUUUUAUUUGAACAUUUUUUAAAAACAAGCAAUACUAAAAGAAUGAGAGGAAAAAGGAAAAUAAGAAGAGGAAGAAAGGAGAAGAAGAGGAGAGGAAGAAGAGGAGAAAUAAAUAAGAAGAGGAAAAAAGAAGAGGGGAAGAAGAAAGGAAUAGAGGAGAAGAAGAAAAAUAGAAAUUUUCUAUUUUUCUUCUUCUCCUCUAUUCCUUUCUUCUUCUCCUCUUUAUUUUCUUCUUUUUUUUCUUCUUCCUUCUUCCUCUUUUCUUCCUUUUCCUUAUUUUCCUUUCUCGAGGGAGAAGAAGAAAAAGAAGAGUAAAAGAAGAAGAAAGGAAUAGAGGAGAAAGAAGAAACUUCAACACAAGGGGGGGUUACCGAUACCCCCUCCCCGAUAACAUUAUUUUCCCAUGUAUAUGUAUGUCGCGUCAUUGUCGAUAUAACCCCCUCGAGAUAACUUCGACAUGAGGGGCGGUCGAUAUAUAUACCCCCUCUCGACCGUGAUAACUUAUACAACGGCAGCACCCCCCUCGGCCCUCUCGCUCGACCAAAACUCUUGAGGACACCCAAACCCUAGAGAGAAAACGAUGUUGGUCUCCUACCCCCUCCCGCCGCGCCCCUACCCGACAUAUUAACUCUCUCGAGGCCACCCAAAUUUACCAAGUUAAAAGAGCGUUGUCGUCGAGGCCACCCCAAACCCUUGAAGCGUUGUGUCGAGGAGACCCCAAACCCUAGAGAAGCAGCGUCGAGGCCACUAACAUGGAUCGAUCCAUCUGUAAUAAUAAUUGACAUGGUGUAAAUAUUUGCAGAAACUAUGGAGCACUCCCGAGACGAAGAAACAGAAGCGAUGUUGGGGGACAUUAUCGCACAAGGAAGUGAUGAAGUUGCGUCAUUUCUCAACGACACCGAUGGUCAGGAACGACUGGGUGAAGAAGAGGGCUAUGUUCAUGAUGGCUUCGACCCAUUAAUGCCGGUACAAGAAGAGGACUAUGUUCAUGAUGGCUCUGGUGACACAAUGGAGGUACAAGAAGGAGACCGUGCUGACUGCUCCGGUGACCGAACCGAGUCCGGCCAGGUAUAUAUAUAUAUAUUAGUUAAGCCCGUGCUGACUAGUUAAUUGAUGCAUCCAUUGUUUUGGUAUAUGUACACAUAUUAAUUACUCUCGUCUUUCUUCCUUAUAAUUUCUAGCCCUCCGGAUCGAGCACAACUUCGGUAAGAAGACGAAGCCCGAAGAAAAAGUUGAGCUCGGAUGAAAAGUUUGAGAUCAUAGAAAUCGCGCCCGACGGCGAACCGAUUGAACCCAUCCGGACAAGGAAGGCAUUUUCUGCUCAGUGCGGGGUUCUUGUUAGGGACAAGAUCCCGAUCAGCAUCCAUCAAUGGUAUAAGCCUAAGGAGGAAGACCCCGAGGUGUCUUAUGUCAAUGAUAUGCAGAAAGAAGAUCUUUGGACUGAGCUAAAGGCAAAUUUCACCCUACCGCUAGAGGAGGAUCCGGAGAAGCCAGUUAUAGAGCAAUUAAUCAAUUCUUGUGCUCUUAAGAAGAUGGCAACCCUAAUGAGGAGGUGGAGGAAAGAGGUGAACCAGUUUGUCGAGAAAGAUAAGACACCAGAAUUCAUCGGCAAAUAUGAGAAGAUCAAAGAUCACUGGCCCGCAUUUGUGGCCCACAAGACAUCGGAAAAGAGUAAGAAGAUGUCGGCAACAAACAAGAAAAAUUCUGCAAAGAAGAAGCUUCACCAUCGCACGGGGUCAGGUGGCUACCUCAAAGCCCGGCCUAAGUGGUCCAAGGCUGAGCAUGAUCUGCUUGAAAAAGGGAUCGAACCAGAGACAAUGUACUGGCCAGACCGUUGUCGGACUUGGUUCUUCGGGGCUGGCGGAACCUUGGACCCUGUAACAGGGAAGUGCCAGUGGACGGAUGAGCAACUACAAAUACCAGUCAAGAAACUUCGACACUAUAUCGAUGCAGCGUAGCGAGGGACGCUCCUUCCAAACAGGGAGAAGGACGAGCUCACAAUGGCCCUUGGGAAUCCUGAGCACCCUGGAUGGACACGAGGCACGCCAGGCUCCAUUCCAUGGAAGGUUGGUCUUCCGCACACAGGGGGUUACAAAACCCACGAGAGGAGGAAGAAACUGGAGCAGGACCAAAUGCAGGCGCUGCACGAAAGGGUAAUGGGGCUAGAGGAACGAGAAGCAGCAGAUCGCAGCAAACGACAUGCCGAAGCUUCCCCCGAAGCUACCUCGCCAUCUCAGCGGAGAAGCAGCGUGGCUUCCACCGAGCUGCUUCAGCCGGAGCAUGUCUUGACGUCUCCUGCCAGCUAUCCCGUGGAUGGUAUCACGGAGUCUCAAAGUUGCCACAUUAUGACGCAAUGUAUGAAUUUGAAGGUCAAGGCGGCUGUUGGCCAAGUUUAUCCUAGUGGACCCGGCACAACUUAUCACUGCCAGCCGAUUCCAGAAGGAUUUGCUAAGGUGAUGGUGGAUGAAAUAACGGAGGGAUUUGAGGACCUCCUGCUUGAGCACCCUACCGGUGAAGGGGAGACUAGGCUGGGUUCUGCUCUGAAGACUCCAUGCCUAUGGCGGAAGGAGCUCAUCAACCUUCCGAACUGGACGCCUCCGCCUCCUCCUCCUCCUCCGGCGAGUCAGGGCACUCCGCCUCCUCCACCGCCUCCUCCUCCGGCGAGUGAUGAUCAGGGCACACGUGGCAGCACUCCGCCUCCUUCUCCGCCUGCGCCGGCGCGCCCGAGCAGCCAGCCUCCUCCUUCUCCGCCUCGUCAGCAAGGGCGAAAGAGACCCGCCGCUGCUCCGGCUGCUCCGGCGCGUCGUAAUCCUUCUCCUCCGCCUCACAAAAAGCAAGCAAAGAAGACAUCCACUCCGUCUGCUCUGUCGGUGUCUAGCAGUACAGCCAAAGGCGGGAAGAAAUACAGAUUUGGUCCUUCUCCGAAGACUCCAGAGAAGUUACCGUACGAGAGGACCGAGGAGGAAAACGCGGAGAUCACGCAGAACGAACUGGAUGGCUGGUUUGCAGGGUUGAAAGCAAAGAGACAUCCACCUCCGGAGGAGAAGGUAGAUCCGGUGAAAGUGAAGCGCACUCUGGCUGCCCUGAGGAAACCGGCAAAGUCUCCGCCGAGAACCAACUAUGAGCGCAUUACUGAACAGACAUAUCUCCAAGCGGAGCAGUCGGGAAGUACUGUCAGACAUCAAAGAGCAAAAGAACGAGCAGCUGCGAAAAAAGUUGACCAGCUCGGCGAACAACCAAACCAAUCGUGCCCCCCGCUCAAUGUGUCUAGCGGCAACAUCGUCGCUAAUGUUCCGGGGAUCAUGGACGGUUAUGGCAAUCCACAAUAUUACCUGCCUGACGAUGCACUUCCUGAAUUCAUGAUGGUGGAAGAACGCAGAUACGAGUACGGGAAGCCUCUCAUCAAAGAUGUAAAAUCUCUAACAACGAUGAUGCGAAGAUUCCAUACUUGGUACAUGAAAACCUGCAGAGAGUCUGGGGGGACGAAUAGUUUGUAUCUACACAUUAAAGAGGAGCACGACCUCGUUGGAACUGAUCUGUUGUGUGUUCCAUUUGAGGAGUUCUUCGCGUUCUUCAAUCAAAUAGCCCUCGAUAAAUUAACGGUCUUUUGCUACUGCCUGUAAGUACUAUUUCUGUCAUUAAGUCUCUAUAUAUAGCUUGGCUUUCAUUACAUGUAUUUAUAAUUAAUUAUCCUCAAUAUAUUAUGCAGAUUGAAGAUCGUCGAGUGCAAAAAAAUGAAAUCUAUGAUAUUGGGUUCAUUAACACAAAUAUCAUAGAUGUAUUUCUGGUUGAAAAGCACAUCGAAGAGGCCGAGGACAACUUGCUACGAUCAUUGAUCAAAAAUCAAAACAAAGAUACCAUACUCUUUCCUUACAACACCAAGUGAGUGUUACUGAUCAUUUGCAUAUUCGGUUUCCCUUAUUACUCGAGCGAGGUUAUAGUAAUGUAAUUGAUGAGUUAUGCAUGUGUGCGCAGGUACCACUAUAUUCUUCUGGAGAUUAAGCUUGAGCGUGGACUAGUAACCGUCUUAGACUCGAGACGGAAAGAUCCCAGCACCUAUGCGGACAUGACUGAAAUGCUCAGCAAGUAAGUUCAAUCGAUCAUUAUCGCACCAUAGCGGCAACUUUUUGUUCAUUUCCUGAUAUCUCAAGUAAUAAUAAUUAUUUUCUUUGUCUUGCAGGGUUUGGAAACAGUUCACCACAGUAGCUCGGGGACUGCCGAAGGAGCUGCGAUAUAUAUACCCGAAAGUAAGUACUACUGGCUAGCUAGUUGUGUGCAUCUCCUGUUGAUUCUAUAGCUAUACUUUCAUCACAUUUAUAAUGCUUCAUUAUCAGUUUGAUAGACCUCUAUUUCUCGUAAAGUGCUUGUGGUAGGAACAAGGGAAUGAUUUCUAUAGAUACUACGUGUGCGAGUUCAUCUACAACGCGACUUUGAAAAAUAAGCGGGGCUACUCUCAAAGACAAUAUGAAGUGCGUAAGCAAUUAAUAAUAUUCACAAUUUCUGUUGAGUUUCAUUCAUAUAUAUAUAUAUAUAUAUAUAUAUAUAUAUAUAUGUAUUAAUUAACCCCCUUCUUCAAAUUAGACGUGGCAGAUGCGGAAUGAACUCCUAGAACCAGAUCGCAUGAAAGGAAUUCAAGAGGAAUUGGCGGGAUUCUUUCUUGACCACGUCAUCAAUAAAGCCGGAGAAUACCAUGUGGAACUUGAUUUCAAAUGCUAGGGGACUGUAAUUGAGAGAUCUUAUAUAUUGUACAUGUUGUAUGUAGCCAGUAGCGUCGGACAUACAUGAUACAAAAACUUGUUGUUUGACCAAUCUCUCGGAGAAGGAGACGUCGAUCGAUCACUUCUCUCGGUAUGCAUGACGAACUUCUGUACUUAAUGGUUUCCUUCAUUUUCUUACUAGCUAGCGUGUCGAGAGCCUCUCUAUGUAUAGUACGUAGCGUCGACCAAGCACGGACAUAAGAGAGGACACUUCUCUCUAUUAAUUAGCUAGCUAACACAAUAUAUGAAACACCUAAAUUAACCCCCAAAACCNNNNNNNNNNNNNNNNNNNNNNNNNNNNNNNNNNNNNNNNNNNNNNNNNNNNNNNNNNNNNNNNNNNNNNNNNNNNNNNNNNNNNNNNNNNNNNNNNNNNNNNNNNNNNNNNNNNNNNNNNNNNNNNNNNNNNNNNNNNNNNNNNNNNNNNNNNNNNNNNNNNNNNNNNNNNNNNNNNNNNNNNNNNNNNNNNNNNNNNNNNNNNNNNNNNNNNNNNNNNNNNNNNNNNNNNNNNNNNNNNNNNNNNNNNNNNNNNNNNNNNNNNNNNNNNNNNNNNNNNNNNNNNNNNNNNNNNNNNNNNNNNNNNNNNNNNNNNNNNNNNNNNNNNNNNNNNNNNNNNNNNNNNNNNNNNNNNNNNNNNNNNNNNNNNNNNNNNNNNNNNNNNNNNNNNNNNNNNNNNNNNNCCCCCUGCCUGGGCUCGGCGCGUGGAUGCCUUUUGGUCCCGGUUGGUGCCACCAACCGGGACCAAAGGCCCCCCUGCCUGGGCUCGGCGCACAGGCCACGUGGAGGACCAUCUAUCCCGGUUCGUGUUACAACCGGGACUAAAGGGGGGAGGUAUUAGUAACGACCCAUUAGUCCCGGUUCAUGAACCGGGAGUAAAGGCCCUCACGAACCGGGACUAAUAGGUGUUUGUCUACUAGUGAUAAGCCUAUGACUUAUGAAGUUGGUGAGAAGGCUUACCUUCGGGUUACACCUUUAAAGGGAACCCAUCGAUUCGGUAUCAAGGGCAAGUUGGCCCCUUGUUACAUUGGACCCUUUUGCAUUCUUGCCAAACGAGGGGAAGUUGCCUACCAGUUGGAACUACCUCCACAUCUUUCUAGAGUUCAUGAUGUCUUCCACGUCUCUCAACUCAGGCAUUGCUUCUCGAAUCAUAUCCGCGAAGUAGACCAUGAAACGCGUGAUCUCCAAGAAAAUCUCACUUAUCGAGAAUAUCCAAUUCGCAUCCUUGAUCAAGCCGAGCGUACCACUCGACGCCAGAAUAUCAAGUUUCUCAAGGUUCAAUGGUCACACCACUCCGAUCAAGAAGCAACUUGGGAAAGGGAGGAUCAUCUACGACUUGAGUAUCCCACCUUCUUCCCGAUAGACCCUAAAUCUCGGGAUGAGAUUCUUUUGAGUGGGGGUGAGUUGUCACAACCUAGCUAGUCCAUGCAUUAGAGUGUUGCAUCAUGUCUACCUUUUAUCAGAAACUUGAAUUGGGGAAGACAGAACCCCCCCAGAACCCCUCUAAAUUCAACUAGUGCUUACUAAAAAUAUUUUCAAUGAACCUGAAAUGCCCUUCUAAAAAGUUCACCCUCUUUGUCUUGGGUUAGAACCUCUGGCAAAAUUGGUGCACAAUUUUCUAGGUCAACAGAAGGCCAUUGAAUUAAAUCAUAUCUACUUUGAGUUUGGGCAUUUAAACUAUAUAAAAUAUUUCAAAUGCUCAAAUAACUCCAAACUAAAAUGUUCCAUACUGGAUAUAUUCCAACUAGCGACCAUGUGCAGUUUGGUGAUUUUUGGAGUUGCCUAAGUAUUUUUAGAAAUGCAACAAACUUACAGAAACAAUUAAAAACAGAAACAAAUGGGGAAAAAACCCUUACCUGGCCGAACCAAGCCCCAGCCCAGCUGGCCGGCCCAGCACUGUGCUGGCCCAUGCCAGCCAGCUGCUUUGCCAUCGCCACGCAGGCACAGAGCUGACGCCAGCGAGUGUGAGCUCGCCACGGCGCCAACUGCUUGCCGCCCGCGCCACCGAGCACCUGGGUGAGCUCCACGUCGCCACCCCGACCCCGUGGACACCUCAUUCGCCCCCCUGCCUCUUCCCUCGCUCUCCCGCACCAUGGCCGACGCACCCGUCGCCGCACCGCCGACGUAGUCGCGCCCUCCAUCGUCCCCGUGCUGCACCACCGUGUCCCUUCGCUCCGUCGUCAUCAACUACAUCGAGCAGGCCGAGCCCCGAGCGCUCGUGGGCCUUGCUUCGUCUUCUUUGACCUCAUCUUCACCGAGCACCACCGCAGAUCCCCUUCGCCGUCGCCGCUGCACCAGCUCGUCCCCGACCUCGCCGACCACUCCGUUGUGACCGCCGUGAGCUCAGCCACCUCCCCAUCCUCCCCGUUUGCCUUCUCGUGCACCGUAGCAGCCGCAUGGAGCUUCAUCGCACGCACCACCGCCGAGCUCGUCGCCGACGUGCCUCCGGCCAUCCACCGUCCACACCACGGUAUCUAACAUGCUCAUUGCAUCGCGUAGAGUCUAACGCCCCACUCCACGCGCCUCGCCGUGCCCCGUAGCCACGGGUCAAUUUUCACCCGACUCCGGCGACCGUCGCGGUCGUCGCUGCCGACGUUCCUGGCCACCUCGACCUCAACCACCACCACCAAACGCCGCGGCUUGUUCCUGGCUACACGUAGAUGGUCUUCGCCGUCCAUUUGGUCGCCGGAACGUGCUAACCCACUUCCUCUGCCGCAUCUGGCCUCGCCAGCGGCUAGACGCCGGCGUGUUUGACCCGUUGACGUUGACUGGGUGGGCCAGGUUGACUCCCCUGAGUCUAUGACAAGUGGGCCCCCCCCUCUGCUAAUUAACCUAGUUUAGUUCUUACUAAAAUCAGUUAGUUUAAAUAAGUGCUGACAUGCGGGACCCACUGGUCAGUUUGACCUGAACGACCCCUUUGACCAUUGACGUCACCCUGAUGCACUGCUGACGCAAUAACCAAUUUCUGGAUUUAUUGUUAUAUAGGAAAUUCCAGAAAUUGUUGCAAACUUCAAAAAUUCAUAGAAAUUAAUCUGUAACUCCAAAUGCAAAGAUUUAUAUAUGAAUUUCGAUCAAAAAAAUUCAAUAUAUCCAUUGGUAAUGGUUUCAUGCAUGUCAGAACAAGUUAACCUUGUUGUUUAAUCAAAACAAGUUAAUGCACUAAUAUGACUAUGUUAAAUGAACUACCAUUUGCAUCUUUGAUUCAAAUGAGUUCAUACCUUUCUGUUCUAGCUUGCAUUAGGCCAGGACACAUUCAUGUUGCCAUGUCAUAGCAUGCAUCAUAUUGUUGCAUAUCGUCAUGUGUGGUUCAUGUUCGGUGUGUUUUCGUGAUAGGUUCUGCCUCCGAGGAUAACCCCGAAUAUCCGUCUGAAGGGCAGUAUCCUACUACCACUACAUCAGGCAAGCAACCCAUUGAUCAUUCUGAUACAAACCCAUGUUCUCGCCUCUGCUCUUGUUUACUGCAUUAAGAUAACGCGAUUCAAACUGUUGUGUGUUGUGGUAGUUGAACCCACUUCCUUUGCAUGACCUGUCAUUGCCACGGUAACUAGAUGAAACCCACUAGCAUGUGUAGGAGUUGAUUGAGCCAUAUCUGUGUUACCUACCAUGCUAUGCUUGCUAUGCUUAGAGUUGUGUCAGGUCUGGCUCAUCAGGAUGAUGAACUAGAGUGAAAGGUUGUGUCGGUAACGAGAGUGAAGUGUUGAACACGAUUUGGUAAAGGUAUCGAUGAGAGGCCAUGUAGGAGUACAUGGUGGGUUGUUUCAUUGAGGCCGUCCUUAAGCACUGAGAUCUGUGUGUGUGAUUUAAGAUUCAGCUACUACCACGCAUUGGGCCCAAAACCAAUGGACCCUCUCGACUUAUUAACCACUCUUGUCCUCAGUCCGGGAGUUGCAAGUAGUUUCUGGUGUUUGUAGCAUGCUGGGGGCCGCACGCAGCGCUGACCUUAGGGGUGGGUUGUGUUGCGGUAGGCACGUGGCACGGUGUAUCGAUUCGCCCGUUUGGUGUCUCGGGAACCCUGUUCACAUCGUUCGGGGCCGUUAGUGGAAACCUCGGCCGGACUCCCUGCGGAUGGAACCCAAAUAGGCGAUAAACCUGGACUAGGGACUCGUGUGUUUAGUCAGGCCAUGGCCGACACCCUUGCUGGGCUUCCGCUUGAAGGUUGCCGAGUACACGUCAUGUAGUGGCGAUAAGUGGUGAGAGCGUGUGUGAAGAAGUACACCCCUGCAGGGUACAAAACUAUUCGAAUAGCCGCGUCCACGGUAAAGGACUACUUGGUCACCUAUACAGUUCAUAGACAAGUAAAUGGAUACUUCUAAAAGCCUCAAGAUAAGUGUGAGUGCCGCGGAUGGCCCUGUCGUAGGUUGACGAGAGAGGAUCCACGGUGGAGUAUUGUGUUGGUGAGUAGUGGACUCGUGUGCGACAAAUGUUUUGCAAGUUGUGUCUAUCGUUGGAUAGCUUAGCCAAGAGUCAAAGCUGGCUUGCUGCAAUAACUCCACUACCUUCUUGAGAAUGUGCAUGUAUGAUAGGAUUCUGUUGUAAGACUUGCUGAGUACCUCUGUACUCAUGUUUGCUUAAUUAAUGUUUUCAGACGACAACACCAACCCCUCCGAUGGGUUCUACGUAGACCUCGACGUUGACGAGUGACUAGCCACCCAAGUGGUGAUCCAAGACUUGUGAAGGGCCGAUGUAGAUAGAAAGGCUUCAUCAAGCCCUCUUUCUUUCUAGUGUCUGUACUCAGACUAGUUGCUUCCGCAUGUGCUUGUAUGCUUGUAUGACUUGAGUGUCAGGUCAUGUGACCCCUAUCUGUAUGAACAUGUUAUGUAUGGCUCCUCGGAGCCACUUAAAUAAAGUACUUUGAGUUGUAGAGUUUUGUUGUGAUGCCAUGUUGUAUGUACUCAUAUCGGGCAUAUUGUGUGUAUGUUUGAAAUGCUUGGUAUGAGUGGGAUCCGACAAUCUAGUUGUUUAUCCUUGGCAGCCUCUCAUAUGGGGAAAUGUAGUCUAGUGCUUCUUGAGCGAUAGUAGUCCGCUACAGCCCGGUUCACCGGAGUCCUGCUAGCCCAGUACUACUGCUCUGGACACUUGACUGGCCGGCAUGUGUUUCACUUUGUUCCUGUGUCUGUCCCUUCGGGGAAAUGUCAAGCGGUGGCAUCCGGAGUCCUGCCUAGCCUGCUACAGCCCGGGUUACCGGAGUCCUGUUAGCCCAGCGUUACAUCCCGGAUGUAUACGUUGAUGACCAACAUGCUCGAUGUGAUUCAUGUAUGCAUGUCCCCAUAGGUUAGCGCCGCUUGGGUUCACGACUAGCCAUGUCGGCCCGGGUUCUCAGUCAUGUGGAUGCUAGCGACACUAUCAUAUACGUGAGCCAAAAGGCGCAAACGGUCUCGGGCCAUGGUAAGGCGCCACCCGUGGGAUUACCGUGCGUGAGGCCGCAAAGUGAUAUGAGGUGUUACCGGCUGGAUCAAUGUGACUUGGAAUCGGGGUCCUGACAAUUACUUGCUCCUAUCAUAUGUUUGGUUGCAACAAUGUCACUUCUUCACAUAUGCCAUGUCCCAUUGCUUGUCUCAUGCUUGACUUCAUUGCCUCACACAUGAUGAACAAUUGCUCUUUAUAUUGUGUUGAGUGUUACACUAUAUUCACUACAUCCUAUGCACGUUAUGUUUGGAUUGUCUUGCACUUGACCCAUGUGUUUAGACACUUCAUUUUAUUUGGUGUUGUGAAUCCUUCCUAUGCCUACCAUAGACCUUUCAUUGAGCAAUUUGUGAAUGCUUGCUAUGACCUCGAGGUAGAUGCUUAUGCUCUUGUCACACAUAUUUGCAUCUCUACCUCACAUUUACAUGCUUGUUCCCAUGAUAUUUUUGCUUGUGCUCGAUUGAUAUGCUUACAUGCCAUGUCACAAUCCUUUGUCACACCCUAUGCUAUGCUUGAUGACAACACUUGUUUGGUGAAUCACCUCUUGAAUGCUUGGUUUUGCACGAACGCAAACCACAUUUGUUUUUCCACGGGUUUGUUCUAUUUGCUCCUUUUGAAGGAAUCACAAGAUGGUGCGACACUGGAGAGUGCCCACUUCGAGCUACUAGACGAUGAGUGCUUGGUGAUCGACCACUUCGAUAUGGCACCGCCAUCUCUUUCCUAUGGUGAUUUGGUUUUCGAUCCGAGGUCGAAUCCUUCUCAAGGGGGAGGGGAUGAUGCGGAGCAUCCUAUGGACAUCACCAUGUCAAGAGUCCAUUCGGCAAGUGACACGUGCGACAUCUACUUCUCAUACAUAAAGGUGAAUCUUCUCCUUUACACGUGUUCACUUGACCCCUUCGAGGAUGGUAUACUACUUGACACUUCUCCCGUGUGCAUGCAUAGGUAUUGUCAGAGCUUUACGGAUGUCGAGGAGUGCAAGCGCCAAGGAACGACUACACCGUCCGCGAGGGAAGCAUGGAAGAGAAGGAGGAAGAGAACCUGGUGUUGGGGAACGUAGUAAUUUCAAAAUUUUCCUACGCACAUGCAAGAUCAUGGUGAUGAUAUAGCAACGAGGGGAGAGUGUUGUCUACGUACCCUCGUAGACCGAAGCGGAAGCGUUGACGCAGCGUAGAGGAAGUAGUCCUACGUCCUCCCGGUCCGACCGAUCCAAGCACCGUUACUCCGGCACCUCUGAGUUCUUGACACACGUACAGCUCGAUGACGCACCCUCGAUCUCCAAUCCAGUAGAGGCUCCAAGGGGGAGUUCCGUCAGCACGACGGCGUGGUGACUAUCUUGAUGUUCUCCUGUCGCAGGGCUUCGCCUAAGCACCGCUACAAUAUGACCGAGGUGUAAUAUCGUGGAGGGGGGCACCGCACACGGCUAAGGAACGAUCAAUGAUCAACUUGUGUGUUCUAGGGUGCCCCCUACCCCCGUAUAUAAAGGAGGGAGGGAGGAGGUGGCCGACCCAAGGAGGGGGCGCGCCAUGGGAGGAGGAAACCUACUCCAAGUAGGUUUCCCCUCUUUUUCCUUAUCUUAUUUGGAGGGGGAAGGAAGGAGUACUAGUAGUAGGAAGGAGUACUAGUAGUAGGAAAGGAAGAGGGGGAAGGAGAAAGGAAAGGGGGGGCCGGCCCCCCUCCCCAAUUCGGAUUGGGCUUGGGGGGGCGCGCCCCCCUCCCUUGCUCCUUCUCCCUUCCUCCUACAUGGGCCCAAUAAGGCCCAUAUACCUCCCGGGGGGGUUUCGGUAACCUCCCGGAGCUCCAAACUCUUCCGGAACCUUUCCGGUGUCCAAAUAUAUCCGUCCAAUAUAUCGAUCUUUAUGUAUCGACCAUUUCGAGACUCCUCGUCAUGUCCGUGAUCAUAUCCGGGACUCCGAACAAACUUCGGUACAUCAAAAUACAUAAACUCAUAAUAUAACUGUCAUCGAAACCUUAAGCGUGCGGACCCUACGGUUCGAGAACGAUGUAGACAUGACCGAGACAUGUCUCUGGUCAAUAACCAAUAGCGGGACCUGGAUGCCCAUAUUGGUUCCUACAUAUUCUACGAAGAUCUUUAUCGGUCAAACCGCAUAACAGCAUACGUUGUUCCCUUUGUCAUUGGUAUGUUACUUGUCCGAGAUUUGAUCGUCGGUAUCCAAUACCUAGUUCAAUCUCGUUACCGACAAGUCUCUUUACUCGUUCUGUAAUACUUCAUCUCAUAACUAACUCAUUAGUUAUAUGCUUGCAAGGCUUAUGUGAUGAGCAUUACCGAGAGGGCCCAGAGAUACCUCUCCGACAAUCGGAGUGACAAAACCUAAUCUCGAAUUAUGCUAACUCAACAUGUACCUUCGGAGACACCUGUAGUACUCCUUUAUAAUCACCCAGUUACGUUGUGACGUUUGGUAGUACCCAAAGUGUUCCUCCGAUAAACGGGAGUUACACAAUUCUCAUAGUUACAGGAACAUGUAUAAGUCAUGAAGGAAGCAAUAGCAGAAUACUAAACGAUCAAGUGCUAAGCUAACGGGAUGGGUCAUGUCAAUCACAUCAUUCUCCUAAUGAUGUGAUCCCAUUAAUCAAAUGACAACACAUGUCUAUGGUUAGGAAACAUAACCAUCUUUGACUAAUGAGCUAGUCAAGUAGAGGCAUACUAGUGACUAUAUGUUUGUCUAUGUAUUCACACAUGUAUCAUGUUUCCGGUUAAUACAAUUCUAGCAUGAAUAAUAAACAUUUAUCAUGAUAUGAGGAAAUAAAUAAUAACUUUAUUAUUGCCUCUAGGGCAUAUUUCCUUCAGUCUCCCACUUGCACUAGAGUCAAUAAUCUAGUUCACAUCGCCAUGUGAUUUAACACCAAUAUUCAUAUCUGUAUAUGAUUAACACCCAUAGUUCACAUCAUCAUGUGACCAACAUCCAAAGUGUUUACUAGAGUCAAUAAUCUAGUUCACAUCGCUAUGUGAUUAACACCCAAAGAGUACUAAGGUGUGAUCAUGUUUUGCUCGUGAGAGAAGCUCAGUCAACGGGUCUGUCACAUUCAGAGCCAUAUGUAUUUUGCAAAUAUUCUAUGUCUACAAUGCUCUGCACGGAGCUACUCUAGCUAAUCGCUCCCACUUUCAAUAUGUAUCCAGAUUGAGACUUAGAGUCAUCUGGAUCGGUGUGAAAACUUGCACCGAGAUAACUUUUACGACGGGCUCUUUUAUCACCUCCAUAAUCGAGAAAUAUUUCCUUAGUCCUCACUAAGGAUAUUCUUGACCAAUGUCCAGUGAUCUACUCCUAGAUCACUAUUGUACUCCCUUGUCAAAUACAGAGCAAGGUAUACAAUAGGUCUGGUACAUAGCAUGGCAUACUUUAUAGAACCUAUGACUGAGGCAUAGGGAAUGACUUUUCAUUCUCUUUCUAUUUUCUGCUGUGGUCGGGAUUUGAGUCUUACUCAAUUUCAUACCUUUGCAACACAGGCAAGAACUCUUUCUUUGACUGUUCCAUUUUGAACUACUUCAAAAUCUUGUCAAGGUAUGUACUCAUUGAAAAUCUUAUCAAGCGUCUUGAUCUAUCUCAAUAGAUCUUGAUGCUCAAUAUGUAUGUAGUUUUACUGAGGUCUUUCUUUGAAAAAACUCUUAUUCAAGUAUCCUUUAAUGCUUUGCAGAAUAAUUCUACAUUAUUUCCGAUCAGCAAUAUGUCAUUCACAUAUACUUAUCAGAAAUGCUGUAGUGCUCCCACUCACUUUCUUGUAAAUACAGGCUUCACCGCAAGUCUGUAUAAUACUAUAUGCUUUGAUCAACUUAUCAAAGCGUAUAUUCCAACUCUGAGAUGCUUGCACCAGUCCAUAGAUGGAUUGCUGGAGCUUGCACAUUUUGUUAGCACCUUUAGGAUUGACAAAACCUUCUGGUUGUAUCAUAUACAACUCUUCUUUAAUAAAUUCAUUAAGGAAUGUAGUUUUGACAUCCAUUUGCCAAAUUUCAUAAAAUGUGGCAAUUGCUAACAUGAUUCGGACAAACUUUUAAGCAUCGAUACGAGUAAGAAAAUCUCAUCGUAUUCAACACCUUGAACUUUGUCAAAAACCUUUUUUCGACAAGUCUAGCUUUGUAGAUAGUAACACUACUAUCAACGUCCGUCUUCCUCUUGAAGAUCCAUUUAUUCUUAAUGACUCACUGAUCAUCGGGCAAGUCAAUCAAAGUCUACACUUUGUUCUCAUACAUGGAUCAUAUCUCAGAUUUCAUGGCCCCAAGCCAUUUCGUGGAAUCUGGGCUCAUCAUCGCUUCCUCAUAGUUCGUAGGUUCAUCAUGGUCUAGUAACAUGACUUCCAGAACAUGAUUACCGUACCACUCUGGUGCGGAUCUUACUCUGGAAGACCUACGAGGUUUGGUAGCAACUUGAUCUGAAGUUUGAUGAUCAUCAUCAUUAACUUCCUCACUAAUUGGUGUAGGAAUCACUGGAACUGAUUUCUGUGAUGAACUACUUUCCAAUAAGGGAGAAGGUACAAUUACCUCAUCAAGUUUUACUCUCCUCCCACUCACUUCUUUCGAGAGAAACUCCUUCUCUGGAAAGGAUCCAUUUUAGCAACGAAUGUCUUGCCUUCGGAUCUGUGAUAGAAGGUGUACCCAACAAUUUCCUUUGGGUAUUCUAUGAAGACGCACUUCUCCGAUUUGGGUUCGAGCUUAUCAGGAUGAAACUUUUUCACAUAAGCAUCGCAGCCCCAAACUUUAAGAAACAACAGCUUAGGUUUACUGCUAAACCAUAGUUCAUACGGUGUCGUCUCAACGGAUUUAAAUGGUGCCCUAUUUUAAAACGUGAAUGCAGCUGUCUCUAAUGCAUAACCCCAAAACGAUAGUGGUAAAGAGACAUCAUAGAUCGCACCAUAUCAAAUAAAGUGCGGUUACGACGUUCGGACACACCAUAACGAUGUGGUGUUCCAGGUGGUGUGAGCUGUGAAACUAUUCCACAUUGUUUUAAUUGAAGACCAAACUCGUAACUCAAAUAUUUGUCUCCGCUAUCAGAUCGCAGAAACUUUAUUUUCUUGUUACGAUGAUUUUUCCACUUCACUCUGAAAUUCUUUGAACCUUUCAACUAUUUCAGACUUAUGUUUCAUCAAGUAGAUAUACCCAUAUCUGCUCAAAUCAUCUUGUGAAGGUCAGAAAAUAACGAUACUUGCCACGAGCCUCAACACUCAUUGGAUCGCAUACAUCGGUAUGUAUUAUUUCCAAUAAGUCAGUAGCUUGUUCCAUUAUUCCGGAGAACGGAGUUUUAGUCAUCUUGCCCAAAAGGCACGGUCCGCAAGCAUCAAAUGAUUCAUAACCAAGUGAUUCCGAAAAUCCAUCUUUAUGGAGUUUCUUCAUGCGCUUUACACCGAUAUGACCCAAACGGCAGUGCCACAAAUAAGUUGCACUAUCAUUAUUAACUUUGCAUCUUUUGGCUUCAAUAUUAUGAAUGUGUGUAUCACACGAUCGAGAUCCAACAAACCAUUUUCAUUGGGUGUAUAACCAUAGAAAGUUUUAUUCAUGAAAACAGAACAACAAUUAUUCUCUAACUUACAUGAAUAACCGUAUUGCAAUAAACAUGAUCAAAUCAUAUUCAUUCUCAACGCAAACACCAAAUAACACUUAUUUAGGUUUAACACUAAUCCCGGAAGUAUAGGGAGUGUGCGAUGAUGAUCAUAUCAAUCUUGGAACUAUUUCCAACACACAUCGUCACUACACUCUUAACUAGUCUCUGUUUAUUCUGCAACUCCCGUUUCGAGUUACUAAUCUUAGCAACCGAACAAGUAUCAAAUACUUAGGGGCUACUAUAAACACUAGUAUGGAACACAUCAAUAAUCUGUAUAUCAAAUAUACCCUUGUUCACUUUGCCAUCCUUCUUAUCAACCAAAUAUUCAGGGCAUUUCCGCUUCCAGUGACCAUUUCCUUUGCAGUGUAAACACUCAGUUUCAGGCUAUGGUCCAGCUUUGGGCUUGUCUUUCCACUUGAAGUUCCCUUUCUUUCCCUUUGCCCUUCUCUUGAAACUAGUGGUCUUGUCAAUCAUCAACACUUGAUGCUCUUUCUUGAUUUCUACCUUCGUCGAUUUCAACAUCACGAAGAGCUCGGGAAUCAUUUUUUCGUCAUCCCUUGCAUACUAUAGUUCAUCACGAAGUUCUAGUAACUUAGUGAUGGUGACUAGAGAAUUCUGUCAAUCACUAUCUUAUCUGGAAGAUUAACUCCCACUUGAUUCAAGCGAUUGAAGUACCCAGACAAUCUGAGCACAUGCUCACUAGUUGAGCGAUUCUCCUCCAUCUUUUAGCUAUAGAACUUGUUGGAGACUUCAUAUCUCUCAACUCGGGUAUUUGCUUGAAAUAUUAACUUCAAUUCCUGGAACAUCUCAUAUGGUCCAUGAUGUUCAAAACAUCUUUGAAGUCCCGAUUCUAAGCCGUUAAGCAUGGUGCACAAAACUAUCAAGUAGUCAUCAUAUUGAGCUAGCCAAACGUUCAUAACGUCUACAUUUGCUCCUGCAUUAGGUCUUUCACCUAGCGGUGCAUUAAGGACAUAAUUCUUCUGUGCAGCAAUGAGGAUAAACCUCAGAUCACGGAUCCAAUCCGCAUCAUUGCUACUAACAUCUUUCAACACAGUUUUCUCUAGGAACAUAUCAAAAUAAACAUAUGAAAGCAACAACGCGAGCUAUUGAUCUAUAACACAAUUUGCAAAAUACUACCAGGACUAAGUUCAUGAUAAAUUAAAGUUCAAUUAAUCAUAUUACUAAAGAACUCCCACUUAGACAGACAUCUCUCUAGUCAUCUAAGUGAUCACGUGAUCCAAAUCAACUAAACCAUGUCCGAUCAUCACGUGAGAUGGAGUAGUUUCAAUGGUGAACAUCGCUAUGUUGAUCAUAUCUACUAUAUGAUUCACGCUCGACCUUUCGGUCUCCGUGUUCCGAGGCCAUAUCUGUAUAUGCUAGGCUCGUCAAGUAUAACCUGAGUAUUCCGCAUGUGCAACUGUUUUGCACCCGUUGUAUUUGAACGUAGAGCCUAUCACACCCGAUCAUCACGUGGUGUCUCAGCACGAAGAACUUUCGCAACGGUGCAUACUCAGGGAGAACACUUCUUGAUAAUUAGUGAUAGAUCAUCUUAAAAUGCUACCGUCAAUCAAAGCAAGAUAAGAUGCAUAAAGGAUAAACAUCACAUGCAAUCAAUAUAAGUGAUAUGAUAUGGCCAUCAUCAUCUUGUGCUUGUGAUCUCCAUCUCCGAAGCACCGUCGUGAUCACCAUCGUCACCGGCGCGACACCUUGAUCUCCAUCGUAGCAUCGUUGUCGAUUACGCCAUCUAUUGCUUCUACGACUAUCGCUACCGCUUAGUGAUAAAGUAAAGCAAUUACAGGGCGUUUCCAUUUCAUACAAUAAAGUGACAACCAUAUGGCUCCUGCCAGUUGCCGAUAACUUCGGUUACAAAACAUGAUCAUCUCAUACAAUAAAAUAUAGCAUCACGUCUUGGCCAUAUCACAUCACAACAUGCCCUGCAAAAACAAGUUAGACGUCCUCUACUUUGUUGUUGCAAAUUUUACGUGGCUGCUACGGGCUUAGCAAGAACCGUUCUUACCUACGCAUCAAAACCACAACGAUAGUUUGUCAAAUAGACUCCGUUUUAACCUUCACAAGGACCGGGCGUAGCCACACUCGGUUCAACUAAAGUUGGAGAAACAGACACCCGCCAGUCACCUGUGUGCAAAGCAUGGCGGUAAAACCAGUCUCGCGUAAGCGUACGCGUAAUGUCGGUCCGGGCCGCUUCAUCCAACAAUACCGCUGAACCAAAGUAUAACAUGCUGGUAGGCAGUAUGACUUAUAUCGUCCACAACUCACUUGUGGUCUACUCGUGCAUAUAACAUCAACGAAUAAAACCUAGGCUCUGAUGCCACUGUUGGGGAACGUAGUAAUUUCAAAAUUUUCCUACGCACAUGCAAGAUCAUGGUGAUGAUAUAGCAACGAGGGGAGAGUGUUGUCUACGUACCCUCGUAGACCGAAGCGGAAGCGUUGACGCAACGUAGAGGAAGUAGUCGUACGUCCUCCCGGUUCGACCGAUCCAAGCACCGUUACUCCGGCACCUCCGAGUUCUUGACACACGUACAGCUCGAUGACGCACCCUCGAUCUCCAAUCCAGUAGAGGCUCCGAGGGGGAGUUCCGUCAGCACAACAGCGUGGUGACUAUAUUGAUGUUCUCCUGUCGCAGGGCUUCGCCUAAGCACCGCUACAAUAUGACCGAGGUGUAAUAUCGUGGAGGGGGGCACCGCACACGGCUAAGGAACGAUCAAUGAUCAACUUGUGUGUUCUAGGGUGCCCCCCUACCCCCGUAUAUAAAGGAGGGAGGGAGGAGGUGGCCGGCCCAAGGAGGGGGCGCGCCAUGGGAGGAGGAAACCUACUCCAAGUAGGUUUCCCCUCUUUUUCCUUAUCUUAUUUGGAGGGGGAAGGAAGGAGUACUAGUAGUAGGAAGGAGUACUAGUAGUAGGAAAGGAAGAGGGGGAAGGAGAAAGGAAAGGGGGGGCCGGCCCCCUCCCCAAUUCGGAUUGGGCUUGGGGGGGCGCGCCCCCCUCCCUUGCUCCUUCUCCCUUCCUCCUACAUGGGCCCAAUAAGGCCCAUAUACCUCCCGGGGGGUUCCGGUAACCUCCCGAAGCUCCAAACUCUUCCGGAACCUUUCCGGUGUCCAAAUAUAUCCGUCCAAUAUAUCAAUCUUUAUGUCUCGACCAUUUCGAGACUCCUCGUCAUGUCCGUGAUCACAUCCGGGACUCCGAACAAACUUUGGUACAUCAAAAUACAUAAACUCAUAAUAUAACUAUCAUCGAAAACUUAAGCGUGCGGACCCUACGGUUCGAGAACGAUGUAGACAUGACCGAGACAUGUCUCUGGUCAAUAACCAAUAGUGGGACCUGGAUGCCCAUAUUGGUUCCUACAUAUUCUACGAAGAUCUUUAUCGGUCAAACCGCAUAACAGCAUACGUUGUUCCCUUUGUCAUCGGUAUGUUACUUGUCCGAGAUUUGAUCGUCGGUAUCCAAUACCUAGUUCAAUCUCGUUACCGACAAGUCUCUUUACUCAUUCUGUAAUACUUCAUCUCAUAACUAACUCAUUAGUUAUAUGCUUGCAAGGCUUAUGUGAUGAGCAUUACCGAGAGGGCCCAGAGAUACCCCUCCGACAAUCGGAGUGACAAAACCUAAUCUCGAAUUAUGCUAACUCAACAUGUACCUUCGGAGACACCUGUAGUACUCCUUGAUAAUCACCCAGUUACGUUGUGACGUUUGGUAGUACCCAAAGUGUUCCUCCGGUAAACGGGAGUUACACAAUUCUCAUAGUUACAGGAACAUGUAUAAGUCAUGAAGGAAGCAAUAGCAGAAUACUAAACGAUCAAGUGCUAAGCUAACGGGAUGGGUCAUGUCAAUCACAUCAUUCUCCUAAUGAUGUGAUCCCAUUAAUCAAAUGACAACACAUGUCUAUGGUUAGGAAACAUAAUCAUCUUUGACUAAUGAGCUAGUCAAGUAGAGGCAUACUAGUGACUAUAUGUUUGUCUAUGUAUUCACACAUGUAUCAUGUUUCCGGUUAAUACAAUUCUAGCAUGAAUAAUAAACAUUUAUCAUGAUAUGAGGAAAUAAAUAAUAACUUUAUUAUUGCCUCUAGGGCAUAUUUCCUUCACCUGGCCGCUCCAGAACGAGCGGUACUACCGCCCACUCCAAGCGGUACUACCGCUGAGGCCACCCAAGAGGCACUACCGCCCAGCAUCCGCCCUACUACCGCUCAACCCGACAAACUCCAGUGAUCGAGCGGUAUAAGCCCGGUACUACCGCCCCUCCAAGCGGUACUACCGCUCAAGCGGUACUACCACCCAUGAGUCCGGUACUACCGCCCUGCUUGUGAGCAGCCGCGGGCCUUUGGCCUUGUAUCCCUCUCCCACUUACCCCUUCGUGGCUUAGACUAUAAAUAGACCACCUCCACCUCCUUUCUAGGGUUAGAACAGAUUGAGCUUAUUUUGAGAUAGAGCUUUACUCAUCCAUACGGAUCUACUCCUCGUGAGAGACUGCGGCCUCUUCGGAGAAGAUCGAUCUUGGAUUCAAGACCCCUCGUGGGAAGAUCCGUCUAGGAUCAUCAAGACCUCCUCUUGGAGAUGAACCUUACCUUGUAUCUUUCCCUUUGUUGUUCAUGUACCCUUGUGGAUCUUGUGUGUUUGAUUGUCUAGUGGAUGUGUGAUUGGACUUGUUCUUGAGUGUUUCCCCUUGUGAUUUCUCUCCGUUCUUCCCUGUGUUCUUCGUGUUCUUCGUGGGGAUCCACUCCAAACGUGAAAAAUCGGCCUCUAGGGUUCUACCCUACAUCAUCAUCCUUCAAAAAUAUGGAGGGCCAUUAUUGACGGAAGGGAUAUUAUAUGGCGCAAGGUAUAAUCAGACGCAUCGGGGAUGGAGCGACUACACACAUAUGGGAUCACAACUGGAUUAUGAUGGAAAGCUAUAAGAGGCCAAUAACUAAGUUAGUGCAGAACCCCCCUCAGAAACAUUUUAUGUAUACACGUUAACAUUUCCCAGAUAUAUGAUUAAUAUUUUUGGAAAACUUCUAUUUUUUAUGUGUACUUUUUUAUACAUUUUGUAAUAUCAGAAAUAGUUUUUAUAGAAGGUUUAACAUUUUUCAAAUACAUGAUUACCUUUUUGUAAACUUAUAUUGUUUGACGUUUACUUUUUUUCAUAGACAUAGUGAGGGGUUAUAUCUAAGGAAUAGGCCCAAGUACAUGUAUGGCACAACCAAAUGCCCAUGUUAAUCAAGGAUGUUCCACAAGACAAAUGGGGAAACACACCAAGGCCAAUGGAGCUACAAGGCCAAGGCAUCGGAUACAAGGGGAGAGUCAACUAUGUACAGUCGGAUUACACAGCCCUUAACAGACAAGACUCAUCAGUUGGUCCACUAUUGGAAUCAGGUCAUUUGCCGUCAGCCCAGAAUAGACGCGAAGACUUUGCCGUGAGCAAGUUGACGACAAACACAAUCAGCAAAGACUAUAUCGGCAGAGAGCUAAUUUGACGUCAACUUUUCAUCGCGCUGAUGACAAAGACUUUGCCGUCAAUUAAACUAUGUGUUUGUAGUCUGUAGAGAAAACACAAACGGCAAAGAAAUUAAAAAAAUGGUCAUUUUAAAAUAAUUUUUAGAAAUCUAUAUACUGUUUUUUAAAAUGUUUAAUAUGUACCAAGAAUUAUUUCGUAAGUAUACAAAAGAUGUAUAACGUGUAUGAAAAUUACGUAGACAUCAGAACAUAUUAUAGAAAUGUUAAUCUUGUAUUUAAAAAUUUUAAAUACACAUGCAUAAAAAUGUUUUUGAUGUACAUAAAAAAAUUGUACAUAGUGUGUGAACAAAGUAUGCAUUGAAAAAACAAAAAUCUUGUUGGAAAAAAAUCUCGUGUUGUAUACGAAAAUGUAAAAGGUGUAUGAAAAUAAUUAGAUAUAUGUUUAAUGAAAAAAGGAAAGAAGGCGCAAAAAAUCCGAUUAACACCAAGAUAGGAACAAGAAAACCUGAAGAAGACCAUUGAAAAAAAGAAAUGAAUACAAGAAAGAGGAAGAAAAACAAAAAAAAUGAAGAAGCUGAUGCAGAACAGGGAACUUAGUGAAAACGAAUAAAAAUUGAUGAAAACCGAGAAGAAAAACAAGAAAACUGAAGCAAAAAUUAAGAAAAAUAUGUAAAAAAAAUGAUGAAACAUUGCGAAACAGUGAAAUACUAUGAAAACCAAAGGAAAAAAAGACUCAAAAAUAAGAACGUACAGCAAGCGAAUGAACAACAACUGAGUGAACGAGCGAACAUGCGAGAAUACGUUAAUUGUCUGGCCCAUACUUGUGGAUUCCAGAGGCGAGCCAGAAUAGGCGAGAUAUAGCUAUGACGAUUUGAUACCCUUCAUAGCUUCACGAAUGCUAUAUCUCGCUCACAGCGAAAGUAUUUUUUGUCUGGCCUGAAGGUGAAAGAAUAGCAUCAGGUCGCUGUAAGUUUUGUGAUCCUACAAUCAGAGCUCGAUAAGAUUAAAAUUCAUGUUUCUGACAACCAGUCAUUCGCUCACUCAAUUCCACGUACUAGUUUGGUUAGGUUUUUUUUUCAUUUUUUUCUGUUUUUUAUUUCUUCACUGGCUUUCUUUGGUUUUUUUAUCGGUUUUCUUUGUUUCCUUCACGUUUUACUCUUUCUUUUCCUUUUUACUGGUUUAUCUAUUCCUUUUUUCUUUGUUUCUUUCUUGGUUUUCUUUGUUUUUUCUUUCUUUUGAUGUCAACCUUUUUACAUACACAUUCAACAAUUUUCGUAUACAUCAGAAACAUUUUAUGUAUACACGUUAACAAUUCCCAGGUACAUGAUUAAUAUUUUUGGAAAACUUCUAUUUUUUAUGUGUACUUUUUGAUACAUUUUGUAUAUAUCAGAAAUAUUUUUUAUAGAAGGUUUAACAUUUUUUAAAUACAUGAUUACCUUUUUGUAAACUUAUAUUGUUUGACGUUUACUUUUUUUCAUAGACAUAGUGAGGGGUUAUAUCUAAGGAAUAGGCCCAAGUACAUAUAUGGCCCAAGUACAUUUAAUCAAGGAUGUAGUCCACAAGACAAAUGGGGAAACAGACGGGGGCCAAUGGAGCUACAAGGCCAAAGCAUCGGAUACAAGGGGAGAAUCUACAGUCGGAUUACACAACCCUUGACAGACAAGACUCAUUAGUUGGUCCGCUAUAGGAAUCGGGUAAUUUGCCGUCAGCCGAGAACAUACUCAAAGACUUUGCCGUCAGCAAGUUGAUGACAACUUUUCAUCACGUUGAUGACAAAGACUUUGCCGUCAAUUAAACUAUGUGUUUAUCGUCUAUAGAAAAAACACAAACGGCAAAGGAAAGCACCUUUGCCAUCAGCGGCUAAUCUGCAUGUGUCUUCAACAAGACUCGUCUUGUCACUAGCCUCAAACAUCACAGAUGGAAAAGAAAUUUUUUAUUUUAAAAAAUCUGCGUCGACCACCCUACUUCGCACAUGUAGCCACCGCCUGGCCGCGCUCGCUGAUCACCCACAAGUGUAGGGGAUCUAUCGUAGUCCUUUCGAUAAGUAAGAGUGUCGAACCGAACGAGGAGUAGAAGGAAAUGACAAGCGGUUUUUAGUAAGGUAUUCUCUGCAAGCACUGAAAUUAUCGGUAACAGAUAGUUUUGUGAUAAGGUAAUUCGUAACGGGUAACAAGUAACAACAGUAAAUAAAGUGCAGCAAGGUGGCACAAUCCUUUUUGUAGCAAACGACAAGCCUGGACAAAUUCUUAUAUGAAGGAAAACGCUCCCGAGGACACAUGGGAAUUAUCGUCAAGCUAGUUUUCAUCACGCUCAUAUGAUUCACGUUCAUUACUUUGAUAAUUUAAUAUGUGGAUGGACCGGUGCUUGGAUACUGCUCUUUCUUGGAUAAGCAUCCCACUUAUGAUUAACCCCUAUUGCAAGCAUCCGCAACUCAAAAGAAAUAUUAAGGUAAACCUAAUCAUAGCAUGAAACAUUGACACGGCACAUUAUAAAGAGUUCAACCCAAAUUUUGUAGUAACACUAUUAUAUUUAAAUAGUGAUUAUUCCAACACAUGGAUAAUUAAUUAAGGCACCAGGUUGCGCUUGUGACCAGGAAAGACAAACUUAUGAACUUGCAAGCAUGACAAUCAGAUCGACAUCCACACAAUGUCAAUAUGAACAUUGUCUUGAUACAACUUUAUUUGUAUUUUAUUUCAGAAUUUAAACAACUAGUUUGGGCGGGUCACACACGACGUUGUGUGACACUUUAUUUGUCACCGCUGCAUCGACAUAUCCAUCGACUAAACAACGGUGAUCCAACUAUAUAUUACUAGAGACCUUUCCUUAUCAGUAGGCACCAACUCCAGUGCCAACGCCAAAUGGCACACUAGUGGUGGUCCUAUACAACGGCACAUUGACACGGCACAUCAUUGGCAGGGUACGGAGCGCAAUGGAAGUCAUCACCUCAAGCUGAGCUAUCUGGUGUGGCUGCAAAAAGGUACCCUGUGCCAAUUGUUGUUGUUGAGGUUGUUGCCCGAGUUGCUGCUGUGACUGCUGUUGGGGUUGGGAAACGCAUUGGCCCAACUGUUGCGGUUGCUGCUGCUGAGUUUGGAUGGAACCCCGAACCUGUUGUUGUUCUUGCAGGACGAUGGAGUAGAUGAUAGCACGGAUUGCCUCAUAGCGGGAUUGCUGGGGGAUUUGCGGCAACUGCUGGCAACAUUGUUGUUGCAUCACAUGGCAACUACUCUGCUGCAACAUUUGCGACCUAGCAAGACUUUGUGGCAUUGCCACAGGGCUGCAUUGCUGCUGGAGGAAUACCUUGCAUGGGUUCAGCUGCUGCAAGAUAGAUGGAUGAACAAAUGGUAUUUGUUGUUGCGGUAGAACUAGUUGUUGUUGUUGUUGCGAAAAUGAUGGUUGUUGUGGUAGAAUUGGUUGUUGUUGUUGUUGUUGCGAAAAUGGUGGUUGUUGCGGUAGUACUGGUUGUUGUUGUUGUGAAAACGGUGGUUGUUGUUGUGAAAAUGGUGGUAGUUGUUGCUGCGAAAAUGAUGGCUGUUGCGGUAGAACUGGUUGUUGUUGCUGCGAAAAUGGUGGUUGUUGCUGUGAAAAUGGUGGUUGUUGUUGCUGUGAAAAUGGUGGUUGUUGUUGCUGCGAUAAUGGUUGUUGUUGUUGUUGUUGUUGUUGUUGUUGUUGUUGUUGUUGUUGUUGUUGUUGUUGUUGUUGUUGUUGUUGUGAACAUGGUUGCUGUUGUGGAAAUUGUUGUGGUUGUUGUUGGAUGGGUUGUUGUGGUUGUUGGUGCGAUAAUGUUUGUUGUGGUGGUAAUGGUUGUUGCUGCGAUGGUCUCUCCAAACCAGGGAUGUGGCUAUUCUCCAUUUGUGCAAUGGCACUUGUCGCCGCAACGGCGAGGAGGGCAAAGAUGAGGAAGGUCUUCAUGGUGGACUAGUGUUAACUAGUAUUUCCUGGUUUUGAUGCUUGUGUUUGUGAUGAUCUUUAUACUUCAUGCCUAUUUAUAGUAGCCAGGGCACCACCUCUUUUCUUCUUUGCAUUAGCUUUAAUAAUUCUGUUUGGAUGCAUCUAAAAUGAUUUUUGAUACAGUGUGUUAGGUUGCACUAGCUACACGCAUACUUUUGGAUUGAUCAUCAAAGUUUCUUUUUAGUUGUGCAUAUGAUCAUACACAAAGUAUAGAAAUCCUGAUGCUUGCUAAAGAUGACUUGCCUUAUUCACUUUACAUGUCACACACUUAUCUGUAUAGUAUCACUUUUGCAACCGAGUUUGGAACCUUGUAUAGGUUGUCAGCCAUAAACAAGAAAGGCAAAACUUGUGUAGGACUAAGUUGCAAUCGUGUGUGGGCUGUUAAGAUAUGCUCGAUUGUUAAAGCCUUGCGUCUGGAGGGUUCUUCUAGACUCGGUUGCUUUUCAUAAAACUAACUUUGUAUUUUCCUCUAAGAUGAUAAGAUGAAAUGACGCCUGUAGAGCAUGACAUGACUCAUUGAAUUCCCUUUACACGUAAAGGAUGGUAAUUGCUUACAAGCUACUCCUACUAGCAUAUAUCCGGUCCUAACUCUAGACACGUCAUCACCAGUUCCAUCUUUUUUUUUUAGAUAAAUCAUCAGUUCCGUGUUUUUUUUUUUUGAGACAAUCAGUUCCAUCUAUGUUUUUUUUUGAGAGAAAUAGUUCCAUCUAUGGGUGAAGGAUUUUUUUGGGGGCAAAUGAUAGAUGGGGCUGGAACAGAGGCCCCAGCCUGGAACGAGAGAUUAGGCCCAACGUAAGCGAUGUGUGUGUUAGGGCACCAAAUUCGAACUGGGCUAUAGUUUUCGGAGGCCCCAACGUCAGAAGCCCAGCCCACACUCCGCCGAUCUGCGUCGUCUUCGUCUCCCCUUCCCCGUCCUCCUCGCCGGCCGGAUCGCUCGCCGGCGCACGACGUCUCCCGGACCCCACCGCCCGCGGCCGCUCCACGUACGCGCGCGGCGGCGGAGGCGUCGGCCUCCCUCCCACCCUCCGCAUCCGGCCCCCCACCACCACCGCCACCGCCACCGCUCGAGGUACCCACUCGUUCCCCUUCCCAUUCCUCCCUACCCUCAACCUCUCUCGUAUCCUCUUCUAACAGCUCUUUUUACUUCCGUUGCAGAUGGUCUCUGAGCUCCCCCGUCGGCUGCGCGCCGUAGGCCUCCCCUCCCGGUCGACACAAGGUAUCGAUCCUGUCCGUCCGUCUCUUCCAGCGAUUCGAUUCACAUGAAUUCGAGAGGCGUGCCCAUCUCCAUGCUAGCUGCGUGGAUCAGGAGGGUCAGGAAGCAGAAUUCAGAUGCCUGACAGUGACAUACUACUACAUUUGUGGCUUUGGAAGCUGAGCAACUCCGUGCUUUAUGUGGAUGUCACUUCAAGUAAUCAUCAAAUUUCCGCCUACGCGCGCUACCCAGGUGGAGUGGAGGAGAAGCAGUUGGCAUGGGCAUUCCGUUUCUCUCCCAUGUCUGAGAAGAAAGUUCGUCUCCGGUGCAGCGAUAUCCAAGUUAGUUACAGCAUCCAGUCAUCUAUAUAAUCUCAGUGUUUAUUCUGUUUUGUACUGUCGUAUUUCAUAUGUGCAUCAGAGCAAAUGUGCUUUCUAGAGGCAUGUUGCAGCUGGCCGAGUCCCAGAUCUCGUUUCAUGUAUAUGGCCAUAGGCAGCGAUCAAUAAAAGGGUACUGGAAUUGAUCUUCUAACGUCACUGUUGUUUCUAGCUCCCUGUCUUUGUUUUUGUUGCUUCCGUCGUAUGGUUGCAAAGUUAGGCUUCAUCUGAUUUUAGUUAGUUAAUCUGAUCUCGUUAACCUGAUAAAGAGAAUUCCACCCUGCCCUUUAUUCCGCUCUUCACUGUCUCACAAUAAGGGAACAUAUUAAGCUCACCAAAUUGUGUCCCUCAAAAAUAAAAAAUAAACUCACCAAAUUGUAUCACAGGAGAUUGUCAAGUUGUGUUUUAUCAUAUCAGUAUAGUAAGUGUAUCAUUUGUCCAUAUCAACAAGGGAUAGUCAUCUGCCAGCUUAUUAUGCUCAUCUCUGAGCUCGAUCAUGCCCUUCAAUGUUAGUUAGAGGUGUCAUUAAAACAGGACAAGAAAUUAACCACUUUCCACCGGGUCUUCUCUCUUGAGCAGGAAGCAUGUGAUGCAUUCAAGAUUCGAUGAAUUCACGAAAACCAAUAUCGUGGUCCUCCCUGUGCAGCAGGUACCUGAGAUGAAUUGUAUUUUGUAAGUGCUCUGUAUGCGUGCUGUCAGCCGGCAGUGGAGGUAAUUGUUUAAUUUGCAUUCCUGCAACUUCUUGUAUUUGUAAAGAAAAUUCUUACUAUUUGCUGAGUGCACAGCCAUUGCAUUGUCACUUUUGAAAAACCGCAUUGGAUGUACUGAGAUAAAUAAUAGUAUAAUCUCUACUUGCAUACUACGAACGAGAAAUCUUCAUUCUGACUUGCAAUAAGGGAGUUUGUUUAGCUGUGCCUUAUUAGGAAAUGAAGAUACCCCCAGCUGUUAACGUGGUAUCCAAGCUAUCCUUAUUAUAUGUCAGCUCAAAAGGAAUGCCAAGUGCCGAGCUGUUGUGAGAGUUGAUGGUUGUGAUUGGUUACCAAAAAUCAAAGUCACCCACUCAAGAGAGAAAGUCAAUGCUCACGUUGGCUUCCAUUUUUCUCACACGCAAACCAAACACAUCUUGCUCACACCAUUAUCUUCUCCAUUUUGCACUGUGCUUGUGCUAAUCUGUGUAGUAUUGUUGGCAAUUUGGGAUAUGUUGGUCUCGCCAGGAGGCCUGUGCUAAUCUGUGCUAUUUCUGAAAAUAUGCUCCCCUAAUCUCCAAUUAUAUUAUGCGUAAAACCAAAAAGGUCAGACUUCUUGAGAACAUGCCAGUGCUGAUUUGUGUUUUUCCUGCUGAUAUGCACUUUAGUAUAUCAAAAUGUACACUUAAUUAGAUGUUUUAAUUUUAAAGUCACAGUUAGAGAGAGGGACAGUGCACCAACCAGCUGGUGCAAACGAAUGACCUGUGUGACGACCUGAGCGUAUUCUUGAAAAAGAAACCCGAAAUACCACCUAGAUCCAUCCACCAUUAUUGCCAGUGUUAAAAAAAAAUACAGGCGUCUUCUGGGCUCUAAAAGCCAUUUCUGGGUCUUAUCUCUUGAAGAAGCAUUUGAUGCAUUUAAGAUUCAACCAAUUAAGAAAACCAAUGUUCUGGCCUUCCAUCCGUGGCAGGAACUCAGAGAUGAAUUGUCUUUUGCACAAGUAUGCUGACACACGUCUAGUCAGUCGAGGUAAUUUUUGGAUUUGCAUUCCUGUGACCUCUGGUAUUUGGAAAAAGUAAAUCAUAUUUGCUAAGUUCACAGCCAAUGGAGCGAAAAUUUUGAAAAACUGCUUUGGAUUUACUGGCAUAAAUAUCUAGAGAGAAUUCCUUAUUAGACACUCCCUUAAAAUCAUGUUCCUUAUUUGACACUAGAAAAAAUUUCUUCCCUAUAUGACCUAUAGUCUUAAUUUCUUUCCCUAUAUGACACUCUAGUGCAUUUUGUUCACGUGAAAAGACCAUUUUACCCAUAUGUAUAAUGUGACCGCAAAUAUGUACAAGAUAAUAGUUGUUCCAAAAAAAUCAGUCGAGUUAUCCAUAUGUGACAUCAUAUAUGCUGGUAUUGUCAUGUCAGUCGAUUUACUAUUGUGCUAAGAAAUCAUGACCGAGGCCUUCGAUGGUUCAUGUGCUAAUUGACCUCAGCUAGUUGUCUAUACGUAUUUGUGUACAUAUACGUGGCCAGCUUGCCGGCCGGAGCGUAGAUAUUUAAAUACGUACGCGCACCCUGACGAUCAAGCGAAUACAUGUAUUCUAGCUUCGUAUGACCCGGUUCAUAUACAUACGUAUGUUGGCUGCACCGAACCGGGCCUACAUUCGUGCUAGCACGCAACUUCCUUCCAUACUUGCAAAUACGUGCACAUGCACUAAUGGCAUGCACGUAGGCGAUCACGGAAGCACACACAAAAAUGCUUAAAAAAUUCAUUCAUUUUUAAGAAUGCAUUUUAGUGUUAAAGCACACGUACAAAAGUACGUCAAACAAUCACACUCACAAACCAUACCGCAUGAACUAGACCCACAGCUGAAUACGUUCUAAAUACAUUGGAUGCAUGCGCUCAGGUAUACAGAAUACACAUGCAUCCCAAAAAAGACCAACGGAGGAGAUAACAUGUUCAGCUGUGCUCACUCUUAGAAACGAUUUUUUCCUAAUUAGGCUCAAUGCUACAUAUUUCUGGUCACAUUAUGUACAGGGGCAAAAAGGUCUUUUCACGUGUACAAAAUGAACUAGAGUGUCAUAUAGGGAAAGAAAUUAAGACUAUAAGUCAUAUAGGGAAGAAAUUUUUUCCCGUGUCAAAUAAGGAACACAAUUUUAAGAGAAUGUCAAAUAAGGAAUUCUCUCAAAUAUCUAAUACAAUGACCCACUUGCAGAAUUCAGCUGCGUAGCCUGACAGUGAUGUACGUACAUUUGUGGCUUUGCUAGCUGAGUAACUCUGUGCUUUAUGUGGAUGCCACUUCAAAUAAGCAUCAAAUUUGUGCCUAUGCGUGCUAUGCAGGUGGACGAGAAGCAGUUGGCAUGGACAUUCCUUUUCUCUCUGAUGUCUGGCAAGAAAGUCCGUCUUCUGUGCAGCGAUAUCCAUGUUAGUUACAAUAUCCAAUCAUCUCUAUAAUUAUAAUCUCAGUGUUUAUUCUGUUUUGUAUUGUCGUAUUUCAUAUGUGCAUCAGAGGAAAUGUGCUUUCUAGCUAGAGGCAUGUUGCAGCUGGCCGAGUCGCAGAUCUCAUUUAUAUGGCCAUAGGCGGUGACCAAUACAAGGGCACUGGAAUUUAUCUUCGAAUGCCACUGUUGUUCUAGCUCUUUGUCUUUACUUUUGUUGCUUCUGUUGUAUGGCUGCAAAGUUAGGCUUCAUCUGAUUUUAGUUAGUCAAGCGAUCUCGUUAAGAUGAUAAAAAGAAUUCCACACGAUGACACGACCCUUUAUUCCGCUCUUCACCGUCUCACAAUAACGGAACAUAUUAAGCUCAACAAAUCGUAUCCCUCAAAAAUAAAAAAGCUCACCAAAUUGUAUCGCAUACUCAUACAUAUCUUUCAUCGUCAAAUAACAGGAGAUUGUCAAGUUGUGUUUUAUCAUAUCAGUAUAUUAAGUGUAUCUUUUGUCCAUAUGAGCAAGGGAUAAUCAUCUGCCAGCUUAUUAUAUGCUCAUCUCUGAGAUCGAUCAUACCUCUUCAAUCUUAUUAGAGGUGUCAUUAAGAAAUGACAAGAAAUUAACUACUUGCCACCGGGUCUUCUCUCUUCAGCAGGAAGCAUGUGAUGCAUUCAAGAUUCACGAAAACCAAUAUUGUGGUCCUCCCUAUGCAGCAGGUACUUGUGAUGAAUUGUAUUUUGUAAGUGCACUGUAUGUGUGCUGUCAGCCAGCAGUGGAGGUAAUUGUUUAGCUUGCAUUCCUGCAACUUCUUGUAUCUGGAAAGGACACUCUUACUAUUUGCUGAGUUCACCGCCAAUGUAUCUUCACUUUGGAAAAACUGCAUUCGAUGUACCCACAUAAAUAUAUAAUAUAAUGAUGAUCUAAUAGCAAAUUAUAUGGCCAUAGGCAGUGAUGAUCAAUAAAAGGGCACUGGAAUUUAUCUUCUAAUGUAUACGUCACUAUUUUUUUAGCUCUCUGUCUUCAUUUUUGCUUCCUCUGUUGUAUGGUUAAAAAGUUAGGUUUCAGCUGAUUUUAGUUAGUUAUAAGCGGAUCUCGUUAAGCUCUUUAUCUUUAUUUUUGCUGCCUCCGUUGUAUGGUUAAAAAUUUAGGUUACAUCUGAUUUUAGUUUGUUAGGCGGAUCGCGUUAAACUGAUAAGAACUCCGUAUAGUCCUUUAUUCUGGUCUUCACUGCCUCAAAAUAACAGAACCUAUUAAGUGUCGAAAUUGUAUCUCACAAUCAUACAUAUCUUUCAUCGUUGAAUAACACAAAUUAUCAUAUCAGUACAAAAGUAUAUAUCGUUUGUCCAUAUGCACAAGAGAUAAUCAUCUGCCAGCUGAUUAUUCUUAUCUUUGAGAUCCGAUCCUGUACUCAAUGUUAAUUAGGGGUGUCAUUAAAAAAGACAAGAAAAUAACCACUUGCCCUCGGGUCUUCUCUUGUCAGCAGAAAGCAUGUGAUGCAUUCAAGUUUCAAUGAAUUCACGAAAACCAAUAUUGUGGUCCUCGAGAUGAAUUGUAUUUUGUAGGUGUACUGUAUGUGUGCUGUCACCCGUCAGUUGAGGUAAUUGUUUAAUUUGCAUUCCUGCAACCUCUUGUAUGUAUUCGGAAAGAAAAUUCUUACUAUUUUCCGAGUUCACAGCCAAUCCAUUAUCACUUCCGAAAAACUGCAUUGGAUCUACUGACGUAAAUAUAUAAUAGAGUGAUCUACUUGCAAUAUUAAGAACGAGAAAUCUUCAUUCUGACUUGCAAUAAGAGGGGUUAGUCUAGCUUUUUCCUGCUAAUAAAUGAAGGUACCCAUUACUGUCACCAGUUAAUGUGGUAUGCUAGUUGUCCUUAUUAUAUAUCAGCCCCAAAAAAGAAUGCCCAGUGCUGAGCUAUUGCAAGAUCGGAUAGUUUGUGAUUGGUUCCCAGAAAUCAAGCUCAUGCACUUGGCUCCCAGAAAGUCAACACUCACGUUCGCUUCCAGUUUCCUGACCAGCAAGACGUGCUUCUGCUAAUGUAGGCUUGUGCUCCAAAAUUCCCCAUCAAGCUGGCUCCUGCUCCCCCGAAUCCUACCCCCACCCAUCCAAAAGCUUCAAGAUCUCACAGAAAUCUCACAACUUCCGUUCGUCGGAGUAGAGCCUUCAAACAGCCCCGCCCACACAUCCACGCGGCGGCUGCUGCCAUAACUUCACCGGAGUCGCCUUCUCCUUCCGCGCCACGUCACCGGUGCCGGCCAGGCUCUGAAUCUUCUGCUGCUGCCGCCGAUACGAUGCUGGAGCUGGCAUCGACAUGCUUGUGAGGGCCACUUCUUCCGUGCUGUUACUGUGCUGCUGGUUCUGGGUGCUGCUGAUCAGGGGCAAGCUCGUGAAGGUAACUAUGCCUGCAAGAUUGGGAUUUUACUUGUAAUUCGUUCAAGAUCUACCUAUGAACGUCUUGCUCACACCAUUCUCUUCAUUAAUUUCUGCAGUGCACCUGUGUUGGAGGAGUUUCCUCCGAGAGUUCCAAUGGCAGAGCUGGUGGUCACCAUGGCGCUCCGGCCACUGGUCGCCAUGCUCAGGGACAAGGCGUCCAGCUAUCUCCUUGACCAGUACAAUGUGAUGGAGGGAAUGGAGAAGCAGCACAUGAUUCUGAAACGCAGACUUCCUAUCGUCCUGGACGUCAUCACUGACGCCGAGGAGCAGGCGACAGCCAACAGAGAAGGGGCGAAAGCCUGGCUCCAGGAGCUCAAGAGAGUAGCCUAUGAGGCAAAUGAAGUCUUCGAUGAAUUCAAAUAUGAAGCACUUCGCCGUGAAGCCAAGAAGAAUGGACACUACAAAAAGCUUGGAUUUGAUGUGAUAAAACUCUUCCCCACUCACAACCGUGUUGUCUUCGUUCAGAGAAUGGGUAGCAAGCUUUGCAGGAUUCUGGAGGAUAUCAAUGUCCUCAUUGCAGAGAUGCAUGACUUUGGGCUGAGGCAGACAUUUUUGGUGUCUAAUCAGUUGAGGCAGACACCAGUGUCCAAGGAGUGGAGACAGACAGAUUACGUCAUCAUCGACCCACAAAAGAUUGCCAGCAGAUCCAGACAUGAAGAUAAGAAUAAUAUUGUUGGUAAACUACUUGGUGAAGCUAGCAAUGCAGAUCUCACAGUAGUUCCCAUCGUUGGAAUGGGGGGCCUUGGCAAGACCACAUUAGCGCAACUCAUAUACAAUGAACCUGAAAUUCAGAAGCAUUUUCCGUUGAAGCUCUGGGUCUGCGUCUCUGAUACCUUCGAUGUGAAUUCGGUGGCUAAGAGUAUAGUUGAAGCAUCCCCCAAGAAAAAUGAUGAUACAGACAAACCACCACUGGAUAGACUUCAGAAACUGGUCAGCGGGCAAAGGUAUCUCCUUGUAUUGGAUGAUGUCUGGAAUAGAGAGGUUCAUAAGUGGGAAAGGCUGAAGGUCUGUCUUCAGCAUGGCAGCGUGGGUAGUGCUGUGUUGACAACAACCCGUGAUAAACAAGUUGCUGAAAUUAUGGGUGCAACUAGAACCUACAAUCUCAAUGUUUUGAAGGAUGACUUCAUAAAGGAGAUUAUUUUGGAUAGAGCAUUCAGUUCAGAGAAUGAAAAGCCUCCCGAGCUACUCGAGAUGGUUGGUGAGAUUGUGAAGAGAUGCCGUGGCUCUCCUUUAGCUGCAACUGCACUGGAUCUGUACUUCGUACCAAGAUCAGCGUGGAAGAAUGGAAGGCUAUAUCAUCUAGAAGCAGUAUUUGCACUGAGGAAACUGGAAUUUUGCCAAUACUCAAGCUUAGCUACAACGAUUUGCCAGCACACAUGAAGCAGUGCUUUGCUUUCUGUGCCAUAUUCCCCAAGGAUUACAAGAUUAAUGUGCAGAGGCUUAUCCAACUAUGGAUCGCAAAUGGCUUUAUCCCUGAACACAAGGAAGAUAGUCUUGAAACCAUUGGACAACUUAUUUUUGAUGAGCUUGCUUCAAGGUCAUUCUUUCUGGAUAUAGAGAAGAGUAAAGAAGACUGGGAGUAUUAUUCCAGAAAUACAUGUAAAAUCCACGAUCUUAUGCAUGAUAUUGCAAUGUCUGUUAUGGAAAAGGAAUGUGUUGCUGUGACUAUGGAUACAAGUGAAAUUGAGUGGCUUGGAGAUACUGCUCGGCAUUUGUUUUUAUCAUGUAAAGGAACAGAAGGUAGUUUGAAUGAUUCUUUGGAGAAAAGAUCUCCUGCCAUUCAAACACUGAUAUGCCAAAGUCAUAUGCGAAGCUCAUUGAAGCAUCUGUCAAAAUAUAGCUCUUUGCACGCCUUGAAGCUCUGUAUUAGAGGCAAAGAAUCAUUUCUUCUGAAAUCAAUGUAUCUGCAUCACCUGAGGUACCUUGAUCUCUCAAACAGUUCUAUCAAAUCACUUCCUGAAGAUAUAAGUAUUCUAUAUAACCUUCAAAUGUUGGACCUUUCCUACUGUUGUUAUCUUUAUCGACUUCCAAUGCAAAUGAAGCAUAUGACUUUCCUCCGUCACCUCUACACUCAUGGAUGUCAGAAGUUGAAGAGCAUGCCUCCAGAACUAGGAAAACUCACUAACCUGCAGACGUUGACAUGGUUUGUGGCAGGAGUUCCUGGCCCUGAUUGCAGUGAUGUUGCAGAGCUGCAGCAUUUAAACCUUGGUGGUUAUCUAGAGCUACGUCAGAUAGAGAAUGUUAAAGAAGCAGAGGCAAAAGUGGCAAACCUUGGAAACAAGAAGGAUCUCAGAGAACUGUCAUUAAGAUGGACUGAGGUUGGCGACAGCAAGGUGCUCGACAAGUUCAAACCUCAUGGUGGGCUGCAGGUUCUGAAGAUAUAUUCCUAUGGAGGAGAGUGCAUGGGUAUGCUGCAAAACAUGGUUGAGAUCCAUCUUUUUCAUUGUGAAAGAUUGCAAAUUUUGUUCAGAUGCAGUGCAAUCUUCACUUUUCCAAAACUGAAGGUGCUUAUGCUAAUACAUCUGUUGGAUUUUGAGAGAUGGUGGGAAAUAGAUGAGAGGCAAGAAGAACAGACAAUAUUUCCUGUGCUUGAGAAGUUGUUUAUUAGUAAUUGUGGAAAGUUGGUAGCAUUACCUGAAGCACCAUUGCUGCAAGGACCUUGUGGUCAAGGUGGUUAUACAUUGGUUUGCUCAGCAUUUCCUGCCCUAAAGGUGCUCAAAAUGAAAAACUUGGAGAGCUUUCAGAGAUGGGCUGCAGUGGAAGAGACUCAAGGAGAACACAUACUGUUUCCUUGUCUGGAGGAACUAUCAAUUGAGAAAUGCCCAAAGUUGACGGCGUUACCUGAAGCACCAUUGCUUCAAGAACCAUGUAUUGAAGGUGGUUACAGAUUGGUACGCUCAGCGUUUCCUGCCUUAAAGGUGCUCAAAAUGGAAAACUUGGAGCGGUUUCAAAGAUGGGGUGUGGUCGAAGGGACAUUGUUUCCUCAGCUUGAGAAACUAUCAGUUCAGAAGUGCCCCAAGAUGAUAGAUUUACCAGAGGCACCAAAACUCAGUGUCUUAAAAAUUAAAGAUGGUAGGCAAGAGAUCUCCGAUUUUGCAGAUAGAUAUUUUUCUUCAUUGACCAAACUGAUAUUGAAUCUAGAAAACACAGAAACAACAUCAGAGGUUGAGUGCACUUCAAUUGUAUCUGUGGACAGCAAGGAGAAAUGGAACGAGAAAUCCCCUCUUACAGUGAUGGAGCUAAGAUGCUGCAACUCAUUCUUUGGACCAGGUGCACUAGAGCCGUGGGACUAUUUUGUACACCUUGAAAAGUUGGAAAUUGAUAGAUGUGAUGUGCUUGUCCACUGGCCAGAGAAAGUGUUCCAAAGCUUGGUAUCCUUGAGGACAUUAGUGAUUACAAGCUGCGAAAAUCUGACUGGAUAUGCACAAGCUCCUCUUGAGCCAUUGGCAUCCGAAAGGAGUCAGCACCUGAGAGUUCUGGAGUCUCUUUGCUUAGAAAACUGCCCAAGUUUAGUAGAGAUGUUCAACGUCCCGACAUCUCUCAAGAAAAUGUAUAUUAAUGGGUGCAUUAAGCUUGAGUCCAUAUUCGGCAAGCAGCAGGGCAUGGCUGAGUUAGUCCAAGGAUCUUCUAGCAGUGAGGCAAUCAUGCCUGCAGCUGUAUCAGAGUUGUCAUCCUCACCCAUGAAUCACUUUUGUCCAUGCCUAGAAUAUCUACAGUUAUCUGAUUGUGGAAGCUUACCAGCGGUUCUACAUCUGCCUCUGUCCUUAAAGACCUUAGAAAUUUAUAACUGCAGUAGUAUUCAAGUCCUAUCAUGCCAGCUGGGUGGGCUCCAGAAACCAAAAGUCACUACCUCCAUAAGCAGAAGUCCUGUCAUGCCAGAGCCACCACCACCAGCAGCAGCUGCUGCAAGAGAGCAUUUACUUCCUCCCCAUCUCGAAUCUCUAGUAAUACUGAACUGUGCUGGCAUGUUGGGUGGGACUCUCCGUCUGCGUGCACCCCUCAAGAGACUGCGCAUUAUUGGCAACAGUGGGUUGACAUCGCUGGAGUGUCUGUCAGGAGAGCACCCCCCAUUGCUGGAAGUCCUUGAUCUUCAAAAGUGCAGUACCCUAGCUUCCCUGCCGAAUGAGCCGCAAGUAUACAUGUCUCUCUGGAAUCUUGAAAUUAGAGGCUGCCCUGCUAUAAAGAAGCUCCCUAGAUGCCUGCAGCAGCAACUGGGCAGCAUUGAUGACGAGUACAAAGAACUAGAUGCCCAUUAUGAAGGUAUGCUUGGAGCACGUCCUUCUAUCUUUGCCACAUUUAAUAAACAGAUGCAGUCAUCCAUUCCAUUAAAUCUACCACGCCAGCAUGUCUGUACAAGUUUGUUCUCCAUUAUUUUACUUUCGAAUGUUACAUUAGUUUGUAUGUGUUUGUUCUGACGCCAUUUGCAAUAUGUGCAGUGAUGGCACUUAAACCGAAGACAUGGAAGGAGAUGCCAAGGCUAGUCCGUGAGCGGAGGAAGGCCGCUCGAGAAGCCAAGGAGCGCCAGCAAUCCGCCAUGCAGGAGUAAACAGGUUGGAAACCAUGUAGAAAGGGCAUGGAUUCCAAUUGCUCUGAACAAUGUACAAGAUUAUGUCGUGACUGUAAUCAAUCGGCUUUGUUGAGCUUUGGCCUCUACCUAGUUCAGAUAUUUGUAAUGCGAAUCAAAUGAAUCUGCCCGGUUCAGUAGAAGUUAGGAUAAUAUACUCACAUGUGUGUCUGUGAGCUAUCUAUCGUAUCUAUCUGUUUUUGCUUUGCUUAGUUAACUGCGAAGACACUAGCCUUUAAUUGUUCAAUAAAGUUUUUCAACUGUGGCUUUUAUCUGUCGAUUUUCGUGGUUGACAGGCCUAAUCCCUGAUUGUUGCUCUUCUCUGCUCUGCUCUGCUAGGGGAAUGAGCUGUUAUUGCUUCUGCAACUUAACUGUGCCGCAGUCCGCUCUCCGUCGAGAACUGUCAGGGCCUGCGGUGUAGGGCGGCUGCUGCUUGGCGUCGAGUGGAGCAUAUCUGAAUCAACAUCCUAGGCUGAGACCAUCUCAUCUUGAUCUGGUUUGCUGUUGUCCAGUCAAGCGAGGAAACACAGGGAAGAAACAACAUAGAAAGGGCAUGGUAGUUUAUUUUAUUUUGCUUCAGAAACUGUACCAAUUUAUGUCAUGAUUGUUACCUGCUCCGUUAAACUCUGACCUUGAUCUUGUUAUUAAAGAUUCAGACACUUGCCUCGUUUAGUAGAAGCUGGGGUACUUGUAAUGUGUGCCAUAUAUAUUUCUAGUUUCAGCCAUUUCCAUAUCAAGUACAAGCUCGGAAAGGCUUAGGUGGUCUGUGAACUUUCUGGCCCUGCUUGCUUGACGCAAGUUUUACAGACAUAUAAAACAUAAGUUUAUAUAUAUAUAAUAUACAGUUAAGCAGCAGUUUCCUCGCAUGUAAGAUGGUUAAGUAGCAGCCGCAGGUAUCAGUCAGUCCGGUACUUGUUGAAUGGGAUCGACAGUUGAAUUGCUCUGCUCUGCUGCAAAACUCUGUGUUUGCCUGUGGAGGAAUGAAUAUUUCAGUUUCAGAAUUUGUGAGCUACUCCUAUUUAGUUUCUAGUCUGGUUGUGGUACUAUCUAGUUUCAGCACUGUUUAUUUAGUUUAGAAGAAAUUUACUGUUGACCUUUUUAACGUGUUUACAACACGUGCUAUUUGAAAUAUAAUUCUUUUUUUACCUGUUUCGAUACUUGUACAGAUCAAGUAGUACAAGUUGGGAGGAAAAAACCUCAGGUCCGUGAACUGUUUGGUCCUGUCUGUCUGUACAAAAUCAAGUUUGUUCGCUGUAGCCAGUAUAGUGUUGUAGAUAUCUGAAUAACUUGGUGUCUGCUUACGAGAGCAGAGGACGUGGAUGGAUGUUUGCUGCCGGCUGAUGCUGCAGGAACCGAAAGAGCCUUCUCAGUAUGCACUUCAAUGAAGAAGCAACGGACAGAUGUUCAGAUACAUCCGUUUGAGCUGACCGCUAUUUCUGGACGGAGGGAGUAUUAUGUAAGAUUUUGUGUACUUUCCCUUUAUUACUUUUGGUGCAGCUUCAGUUGAUGGUUUGCAUGCUCUUCUUAAGGAUUUACAUUCUCUUAGUGUCUUUGUUUCGUAUGUUUCUUUAGAGCCUCCUGUAGUUAAUCAGGCACUUCUCUGCUUUUAUAGACUAGUGUUAUUAUUGGUUUAUUAUUCAUGUUACUUAGGAAUUAGGGUCAAACAAGCACCUCCUGCUCUGCUGGUAGCUAGCUUAAUUCCCAGGUUUGGUAUAUAUCUAUGUUGUGAUGCAUACUCAUGUUUGUGAGCUAGUAUAUAUCUAUUUUCAGUGUCGUUUAAUGGUUCAGAGAGUGGGCUGUAACUUGUUCAGAUACUUUGUGUUAAACUGUAGAAUUGACCUGCUGCAGUAAUUUUGACAGCUGAGGUGGGAUGAGCUGCAUAUCAUUCUCUGAUUGGGAGUAACAGGUUGUUGUUGUUUGGUUCUGAUGUUGCUAAGCUGUGGUGGUGGUCACAAUUAUCUUCCUAAUCCGGCAA
rnacentral:lncRNA from 1 species